UGAGACAUAAGGUAUUCUUAUUUUCAUGCUUGAUGUUAAUCAUAAAUAAUCUAUUAAUAAGAAUAUAUACUAAUUCUUAACAACCUUCUAACUCAAAGUGACUUGAUAAAUUAGUAACAAAAAUAUCAUUCCAAAUAUAAAAUACACAAUAUGUUCAGAAUAUUACAAACCUUAAAUCAAGAUGACCCUAAGGGUGCGUUUGGUUCGCUCUAUCUUUGAAAGAUUCCUAGUAAUCCAAUGAGAAUAAAAAAAUAUGACGGUAUUUGGCUAAACGCACUAAGUAAUCUAGUUGGUAAUAUUAGAUUCACUUGGGAGUAAGAUUCACCACAAAGUACUAAUCUCAUUCUCUUGAGGGAGUAUGGAUAUCCUCAUAUUAAUGGAUUGAGGUAAUCAUAAUAUAUCUAAUCUCUUUCUUUCUUCCUACCCGCCGACUAAUUAAUAUUAUUUUUCUUUACACUAUAACCUUAUAUCUCUCUCUAAACUUAUUGUUCUCUCUAAAAUUCAACUUUUUUUCUCUCUCUAAACUAAGUUUUCUCUCUCUCUCUCUCUUUCUAAAAUUUCAACUCUCUCGCUCCCUCUAAUUUUGACUAUAUUUUUUUUUUCUAUUUUUUUAAUUAUGCUCUCUUUCUCUAACUUAUACUCUCUCUCCCUUUUUUUCUAAAAAGAUGUUGAAACUUUUGGUAACAUUAUCUAAAAUUAAUUAAAUAAAUAAAUAAAUAAAUAAAUUGUAUAUUUUUUGUAAUAUUAAAUAACAUGACUAAUUAAUAUUACCGUACGAACCAAACACAGGAAUUCCACAUUCUUAGUAAUAGGAUGAAUAGAAAUAAAAUUCUCAGAUAUCUUUUAUUCCUAGUAAUCUUUCAUAAUGUGAACCAAACGCACCCUAAUAGUAACGAGCUAAUGAAGCCACUCAAUUUGGAGCCUCAUUUCUUUGAACAUAAAUUUACUGGAUGAAUUCAAGUUUUUCAGAACUGAAACAAUGACAACAUUUAAGUGCAAUUUUCUCACCUCUCUGUAUCCUGGCUAUUCUUACUAGUUUUUCUCUUAACCAACUUUAAGCAUCAAAAUCUCCAUAUGACCAUCAAAUUAUGUUGUUCUACUGUAGUUAAUGUUCCAAAGUACCAACUGCUAGGUAGAGAACCAUAUGUGAGAGUCUAAAGAACUCAAAGAACAGGACCAAUAGGAAAUGGUUCAUAAACCACCUCAAUACCAUAUCCCAACAAUCACAACAUUACAUCAGUGCCGAGAAGCAGGGCGUUUUUAAGUUAUAAAAGACAUCAAGAAUACUACAUCCUGGGUUUCAGUUUAUAUAGCGAAUUUCAGCCAGCAGUUGAGACUCAACUAGAAUUUACAAAUUUCACAAACAAGAAGAUAGGCACUAAUCUUGAGGGCUUAACAAGGAAGGUGCAUGUUCCAGCCAAAAAUCAACAGUCACAGAUGAGAUUUCCAAAUUUAACAUACUAACAACAAUCAAAGUUUGCAUCUUUUAACAUCUAAAAAAGUUACAUGAGUUUAUGUUGGACUAGAGUUAAUAUUCAACAAGGAUUAUAUCAUAACAGCCAAGAGGAUUACUCUCUUUACAAGUGAUUCUGUGAUUGGUUGUUACUAAAUGGCACCCUGUAUUAAUAGAAAGGUCAUACUGAACGUGUUCAUGUUUGGAAUGAUAUGAUACAGAAAUUAGAAAUUAAUAACUCACUAUGGUUUGAAUUAAAAUCAGUUCCAAAUUGUAGCAAUCAACAAUAAAUGGAAAAAGGAUACAUAAACCAAGAGCAACUAAAAGAGAAAGAGAAAUAAAGGAUAAUCCCAAUAUAUGAUCCAUAAGAGUGUUAGUUGCUAGGAAUUAAUAGCUUCCAAUUUCACAAAACUAUAUAAAAGGGGAAAAAAAAAAUCACCUUUUCUUAAAACCCAAAUGGGACAAAAACCCAAAAAAACAUUACUAAAAGAAAAGAGAGCUGGCUCAGCCAACAAAAGGCAACCAUAACCUUAAUCAAUUCCAAAAUGCAAUCUUAUGUUUCAUAGUAGGAGGAGAUCUCCCGAGGAUACCCUCUUAUUCGGAUCAAGGAUAAGGCCAAUGUCAAGUUGUUAUCAUUUGCAAGUUUCAAAACUAAAAAAUUAGUUCCUAAGUUCCUAUGUCAAGAUAAGCUACAGCCAGGUCAAAUUGCAGUUUUAUUAUCUUUAGUAUAUUAAUUGACUCUCAAAAAUGUAUUCUAAAACAUGGUGAUUUACACAGAUUUCAAGCAAGUCGAACUUACAGAUAGUUUUUGUUCUAAGACCCUUAUGAUUCACAGGACUCUGUACUAGUUAACUAACAAAUAGUUAAAGCAGAAGUUACAAAAAAAAUAAUAAGAAGAAGACCUCCUCAUGUCGAGGAACUGUGAAAUAAUUGACAUGAAAUGAAAUAACUCAUCUCAAGCAACAUCUUAUGACUUCGUAACCAAAUUGGAGAGUAUAUGAAAGAAAAUUUCAACUACAGGACCUUUUAAUCCAUGUUCUGAUACAGUCAACCGAGUCACAGCAACAUAGUUCAUUGUUUCUUCACUGCUUUAAUUGAAGUUUCUUUUACAUUUCUAACACAUGCAUUUGAGAACCGGUAAACAAGGCCACUACUCAUCUAGUUAGGUAUCUUCAAAGUUUAAAUAAUCAACAGUGAAUCUGCUAUACUGUGAUCUAAUUUCAGAGAUUAUAAGUUUUGCACAUUAUAAUUCUAUCCAAGCAACAUUAUCAGGCAUCGCGGGUAACAUCACACAUCCAUAAGGUCACCUUUCAAUGGUUUUACAAGAAUUUCCAUCAAGGCGCCUGCAUCUGCCAACUACAUAGAUGUUGUGACCUAGUUAGAAAAUUAGGUUAGAUUCAAUUCAAUUGCAUCAAUUCAGAUCCAAUUUGAACCUUACUGAAAUCCAGUUAGAACCAUAGUUAGUAAAUUCGCGAAUUAUUCCCGAAUUAUUCGCGAAUUUUUUAAAAACCGAAUUAAACGGCCGUAUUCGUAUUUUUCCGAAAAAUUCGGAAAAAAAAGCAAUUUUUUGGGGAAAAAUAAUUAUUCGCGAAUUAUUCGCGAUUUGCGAAUAAUUCGGCCAAAAAACGGCCCUCGGGCCCCGGCCCGGCCCCGGCCUGCGCCCGCACCGCGGGCGCGACCCCGCUCUCGCGCGUGCGCCAGUGCCCGCGCUCGCAGGUCGCGGGCCUCGCACUCGCUCGCGGGCCUUGGUCUCGUCCAAAACAAAAAAAUAAAAAACAAAAAUCCUUUCCGAACUGUCACGCCCCGGAUUACACUUUCUCCGGAUGCGCCGACAAAUCCGCCGUAUACAAAGGAAUUUUCCCUGUAUACGAAGCGAUAGCUGUAUCUGUAAAUCAAACAAUACUACAAACAGUAGUAUAGAGCUGCUAGGAGAAACGGAGAAAACCAACUGAGUUCCAUACACAUACCCCAAAAUCCAAGAUACACAAAAACUACUCGCACUGGCGAGUUAAAGGUAGGUAAGUACNUAACUUAAUUUUGUAGCUCUUUAUUCUUAUAUUCUUAAGAAAUAUGAGUAUUUAUGCUAACAGCAUAAAUCUUGAGAGAAAAAAAAAUUUAAUUUAAUAGCCGAAUUUUUUAUCUCGAAUAUUUAAUUGGUGAACGUAUAAUAUCCAUAUAAAUCACGUAUCCGAAUAAUUGGCGAAUCCGUUUUUUAGCCGUAUUUUUCAACGAAUUUAAAAAUUAAAAGACGAAUUAUAUCUGUACCGAAUUUUUGCCGAAUCCGAAUUAACUAACUAUGGUUAGAACAACUUGAGUAAUUAGUUCCCGCAUAAAAUUGAUUCAGAUCUGAAACAUGAUGACAUGUUCACAUUUUUCUAUUUUGAGAUCAAUUUACAUUCAUACUUGAGGACCUUGUUUUCAGGACUAAUAAUUUGUUUCAAAAUCAGAUUAACUUGUUACCAUAGAUGUAAACUGUAAUCUGGAUAAGAUAAAUUUAGAUUCAAAAAUAUAAGAGUAUUAGCAUUGGUAGGAUCCUAACUUGCAAACUUGAAGAGUGCAGGACAAUAUAAGACCGUUCGUUGAUCAGAGAGCAACAGAAAAAAGAAAAGAGGAUCAACCAAGAUAAGAGGGGGGAAAAAGUCGUGUACUUUGCCUAAGGGAAUGAAAAUUGAAUUCUUUUGGUCCAAACCUUCUUGUUCCCUUUUCUUCUCUCUUUCUUUGUCAUAUUUUUUGCCACAGUCUGUUGGCUUAAAUAGGCCAGCAUCCUGCCCUGUGGCGGGAGGCCAUAUGGGCCGAGUCACGUUCGAAAUGGCGUGAAGCUGGGUUGGGCCGAGUCAUGUUCGAAGUGGCGUGAGGCCAGGUGGGCCGAAUCACAAUUGAAACCCGUGGGCGCUGUUUCUGUACGCUUUAAGUGAAUUGGUUGCGUAUUUCUAACAGCUCGAGCUUUUGGGAUUAAUGGUUAGCGCCAACGAUCCGACACAGUCAAGCCACAUUGUGGCAUAGGGAACCAUGGCCCCUCAGCUUUCUGCGCAAAGUCUUAUAGCCUUAUAUCCAGAAUAUUUCCAUGGGUAACUAGUGGUCCCAAGUGCCCCCGAUACAAAAUGGCAAGAGUAGGCACAGUUCAUGUUCUUAAGGUGAGCAUUGUUAAUUUGUUGGUUCAGUUAGAUUUACUUUUGAAACGUUAGAAUUUGAGCAGAGAAGUUUUUAAAGUACUAUACGGGGUACAAGACACAAUUUCUUUUACAUAUGACGGGGAAAUUAAAUAAGUAACUCUUCGAAGAAUGAAUCGUAAGGAUGCCUUUCAAUCAACUAUACAACUUAGUGUACUAUUCCAGUAAGUAAUGCUGAAUGAAUUACAUUCUUUCUAGAUUUAAUUUGCUCCAAUUUGUUAAUUGGAUAGAGGAGAUAUUGGUGGCUGUCAAUCAGCAUCUCCUUAUGGUUAUCCUAUACAAAGCCCCUAUUAGACAUGAGAAGUUGCUCGAUUCAUGGAAUUAAUUAAUUAAAUAAAGCUUCAAGUUUUCGAGCAUAAAUUGUAACCUAUCCAAACUGUUGGCAUUGUAGAACUACUAAAAAUUUUGCCUCUUCCUUCAUCACUUAGAGCCCGUUUGGAUUGGGUACAAGAUGGGAUAUAAGGGCCUUAUACCCCAUCGUACCCAAACACAAUUUGGGCUAGGUGGGAAUGGGAACUAUAGUUCCCACCCCGGGUGGGAACAAGCUUGGGAACAAGGUUGUUCCCACCCACUGGGUAGAGAGAGAGAGAGAGAGAGAGAUGUCUUAAAUUAGAAUUUAAAAUUUUAAAAUUUAAAAUUUGUAAUUUUAAAAUUAUAAUUAUAAUUUAAAAUUCCAAAUUUUAAAGUUUAAAUUUUAAUUUUGAUAUUUUAAAUUUUUAAAUUUUUAAAUUUUAAAUUUGAUAUUUUAUAUCUUUCAAAUUUAAAUUUGGUUUUAAAUUUAAAAUUAAAAUUUUUAAAAUUAAAAUUUUGAUAAUUUAAAUUUGGAAUUUGAAUUUCAAAUUUUAAAAUUUAAAAGUUAAAAAUUUAAAUUUAAAAUUAUAAAUGCAAAUUUUAAAAAUUUAAAAUUUAAAUAUAAUGAGAUGAGUAAUAUCAUUAUUUUCAAUUUAUAACUACCCACUAUUCCUUUUAUUCCAUCUUAUUUAUCCAAACACUAUUUUUCUUAUUCCCGAGAAUAACAAAAUUUUCAUCCAAACACAAAAUUUGUCUAGUUCUCGCUUUUACCUAAAUUUGUACAUUUUCCUGGUAUAAGCUAGUUCUUACUUAUACCCGAACCAAACGAAGCCUUUAGUGAACAAAACCACCAAUCACCCAUCAUUGGCCUCAAAUUCGCACAGCUUAUUUAUUAAUAUAUAGAUUUUCCCAAGUGUUAUAGUCUUAUUCAGAUUCAUAUAUACUGAAAAAUUAUAUUGUGACUUUAAAUAUCUGAUACUUAAUUUUGGGUCCCUUAAGAUCAAAUCGCAGCUUUCACUGGCCUGCACAGCAGAUUAUCAAGCAGGACAUAUUAGAAUUCACUGAAACCAGACGAAGCCUACUUUCUCAACAGGAAGGAAAAUUCGCGGAAAACUAUAGGCAUGCUGCAUUUUCUACACUUAUUAUCUAUUGAUAUCUGAUCAAAUUCUUUUGAAGUUAUGGCCUAUCCUUUAUAGGCUUGCACACAAAGGCCUAAUUGGACUUCAAGAAGCAACUAACUAAUAUCCAAAGGUCUACUUACACUCCCAGAAUACCACACUGCAUUCAUAUAGGGGACAUGUUAACCUCAAGAUUUUGUUUCCGUGGGUAAAAGAAUUUGAAGUGACAAGAUGAUAUAUGGCCAAAUAUUUAGACAAAAUAAUUCAAAAUAAUCUCCAAUCAUAACAUAGUAGACUCCAAUUCAUGCCUGUCCUCUGUAACUUGGACUAAUUUAACAUUUCACGAGCAAUAGGAAUGAUGUAAUAGUCUAAUGGCACUAUUAGGUACACUUUAUGCACUCUUAGCUUUUACAUGUAUACAAAUCCUUAGAAACUGUGGUAAAUCAUAGUUUAAUAGAUUUCAGAAAAUACUAGAACUCCAGAAGCAAUAGUAUAUGUAUAGAUUGCUGAUAGAAUACCAACGAGCUCACAGAGAAUAAUAUGUUAAUUAGAGAAUUUGAUGCUCAAAUACAGAUGCACCCAAGCAUGGAUGCACAGACUUUUUCUGCAUUUAUUCCCCUUCAAAAAAAAUUAUUUUAUAAAUGACCCUACUAAAAUUAUGAAUGCAGAAAUGACCCUAUAUUUGUACACAUAGGCACUACGCGGGAUAAGAAAGAAAUAUUUUAAGUGAACAUGGUGAUUCAUUCACCGUGUUUAGAUAGUAUAUAAAUGAAUCACCGUGUUCACUUAAAAUAUUUCACAUGGCGCCUACAAGUACAAUAUAGGGCCAUUUCUACAUUUAUAGUUUUGACAGGAUCAUUUACAAAAUAAAAUUUUUUGAGAGGACAAAAUGCAAAAAUAGCCCUGGAUGCAUACUUCACAAAACUUCUGUAAGGUUGAAUGAAAAAUGAAUAAAACGGACUAACAAUAAAAGAGAUAAAUAUGAUUUGGUGUUCUAGCGAACUAACAAGAACACUUGCAACCGAGCAGAUUAGUGCAACAGCAUCCUUCUGAUACGUGAACCUUUAUCUUAUGAAUUUGGCUUACAUCUAACCAUCAAUGUCAAAAAAUCAAUUUUUAUGUUUUGAGGUACGAGAUCUCCCAAGGGUAUGCGAUCAAGAAUGAGGCCAAUAUCAACUUGCUAUCAUUUAUGAAUUUCAAAACUAACAAAUUAGUUCCUAAAUUAAAAUAAAAGCUACAAGUCAUUACAUUCAGUAUACUUCGACUCUUCAAAGUUUAAUAUAAGACUUGAUGAUUUAUGCAGAUUUCAAAUUAGUUGAACUUACAAGUAGUUUUUGUUCUAAGAUAUGAUUCACAAGACUCUGUACUUGUCAACUUACAAAUAGUUGAAAUCAGAAGUCAAAAAAAAAAAACAGAUUUCUUCAUGUCGAGAAACUACAAAUUAGUUGAUAUGAAAUAGCUCAUCUCAAGCAACUUCUUAUAACUUACUAACGAAAUUGACCAUUAGAUAAAAGAAAAUUUCAACUGCAGGACCAUUUGAUCAGCGUUCUGAUAUAACCAAUCAAGUCACAACAACAAAUUGUUUUGUUUCUUCACUGCCUUAAUUGAAGUUUCUUUUACAUUUCUAACAUGUGAAUUUGAGAACUGGUAAACAAGACCACUACCCCUACUAAUCUAGUCAGGAAUAUUCGUAGUUCAAAUAAUCAAAAGCUUAUCUGCUUUACUGUCGUAUGAUAUUGUUGCUUAUAAGUUAGAGAGCAAUGCUACCUGUACACCCAAAAGGUGGGUGUAAGAUUUACACCUUGCUCAUCCAAAGGACAAUAUCUUCACACUUUUCUUAUCAAUAAUUUUUUAUAUCAAAAAUCCAAAAGGUGUGUAAGAUUUACAUCCUACUUUUGGGUGUACAAAUAGCAUUUCUCUAAGGCUUCGUUUGGUUCGGGUAUAAGCAAGAACUAGUUAUACCGGGGAUAAGUACAAGUAUGGAUUUUCGUAGGAAUAAGGGUAUUUUUUUGUUUGGAUGAAAAUGUGAGUAUAAGCUGGAACUAGAAAAAUUGUGUUUGGAUGAAAAUGUGAGUAUAAGGUGGAAUAGUUGGUAGUUAUAAAUAGAAAAUAAUGAUAUUACCCCUAUAAUUGAAUUUAAAUUUUUAAACUGAAAAUUUUAAAUUGAAAAAUUGAACUUUUAAAUUUUAAAUUUUGAAAUUAAAUUUAAAAUUUUAAUUUUUAAAAUUUUAAUUUUAAAUAUCUAAUUUUAAAUUUAGGACCAAAUUUAAAUUUGAAAGAUAUAAAAUAUCAAAUUUAAAAUUUAAAAACUAAAAAUAUCAUGUUUAAAAUUUAAAAUUUAAAAAUAUCAAAUUUAAAAUUUAAAUUUUAAAAUUUAUAAUUUAAAAUUAAAAAUUUACUUUUUAAAAUUAUAAAUUAUAAAUUUUAUAAAUUUAAAUUUAAAAUAAAAAUCUCUCUCUCUCUGUCUCUCUCUCUCUCUCUCUCUCUCUCUCGCGUACCCAGGGUGGAACAAGUUGUUCCAGCCCAAAGUGGGAACACUUGUACCCGGUUGUUCCGGGUGUUCCCCCCUACCAAAAAUAGUGUUUGGGUACAAGAGGGGAGAUAACGCCCUUAUCCCCCCUCUUGUACCCAAUCCAAACAGUACCUAAAUAAGCAAUGCUACCUGUACAUCCAAAAAGUGGGUGUAAGAUUUACACCUUACUCAUCCAAAGGCCAAUAUCUUCACACUUUUCUUAUCAAUAAUUUUUUUAUAUUAAAAAUUCAAAAGGUGGGAAAGAUUUACAUCCUACUUUUGGGUGUACAAAUAGCAUUUCUCUAAAUUUUAUCUGUUUAAGUCUAUCCAAGCAACCUGGUUAGGUUUCAUGGGAAACAUCACACCCAUAAGUUCACCUUCCAAUCGUUUUACAAGAAUUUCCAUCAAGGCACAAGCAUUUGGCAAGUUCAUAGAAGUUGUGACCUACUUAGAAAAUUCAAAUCCAAUUUGAGUCUUGCCAAAAUCCAAUUAAAACUACUUGGGUCAGGUAGUUAGUUUGUAUCUAAAAUUGAUGCAGAUGGUUUUGAAACAUGACAGCAUGCUCAUACUUUUCUAUGUUGAGAUUUAUUCACAUGCAUAUUUGAGUAUGUUGCUUUCCGGGCUAAUAAUUUGAUUCAAAAUUGGAUUGAGUGGUUACUAUAGGAGGUAAUCUGUAAUCUGGAUGGAUAAAUUUAAUUCAAAUCUUAAGAGAUUAGAAUUGGGUAGUAUCGUAAAUUGCAGCCUUGAUAAGUUUAGGACAAUAAAAGACUCUUUAUUGAUUAGAAAGCAUCACAAAUAGGAUAAGAGGUCAACCAAUGUGGAGGGAGAAAAAAGAAGCCAUUUGUUUGCCUAAGGUAAUGAAAGUUGAGUUCUUUUUGUCCAGACUUUCUCAGUUUCUCUUCUUCUCUCUUUUCUCUCUUUCUCCAUCAUAAUUUAUGCCAUGGUUGAACCCACAUUGUGGGAAGGGAACCAUGAUGCCCCAGCUUUCUCUGCAAAACCUUAUAGGCUUAUAUCCAGAACAUUUCUAUGGGUAGCCACUGAUCCCAAGUCCUCGUGAUGUAAACUUCAAGAGUAGGUGCAGGUUAUGUUCACGUGUUUGUGAACAUUGCUAAUUUUUCGUUCAGUUAGAUUUCUUUUGAAACCUUGGUAUUUGAACAGAGAUGUUUUUGAAAUACGUUAACGGUAACAAGACACAUUUUCUUUACAUAUGAUGAGAAAAUUAAAUAAUUCUACUUAGAUUGGACUGUAAGGAUGGCUUUCAAUCAACUUUACAUCUUACUGUACAAUUCCAGUGGAUAAUGCUGAAUGAAUUACACUAUUUAGAUUUAAUUUGUGCUUAAAUUGUUUUGAUGGUUAAUUAACAAGGAUCUUAGGUGUCUAUCAUUCAACACCUCCUUAUGGUUAUCCGAUACGAAGCCCCCAGUAGAUGCGACAAGUUGCCCAUUGAUGGAAUUGAUUAAUUAACCAACUGGAUGAAGCUUCAAGUUUUCAAACAUAAACUGUAACCUAUCCAAACUCUUGGCAUUAUAGUACUACCAAUAAUUAUGCUGCUUGCUUCGUAUUUCAGUGAGCAAAACAAAACCACAAACCACCUAUCACCGGCCCCAAGUUCCUACAACUUAUUUAUUGAUAAAUAGACUUUCCCAAUUGCUUUAUUUAUCCUUAUUUAGAUUUAUAUGAAUUGAACAAUUAUAUUGUGGCUGCUUUAAAUAUCUAACAUAUAUUUUUGAAUCCCCUUAAGAUGAAAUUCUCUCUUAGACUGGCCUGUACAGCAGAUUCUCAAGGAGCACUUACUAGGUAUCAUUGAAAUCAGAUGAAACCCCUACUUUCUCAACAGCGUUAAAAAUUGAUACAGAACAUUACAAGCAUUCCGCAUCUUCUUCACCAAUUAUCUUUUGAAAUCUGACAAAAUCCUUUCGAAGUGAUAGCCUAGCUUUAUAGGCUCGCACAUGAAGCCUAAUUGGACUCCAAGAUGAAACUAAAUAAUAUUUAAAGUCUACUUGUGCUCCCACUCUUCCAGAACACCUGACUUUAUUCGUAUAGGAGAUACCUUCUUCUCAAAUUUUGUUCUAUGCAAAAGAAUCUAAGAUGAUAAGCCGAAUAUUUACACACAAUCAUUCACAGUAAUCACCAACUAUAACAUAGUAGACUCCAAUUCAUGUUCUGCAUCCUCUAUAUCUUAGGCUAGUUUAACAUUUAGUUAGCAAUAGGAAUGACGUAAGAAGCAAUAAUACACUAUACACACACCUAGUUUUUAUGUAUAUACAAGUUCCUAGAAACUGCGGUAAAUCACGGUUUAAUAGAUUACAGAAAAUCCUAAGAAGCAAUAAUAUCAUUGCUGAUAGAAAGUGGAUGAGCUCACAAAGAAUAACAAGUCAAUUAGAAAACUGAUGCUCAAGUACUUGUAAACCCAAGCAUGGAUACAUAUUUCACAGAGCAACUGUAAGUUUUGAGUAAGAAAUAAAUAAAAAGGAUCAACAAUAUUGCAAGUUAUUCAUUUGAUAAGAAAACUUUAGCUCAUCAAUUAGCAAUAAAAGAGAUAAAUAUGAUUUGGUGUUCCAGCGAACUUACAAAAACAUUUGGCAACCAAGCAAAAGUACUCGGCAAGAUAGUGCAACAGCCUCCUCCUGAUUAGCAUCCCCCAAGCAAUGUCUUUGCCAACUAGAGUUUAGUCUUAAUAGUAGAUCAAUUCGGCCAUUUCAUGAUGAAUUAUUAAACAAGACACCAACAGAGCAUCUUAUUGAGGCAUGAAUCUGAUGCAUAAACAGAAAAGAGUAGCAUCCCUCAAGUUCCAUCUCAAAUUAUUUACUCCAACUUCAAGAGCUCCUUGCUUGUUUCUCUUCAAAUAUUAAUCUAAAUUGCAAUUGGAAAUCCCUUUGAGCCAAAAUUGCUAUCUUGCCUUUCUCAUUAAAGACAGAUGGUUGAGCCAUUUAACCAAACAGUUGGUGAGUGCUCCCUUAUUAAACUGAGAUUCAAAAUCACUUCCCUUGUCUUCACCAUCCCAGAAAUCCUUAGUCGAAGCAAUUAGACCGUUUCAUGAUGAAUUGUCAAACACGAAAGCAUCUUGCUCAGGCAUGAAUCUUGUCCAUUGCAGAAGAGAGUGGCUACCCUGUUCCAUUUCGAACCAUUUACUCCGACCUGAAGGAGUUACUUUGCUCGUAUCUCCUCAGAAUGAUUAAAAAGAGAUCCCUCCGAAUCCACAUUGCAAUCACAAAUCCCUUCGAACCAAAUUGCCAUCUUGCCUUCCUCUUUCGAGAAGGCAGAUCAGUGAGCCCUACAUAACCAAAGGGUUAGCGGGCAUUCCUUAGUCGAUAUACUGAGACUCAACCCCCGAGUCCGAGCCACUGCCCUCAUCUUCAUCAUCUCUGAAAUCCCCACUCACAGCACCGCCACUGCUACUGCCGCUGCCAUUGCCGCUCACCUCUCUCCAUUCCCUGCCCAUACUCGUCAGCAUCCGCUCCAAGUUGGCCUUUUGAGGGCUCAUCAGCAGCAGCUCGUCGAACUUCCUCCUCGCCAGAUACAGCUCGUUGGGCUCGACCAGCUCGCCCUUCCAGUACGCCUCCCUGAGGAACACCGUGUGCAGCUGCCCCUGAUUCCCCCGCGUCGAUACGUAGAAUAUCCCCUGGUGCUGCAGCAGGAACUCCUUGAGCUUCUUCGGGAGUCCCAUCGCCUGCCGGAACUGGGCGAUCCGCUCCAGCGUCGUGCGCUUCUCGACGGUGAGCGAGAGCAGCUCGUGGAUCGUCGCGACCGCGCGCUUCUCCAUCCGCCGGCGGGCCUCGAGCGAGCGGAGGUCGUAGCCGGACACGUCCUCGUAGGGGGACCAGUAGGGCAGCCGCUGCCACUUCCACACGGCGAUGCGGAAGAACUUGCCGAUCUUGAAGCCGGGGGGGAAGCGGAUGGGGAAGGCGAAGCGGGCGUCCUCCUCGGCGCCGGCGCCGCGGGCGGCGCGGUACUCGCGCUCGCGGGCGCGGUGGACGGCGGGGACGGCGAGGUCGGGGGGGUCGGAGUCGUGGGGGAGGAACUCGACGUACUUGGAGCGGGGGGAGUCGGCGUCGGGGGAGACGGCGAGGCGGAAGAGGGAGGGGUGGGCGAGGAUGACGGACUGCUCGAAGUCGUCGGGGAGGGCGAGGUCGCGGCGGAGGAGGCGGAGGUGGUCGAGGCGGCGGAGGGGGGAGGAGAGGAGGAGGAGGCGGCGGAGGCGGAGGGGGGCGGAGGGAGGAGGGCGGAGAGGGCGCGGACUCGAGGCGAGCUGGGAGAGGGAGCGCGGGGAGGGCGGCGAAGAGAGGCGGCGCACGGGUGGAGGAAGAGGUGGAAGGCGUGGGUGGCGGAGGAGGAAGCGCGCGGCGGAAGAGGAGGGAGGAGAGCUGGCGGCGGGCGAGGAGGUCGAGGCGGCUGACGGGAGGGAGGCGGAGGGCCGCCGUGGGAGAGCAGGAGGGAGCGAGGGCCAGCCCCACGCGGGACUUCUUCUCCACGUCAUGAUGCCGUCGAACGAUGGUCGCGGACGCGCUGAGGCUUCCGCGGGAGGGAGUCGAUUGGGAGUACCAGGCGGCCGAGGACGAGUGACAGGACGAGGGACGAGGAGCAUGAUGACCACGGCGUCCGGCCGAGGAGGAGGAGGAGGAAAGGAGGGGAUUUGCUCCACCAGCAGACAGCAGCCGGAAAGGGCGCAUUUUGUUUUUGUUUCCGUUUCUUUUUUUUUUUUUUUUUUUUUUUUUUUUUUUUUGCUCUCUCUCCUCCCCGCCCGUCGAGCUCGACGUGUUUGAGGUUUAUUCCUCAGGUUAUACUGUCGGCGUCCGCGAGGGAGGGGAGGGGGUAAGGCCGUAAGGGGAAGACAAGGGAUGGUGAAUUAGCCGGUCCAGUUCGGUUCAUUUAGAUUCGAUAUAAUUUUUCAGUCCGGCCCAAUAUGAAAGAAGGUUAACUAAUAAGGACUUUUUUCGAAAAUAACCCUCUGAAAUUUUAUAAUUGGCAAAAUAACCCUCUGAAAAUUUUAUUUGUGAAACUAACCCUCCUCUCGCCACCUCAGCCGCCACCUCAGCAUUUCUCAUAAAGACGGUGACUCGUUCACCGUCUCCUGAAGACAGUAAAUCGGUAAAUCGUUAACCGUCUUCUCAGGCGUGGACCCCUCGCCUUCUCAGCAAUUCCCCGCGUAUUAGCGCCUACGCAGCAAUACAACAGAAGGCGGUGACUCGUUUACCGUCUUAACAAAGACGGUGAAUCGUCCACCGCCUUAUCUAGGCGUACACCAUUCGCCGCAUUCGCCGCCUUCUCAGUGCUGCCCCCGCCCAAAUAAGACGGUUACUCGUUCACCGUGUUUACUGAAUCUUGAAGCCGGUGAGUUGUUCACCGUCUUCUCUAGGCGUGGAACCUCCACUCCCUUCUCAGCAAUUCCCCGCGUAUCACCGCCUUCAGCAAUUCGCGGAAGACGGUGACUCGUUUACCUCUUUAAGAAAGACGGUAAUUCGUUUACCGCCUUAUCUAGGCAGCAAAUCCGAUCGACAGCGGGGGGGGCAUAGAUAAGACGGUGAAUCGUUCACCGUCUUAGUUAAGACGGUCAAUGGUUUACCGCCUUAUCUGAGCAAAUUUCCCGUCUUUUGUAGAACUCCACCCAGCCUCCACCCAGCCUAAUUUCGCCAAGUCCUCGAGAGAGGGGCUAAAACACAGAUAAGGCGGUGAGUCGAUCACCGCCUUAACAAAGACGGUUAAUCGUCUACCGUCUUAUCUAGGCGUAAACCAACGCCAGGACUUAGCCGUUUUUUCUCCGGUUUUGUGUAUUUCCAGUAAAGACGGUGAAUGGUUCACCGUCUUUAGAGCUUAAGCUUGAUUUUAAACAAAAUUUCAACAAGUUUGACGCAAGUUUUUUCACGAUAAUAAAUUUUUCAACAAGAAACACAAGAUCACGAGUGGAAUANGAUUAUAGGGUUUAGGGUUUAUACUACUUAAACUAGAUUAAACUAGGUUAAACAAGGUUAAACUAGGUUUAAAUCUAGAAAAUUGCUAAGAUAGAAUAUUACUUGCAAUGUGGGUUGCUGUGGCUCGGGGGAAGGCUCGGUGGCUCGACAGCGAUCGGCGGCGACGUCGGCUUGGGCGGCGGCGACGGCAGCUUGGGCGGCGGCGACUGGCGGGGUGCGGAGGGAGAGAGAGACAGAGAGUUCAGAGAGAAAGAGAGCGAAAAGUGAGGGAGAGGUGUCGGGGCUUCGGGUUUGGGCGGCGGCGACGGCGGCUUGGGCGGCGGCGACGUCGACUUGGGCGGCGGCGACUGUCGGGGUGCGGAGGGACAGAGAGACAGAGAUUUAAGAGAGAAAGAGAGCGAAGAGUGAGGGAGAGGUGUCGGGGGUUCGGGUACACCAAGGUAAGACGGUGAAUUGUUCACCGUCUUCAUAAACAACAUUGGAGACGGUGAACGAUUCACCGUCUUACCUUGGCCGUGGUAAAGACGGUUAACUGUUCACCGUCUUUAGUGCAGGACAAAUAAGACGGUAAACAGUUCACCGUCUUAUCUGUGUUUUAUCACCUUGGCCAAAGUUCGGGCCGAAGUUGAGGGCACAGCAGUUCCAAAGGUGUUGUAUUCGCUCUAAAGACGGGGAUGGAUUCGCUCUAAAGACGGUGAAUAGUUCACCGUCUCAUGAAGGCGGUGAACCAUAUACCGUCUUCAUGAGAAAAUUCGCAUAGACGGUGAACGAUUCACCGUCUUUACGAGGAAAAUCCGACCUGGCGCCGACGUGGCGAAAGGAGGGUUAGUUUUACAAAUAAAAUUUUCAGAGGGUUAUUUUGCCAAUUACAAAAUUUCAGAGGGUUAUUUUCGAAAAAAGUCCACUAAUAACUAUGGGCAUGUUUUGCUUUACUAGUGGAAAGUUAAUUUUUGUAUAAUUAUUUUUUAUUUGAAAAUUUAAUUUGAGUUCAAAAGCUGUGGACACGGGGACGAAGCCAGAAUUUUAGUCCGGGGAGUCUAAGUCAAAAUGGCCUGUAGCUGACGGGAUCUGAGUACAUGUUUACUAUAUAAAAGAUGAAUUGCUCAUCGAGCAAACACGUAACCGAGAUGAAACUUUAGCAAAAACCAUAUCACAAACACAGAGAUCUGAAUUUAACACAGAGAACAUAAAGAACGGAUCGAGAUUACGAUGAGCCAAACCUUGCACAGCCUCCCCUUGAUCACGAUGUACCCAUUCUUGCGGAUCGUCCCCGCUUGUUGCGGGUACGUCUUCGACACUCCCGCAUAGGCCUUCGACUCAAAGUGGCGCUUCUCAUCCGACAUGAUUCCAAGCUCCCAAAAUAGCAAUCCAAAAAAAUACCUGCAACAAUCGAGAUCGAGAUCGUGGUCAAGAUCGAAGCGCGAAUCAAAUCAAAAAACAAUUAGGUUAAAAGAAAAGUUUAAAAAUUUUGCUUACCAUGCAAACGUUAGAAUACUGCUCAACCCUCCUUCAAGUCACGAAAUCCAUCAAUAAUUGAAUCAACGGUGAACUUCUCUGCAAUUUCUCUUUCAAUAUACACGAUCAAAGAAUUAGUAAGAAAGUCAUUAUCCAUCUUAUUUCGGAGAUCGGUUUUGAUAAUGUUCAUAGCAGAAAAUGCUCGUUUAGUAGUUACAGUUGAAACUAUAAGAAUUAAUACAAGUUUAACUAAUCGGUAGAGAAGUGGAUAUAUUUUUGAUUUUCUUGUUACCACUAACCAUUGAUAUAACUCAAAAAUAGUUGUCAAUUUUUGCAAGUCGGAAUGCCGCGAAAUUUCAAAUUCAUAAUGACGAAGCUCUAUUCUCAACUCUUCUCUUUCAAACUCAGUAAAAUCUUAAUAAUACAUUUUUGCAAGAUUACAAAUAUUAUCAAUAUUAAAAGAUUUGCAACAAUCUUUAGGAUCCAAAGCACAACCUAGAGUAAGUAAUUCUAUCAUAUUAUCACUAAAUAUUGUAUUCAAUUCUUAGAAUUGACAAUCUGUUGCAUCAUUAAAAAUAUCAACUCGAUAAUGGUGUUCAAGUGUAAUGCGGUCUCGUUGAAGGUGAGCACGACCUUCUCUUCCUACGUAAGGAGCUGACAUAAUUGAAACUUCUAUAUCAUACUUUGCACAAAAUAACUUUACUUUCUCAAAACCGACCAUCCCUAGAGCAAGUGACAAAGGGCUUGCGGUUGGUACCCGAGACCCAAGUUCGAAUCCUAGUUGAAUCACAUUUCCAGCUAAGUUUAUUUCUAAAUGAAAUAAACGAAGCAAGUAACAUGCUACCUAUCUCUCUCAAAAAAACACUUUACUUUCUCAAAAAGAGAAUCCCAUCCUUCAUCUCUAAGUUUUUGAAUAAGUGAUUUUGUUAAUGUUACAAGAUGCAUAGCAUUAAGAAUAUCUUGAGAUUUAUGUUGCAAAUGUUGACAAAGAAUGUAGGUCACCUCCGUUAUUUCUUUUAUGAGAUGUAAGAUAAACACAAAUUCAAAAGAUGUCAUUGCCUUAUGAGCUAAAUGUGCUUCACCGCGUUGAAAUGUAUUAGAUCUUCCAUCAAUAAUAUUCUCUAAAACUGCACAUGUUGCCUUAAACAUUAUUAGCAAACUUGUAAUAGAUUUGAAGUGUGAACUCCAACGAGUAUCACCGGCCCUUUGCAAAGCAGCAACUUGAUUGAGUCUGAUCCCUAUCUCAAGCUCAUUAUUUUCAAUCAGUUCAGCAAUUUCAAAACUAUGAAACUUCUUUAGUUCAUCAUUUCGCUUGGUAGAAGAUCCAACAAUGUUGACAAUAGUACUUAAUUUUGAGUAAAAUUCAUAAACCUCAAAAACAUCUUUAGAUGCCGCAACCAAAGCCAAUUGGAGACGAUGGGCUAAACAAUGGAUAUAAUAAGCAUAGGGACAAUCAUUAGAAAUUAAUGCUUGUAAUCCAUUCCAUUUAUCUCUCAUAGUACUCACUCCGUCAUAAUCUUGGCUACAAAUAUUUUGAACAUCAAGGCUAUAAUGAGAAAGAACGGAAUAAAUAGUAUUUUUCAUGGUUAAUGCUUUAGUAUCCGAGAUGUGAAUAAGACCAAAAAAUCUUUCCUGAACAAAACCUUGUACAUCAACAAAUCUCAAGACGAUAGCUAACUGCUCAUUUUUUGACUCAUCGCGUGCUUCAUCAACCAUUAAAGAAAAUUUCGAGUCGUCAAUUUCAUCUCGAACUUUUUUUCUUACUUUCUCCACUAUAACUUGUAAAAAUUUUUUUUGCGUAUCCGACGAAGUAUAAGAAGCAUUUUGUAGAGCAUUUUCUAAAAUAACUUUUGUCAUAUUUUCAUUAAAAAAAGAUAACACCUUCAACAUUUUCAGAAAAUUAUCCCGAUUAAUAGAUUCUUUACUUUCGUUGUUACCUCUCAUAGAACAUCCUUGAAAAAUAAGAUAUUUAAUUGCAAUUAUUGAUGCUUUGAGGCGUAACGAUUGUUUGCCUUCUGUUGUGACGUAUGUCUAUGAAGCACAUUUUGAAUAUGUUGAGAUUGUUUCAUCAAUUCUUCGCAAGCUCUUUCGUCAACUUUAAUAGAUGAGUUUAGUUCUUUACCUAUAUGAUUUAGAAAAACACAUCUUUUUCAUCUUUAACUUUCUUCCAAUUAUAAAAACCGUCAACAAUGAAGGCAUUUUGUAAAGAAUGUCCAUGUGGCUUGUUAAAAAGAAAGCACGAUAGACAAAAUACAGCAUCUUUGGUUGGAGAAUAUUCUAACCACGAUUUGAAUAAUUCAAAUCAUGAAGGUUGAAAGCGACGCUGAUGAAAAAGAGGCCCACUUUUUGGAUAUUUGAUGCAAACCGAGAGGUUGUCAAAAUUGAAUUUUCAAGUUUGCUUUUGUUUAAAGAUAUUUCUUGAAAUAAACUAGGUUCAAUUUAUCGAUUCCAGCGAACUUAACUAUAAUUAAAGCAAGUUGGCAAAAAUUUCAGCAAGACGAAAAAUUAAAAUCGAAUUGAAGCAAUACUAAGAUGCUAAUAAACCUUCGAUAUAUAAGAUAAUAACAAUCAACUGAAAAUACAUAUAACUAGUUUAGUUACCCGCGCGAUGCAGCGGGUAGAUAUUAUUGAAAUAAUUUUUUUAAUUGUCGUUUAUUAUUGAUGAUAGUCUGGAGAAAGAAAUUUGAAAUAUACAACUACCGAAGAAGAUCUUUUCAUUAUUGUUAAUUGAACCAUUGGCAUCACCAACACCGUGUGAGAGCCUUAUUAUUCAAAUCUUUCAUGCAAAAAACUCAAGCAAUAGGAUAAAAGAAAAAAGCAAAACACAUUCAAGAUACUAAGAAAACGAAGUAAAAGACAGUGAGAUUCAAUUAAAUAUAUGAAGCCAUAAUUGGAAGAAGAGAGCUUAAGGGGAGACAAAAAAGUUUUCAAGUCAAAAUAAGCUAAUCAUGAACUUUUAACACCCAGCCACCAAAGAGCAUCAAUCAAGCAAUGGAGAAAGCAAGAAAUUCGCGGACAGUGUCAGAAAGGCAACGGUUGGCUCAAAGAAUAGUUAAAUAGCCAACAACUAAAAGAAUACACCGGAAGAAAGAAAAAGAUAGGGUAGAAAAUAACGCUAGGAUCGCCAAAUCACAUUGAAAAAGUUUCAAACUAUACAAUAAAAAAGGAUAGAGAAAACUACAACAAUUCAAAAAUGUCAUACAUUGGAGUAGAAAAUUCUCUUCUUUUUUUUUUGUUAUCAAAGCUUAUACUUAAACAAUAGCAUAAAAAUCAUAAAGUAAUUACUAAAAAAUAACACCAUAUUUUGUUAGCAAAAUCUUCUUUGAUUUACAUAUUCUAUGAUGGUGUGGAAAAAAGGAAGUAAAAAUGUUCUUAACAAAGUACUAACAAUGUGUAAGCACUUAACUGAAUCAUCUACACUCUGUUAACACCAGCAAACAAACAAUGACCCUAAUUCCUUAAUGUCUUAAUCAAAUUUGAAUCAGCCUACAAUAUCAUCGCUCACUAUUUCCAUACAUUUAUUUGACCACAGCUAAAAAUUAGUAGUUCAUUAAUAGUUUCAAGCAUCUAAUUAGUUCCAAUGACUUCAAUAAAUCUGAACAUUUAAAUAGGAAAGGUUCAGGUUAUGCAGUCCUUAUAUUAUUGCAUAGUGCUACAUUCGACAUGAAUGAUGCCAUUCGACAUGAAUGAUGCAAUCCAACCAAUCUUAAUGCAAACUGCCAUCAUAGCAAGUUUUUCUUAUUUCUAGCACAUAAUCAAAUUAGUUCAAGAAUACAAACGUACGGACUAAUCCAAGUUUUAAAUUGGGCCAACCAACCGGAACCAAUUACACGUUUAGAAACAUCGAUAGAUGAUUUUCCAAAUUCUCUGCCAUCUCUAAAUCCAUCAUUUUUUUUAAUAAUCGAUACAUCGCUCAACCUAGGUAGCACUAAUUUUAUUAUAGUGACUACAUAGAAAAUAAUCCAAUGCCACCCACUCCAUAAAAUAUCAACUUAUCUUCUCUUGCCUAUGCUUAAAUAAAUUCCAUUCAAUAAUCUGAGCGUCAGCAGCGGCCGCCUCCAAAUUACGUUAAAUAAUAGUGUUGGUUGCAUCCAACCUGACUUGCCAUUCAAUUCUUGAUAUAGAAGUUUAAAAAAAUCAAAGAAAAUAACAAAAAGUGUCUAAUUAAAAGAAAAUUCAACUGUAAAUGUUACCGCAUAAUCUAACAUUUUAUUUUUCAGAUAAUCUGCUUAUAUAAUUUAUCACCACUUCUUCAUGCUAUAAAAAAAAAAAAAGAUUAAGAUGUAAGGAUGCAGAAGAAUAUAGGCAAUUUUUUUGUAUUGAAUUAAGUUUAAAAUGGACAUUUCAUGGAACACAUAAAAACUAGUAGCAGAACGAUAAAUAAACAAAGAUCAGUUCUUUAAUAACUCUAUACAUUCAGCACAACAAAAAUUUUAGGCACCCAUCAAAAGUUCAGUUAUAUUUGUUUUCUCUACUAAACAUCAAAUAUUUGAUAUUAAAAUAGUUUAUUGAAACCAUAUACAGUCAACACAAUAGAUUACCACAUAUAAACACAUAAUAAAUAAAUAAAUGAUUAACUAAAUAACUGAAUAAGUAUAGAGAAAUUUAUUUCUAUAUCUAUGCAAGUCUAUAGGCAUGUAUCCAUGCAUGCGUCCUCAACAAUCACACUUAUUUACAACUAAAUUGCAUAAAGAAGACGUAAUAUCAUCAAUAAUAGCGCCAAUACUGUGCUUUUGAUCCAUGAAUAUGCAAGAAGAACACAUCAAUGGCUCCUUGAAAUGAGAUUCUCAUAGGCUACUAAACUUAUGGACAUAAUUUGCACAAUAAAACAAUAAAACUAAUCAGAUCAAUGCCUAAGGCCUCAAUUCGAGCUCCCAACCCUAAAUUAGCAAUAUCAACCUCAAAAUAAGAGAAAAAGAAAUCUUCAAAUGAGAUUCUUCAACUUAAUAUACAAAAAUUACUUAGAAGUUUGAGGGAUGCAGGACGUCCCAAAUCGCCGAUCUUCAAGGCUGAUCGAUGUAGGACGCCCCAAAUCGCACUGUGAGCCCUCAAUUAGCUCAAAUCAGACCUUAAUCAAAUCACAAAGAGGAAGAGAGGGCCAGCACACUAUUUAAAACUACAUAAAUAUUAUAUUUUAUAUAUAGUACUAAAAGGGUUAUGUAAUUAACAAAUUAAAUUUAAAAAAUAAGCUCUUUAAUUAAUUUAAAUAUAAUGUAUUUAAAUUUUGAAGUCAAAAUAGUAAUGAUUGAUUUAAAUCAAACAAAGUAAAAUAUUAAGUAUUGAAAUCAAAAUUUAAAAGAUUUACCUAAUCAAAUAAAAAAUUAUUAUAAUUGAAAUAAGUUCUAUACUUUUUUAAUUUUAAUUAAUUUAUUUGGACCAGGUUCUAUCUUUCGGCGAACUGAACACCUUGUCUUUUGGCGAACUAUUUUAAACUAUAUAAUUAUGAUAUUUGGCGAACUAUUUUAAACUACAUAAAUAUUAUAUUUUAUAUACAGUACUAAAAGAAUUAUGUAAUUAACAAAUUAAAUUUAAAAAUAAGUUAUUUAAUUAAUUUAAAUAUAACGAAUUUAAAUUUUGAAGUCAAAAUAGUAAUGAUUGACUUAAAUCAUAUAAAGCGAAAUAUUAAGUAUUAAAAUCAAACCUUAAAAAAUUUAUCUAAUCAUAUAAAAUUUUGUUAUAAUUGAAAUAAGUUCUAUACCCUUUUAACUUUAAUUCAUAAAUAAAGUUUAAUGGCCUCAAUAAUUUAGAUGUUAAUUUUUAAUAUUUAAGUUGUAUGAAAUGAAAAUAAUUCAAAAGAAUGCACAAAAGUCAAAUCCUAGAUCGAUACAACAACUGCAUCAAUUAUGAAAUCCAAACUAUCCACAAAAUUAAUCCGAAUAAUAUAGAUUAAUUAAAUCCUAGAUGGAUACAUAAUAAAUAUUCAGAAUUUAAAAAAAAAAGAAAAAGAAAAAUUAUAAUUAAGGUUUUUCGUUUCCAAAACUUACCUUCUCGAUCCAUAGACGAUCGCGAUUCAAUUAGCUUCCUCUACCAAAAAAGCCAUUCGAUUAGCUUCUUCUUCCAAAAUCCAAAGAGAUCUACCAAAAAAGCCAUCCGAUUACCUUCUUCUUCCAAAAUCCAAAGAGAUCGACGUAGAAAGAAACCCUAGACGUGAUUCGACAUUAAGGAUGGAGUUGGAGCUCAGGCGACACUAAAAACGAAAUAAUUUAGAUGUUAAUUUUUAAUAUUUAAUAUUUAAGUUGUAUGAAAUGAAAAUAAUUCAAAAUAGUGUACAUGAAUCAAAUCCUGAUAGAUACAACAACUGUGUCAAUUAUGAAAUCCAAACUAUCCGCAAAAUUAAUCCGAAUAAUAUAGAUAUAAAUUGAAUCAUAAAUAAUUGGGAUUUAGAAAAAGAAAAAAAAUUGUGAUUAGGGUUUUGAUCCGUUUUCAAAACUUACCCGCUCGAUUCGUUCAUGAUCGCGGUCCAGCUUCCUCUACCGAAAAAGCCAUUUGAAUAGCUUCUUUUUCCAAAAAUCCAUAGAGAUCGUUUGAUUAGCUUUUUCUUCCAAAAAGUCGAAGAGAUCGAUGUAGAAAGAAACCUAGAAGCAAAUCGAGACCGAGGAUGAAGAUGGAGCUUAGGCAACACGAGAAAAAAAAAAAAAAAAACCUGUAGCUGAUCCCCGCAGCGAAGAACGGGACGGGCCCAGCCUUCGCGGAGGGGUUGGCGGCGUCGGGCUCGCCUUUGGUAGCGCGGUAGGCCUCAGGGGGCAUCACGCCGUACACAACCGAGACGUUGAACCUGGCCUUCUCCCACACGGCGCCGUCCUAGAGCACCCUGCUGAUGCCGGCGCCGCUGCCGGGGUGCGACCACACAUCCUCCUUGAACGCGGCGCCACCGUCCGCAGCCUUGAGCGCCGCGCACACCUCGUCUUGGGCCUCGCGGAUCAUCCGCUCGAACCGCGCGCGCAUUGACGUGGCGGCGGCGGGGUCCGCCGUGCGGAGAAAGGUCUUCGGCCGCUCCUCCUCCGGCAUCUCAUUCUUGAUGGCCACCGCCGCGCGGACGGCAACGGGGCCAGCGGAGAGGAAGCGCCGCCACCGAUCGGAGGGGCGGCGGCGAGGGAGGGUGCGGAGGGAGAGGAAGGGUUGGGGUUUUAGGGUUUGGAAAGGAGAAGGAAGGGUCGAGAGGAGCGAGGGAAAGGAUGGAGAGAGAAGGAGGGGAGGAAAAUGGAGGAGGGCGCGGGUCGUUCGCGGAUAGAGAAGAGAGGUGGUGGGUGAGGGAGGAGACGGAGAGGGAGGAGGGGAGAAGAGCAGAAGAGCCCGACAGAGAGAUCGCGGAUGCGGGGUUGGGGGUUUCUCAAGAGAGCGGAGAGAAGAAGAAAAGACGAAGAUGCGUGCGGUGGGAAGAGAAAGAGAGAGAAUAAACCAUCAUUAAAAAAUAUAAAAAAUCUAAAAAAAGGAGGGCUUGCCUUGUCAUCAUUUUUAUUGGGGAUUCAUAUAGAGUUGGGUUUCUCGAAAGAGCGGAGAGAAGAAGAAAAGACGAAGAGGCGUGCGGUAGGAAGAGAAAGAGAGAGAAUAAAUCAUCAUUAAAAAAUCUAAAAAAUCUAAAAAAUGGAGGGCUUGCCAUGUCAUCAUUUUUAUUGGGGUUUCAUAUAGAGUUAUAGAUAGUUCCAAAAGGUGAAUUCGGCUUUAUCGGAUUCAAAGCUUUAGGUACGUUGUUUGACAAAUAUGGUUGGUAAUGGUGUAAGGCUAGAUUGAAAAGGGAUAAUAGGAUAUCAGAAGAUGAGAGAUAAAAAAAGUGUACCGUUCACACGAUUGCGGGGGAUCCACGAUGGACGAGGAGGGCGGUACACCACGGGUAGAACUUCGACAACGGGAAAGAAGAAGAUGAGGUAGUAACUUGGAAGAAAAUGAGGGGUAGAAUUAGAAGCCAAUUUUGUCACGAGGAAGAAGCAACAACGAUCAAGUCGAGGAAGAAGACGAUCUCGGUGCGAGAAAGAAGCGUCGAUGAUCUCACAGGAAAGUAGAACACCAAGGAUAAGGAGUGAGAGUAGAAUUUUCUAUUCAUCCAAAAUUUUUUUCUUAAGGCUUCAAGAACCAUAUAUUUAUAGUGUUGAGAGCCCUCCGAUAAUAAAUUAUUAUCUUUUCGUUUUCAACACUACACGGUCACUCAAGAGUCAUGCAUAGAAAAUGAAGCAAUUUUUUAAAAUUUCAAAUGUCUUUGUUUUGGAGAAUUCUAAAAAUCUUUUUGUAACGACCCAGUCCACUAGCAAUAAUAACUCGUUGGCCCCAACCACCGGUCCAAAAUGCUUAAGCCCAGUUAUUAUUACUAGUGUCUAAGUCUCUUAUAAAGACAAUGACAACCCCAUUCCCAUCCGAUGUGGGACCCCCCAUUAAGGCCCUGACGUCCUCGUCAGUCCAAUCACACACACAGCCCAAGAUCACUAUGCAAUGUGAUACUCGUCUCGGUAGCCCGUCAUCCAGAUCCUGGCUCAGCUGAGACUCGCUACACAUGUCUAGCUGGUGAACCGGCUCUGAUACCAAAUGUAACGAUCCAGCCCACUAACAAUAAUAACUCGUUGGGCCCAACCACCGGCCCAAAAUGCUUAAGCCCAAUUAUUAUUACUAAUGUCUAGGUCUCUUAUAAAGACAAUAACAACCCCAUUCCCAUCCGAUGUGAGACUAUUGGAGUGUCACACUUUUUGGGAUUAUUUUUUUGUUUAUUGGAGAAAAGGGUUUGAGUUAGCCAAAUCAACUAAAACUAAAUGAUUUAAGUCCGAAUCAAAUACGAACCUACAAAAUAAAAGAAAAUUGCAUUCGAAAAUAAAACGAGAUUUAUUUGCUGCAUCAAUAUUCCAAAAGUCUCGGUUGAUAUGGACCAUUAAUUAUAUAUGUCUGUUGAACUUCAUCACGUUGCUCAACGGGAUAAUUCCAAAUUUGAGGUCGUAAUCUAGGAUCACGCUCAAAGGGAAUGUUAUUAGCCUCAUUAACUUCUAUUCUUGAAGAUUUCAAACGACAACUUUGGGAACCCGAAGCCUCAUCUCUAUAAAUAGCUUCUUGUUAAUUAGCUUCCGAGUUUUCAAUAUUUUUUCUGUUAAAAAAAGAAUCAAGUGUAGUUGUCUUUCCCAUUAAAACAACAGCAAUUUAGAGAUCUACAAAAAUUAUAUGAAAAAAUUAAAUAUUAAAAUCUAAUCUACAUAAGAUAAUUGCAAAUUAUAUAAAAUUAUGUAAAGAGAUAAAAUCUAAAAAUAAAUUAUAAAUACUAAUUAUUUUACUAACAGUCAGUUCAGAAAAUAAAAAAUUCUUAUUCAUAAAGAAGGAAUUCAUAAAAAUUCAAAAUUUUGGAUCUACUAUUGGACUUUAUAUUCUUAAUAAUAAAUACUAAGAGUCUAAAAUCCAAUAGAUUGCCAUUGAAGACCCCAAAAAUUUUUAAAAAGUUUUAAAAUUAAAAUUUAAACAUGAAUAAUGUAACACACUGGACCUUUGCAAAUUGCGAGGUUCGAGUGUUUGGUUGUAUUUCGAGCUUUUCCACACUUGGUGGAGGGUUGUAGAAUGUAUUCCGACCUAAAACGUUCGAAAACUGGAAUUCUGGACAAGUCCUGAGAGUUUUUACUCUCGGGGACCGGUCCCUGGAAUGAGAGACCGGUUCCCCCAGUGAGCAGUAUUGAGGCAGCCUGAGGCAACCGGUCCCUGGCGGGCGAGACCGGUUCCCGAACGCGUUCUCGCAGUGAGAGACCGGUUCCGCGCAGAGAGAGACCGGUUCCCGAACGCUGGUUUUUCGGGUUCGCAGCGAGAGACCGGUCCCAGCUGGGGAGAGACCGGUCCCUCUGGGCGAAAACUGCCCAGUUCGGGCUGAUGUAAUAUUGGGUUUUUGAGGGGCCUGGUUGGAUUUUGUUACUCUAGAUGGGCUUAUUAGCCAUUUCACUCCCUUCCCUCCUCAUUUCUCACCACCCUACACCUUCUAGAGAGAGAAGAAGAAGAAGGAGAAGAAGAAGAAGGAGGAGAAGAAGAAGAGGAGCUAGUUUGAGGGAGCUUGGAGCUCAACCCCUUUCUCUCUUUCCCACCUUGGCAAGGCUUGGAGCUUGCUUGUAGAGCUUAGUGGUGGACCAACUUCAACCCUAGAAGAUUUUGAGCUUGGAUUGGAGCAUCCUAGAGGUAUGUGGCAAGGUUCCUCCCUCUAGAUCUUAGUUUUGGAGCUUUUUGCUUGUUUUAACCCUAGAAUGAGAUUUAGGGUUUAAUUUUGGGCAUUUUUGAUCUAGGGCUUUUGGGGCUAAAUUGAUUGGUUUAGAACCUUCCUAGGGCUUGGAUUGGAAGGGUUCUAGCUCUCUUUUGGAGCUUUGGGAGAGAUUUCUACUCUUGAGGUAAAUUUUGGCCCUUUUUGCUCCUAGGUUAAUGUUUGAUCUUACGGUUGGUCGUGAUGCUCCCGUAUCUCUUCACUGACCACUUUUAGGGUAUCUUGAGGCUCGUGGACAACUUCGUUCGGCGAAUCGAGACCCUACGCGACGGUUCGGUGGGUUUGACCUAGCCACACAAUGAGAAAUUCUCAUGUGUGUUUAAUUAAGUGUUGUUAAAUGAAAAAGCAUGCAUAUUCUUGUUAUACGAAUUUAUUGUGAAUUUUAGAAUGCUUAAAAGGCCUACGUUAUAUAUAAUGAAAUUUUGGACCUCUAUGUAGUAGAGAGUAGCUUAUUAGGCCAUGGUUGCAUUUAGCAUUCUAUAUGAGACGCGGUAUCCUACUUCUAUAGUAUAAAUGAGUUCGGAUUCAUGCAUGUAAACCUACAAUUACUUGUGACAUGAAAAUUGACAAGAUUGUCAUUUAGAAGCUAUGUGAAUUAGAGAGCUAAUGUCAUCAAGCGGCAUUGAGCUCGGGACGCGUGUGAACCUAAUGGAUAGGGCCAUCAAGGGAUUUGAAAUACAUAUUGAACAUCAGAUUGCCUAAGUGUCAUCAAAGGGCACUAGGCGUAGCAAAGGUUGAACCUUCACAUUGUGACAUAAACUAGAUCUUUGGGAUACUAGUGACUAUACCAUGUUAGAGACAUGAGGAUUGGAUACUUUAGACUUGGACUUUGCUUGCUUGCCAUUUGUGCUCAUUCGCACAUGCUUGUGAGGGUCGCUCCCUACAAGCCGGCACUCCGGAGUUAGCCUAUGCGACCUAUGUUCGCUCGUGCGGUAUUGAGAAGCCUACGGGGUCGAGUGGGACAGACACAUUCCAAGAGUAGGAAUGUCGGGCUACCACAGGCACUUAGGCGGCACAAGCUGGACUACCUUUGGUAGGUCCUUGAUUGGAAAUGGAAAUCGAUACGGUGUCGAGAUUGGUUAAUCACUACUAGAUAGGUUUAGUAGUUGGAUUACAUUUAUAUAUUUUUUAGCAUAGUGUUGAGACAUGUAGUAUAUUUGAUAGUCUCUUGUUGCAUUAGAGCAUACUUGGUUGCCAUGAUAGAGCUUAUGCAUCAUGCAUUGAUAAGGGUUAUUGACAUUAGACUAGUGCCAUUGGACGUAAUUGUAAGGAUAGAAUAGAUGUACAUUUUGGUUUACAUCACGCUUUCUUUCAGCAGUUUAUUUACAUGCUCCUUAUUGCUUAUUAUUAUUAUCGUUGCUUACCUUUGUUUUUGGGGCCUAGUGGAGCAGGAGCUGAGGUCAGUAAUUGCCCACUGGGAACUAUAGCUUAUAGUUCUCACGCCCUCUUUUUCUCGAUGUUUUCAGAGCCUUCCACUCAGGGCGAGGCUAGGGACCGCGGGAAGGGAGUUGCUUCGAGCUAGCUUCCUUUGAGGACGAUUCGCUAGGUGGUCUACCUCUCGUUGUGUUUUAUUUUGGAGAGGUUGAGAGUUCUACCAGUGUAUUAGAGACCACCGUUUUUGUACUUUUGAGACAGAUAUUGUACUACUUGUGAUUUCUUUAUUGUCUAGCUUUACUUGCUCUGAUAUCAUUAGUUGCUAGUUAUUUCACCUCGUCAUUUGUUCUAUUCUUGCUUUUACUUCCGCUUUUAUCGUAGACGCCUUAUAUGUGUAGACAUAUGGCGGGUCUGGGCAUGCCACCGGGAGGGCCUCCGCCGGUCCCGGGGCGUGACAAAUAAAUUAUUAUUAUUAUUAUAAUUAUAAUUAUUGAUUAUGAUUCAACAAUAUAUGGACAACUCACUCACAACUCAAUCAUUAAUAAUCAAGAAGCAAACAUUAAACAAUUAACAACUCAAUACUAAAACGCAAUUAUCCAAAGAAAAUUAGAUUGCUAAAAUGCUCAUAUUGAAAUAAAGUGUGAAGCAAUCCAAAAGAGAGAGAGAGAGAGAGAGAGAUUACGAGUCUAAUUAGAUUUUGCUAUUUUUGGGCUCUGCAGUUGAACCGGAGUUACCAGACGAGGCGAGCACCACCGGCGGUCGGCACUCGGCAAUCCGGCGAGGGGACAAGCCAGUCCACCAGAGGAGUAGAGGAGGGGGUCGGGGAAAGAGAUUGAGAGAGGAGAGUAAUUAGGAUUUGGGNUCGAGUCUCAUAUACUUUUACUAGUAAAGCUUUGCCAAUCCAAGAUCAUCGCUUGAAGCCUAUUUUCACCUCCGCAUUCCUAUUGCAGCUCCCACAACAAUACCAAUUGUUCUUAAUGGCAAAGAGACGAUCUGCUCUUUAAGAGAGGAGGCGUUACGGGAGACCGAUAAAAAGAAAUGAGUAAAAGAUGAGUGGGGGGGGAGAGAGAGAGAGAGAGAGAGAGAAAGAGAGAGAGAUUAAGGGAGAUUGCUGUUUACGUGUGCCUGUGGGCGUGUCAGCGUGCGGAGGCGUGCGGGCGGCGGCGUCAUGAAUGCCUUGCAUGGAGAGUGGAGUCUUGGCCCACAAGCCAACAAAUUUUUUCAACAAAAUUUCAUUUUGGCCUCCUAAGUUUGUAAUAUUUUAAUUUUCUUAAUAGCUUACUAAUGGAUCUUCUUGUAAUAUUAAAAAUGUGUGGUGGCCAUUGUUGGCCUCCACAUGGCUCCGUCCCUGUGUGGACAGCAUGCACGUAGAUUUCUAACAACGUGCAUAAAUUAUUUUGUUGUUGGUGCUUCUCGCAAUUGUUGUUUAUAUAUGAAGGACCUAAGUGCAAAUUUUUUUUAUAGGAGGAUUGUGUUGGCAAUUGUAAGGAGGCGGGAGGCCGUCGUGCAAUUGUAAGUGCAAAUUUUUUAUAGGCCGUCGUGCAAUUGUUGCAACCCCAAAACCUUAUUGGAGAAACUCCAAAAUAAUUGUUUUGAAUUAUACUGGAAUGCUUCUAAUAGCACUAAGUCAUUUAUGUUAUUAGAUUUUUGGUCCUUGCAUGAAGAGAUGUGUGGUUAGAAUGAUGGUGGUUCUCUAGAGUUGAGUGAGUGGUUAGUUGAAUAGUAUGACCUAACGAAUGGAAAUGAUGAAAUGAGCAAAUCUAACGGUAGAAAGUUUGGUAGCGCCAAAUGCUUGGUGCUAUUAGAAGCACCCCAGCCAGACUCAAUUAUUUUAUACUUUGAUACUCCAACUCAUAUAAAAUUUUUAUUGUUUAUAUGAGUUGAUUUAUUGUUGCAGUCGCUUUGUGUGUCUGAAGACCUUGUGUACACGUCGGAUCUAGGCCAUUCUGCUCGGGUGCAUCCGCAUGAGCCUAGGAUAUGGUAGAAAGUUUGUAUGAAACUUAUCAAAUGUAGAAUUAUGGCAAAGUAUUUGUAUACAUUUGAAGCUCACUUACAUAUAAACAUUUCUAUACAUUUCAACUAUAUUAAAUUUUUUUAAAUCGCAGUGUUCGUUGUUGAUUGUCUCAAAUCGAACAAAUUUAAAUCCAAAGUUUGAAAGGUUGGGUAGCUCAAAAUAGUUCAUAAUUCAAGUAAGUUUUGUAUGUUUUUACCAAUAAAAUAAAAUUGUUGGGUCUGUUUCAAAGUUGCCUAGAGUCGAGGGAAUUUUCAUACAUUUUUAUCGAUGGAUUCCGUUAAACUUAAAAGUUGUAAUUAUUUUUAACAUAUAAAUUAUGUUAUUUAAUAAUUAAUAAUGAAUAAUUAGUAAAGAUAUCAUAUUCGAUAAAUCAAAUUAACUUAGAUAAAAAUAUAAGAGAUCAUUAAUAAAUAAAAUAAAAUAAAUUUAUCCAAAAUAAUUAAGAAUUUUAAAAAAUAAAAAUUAAAAGUUUGAAAAUUAAUUUGACAUUAAGUUCACAAACAAAAAAUUUAUCUCAAAAAAUAUUUUAAUAUUUUAUUUUUUUGAUAAUUUUUUAAUGUGUAUUAAAAAUAGUUAAAGGAUUAAAUCUAAUAGUGGAAAACUCGAUAGUAUCAAGCGCUUGAUACUAUCGAUAUUAUUCCGGCCUAGUUCUAUAUAUAUAUUUAUAUAUAGAGAGCUAUACUAUCGGUAGCACGGAGGCCUCCGUGCUACCAAGUUGUUUUCAAUGAUACGGCUUUCAAAUCAACGAUCGGCUUCAUUAGACUUGAUCUAUUGAAAGUAUUUGGAAACUAAAUUUCAUAAAUUUUUGGCAUCAUUUACCUAUCAAACGAGUAAUCUAAAAAUGACCUUCGUGCUACCAAAUUAUUUUCAAUGAUGCGGUCUUCAAAUCAACGAUCGGCUCUAUUAGACUUGAUCUAUACUAUUGAAAGUAUUUGGAAACUAAAUUUCAUAAAUCUUCGGCAUCAUUUACCUAUCAAACGAGUAGUCUAAAAAUGAACGGUUAAAAAUAAAAAUCUUCUAAAAAAUUAUGAUAAAAGACUUGAAUUUAAAAUCAGAGGUACUGAUCUUACUCUAAAUAGUGAAAAAAAAAAUUUAUAAAAAUUUCAUCAGAUUUGAAUUGUUUUACACCGUUAAAUUUACAAACGCAUCAUAUCUAGUUUUCAAUGAUGCGGUUUUCAAAUCAACGAUCGGCUCCAUUAGACUUGAUCUAUACUAUUAAAAGUAUUUGGAAACUAAAUUUCAUAAAUUUUCGGCAUCAUUCACCUAUCAAACGAGUAGUCUAAAAAUGAACGGCUGAAAAUAAAAAUCUCCUAAACAAUUAUGAUAAAAGACUUAAAUUUAAAAUCAGAGAUACUGAUCUUACUCUAAAUAAUGAAAAAAAAAAUUUAUAAAAAUUUCAUCAGAUUUGAAUUGUUUUACACCGUUAAAUUUACAAACGCAUCAUAUCUACUAUUAAAAUUGUUAUUUUUGAGACCUUUUGAUCACUAGCCAAAUAAUGUCCAAAAAUUAUGAAAUUUAGUUUCCGAAUAUUCUGAAUAGUGUAGAUCAAGUCUAACGGAGUCGAUCGUCGAUUUGAAAGCCACAUCAUUGAAAACAACCUGAUAGCAUGGAGGUCUCCGUGGAUAGUAUACCGGACUAACUCUAUAUAUACAGAGAGAGAGAGAGUCCGGCUGACAUACUAUCGAUAGCAUGAGGUAUUUGGUGCUAUCAAGUUAUCUGCUGUCACAGCCCGCGACCACUCGCUUAUUUGGCCGAGGUCGCGGCGCCGACAGCGCCGAACGGACAAGGUUUAAAAAAAAAAAAUUUGGUUCAAAUAUAGUCGGCAACCUAGUUCCUCAACAUCCUAGAUGUUGAGAUUUACCCCACAUACCCAUCGUGCUGAGAAUAAAAAUAUUUUAUAUUUUAUAUAUUUAUUUACAAUUUAUUAAAUCUGAUGACCAUAAUCUAUAUUUAUAAUUAAAAUAUUAUAACUCGUAAGUGUAUAUUUAACAUAUAAUUUUUUAUUUUUUUUAAUUACGUCGAAUUCAAUUAAAAUAUAAACUGCUUUUAAUUAACGCUCUUAGUGUUUGUUACUAAAGAAUAGAGUAAGUGAUUGAUGAUAUCUAAUGCUAUGGAUAAUUUUAAUAAAGUGAUUGAUUACCCCCUGAUGAUACGGAUGAUUUUAAAAAACUAUAUGAAUAACAUGGUAAAUUUAAAACUUUAAUUAAAAUAUUGAUUUAAAAUUUUAAUUUAAAAUUUUAUUGAUGGUCGUCGUAGCGCGCCUAGGGAAUUGAUCAUAUAUAUAUAUAUUGAUCCGACCUUAUGAUAAUUCUCGUGGUUAUUGAACCACGAUAAUUCAAAAGAUGGAAACCUAAUUUUUUACACACCAAUCCUACUACACCCGGGGAUCUUAACUCACCCACCAAUCAACUUAUCAUAUUAGAUUACCAAUUUUACUAUUUUCUCCAUUUAGAUUGCCGUCUACAUUGCAUGGCUUGAAGAUUUUAGUACUUCAGUGCCACAUGUAUUUAUCUACCAAGGCCAUUCCAACGCCACCUUACAUUGUAUGGCCUAAAAUUUAUCUUUUUACUUUUAUUUAUUUUUAUCAUACUCUAUGAUAAAAUAGCCUAAAUCUCUUCGCUUUAUAUCCAACCCUUACUGGACACGACUUUAGCCUCGCUUUUGUCUUCUAAAUCUUAAAAGACCCUCUUUGCCCUGUCUAUUUAAUCGUCUUUUACGUGUCAGAGUCUUUUAAUACUUUUAACCACCCCUACGGUCUUUAUAAAAAUACUCCGAUCUAAAUUUCAAAGUAUGGUAAGACUGUGGGUAUCUCUCUCUUUAGCUUAGGCUUUCGAUAGACUAUUUCUAACGUCAAGCCAUGUCAAAAACCACUGGUUUGCCCCAGCUUUGAUUUUAUAAUUUUAAAGAAACCUGAAUAAUUCAUUUUGGCUCGCACGGGCAGUUUAAACUCGCUUUUGCCUGUAGGUCUUCCCGAGGCCGCUUUUUAUUUGACGGGCUUCACUUAUCACGUAUCAACUCCCCGUUUUACCAUUUUUCCCAAAUUUUGGGGAAAAGAAGAAGAGGAGGGUUGGCUCCGACGGGGUUGGCGUGUGUGUGUGUGUAUGCGUUUGUGUGUACGUACCUUCUUUCCUCUCUUUAGAGAAAGAGAGAGAUCUAAAAAGGGUUUUACCUACCUCAGCCACCUCUAACUUCGAACCUCCACCUAGCGGGAGCAGGCGAAGUAGAAGAGGUAGCAAACUUCGUUCAAAACUCCAUUCGAAAACGAUGGGAAAUUACCAUCUAGAGGUUUCGAAAUAAAUAUUAAGUAUCUUUACCUAAAUAAGCUUAGGAUACUACGAUUUAUCCACUAACAACGAAUUCAAUACCUACUUAAAUCACUUAAAACGUUAUGAACUUUGGAUCCCGAGGUUUUAUGUUUAAAACGAUUCUCUACCCAAACUAGAUUUAAUUGGGAGGCAUUUGGAUUAACGAUCCAUUUGUUUGUGCGACCGCUUCUGCCAAGCCGUUAGGCUGCUCGGCAACGCUUCAAUAAUUUCUUUGCCUGCAAUCCGAAGCAAAGGCGGCCCUCCCGGCUCCGCUGCAGCAUUUUAGGACCUUUGCCUAAACUUCGUGGCAUCGUCGUUUUGUUUCUGGGAAAAAUAGGCCUUGACGUUUCGCUACGCGUCAACCACUCGUUAAAGCUCAAGCUCGGCUUAGCCCGUGGCCCACGGCGCCCUCCGGCUAACGUUCACAGCUGUUCGUUAGCCUUGCGCACAAUUCCACUCAACACGAAUGGCUUCGCUGAUCCAGCGGAAAUACAGAUUCGUUCAAUUCUUAAGCACAACUACGUAUAUUCACGCUUUAUUACGUACUAUUAUCACAUUACGUACUAUUAAAACGUACAAUUACAUUCACGAUUCAUCUUUACGUAUCACUCGUUAAAUGUAUUACGAUCAUUACGUACUAUUAUUACAUUUCGUACUAUUAUCAUUAUACUACGUUUACGACUCAUCCACGUAUAUUUUACUAUACACUCUAAUAUUUACGUACUUAUCGUAACACUCUAAUAUUUCCCGUACUAAUCGUAACACUCUAAUAUAUACGUACACUUGAACCAACUAUUGAGGUUUAACGCAUCUCUUGUACCGUAACCUUUAUUCUUUCGUAACACUCUAAUAUAUACGUACACUUGAACCACCUAUUGAGAUCUAACGCAUCUCUUGUACUGCAACCUUUAUUCUUGCACUUUUGGUAUCUGAUGAGCUACCUGUUGAUCCCACAGUUUAUCUAGCUCACCGUAGAUUGAAUCACAAUUUCUUGUAUCCAGCACUCAUCUGGAUCUUAGUUUAUCUAGCUCACCGUAAUUGGAUCGCAGUACUUGUAUCCAACUGUAACUAAGAUCACAACAACUUGGAUCCCAAUUAUUUUUGGAUCCAUCUCUCCAUAAUUGGAUCAAAUUUCUUGUAACCAGUACACUAUUCCCGCAAUUUGGAUCUCAGCCCAUCUGGAUCCUACCUUUCACGUAACCUGGAUCUAUCCAGCUAUAGUAUCCCAAACUCUAAUGGGUUCUCCGAACCUUUUAUCUAAGGCCUUAGAAUCCUAACACUUGAGCUGUCAAGAUCUCGUCACCCAACUCACACUGUCCAAGGGGAGGAUGACCUGCUUGAAGCUCCUACUCGAUAACUGACUUAGCUCCGGCGCCCAGCUCACACCGUCCAAGGGGGAGGGCGGCCGUCUUAGCACGAAGUGAUCCCAACUCACACCGUACAAGGGGAAGGGAUAGCCCCCAGAACCCGGCGCCCAACUCAAACACCGUAUUAGGGGAAGGGUGGCCUUUCUAGGGACUGGUGACCACAUGCGUCGAGACCCGCUGGGCAACCCGCUGAACUAAUACCUAACUUCCGAUUCCACAUUCACUCUCCAAGAAGUGGAACUCGGCCUGUCUCGCGCCUGAUAGGCGUCGACUAACUGAGUUCUGGCUCAGCCCACCGUAUCACACUAAUUCCAUUCUCGUUGGAAUUCUUUCUUAAACGGUUACUCAUAUCACCCGGGUUCACAUUCCACAUCUCGUGGUUCACGUUCAUGUUUCUUAUUUCUCGUUUCUUUCUUUUUCUUUUACUUUCUAUUACUUUUCCGAUUACGAUUCCUUAUCGAUCAUUAACGUCCUUUACUUACCAUCGUUUAUCGAUUUUACAUUUCUGUUCGUUUCUCGAAAAACUAUCAACGUAUAACGUAAAGCACUCCGUACAAUAGACAAUCAACGUAUAAUUGUAAAACUAUAUAUAGAUAUCUACAAAAACCUGAUUGUACUAACGUCACGGAGGAACCUGGAAAACCAGCUCGAAAAGGGAACCCACCGACAUGGGUGACCACCCUUGAUAUAAAUAUAUCAAGAGUGGGGGCACAACGAAAACCCCCAUGUCCAAGCGUGCACUCGCCGCGCCGCCGCGCUCCUUUCCCGCAUCGAGGUAUCUAUCGCGGGAUGGGUCUCUGGUCUCGAUCGUCAUGGGGCAGCUGCACCGAUCCCCAUAUCUUUUACUUUUCUUUGUUACAUAGUUAAACAUUUAUUUAAACAUUAUUGAUCUAACGUAAACCUAUUUUUUUUUUUUCUUACAUAUUUCUUGACACUACAUUUUUAGCACUUACACUUACGCACAUUAUUGUAUCCUACACAAAUACAACAAACUAUGGAAGGUAAUACGUUAGAACUAACUAUAGUCAAGGACCAACCUUGUAAGCAUAACAUAACUAACGCUACGGAACUUGCAUGUCCCCUCUGAAACAGGCGUCAUGUUCCCNNNNNNNNNNNNNNNNNNNNNNNNNNNNNNNNNNNNNNNNNNNNNNNNNNNNNNNNNNNNNNNNNNNNNNNNNNNNNNNNNNNNNNNNNNNNNNNNNNNNNNNNNNNNNNNNNNNNNNNNNNNNNNNNNNNNNNNNNNNNNNNNNNNNNNNNNNNNNNNNNNNNNNNNNNNNNNNNNNNNNNNNNNNNNNNNNNNNNNNNNNNNNNNNNNNNNNNNNNNNNNNNNNNNNNNNNNNNNNNNNNNNNNNNNNNNNNNNNNNNNNNNNNNNNNNNNNNNNNNNNNNNNNNNNNNNNNNNNNNNNNNNNNNNNNNNNNNNNNNNNNNNNNNNNNNNNNNNNNNNNNNNNNNNNNNNNNNNNNNNNNNNNNNNNNNNNNNNNNNNNNNNNNNNNNNNNNNNNNNNNNNNNNNNNNNNNNNNNNNNNNNNNNNNNNNNNNNNNNNNNNNNNNNNNNNNNNNNNNNNNNNNNNNNNNNNNNNNNNNNNNNNNNNNNNNNNNNNNNNNNNNNNNNNNNNNNNNNNNNNNNNNNNNNNNNNNNNNNNNNNNNNNNNNNNNNNNNNNNNNNNNNNNNNNNNNNNNNNNNNNNNNNNNNNNNNNNNNNNNNNNNNNNNNNNNNNNNNNNNNNNNNNNNNNNNNNNNNNNNNNNNNNNNNNNNNNNNNNNNNNNNNNNNNNNNNNNNNNNNNNNNNNNNNNNNNNNNNNNNNNNNNNNNNNNNNNNNNNNNNNNNNNNNNNNNNNNNNNNNNNNNNNNNNNNNNNNNNNNNNNNNNNNNUUCCUCGAUUCCUACAAACCCUAGAAUCUCUCUCUCUCUCUCUCUCUCUAGAGAUUCAGAGAUUUUUAGGGCUUAAAUGUGUUCUUCUUCUUGCUUUAGAUAUGUGCUCAAUUAAUCUCACUCUGGUUUUCUUUUCGAUGUGAGGAACGUUGGAAUGAUUAACUUCUCAACAUGCCAUUCCUAGAUUUAAUGGUUAAGGGUAAGGGGUUCAGAAUCUUCAGAUGGUGUUUGGUUGCACAAUAAACGAUAGAGGAAAAAUAGUUUUCGAAGAAAAAGUGAUUUCCAUGAAAAAAAAGAAGAAAAGAAUUUAUGUUUAUCGGCAUUUGUUCUAGCGAAAAAUUGAAAUUAUGUUUCAAGCAUUUGUGUUUGUUUUAAUGGAGAGAAGAAAAUGAAGAGAGGUUCCGCUCCCCCCCAAAAAAAUUGAUAAAUAAAAAUGGAUGUUUUACCGAAAAUGUGGAAAACUAUUUUCUGUGGAACCAAACACUCGGAAACUGUUUUCUGUCCUAUUUUUGUGCAACCAAACACCCUCUUUUGCCAUUCAUCUGUUUUCAGAAUAAUAGUUCCAGAUUCACGGUUGCUUACAAGUUCUGAGCUUUGUGUUUAGUGGUAGAGAAUAAUACUAGAAAAUGUUAUUAUUUAGGCAAAGAUUUUACAAAAUGAAAACUUUAUUCGCAUGUUAGCCCGUGUCCCAAUCACCCUCCCUGCAUAAAAAAAAUUGCAUCUAUUUUAGCCUUGCAUCUGACAACUGUUUUUUUAUGUCGAAAGCUUUGAGAUUAACGAUGUCUUGCGAGCAUUAAUUAUGUCGGGACUCAGAAUCGCUUUUUCUUUCGCUUUUUCUUUUCUUUGGGUUUUCUAGUUGUACAUGUCUUUGAUAUAAAUCUACCUUUUUGAGUUUAUGAUCUAUCCUUAUUCUAGUGAGUUCUUUCGGAAAAAUUCUACCUGAGUAUUGGAUGUGCGAGCUCGAGAAACUGGUAGUCUACAACCUAUGAUUUGCAUCAUCAUACCUGCCAACCGGUCUAAUAAGUACGGCAUGUAGAUCCCUUUUGCUUGUAAUUUCUAAGGCAAGAAACUAAGAACACAUUUAUAGGAGGACUAUUUCGAGCGAGCAUGUAAUAAAUUUGGCCUUCACUUCUACGGAGCAUUUGACCCUACCAUUCCUAACUAUAUAUUUUAAUAUCAUACCUAAUUAGUGACUUGACGUGCACUCUUUUACUAAGGCCUUUUUCUCUUUCAACCUUUUGUCUUUAAAUUGCUGCCGGAGGAAAGUAACUACAUAAUGCUUGAAGACGGUGGCCUCGCAUUUUCGAAAGAAAGAGCUCUAUGUCACGGCCUUAGCGUUUUUGUUCGCAAAGCCCAUGCGGCGCCCGCCUUCCUGCUGGAAGAUGGGCAAGCCUUCAUCCCUGUUGCUAGUCCGGAUCUUCGCGUACUACGACUAAAUAUGCAAAGAGAAUGACAGAGAGAGAGAGAGACAGAGGUUCACUCAAAAAAACUAAGUACUCCACUACUUAGAAAAAGAGAUUACAACACACAUACACACUCCCUCUUGUGUUUCCACCUCCCUUCCUUCUUUUCUUCUUUUGGCCAUAGCCAUCCCCACAAUUUAUGGGCUCCUAAAUACAUUGAAUCUAGCCUACACUAAUUCGCCACUAACUCAUACAAUAAUGAGCUCUCAUAAUAGCCAAAAGUCCAAGAGUCAACCUAUUAACUCUUGGUAGUUUUGUAACCUUUGAGCUUUCAUCAUUGAUGGGAGAAGUUACAAAAACCCUUCAUCUCCCCACAGCGGAUUGGGUUUGGGUUUCCUUGACAACCCGAUUCAACCCGUUUUCGCUAGUGGAGUUGGGCCAAGGACUCAGAUUGCAUAGCAAUUUUGCUAAGUCCCUGACAUCUAGGCAAUAGAGCAAUUAUUAUUUUUCUUAUUAUUUCUGAAAGAUCAAGUUGACUUCAAAUUAGUUUUGUAAUUAUGGAGCAAAAUCUAACAUCCCAAGCUAUUCUUUUGUUCUGCUAAUAUAUUGUGUGAUAGCAUUAUUUUAGCCAAGAAGCUCAAUGGCCCAGUGAGAAAUAACAUGGACUUGAGCUACCCCUCCCACCCCUCUUCCUCCUCAUUUUGGGCGCAUAUUUUAGAAAUCAAAUGAAUGCAGGUCGGGCUUGGGCUAAAGAAACAUUUACUGAAUUUUAGUGUAGCUGGUUUGAAUAUUACCGGCCCGCGGUUGCUUUUGGGCAACACAUCCUUGGGCUUGCAUCAAGCUUGACCUGGGCUUGAGACCUUGCCCACAAUUGCCGCAAUAAAAUUUUGGUCCUGGCUUGAUUCAUUCAGUUUGACGCCAUUUAGCAUUUCUAUGGACUCUGCCAAUUUCGAAUUUCGAGCUUAUGGGAUAUGUUUCACGGGGAUUAUGCAAGCUGAACUUUUUCUGGCUAUAGAGAAAAAAGCAAUAGCCAAUGGAUGUAGCAAAUAGGUGAUACUACAUGAUAAUAACUAUAGCAAAUGUUUAAAUUGGUCAUCAUCUAUAAUGGAUCAACAAGUUUUGAUAAGUUAUUGUUAUGGUGGUAAUAGGGUAUGGUGGUAAUAAGGUUAAGGUGGGACUGGUUUUGGCCUACUGUGAUCUACUUUCCUUCAGGUUAGCCCCAAAUAAUGUGGUAUCAUCGGUAUGUUUUUGUCAAGGUAGGGUUGAUUGGAAACUUGUAGAGCACAUUGUCUCUUCAGUUGAGGCUUUAAGUGAGGAUCCACCUUGCCCUACUCUUUAUUGAGAUUGUGUCUCAUGGAUUUGAUCUUUGUGAGGCUAUUUAACAUGUAAUUGUUCAAUACUAUAUGCUCAGUUAAACUUUAGAAUAGUAAAGUUAUUAUAAACACCUAAUGAAAUCAGCGAAAUACUUGGUGCAUGCAAAAUACAUGACAUGAUGCAAGGGCUGAAAUUGAACUACAGAGUAUUGUGUUCAUCUGUCUAACAUAUACCUAAUUGAGAUUAAAAAGCAACUACUUAUGCGCUGAUAGACAUUUAUCUAUGCAUGUAUGUAUGUAUGUGUCUAUGUACGUAUUAUUGUGUAUAAAUGUAGGACAUGUAUAGUUCAUAACUAUAUUGUGUGUCAACUACGUCUGUUCAUAAUUGUAGUCCUCUGCUAUACGCUAUAUUUAUGGAGUUUUGGGUCAGCUGUAAUUUUAGGUAGGGUAGCAUAAAUACCUAGUCCAAACGAAAGGUCCUAAAUCGUGAAGUGCAGUUAACUGUUGUAUGUAGUCUCAUUUCUUUUUCUAAAUUCUGAAACUCAAAGAACUAUUCAACACCCUAUGCUUUGUGUAUGUACUGAUUUGUCUCUUUGUAAAGAUACAUUUAAUUUCGGGUUACUGUGUCAUUGGCUUUACAACUGAGUUGUGGCUUACAUCUUGCAACUGUAGACUAAAUUCCUGUUUGUCCUUGCUUUUGUACUUCCUACUUGUAGCUGUUAAUAGGCCUGAACAAACCAAGCCCGAUCCACCCAACAAGGCUUGAUUGACCUGGUACUUGGCCAGUUGGCUUUGGCAUGCCCUGAUUCAGGGCCGAGUUAGGCCUGGAUUUUUGUUUUUUGUUUCUUUGGUUUGACUUAACCUGGCCUGAUUUUAGUACGUGAGCUUGCUCUCCUGGAGAUUUUAUUACCUGACCCUACUGGGUUUAAAAUGUUUAUAAAUCUUUCAGGUUAGGCUGGGUUUGGAUCAGGCAAAAUUAUUCUGGCCCAAAAAUAGGCUUGACCUGGAUUUGCAUAGAUUUAGAUGCUAUUAUCUCGAGUAGAGAGUUUUGGCAAAGAGAGAAGUCUAGAACUUCUACUAUGGUGGAUAGCCAAAAUCUGAUCCUGAACAUGAAAAGCAUAAGCUCCUGUUUGGAGCUUUGCUUUUGCCAUAGAGAGAAGCUGUUUAGGGGAUUUAAAUAUGCACAACUCAAAUGGCAGUUCAAUAAGCUACAACUAUACUAAUGCUUUGACAUGAAUAGAUACAAAUGCUUGUAUGCCUAACAAUCAGUUUUUUAUCUUAAUUUAACUUCUUUAUUCUCCAUGGUAGGAUGGAAAAGUCUCACAACUUGAGCAUGUGUUUAUCCGAGGCAGCAAAGUCAGGUAUGCAGUAUACCCUGAAUUAUCAAAUGUUUGUUCUUAAGAUGAUUGCUAAAAUGAUUUCUCUUUUGCAGGUUUAUGAUAAUUCCUGAUAUGCUGAAAAAUGCUCCUAUGUUCAAGCGAUUGGAUGCAAGAAUUAAGGUAUUUCUUUGCCUUAUUUGUAAGUAAUGCAUUUUAUUGUAAGUUUCUAAUCGAGAUUUUUUUUUCCUCUUAUGAAGGGAAAAGGCUCAGCUAUUGGAGUUGGCCGUGGACGUGCUGUUGCUAUGCGCGCUAGGGUAAGUCCAUUUACUCAACUGAUUGUUCCUUUUUGUUACUACUCUUGUUAUUGGGCUUUUAUUCGAAAUAUUUUCUUCCAUAUUCUUGUCCUGUCUCUACUUACUGCUUUUUUAAACUUCAAUUUUUUUCCAUGUUGGUCAUGAUAUAUUUAUUAUUAUGUCAUGUAAAAAUUUUCAUUUCUUUGAAGUUGCAUUGUCAAAAGGCACAGAACUAAGAGGUAAGAGUAAUUUGAGUCACAAUUUCAUGAGUUUAUCUUGGUAAUGGUCUUCCUCUAAGAUCCCCAUGAAUGAGGUUGGGCUUCUUCAUGCGGUUGCUGGUGUUUGAACAGCCUCUUUUCCUUUGUCUCUAGUUUUAGAACUUUCAGUUGAAUAAUGAACUGUACGAAAUUACCACAGCGGUAGAGAUACUAUGGUUUAGUUGAGUGGUCUGAUCCUUCCUAUUGGAUUCGAAAAUAAUGAUUUGAUCCCCUAUGAUGUCGUAUAAUCCUGGUUAGCUGAGUUUGCAUGAUGGAACAGAAGCACUUUUACCAGCAACUGAAUUUGGUGCAUUACUAUUAACAUGUUAUGAAGACCAUCCCCAAUACUGCUGACACCUUAUUUUAUUUGAAUAAUGCUAUCUUCCGAGCAAAGUUUGUAAUGAUUCAUCCCCUCAUGGUGGCUUAAUCAGCAAGAUUUGGAACUCUUUUGCAUCCGAUUCUUAGCAGUAUAUAGUAAGAACAAUUAAGUAUGUGCCCAGCUAAAUGCAGUUCAAUUUUGAUUGGAAGAGCUGUGUUCCCUAUCACGAGGGAUUGGUUUUCAUGUGUAUUUAUUUUCAGAUCAACUCUCAGCCUUUUCUAUGUAGUACGUUGUCCAGUUAUCAACUGGAAAUGCUCACAUUCUAGAAGCCAUACGUCGUUUUUAUGGCUGGACCUUCUCCAUGCUUUUGUGGGAACUGAAGUUUUGUGGUAAAGUGAAGUAAUGAAAGUCAACUAGCAGGCUUCUGAAAGUUUUUUAAGUACAAACAAGAAACCAUUAACUAAGUUAGUUGUCUCACCAAAGUAGGGUCUUUGGAGGGAGCACUUGGACAAUCUUAAUUUCAGCAAUUAUUUUUUUUAAGCGCUGCUUUAAGACACAAAUCAUCACAUAAACAGAGGCUCUUCAGAGUUCCUCCAAAAUGAUGGAACCUUUUCAUUUGGAAAUGAUAUCAAUCGGGUACUAAUUGUGUUACUCUUUUUGUAAGUAGCUCAUUGAAGAUAAGAGGAUGAAUGUACUCAGAACUCUUUCUCAUUUCCCGUCAUGUCUCCAUGCAGGCUCAAGCAGCUGGUCGUGGCGGUCCCGGUCGUGGUGCUGUGCCUCCAGUAAGGCGGUAGUCAUCUAGGUUGCCUUGGUUCCUUUGCUUCCUCGCCGGUAGGGAAAUAGAGAUGCUUCAGUAAUGUUUAUGUUGUUGAAUUACUUUUUCGAUCUUCAGUGGCCCCAAAAAAUCUUUGUUACCUCCACCUCGGAAUAUUUUAUAACUCUGUUUCUUGUCGACAAGUUGCACUGUUUAUGUAGGUAUUUUGGAAAACUGCUUUAGAAAUCAGUAGUCUGUGUAAUGCUGAGUUAUCUUUCUUGGCUAAUUUAGACUUUUGCUGGAUGAGCUGAAGUCUGUACUAAAUCGGUGGCAUUGUGAAUGCAGCAGGUUUCUGAAUAUUUUUGCUUCUUAUUUUUGUUGCAGUUCAUAGAGAUUCUGCAACACAUGCCAUCUCCCUUUUCCAUUUCAUAUCAUACUUUUGACUUCACUACUACUUUUACUGAAAAGAGUUAUUUUUAAAUAAGAAGAGGUGGUAAUUUGCCUGUUGCCUCUUUGUUUGCCUGCAAGUGGUUUUUAGUUUUUAGGUUGAAAGAAUUGAAGUUUAGGGCAUUUAUUUUACUGACCUCAACUUCAAGUUGAGGUAGAGUUCACAAAUAUUAUUUUUUCUUUGCUCGUGUUUGUAUAGUUGUGAAUCUUAAGUACCUUUAGUUUUACUGUUUGUUUGAAAGGAAGUAAAUAGUGUAAAAAUUGAAUGCGUCAGAGAAGUUAAUAUUUUAAUUUUGAGAUGAUUUUUUUAUAUAUUUUCAGAACAUAAGAAAUAUUUCACGUACUUCCAUUUUUUUUUGUAUUAAGUAUACAUCUCAUAUAUUUUUUUCGUUAUUCAAAAAUAUUUUCGCUGUUCGGUCGUGCUGGUUAAGUCAUUUUUUAGAUUAAACUUGAGUUAAAUUUCUACUAUAAUUAAAAAUAGUCAAAAUAUUUAUACUUAUUUUGCUUCAAAUUUAAAGUCAAAUAAGAAAAGUUUGUGGCAGUAGAAGGGUGUAUUUGAAAAGAUAAAAAAUCAAAAUAUUUUUGUCUCUAGCAAAUAAGAAGAUUUAGUUUUACAGCAUAAAGGUAUAUUUGAAAGGAAAAUUAGUAAUUUUAUAUAGAUAACGGUUAUUUCCGACAGAUCAGUAAGGAAAUUUAAUUCUACGGGUAUGAUUGAAAGACUUUCGAAUUUUAAAUGAGUAUUUUUAAUAUUAGCUUUCUAAAAGAGAUAAAUAAAAAAAUUAGAAACUUUUUAGGAAUAUACAAGCAAUUGCUUCUUUUACUUUUUUAUCACUCUUUUUUUUCUCCUGUAAUUGAUGUCAACCCUAGAGUGAGUGGAAGUUAAUGUAUGCUAAUUUUAGAAGUUUGAAUUUUAAACGAAAGUGAAGUGACUGCAAAACAAACGACGAAAAUGGAUAUUGAAGGCUACAUCUGUCACUUUUGGUCAAACAAAUACAUCCUAAGGUGAAAAAAUUAUUACUGCUCUUUGUUUCGUACGAGCCAAUGGAUUUGGAAAUACAAUUAUCUCUUCUUCUUCUUUUUUUUCUUUUUUUUUUUUUUUCUUUUGUUUGAUUUAUUAAAAUUUUUUACACUAACGCAUAAGAAGGUAAAGAAAAGUAACAACAGUUGAUUUAUAAUUAUUUUAUUCUUUUUUUUUUUUUUUCCUUCCGUAAUUGAUUCUGGCAUCACUUGAGGCAAAGUAAAUUACGGCGUUUAGCAGUGUAGAGUUACUAGCAAAUUAAAUUUUUGGUAAAGUUAUGAGUAAGUUAAAUUUAUGGUGAAUCAAAGAAUGGAAUUGGGUAAUUAUGGUUGAAAUCAAAAAAUUCUUGAGGUGUUUCAAUAAAAAAAAACUUGAGGCGUUUCAAUCAAAAUAAACUUGGGGCGUCUAUUACAAAAUGGCCCACAAAAUUCAAAAACAAAGAAAAAAGAAAAAAGAUGUUGGAGAAUUUAUUUUCAAAGGAGCAAUGCUAUAUGUACACCUAAUUUAUAUUGUCGGCGUAAACUAAACACUCUGAUCCCUCAAAAGAUAAGAUUUAUUCACUAAUCGUACCAACUAUUCUUUUAAUGCUUAAAACUCAAAAAUUCUAGAAUCAUCGGGUGUAACAUUUAUACGGUAUAAUAAAAUGUAUGCGCAGUAAUUUUUGUUCGAAAAUGGCCAAUAGUUAGGGGGCUCUCCAUACAUUUUAGCUUGUUCUUUUUGAAAAAAUAUUACCUACACCAACCGUCCCUAGCGCAAGUGACAAAAGGACUUGGUGGUCGGUACCCGAGACCCAAGUUCGAAUCCUAAUUGAUUCACAUUUCUAGUUAAGUUUAUUUCUAAAUAAAAUAAACGAAGCGGGUAGCAUGCUAUAUUUCUCUAAAAAAAAAAAGAAAAGAAAAAAUAUUACCUCCACACUCUACUUAAAAGGUGUAAAAAAUACACUCAAAAAUAGGGUGAAAAUGAUUAGGAUAAACUCCAAUCGAAUCCAGCACUGAAUUAGAUUGGAUGUGAAUACUAGUAUCAGAAUUUUGCAUAAAAAAAAAAUCAAAAAUAGAUAUGGAUGCAAAUAUAUAUUUUUUAAAAAAAUUUCAAUUAUAUUCGUCCAUUUUCAUUUCUAGAAGAUAAGAGAGAGAUUAAUGUACAUUGUUAAGGGAAUAAAGUAGUUUUUUUUAUCGCUUUCUUCUUUUUUUAUUUUAUUAUGAAUUUUAUGUUACAAUUGUAUUUAUUUUUGUUAAAUAUUAAAUUUUAUUGAAUAAAUGAUAGGCAUACAAAGUUCGAUUACUUUAGUUGAAUUAUGUAUAUUAUUCGCGAUAAUUUUUAUUUAUUUAUAUUUACAUGUAUAUAUAUGCUAUUAUCUGAAUGAUGUCCGAAUAUAAAUUUGGUUCAUAUUUAAAUUCGAAUUUAUUUUUCACAAUAUGAUUAUGAAAAUUUAGCAUUCGACAUAUACCUGCGUCCCUUAUGGAUGUGGAAUUGUGGAUGUGCUUUUGUUAAAAAAAAUAAGACCGUAUUUGCUUGUUUUUACUGUACUCACACAUCUAAGUAUAAUUUUUUUUUUCAUGUUCUAAUACUACAAUAAAAGAUUUUUUUUUUUUUGAAAGAAAAAUAUCGGGUUAUCUACUUCAUUUACUUUUAUAGAAAUGAAUCUAAGCAAAAAAUAUAAAGUAAUUAGGUUAUAAACUCAAAAUUUUAGGUACCAGCUAUCAAGCAACUUGUCAGACGAAAAUUUAUGGUCAUUAUCUCCAAAUUAGAUUCAAAAUUAUUUAGUUUGGAGACGAUGGUGAUAGGGUCGGUGGUUAAGUGGUGCCCAUCCAAGCCACUGUGUUAAAAUGCAUGGAGACCUCUCUCAACUACUAACAAAUUUGAAAUCAGCCCUUUAACUUUUUAGGUUUUUAUAUUUUAAUUUUUGUAUUUGAAUUUUAUAUUUAGUUUAGUCAAAAAAUUUAUCAAAUUUAAUAAUCAAAUUUAAACAAAGUUUAUAUCCAAUUUAAUACUAAAAAUUCAAAAAGAUUGUCUCAACCUUUAAGUGGCUUGGAUAUAAAAUUUAUGAGUAUAAAUUUUAUAGCCAAGCCAUUUAAGAGUUGAAACAACUUUUUUUUUUUUAGUUUUUUAGUUAAAUUUGAUAAUAAAUUUGAUUAUCAAAUUUGAUAAAACAAAUAUAAUUAUUAAACUAGAUAAAUUUGUUGAGUAAACUAAGUGUAAAAUUUAAUUUGAAAUAAAAGCUAAAGGAUUUAAAAUACAUAUAAAGGACUGAUUUCAAAAUUCCUAAUAGUUGGGUUGGUGAAUGGGUGCGCUUUGCCACACGGCGCCAAUCUACACUACUAUUCCUAAACUAUGAGGCUGGUGAUAUUUUGAUUCUCAAAUUUUAAUUCGUUAUGAUAACUGAUUCGAACUUUUAGAUUUAUCGUUAUCCUUUAUAACUUAAUUUAAUUAACUAAACAUUAAUGAGUCGUUAAAGUAAAAAUGAUAUAGCAAUAUGAUUGAUGAUGAAUUAAUUUGGUUAAACGUGAGUUAAAUAUCUACUACAGUUUAAAAAAAUUAAAAUACCAUUUUUACUCUUAACUUAAGGGCAAAUAAGAAAUGCUGGUGAUAGUAGAAGGGUAUAUUUAAAAAUGCCAAAAAGCAAAAUACUUUUUGUGCCCCUAACUUAAUGGCAAAUAAGAAAAAGUCGGUGAUGGUAGAAGGGUAUAUCUAAAAGGGCAAAAUAGUAAUUUUAUAGAGAUAACAUAAUUCAUUAACAAGAUUUUAACUUUAGAGGUAUAUUAGAAAUAUAUUGGAACGUAAAAAAGGAAUAUUCAAUAUUAGCCUUCUAAGAGGAGUAAAUUAGAAAGUCAGAAACUUUUCAGGGGUAUAUAAGCAAUUGCUCCAAAUAAAUAAUAUGUCAGUUCAGUUCAUAAAGUAUCAAUAAAUAAUAUGUAAGUGCAGUUUUAGAUUAGUCUAAAAUUAGAAUGAAUUGAAGUUUGAGAACCACUGCAUCACCCCUGACUAGUAGUUUGAGAACCAAACAUGCAAUUUACCCUUUGGAGAUGAUGCCCAUAAAAUUUUGAAGAGCGCUAAUUCUAUAACUUUUAGCUACCGUUUGGUUCGAGGUUAAGAAAAAAGUAGCUAUUCCAGGGAUAGAGUUAAGUUCAGGGUUAAAGUGGGUUAAAGUUUUUUUAUGUUUGGUUGGGGGUUGGAGUUAGUUUAGAAUAAUGAAAAAUAGUGUUUGGUUGGAGCAGGUGGGAUAAGAAGAUAAUGAUUGAUAAAGAAGGAUAAUGAUUGGUUGGAGUAGGUGUGAUAAGAAAGAUAGUGGGUUAUUAUGAAUAAAAAAUAGUGUUUGGUUGGAGUUUGGUAGGGUUAGGUGGGGUUAGCUAACUCGGGAUAAUUUAUUUGACCUGGGGUUAGUUAACCCCACUCAUUUUUUAAGGUAUUUGGGGAUAAAAUGGGGGUGAAGGGGUGGAAUAACCCCUUAACCCCAACCAAACAAGGGCUUAGGGACUGUAAUUCUACAAUUUGGCCGAUCUAAGGGCCAACUCCAUUCUACCGGUACCUUCUUUUUUUUUUUUUUUUUUUUUUUUUUUGCAUUUUUAACUAAAAGUCAAAAGGAUUUUUUAUAUCCUGGCCUUUGGAUAAGGGUUACAAUCCUUCGUUAGUCACAAAGUUAGUUCGGUUCUCAAAUUAUGAGGCAGGUUAUACUGUAGUCCUUAAACUUUGAUUUGUUAUAAUGUCUGUCUUACAAAUUUAAAUUUAUUAUAAUUAAACUUAUAACCUAAUUUAGUUCAUUACAUGUUGACGCAUAGUUGAUAUAAAAGUAAUUAUAUAAUGUCUUAAUUAUUAUUGCAUUAUCAAUUACAAUACUUUCGCAUUGUUUUUACAUCAAUAAUUUGCUAAUAUUUAACCACCUAAAUCAGCUAAUACAAUUUAAUUAUAAUAAUUUAUAAAAUUUAAGUAAAAAAAAAAAUUAUAAUAAAUUAAAGGUCAAUUUGCAUAAAAAAUCCACUUAUUUUGGGCUUUUGCAAAAUCGGGCCAUCUUUUUCGUUUUUGCAAAUUUGAUCCGCUUUUUUAACAAACUGACCAAAAUACCCUUUUUACUUUUUCUCUUUCCUCUUUCUCUCUCCUCUUCGUUUCUCUCGUUCUUUUUUUUUUUCUGCCUCCUCCGACGACGAUGCAUCUUCGCCGGCGCCGACGUCGACGUCGACACCGUGGAGGUCACUGCGGCGCUACAGGCUCGGAGCGGGGGUCCUUAGCGGCGUCGUCGCCAGCACCGUUGCUGUUGGCAGAGAGGGUGACAAAAAAAAAUUAUAGAAAAAACAGAAAAAAAAAAUAAAGAUAAAAAAUUAUAUAAAAAGAAUGAUGAACAUGAAAUUAUAUCGUUAACUGCAAAAAAAAUUAUAAGUUGCACUACUUAAGAUGUAAACUGCAGUUUUAAGAUGAAAAUUACACUCUUUAAACGAAAAUUACACUCUUUGAGAGAUAUUUACACUGUUUCUCUUCUUAUUACACUCUUUCAGAUGUAAACUGCAUCCAUUAAGAUGAAAGUUACACUCUUUAAACAAAAGUUGCACUGUUUCUUCUCUUGUUGCACCAUUUCUCCUCUUGUUACACUGUUUUUUAUUUUAAACUGCACCCUUUUAAGAGAUAUUUAUACUGUUUCUCCUCUUGUUGCACUGUUUCUCCUCUUGUUGCACCAUUUCUGUGUAAACAAGAGGAGAAAUAGUGCAAUAAGAGGAGAAACUGCACCCUUUUAAGAGAUAUUUAUACUGUUUCUUCUCUUGUUGCACUGUUUCUCCUCUUGUUGCACCAUUUCUGUGUAAACAAGAGGAGAAAUAGUGCAACAAGAGGAGAAACUGCACUGUUUUAAGAGAUAUAUCUACUGUUUCUUCUCUUGUUGCACCAUUUCUUCUCUUGUUACACUAUUUUUUAUUUUAAACUGCACCCUUUUAAGAGAUAUUUAUAUUGUUUCUCCUCUUGUUGCACCAUUUCUGUGUAAACAAUAGGAGAAAUAGUGCAACAAGAGGAGAAACUGCGCAGCUUUUUAAGAGAUAUUUAUACUGUUUCUUCUCUUGUUGCACUGUUUCUCCUCUUGUUGCACCAUUUCUCACAGAAAUGGUGCAACAAGAGGAGAAACAGUGCAACAAGAGGAGAAACAGUAUAAAUAUCACUUAAAAGGAUGCAGUUUAAGAUAAAAAAUAGUAUAAUUUUCAUUCAAAGAGUAUAAUUUUUAUAUUAAAGCAGCAGUUUACAUCUUAAAUAGUACAACUUAUAGUUUUUUUUGUAAUUAACGAUACAAUUUCAUCUUCAUCCUUCUUUUUAUAUAAUUUUUUAUCUUUAUUUUUUUUUUCUGUUUUUUUUAUAAUUUUUUUUGUCACCUUCUCUGCCAAUAGCUACGACGCCGGUGACGACGCCGCUAAGGACCCCCCGCUCCGAGGCUGUAGCGCCGCAGUGACCUCUACGGUGUCGACGUCGGCACCGGUCAAGAUAAAUCGUCGUCGGAGACGGCAGAAAAUAAGGGAGAGGGAGAGAUGAGAAGGGCGGGGAAGGGCCAGAGGCGUCGUCGUCAGAGACGGUGGAGAAGAGUCGGAGAAGAAAAGAAAAGAAAAAAGCAAAAAAAAAAAAGUCGUGGCGCGGCCUUGGCGGGGUCGGAGGCGAGGAAAGUGGGGGGUGCAUGGACGAGGGCGAGGGCGAGGGCGAGAGCAUGAGGGUGAGAGGCGAGACGGAUCGUUUCUGCCUCCGCUCUGCCGGCGAGAAAAAAAAAGAACGAGAGAAACGAAGAAGAGAGAGAAAGAGGAAAGAGAAAAAGUAAUAAGGGUAUUUUGGUCAGUUUGCUGAAAAAGCGGACCGAAUCUGCAAAAACGAAAAAGGUGACCCGAUUUUGCAAAAGCCCAAAAUAAGUGGAUUUUUUAUGCAAAUUGGCCUAAAUUAAAAGUUAAAGAUUAAAAAUAUCAACUGACUGAUCUUUUGAGGCCCUAAAUUUCUGGUCCUAACUUCGCCACUUUGCGAAAACGACGGUUGAUGAUCAAAAGAUUGAGUACAGUAGCAUUGCAUCGAACACAAAUCUCAGAAUCCACGUGGCACGAUCGGAGGGUCCCGAUCGCACCACUUGUCCAAUACCACCAUCGGAUCCUCUUUCUCUAUCCACCCAGCUUUGCUUCUCUUGUCCCUUUUCGCCUCAUCAGUCAAAAAAGAAAACUAUAAAAUAAAAUAAAUAAAAUUUAAAUCAAUUAAUCAUACACUUUAGAACUUAAAAAUAUAUAUAUAAAAGUUAUUUUGUAUAAUAUUAUUACCAUUACAAUUAUUACUUCUAUAAUUACCUAACAAUUAAAACGUGGAUAGCUUCGAUGUGAGGGCCCGUUUCCAUUUUUGUUGUGUUUUUUUUUUUUUUUUUAAUUUCUAUUUUUCCUGAAUCUCUUCGUCUUCUCCAAAUUCGCGAAGCAUUUACUUAGGGUUUCUCUCCUAUCUCUCCGAACCUUCCUCCCCCAAUGUCGUCCACGAGGUUAAACCCUUCGAUCGGCGCCGCCGCCACCGUCGAUCCGGCGCCGCUCCUCGGCGGGUUGCGGCGCGGCGGAGGCGGAGGCGGAGGCGGAGGCGGCGGCGGGGUGGGGGCCUUGCCGCGGCGGCCGAGCCUGCGCGGCGCGGCGCGGUUCCUGCGGCGCGCGGGGAGCCGGCGCGUGAUGCGGGAGCCGUCGAUGCUGGUGCGCGAGGCGGCGGCGGAGCAGCUGGAGGAGCGGCAGAGCGAUUGGGCGUACUCGCGCCCCGUCGUCGUCCUCGACAUCCUCUGGAACCUCGCGUUCGUCGCCGUCGCCGCCGGGGUCCUCGUCCUCAGCAGGGACGAGGCGCCCUCCAUGCCGCUGCGGCUGUGGAUCGUGGGCUACGCGCUGCAGUGCGUGCUCCACAUGGUGUGCGUGCUGAUCGAGUACCGGAGGAGGCACCCCGCGCGGCGGCGCGGGCCCGAGGGGAUCGACGAUGGCGGGAGCCACAGCAGUAGCUCGGGCCCCAGCUCGCCCCGGGACAUCGAGGAAGGGGGUGGGAAUGGCGGUGGUUAUGAUCUCGAUCAGGGUCAGAAUGAGGAAGGGACCAGGUAAUGAUAUCGCUGUUUGAUUUCUUUGUGUUAUUCCUCCUCUAAUUUUGAAGAAUUCGAAGAUAUGUGGUGUAUUCUUAUCAGGAAUUUGAUGACUGAGGAAUGCUAUUGAUGUAUGUAGGGUUGCUUUUAUUUCACAGAACAGUUACGAGUAUUAGAUAGCAAAAGAAGAGGGAGAAUAAGUUUUAUUCCACUAUUAGGUAUUUGCAAUGUUUGUAGUGGUAAGCAGUAAGCAGUUAAUUGAGGUUAAGGUGUAGAGGGAAAACUUUGUCCGUUCGGCGGGUCUGUUGACGCCCAGUGGGCUUCUGCUAUGGAAUCGGGGCGUGACAUAAGGCAUCAAUUGGCUUUGUUCUCAGAUGUUCAUAUUAGGGCCUGUUUGGCUCUGCAGUGGGAUGAAGUAUUAUUUGAACGACUGGCUUGGUUAUCAGCUAUUAGCAUUGUAUGAAAAAUCCGUCCAACGGCUUCUCGUUGCAAGAGAAGCAGAAGUUCCAAUUAGGUGCUUUUGUUCAUUGGUCUAGAAUUUCAUUUCAGCUUUCCAGUACAGCAGAAUAUAGAGACGUCUUUGCUUGUCAAAUGCUAUACUAGAGUUGGCUGCAUAUAAAGCCGUGGGGCCAUACAAGCAUUAAGGUUUUGUUUGGAAAUGCAUUAUCCAAAUGCACCAGCUGUAAUGCUUUUGAACCUCCAAAAAUCAGAAAGAACUUUACAGGUCCACCCCUCUGAUAAUGGCAUUGGGAAUCUCCAUCAGAAGCGCUGGGAAAAGAAUUCAGGAGGAUAUAUCUAAAAUGUAGGCUCCCAAUGCUAUUUCCUAGCAUUGGAGGCGCAGAGAUCCAAAGCGCUUUUUGAUUUUUUGGGGCUCUGAAGUACCAAAGCAGUUGUGUUUGGAGAACACAUUCAGUAUGCCGAAGUUCAUUUUGGUGGCUGAGGCUUUAGAUCGAAGUUGGAUAUUGUGUUUGCUACCUUCUUAAGCAAGCUGCAAGCAUAUUUAUCAAAGCGGUAAACCACCUUGGUCGCCUUAAAAGGUCCUUCGAUGUUCCAUGCAGACUGAUGUCUCUCUUUUUAUUUUGAACUGUCUCUAUUUUUCUUUUUAAACUCUGGAACACUUCAUAAUAAGUCGUAAUUUAACUUGCAAAAAUAGUUAAAUUCAUAAAUGGUAUCAUAAGCGAUUCAGUCUGCAGUUCCAAAGGAGUACUUUUCCUUAUGGCAACAGGACAUGGCAUAAGCAUUGCCUUACUGAUUUUUGAGGAAAUUAGAAAAGGCAUAAAGUUAUAUCUAAUAACCAGAGAAGUUCUGAAAGCCAAAUAUAUUCUUCUUUGGUAUUUUUAACAUUUGUGGAGGCACAUCUAUCGCGAAGCUUUUAAAAUUAUUUUGAAGUCUUCCGAGAGUCUAAGUCUUUAGGCGAUUGUGAUGACUAAGGUUGUAAAAGCAGGACAAACAUGAUUUAGCUCUAUUCCUAUUAUUUCCUAGACACUUCUUUGGUUGGAAGGGUGGUUGGAGUUGGGGCAUUCAACUCUUUUCUUCUUUUUUUUUUUGAUUUUUAGCGGCAGUUGAUGUUUGUUGGGAUUGAUAUGAAACAUAAAAUAAUUUAUAAUCAACUGUCAUGUGAAGAGAGAUUUAUUUCUUCCUUAUAUGAGUAUUUCAUUAUGUAUCAACCCUUGGGUAACUUCGAAGGAUUACGAACUUCUUGUCAUUGAAAUAUCUGUAAGAUGGAUAUGUAAGGAUAUUUUCAAAUAUGAGUACAGGUAUUUAAUUACACUUGGUUAAUAUAUUUUGAUAAGGAAAUUAUACUCAUAAGAUAUUUUAAAUGAAUCCUUGGAUGCUUCUUUUACUUAGCUGGUUCUCAAAAACUAGAUUAGAUGUGCAGAUAUGGUUUGGAUUCUUCUAGGAUCCAUACUGGGUACUUGCUAAAAAAUAGAUCAUGGUAUUCAUUCGUGAUUAGUGUUCUAUUGUAAUUUAUUUUAAAUUGAAAAAUCUGUCAUUUCUAGUUUUUUUGUUGAUGAAUAAAUUGGAGAUCCUUGUUGGCUACUUUCUUUGAUUCUGCCGGCACUUUCAAUUAAAUGAAGUAUGAGAAAAUAGACUAGAGUAAUUCUUUUAACAGGAGCAUCCAUGUGUCCAUUUUAUUUUCAUUUGUGCCAGGAACAUGGGCAUCCAUAUGUGCUUUUGUAUUUUCAUAUGUACCAGGCCAUGUAGAUCUUUAAUCUCUAUCUCUCUUUCUCUCUCUCUCUCUCUCUCUCUCUCUCUCUCUCUACACACGCUUGCACAUAAGUAUAAAUGUGUAUUAGUAUGUGUAUGUGUAUAUCCACUGCCUUAUUUCUAUUUUAUCGGCAUAUUUAUACUGCACGUUGUGUCUAUAUAACGUAUCUGUGUUAAUGCACCAUAGACUCUUACCAUCAUAACAUAAAGAAACAGGACUUGAUAUCGGUGCUUGACAAGGAACUAGCGCUUUCAUUUCUUCUUAUAUUGUUCAAUAUUACUCGGAUGCUAUACUUGUGGAACAUCAUUGUAAUUAGUAUCGAAUUUACUGACAAUUUCAUUAAAGAAAAGAAAGAGAAGAUACCAAUGGUCAAUGGAAUCACUACUAGCACAAGAGCUACGCUACGAUUGUCAAACUAAAAAAGAAAAGUACAAUUAUGAGACGGAUGAAAUAUACACUAUAUAUUAUGCGCACGUUGAGCAUGAUUUUUUUAAUUUUUUUUAUUCUUUUGCCUUCUGAGGACUAUUAUGAGAUAGGGAUGAAAUAUACACUAUAUUAUGUGCAUGCUUACCAUGAAUUGUUGCCCUUUUUUUUUAAAAAAAAAAGAUCUUUUGCCUUCUGAUGAUAGCACACUUAUGAACUUUCACAAAUAUGCUCGAGCUACUUAAAUUUAAUUCUUUGUUUUAUUGGUACUGUGUUGUACACAAAUAGAAAAAUAACUUCCUUGAAUUGUCAAAGUACUCUACGUUAAUGUCCUUCUCUAAAUGGUUUCCAACCACAUGCUGAUUGUGGCAACUGCUUGAAACUAGCAAACACUGCCUACACUAGACAGCAAAACUAGCUAAACCAUCAAAUCCAUGAAUACUUUGAGAUACAGACAGUUUGCAUGGUCAUCGGCACUUCUUAUGCGGAAAAUGAGGACAUGAGAAUACCUGACGUGCAUUAUAUGUGUGAACUCACUAUUGUAUGUUACCUCUAACUUUGACUACUGGGAGCUGAGAAGUAUUNCCCCCCACACCCAAAAAAAAAAAAGAAAAAAAAAACUAAUAAGGCAUGAUGCUAAAUCUAAGUACAAGUUGGAGAAAACAAUUGUCACUAAUGGAUUAGAUCAGUUUUAGGCCAUUUCGUUUUAUAGUUUUCCAAUGUCAUUCCAGUCUGCCUAUCUGCUCCAAGCUAUCCAUCCAUGUUGAUAUCCAUUUUCGUACACAUAUAAUUUUCAUUACUGUAAUCCAUCAAAUUGACAGCUGUCUGGUGAAUGCCAUCAGAAGAAUCAAGAUGAAUGCAAUACAUAAGCAAACUGUACUCACCUAACUGAACUUCUAAAUAGCCAAAAAUGAUGUUUUCCUUAUCUAGGUAUCUAAGCUAACAAACAUGUGGCUAAACCAGAUCUCAGAGUUUUUAUUUAAGAAAGAGAAAGAUAUAGAUUCCCUGUGAACUAUGUAUAAAACCUAAUAUAUACAUUACAGUUGGAUUACCUGCUGCUGGCAAAGACACAUUCAUUCAUUUAUGGCAAAUAACUUCGUCUGUCAUGUUUUACAGUUUUUGGCAUAUGAUUUUGAUGCAACUGAGGUAUUUAAAUUUUUAAGAAUGAUUCAAAUGGUCAGUGUGACUAUGCUGGAAGAAGUUUAUGAAGGUUGAACUUGUAGUUCUCAGUAGUUGAAUUUAAAAUAUUUAAAUGUGCUCCUUUCUUUUAUUUCAGUUAUUUGAAAGAAGGUAUUGUUUAACAUUAAUAGGGUGUCCUAUAAUCCUGUUGUGUAAGGCUCAGCAGUGCAGCCUUGUUAGUCAAGGAUAACUAGGUAACUAGUACUCUGUUUAAUCCAUGAAAUUCUUCUAUCCUUCACCUUAUUUUUAGUUACCCAAUAAUCAUUACAGUGAUCCUCCCUCAAGGCAGUUAAUCAUUUAAUCACAGCAAUCAUUCCUAUGAUCUAUAGAAAGCAAAAUUAACGUUGUUCUUGCUAAUUCUGGGUUAGCAAGACAUUUGGAUAACUAAGAUUAGGCCUGCAGAGUUUGUCCCCCAGUGAAAUUCAGCCUUGUUGACUCCUUUUGGGUAUUAUUACAAUUGCUAAUAGUAUAGGAGUGGAAAUGAUCAUGAAGUUUAACUAGCAAAAAUUACUCAUAAAUCAAGAUGAUUGAUUGUACUUUUUAGUUCUUUUUUAUGGCAAAUAUAAAUAUUUGUUUUGUUGAAUCAAUAUUUUGAAUGCAGCACUUAGUUUGUUAUGCAUUACCUACAACAUAUGCAAAGCUAGUUUAGUUUCUUUAUUGCAGCCUUGGGGUUGCAUUCUUGCUCUUUGAAGAAUAUGUUUCUCAUUACCUUUCCUUUUGGCAGUAUUGCAAAACAUCUGGAGUCUGCAAAUACAAUGUUCUCAUUCAUUUGGUGGAUUAUUGGCUUCUAUUGGGUUUCUGCGGGAGGCCAAGCUUUAACUAAUGAUGCUCCACAGCUUUACUGGUGCUUUAUAACUCGAAACUUUGCACAUUUCUUUUAAUCUCAGUUCAAACUAACUUCCUUUUUUAACUUACCAUUGUUCCCUGCUUGAUUUCUUUUGCAGGCUUUGCAUAGUCUUUCUGGCGUUUGAUGUCUUCUUUGUUGUUUUUUGUGUUGCUCUUGCUUGCGUCAUUGGUAUUGCUGUUUGCUGCUGUCUACCAUGUAUUAUUGCAAUUUUAUACGCGGUGGCUGAUCAGGUAUGCCAUCUUAGAAGCAGCACUUUACAUUUGAAAGAUUUUAUAUCAUGUCACCAUAUGCUCAAGAUACCAGUACUAUGUUUCUACUUUUUGAAGCACAUUUGUCACAAAUAUUUUAAUGUUCCAAGAUAUUCCCCAAGUAUCCUUUUGUCCUCACUUUUUGUUGUAUAAUUCAUUGUUAGACAAAAAUUGCUCUAUCUUUCACUGAAAUGUUUACUUGCAUAUUGUUUCUCUUACUAAAGCAGGAAGGAGCAUCUGAUGAAGACAUUCGCCAACUCCCAAGAUACAAAUUCAGAACCAUUGGUGAUCAAGAGAAACUUGGUGGUGAACAACCAAGGACUUAUGGUGGAAUUAUGACAGAGUGUGGCAGUGAUCCACCAAUUGAACAUGCUCUUUCAGCGGAGGACGCGGUAAGCUAUCCUGCUUGGAUCUUCCACUCUUCGCCUUCUGAAAAUUGAUUAUUUCGAAUGUGGAUCAGACUUAGGACUCUAAACCCUUUCUUGACAUUUAAAUAACAAAAAAAAACAGCUGAUUUGACUUGAAUUACGAUAAAUAGUUGUUUGUCUUGUUCACUUUUCGCAUUAGCUGCGUAUCCUUUUCCCUUCUCUUUAUAUUUCUUAUGCAGUUAAUGUAUUUCCUCCUUUUCAUGAAGCAUGUAAUGAGCUCUCUUAAACUAAGUUGCCAAUGCAUGACUGCAGAGAUCUGAAUGGCUAGUUAUUAUAUACUCUUAUAAUCAGUUCCCAAGGGUUACAUCAGCUUUAAUCUAUAUAAUAAUGAUCCUUAUUUGUAGCAUACUGGCAUAGUUGACAAACUUGUACCCUCAUAAUAAUAAUAAUAAUAAUAAUUUUUGUUUUUUUGAGAUGAAAACCAUCCUGGGGGGUUAGGCAGACCCUAUUCUAAUCCUUCCAAAAAGUAGGCACACAAAGAGGCUCUCUCUUGGCCACCAUAUAGAUCCAGCUUUAUACCCAUGCAACAUUUGCUCCAAUAGAAUUUGACCCAAAGUAUCCUUUCUAUACACAGAUUCACAACAUCCAUGAAGCCUAUAUCUACUUAUAUACAUCAUCACUACUAACAAUUCUCUUACAAAAAACUACAAACUACCCCAUUCAACAAUCAAAAUCCAAAGUACAGCAAAAGAACUGUCCAGCUUUUUAAGCAGCUCCAGCUUACUCCUCCAUGCCAGCAUCUCCAGUGUGGUGCAAACUAGUAGACCUGUAGUGUUACAGCUUGAGCAGUAUUGGGUUGAUGAUUUCGAAAGUUCGAUUGUUAUAAGCAUUAAUUGCUUUCAUAUUCUCCAGAAUCAGCCAUUUGAUUGAUCUAACCAAGGUAGCUUCUUCCGUUUUUCUCUUCUGAAAUCACCACUAGUAUUUGUCUAAGGGAUGUGGGGACUUUUCAGUUUAUGAUUGGGGGAAAUUAUAAGAAACUUGGAAAUGGGAAAUUUUUGUACGUUGAAAAAAUUACUUGAUUGUAGUCAACCGUGUAGUUUUGAAAUUUCCGGCAUGUUAGAAAAUAUAACCACCAAAAGUACAAAGUUCUUAGUUUGGAGGACCACUUGCUUGGAGGAAAGAGUUUAGGUCACUGGAGCUGAUCGUCGUGAUUUUCACAAUCAUCUAACCAACUUUUUAGAUGUUAUGUUUUGGAAUGUAGUCAAAUCAUUUGAUCUCUUUUGCUCACUGCUUUGUUCUAACAAAUGCUAGAAUUCAAUUAGAUGUGUUUUAUACGUAUAUUCAUUCUUCAUUAGAGAUUAGAAAAUAAGUGGCUUUACUUUUGGGACUAACACAUUUUCUCUGCCCUCUGUUAUUACUGUCGGCAGUAUACAUACAGGUUAUUAACAAUCUAAUGCCAUAACCUUACGUCACAUUAACACUAUUUGACAUGAUCAUUUAUUCUAUGCAUUUAGGAAUGCUGCAUCUGCCUUUCUGCCUAUGAUGAUGGUGUGGAGCUGCGAGAGCUUCCCUGCGGCCACCAUUUCCACAGCACCUGCAUAGAUAAAUGGCUAUACAUCAACGCCACCUGUCCACUUUGCAAGUAUAAUAUUAUCAAAAGCAACAGCCUCGGAAGGGAGGAGGUGUAGAAAUGGGUGUUUCUUAGGUUUUGUUAGGCGCUUUCUGCAGCGCCGAUCUGGCCAUACCAGCUUGUCCAAGAAAGUGAGAGCCUUCAGUACUAUGGCAAUGUUUAUGUUUUUACUGAUUCAGUGAUGCAAAUAUUAAAAUUUAGCCCGUGAGAAUUAUGUUGUUGUUUUAUGUUAAUAUAUAGAGCUUUAGGGAACGAGUUAUUUUAUUCGGUGCUUGAAUUGUGCUCGAGUCGUAAUAUGUACCGAGUCAAGAAAAAGAAAUGUAAUUGUACCAGCUUCACUGCUAUGGAACACCAUUUCAAUAUGUUAAUAAAAUAUGUGGUGUUGUUAUAUUUGUUCUGUAGAGUUGUCGGUGUAGCUUUGUUGGGCAUUGUUAAAGUGCUGUCAUGGAUAAUGUAUGCUCAUAUUCCGUGCCUCAAAUUUUCUUGCGGAGUGCUGACACCGCUGAUUGGAGUUUCUAGUCCAACUUUAUAGUUGAAGACUAUCAGUACAUUUUGUUGGUAGGGUCACUUUGGAUCUUUUUGAAUUUUGAGCUCCUGAGUUGAUUAUCAGUAUGAAAUUUUUGGGUUGUCGAUUAAAUGUUAACAAAAUCUACAAUUAUAUAGCUCCGCUAACUAUUAGAAAUUAAAUACUGACAAAAUCUACAAUUCAAUUCUAUUAUUCGUUCUAUCCGUUUACAGCACUUUAGGAAAGCUAUAUUUUUUAUAUUUGGAACGUAAGUUUGUUAUCCACUAAUCAUAUCACUUGAGUUGGGAUUUAUUAGGAACUUGUAUUUUCUUGUUGAUGGAUUACUCAUGACUCCCAAAAAUAUGAAAAUGAGAAAAUCUCGUAACCCAUGGUAUUAUAAUUUUCUUCAUAGUUGAGGAUAUGUGAUAAUUUUAUAACUUCACCAAUACUUUACAAUGUCUCAACCCAAAUUAUGUAGCGAUGAUUUAAAUACUUUGAAUACAAAGUACAAAAAAAAUGAGAAUAUAAUGUAUUGUGAAAUGAACGACCUAUCGUUGACUUGUGGUUCAUUACUUCAUCAGCAUCUUUUACAAUUUCUCAAUUUAAGUUAUAUACCGAUUAUUUAAAUAUUUUGAAUAGAAAAUAUAAAAAUAUUUGGAAUAUAACAAACAGUGAAGCGAACGGUUGUUAGUGACUUACGGUCUCUUUCAUAUUAUUAUUAUUUCUUUUUCGUCUUCUUAUUGUUAUUGUUAUUGUUAUUAUUAUUCUUAGUCUUCUUCUUAUUAUUAUUUCGAUUUCACUAUCUAUAUCACACCUUGACCCGAGCGGCAGAAACCCUCUAUGCCGGUGCAUCGACAGACCUGUCGCACAGACAGAGCCUCCCAUGUCCGCAUGAACAAUGAACCAUAGGUUAUCAUAAUAUGUGUGAUCAAUUUAAAUUUACAAAAUACAAGUUACAACCAUCUACAUCAUAAUACAACUAUGAGUCACUUUCUCAAAUUAACAAAGUCAACAAUAAUAUUUCAUUUUCUAACUAAACCAAUGAGAUAAUGGCCGGAAUACUAUUCGUUAGUUCGCGAUGUCCUUACCGUGAUCACACACCUCCCUAAUAAUGGAAAGUGCUAAAAAAUAAUAACAACGAAUGGGUGAGAAUUUGAAAUACGUUACUAAUAGAUGCAACCGCCAAAGGCGGUGAUCUACCCUCACUUGACCAAAAGAGGCAUAAUAAAAAAAUAAGCAAUAUAUAGAAACUACUACUCAGCAUGAUAAUUAAGAUACAAUAAUGCCACUAUAUAUGCCUCGAUGAAGUUUUGAAGUUAUGAAAUUUACCAACUAGAUGUUCCAUUUGUUUAUUCAACAUGCAUCGAGUUCUUUAGGAGGAACUAAUAUCAUCUUAUCCCAAUUACCUUCACCAACCCAUAGAUCCAGUCGUCGCUUGCUCACCAUUGAAAAAGGUUGAAAAAGAUCAAUUUACCCUUAGUGUCGAAAAAGAUUGCCUUAUCAACAGUGAUACUUCUGGAAGGUCUUAUCUCAUGGAUUCACGAGGUUCACAAGUGAUGCCAUCUAAUCAUCUAGCCAUCUAGCAAAGUAUAGGAUCUUGCAAGCUUUAAUCUCAAUCCACAACUAUGGAUUUCUAUUACCAUGCCACCUCAAGGAUUUCACAAUAUCCACAUUUACCAAUGUGCAAAUCCAAUGAUAAGAUUUUUUCUCUAAUCCAUGCCACUUUAUUCACAUUGUGUCUCUUUUAUGUCAAAUGACCUCAUUUGUUGACUAAGUCUAUAAGUUAUGUGAAUUAUCUUAUAUAAUACUUACGUCAGGAUAAAUAAGUAUGUUAUGUCUUAUAAUAGAUAUCUCACUAGAAUUCAUAAAUUGAACAAUGUAUAAAAAAUAAUAGACAUGUAAGAAUAUUUGACUCAAUAGUAGAACUAUAUGAUUAUAACUAUGUUAUAUACAUGUACGAUAAUAGUCUAAUCAUGCUAUUCAAAAAAUACUUGUUGUAACAAAGAUGAAGAGACUAAGAAGAAAAAGACUUUAGACAAAGAAUAGAUCAAAUCCAUUUCAAAUGGUAUUCCCCAUCACUACUUGUAGAUCUCUUGUUGUACUUUCAUUGAGCACCCAAAAGCACAAUCCAAUAUAUAAUUGACGCUCUAACUACUUUAGAACUCUUAAAAACUUAAAAUUUAUAAAUUUUCAUAAAUUUAUUAAAAAUAAGAGAAAACUAACUUCUCUUUUUAGAAUCUUAUUGUAAUUCUCUUUUAAGUUGUUUAGGUUUUUCUUUCAAUCGUAAAAAAAAGAGUUUUAACUAUGUUAGAAUCCUAAAAAAGCUUUAUUUAAGAAAAUUCCAAAUUUUCUCUUCAAAACCAAAAACCUUACUUCUUGUGCCCUUAAUGAAAUGAAGGAAUUAGCUAGGGGCUACGACUAAGUGAGGGAUAUCCUUCUCUUGUUAUACCCCUAAUGUUCCUUACUCCUUGCUUCCAAUCUUGAAAGAUUUUACUUGUGAGAAAGGAGAUGGAGAAAACUAGAUUAGCUUCUUUUUUAGAAAGAGAGAGGAAAUGAGAGAGAUAGAGAUGGAUGGGGGUGUUGCUUGUGAAGGAGUGUAUAGGCUUAUAUAGAGUUGCUACAAUUGUAACGUAGACCUUCUAAAUCCAACAAUUUGCAUCUAUACAAAUUUUAGCACAAAACUGUGCGAAGUUCGAACUUUGAUUUCAUAGUCCAGAUUCCAAAGGUUCAUAUAGUUCAGUUGAAACUAAAGUCUGAACUUUGUUGUUAAAAUUUGAAUCUCAAAUCUAUUUUUACUCUCUGCCUAGUGGUUAUUUAGGUUUUACUCUCUGCCUAGUGGUUGAUUUCAUAGUCCAAAUUUCGAAGGUUCAUAUAGUUCAGUCGCAACUAAAGUCCAAACUUUGCUGUUAAAAUCUGAAUCUCGAAUCUAUUUUUACUCUUUGCCUAGUGGUUGUUUGGGUUUUCCUCUCAAAGUCUAGAUCAUAAACCCUGUUUUUCUAUUUUGCAGGCAAGAUUCAGGCUCUUUUUUCAAGAUCUAAAUUUUGAACGCAAACUGCUCAGAAAUCCAUUCAAAAUUUGGUUCUCCAAACUUUGCUCUAAAAUCCGCUCAAAGCCAAGUGCUUUAUUUAUGGAUUUAAACUUUGACAUGUGCUAUUCUAAAUUUUUUUAAUAAUUAUAUAAUUUUCGAUACUUGUUACUUUUCUUUUGACACAAACUAUUUGGGUACAUAUUAUGCUUGAAUUUUUUUUUUUAGCUUUUUCAAUGAUUGGAAACAAAUAAAAUGUCAGUUUUUGUACACCUAUAUAACGAACUUUUGCCUUUUUUAUAACUAUCUCUUGUAGUUUUUUCUCUUUCCAAUCAAGUAUGUUAUUAUUCUCAAUUCUACUUUUUUUUAAAAAUUUGUAUGUGGUGUUGAUGUUUUUUCUUCAGUUGUUCGUACAGUUUGAUAAAAUUUUGGAAAGAAAAUGAUUAUAAAAUAAAAAAAUUUAUUUCUUUAAGGAAAAAAAAUUAUAUAUUAAACUACUUGUUCCAUAGCAUUAAAAAUAAGAAAAAAUAUUAUGCUACAGUCUAUAGCUCUAUACCUACCUAUACAUUAUUUCCCAUAGCUUUGCCACAUGGCAAUUCCUCCUUCACUCUUGCCUUUUUCUUCCUUUCCACUCCUUUGUGCUUUGUCUUCCCACAUCCUAUAUGUUUCAUCUUUUUAUUCACUGAUUUUCUAAUUAAUGCAUUCACAUGGUCUAUUAUCAUUUGAACAAAUCACUUUCACAAAAAAAAUUAAUAAAAUAAGAUCUCUUCAUACUCUUUUCUUUUAUACUAUUUAUAUUUAUUGAUAAUUCAUUGCAACUAAAAAAAUUUUAAAAUUGUUACUUUAUCAAUAUUUUGUCUUUUUUACAAUAUGAGCGGCAAUACGCAAGUAACUUCACUAGUGUCUACAUUAUUGCUACCAAAAUGGGCAGGGUUUAGUUUUUUUUCCCCACACCUAAAAGAAUUUUGGCUAUGCAUCCUACAUGAAAUUUUUUUAUAAGUCAAACUUUACAAAACUAUAUAUAGUAUUUUUCGCCUUUUCUUAUAGCUUUUUCUUCCUCUAUCAAAAUAUGUAUAGUAUUUUCUCUUUUUUAAUAUGUUUUUUAAAUUGUGUGUGGUAUUGAUUUAUUUCCUUUGAUUAAUGAAAUUUUCGAAAGUGAAGGAUUAGAAAAUAAUAAAAGUUAUCUUUAAGAAAAGAAAAAUUAUACAUUAAUAUGUUAUAGAAAUAUUUUUUUGCAAGUUAAGUUUUACAAAACUAUCUAUAGUAAUUUUUUUUACAAUUAUUAGAGUCUGAUAGCUCUUUGUUACUCUAUUAUGUAUGUUAUUAUUUUUAAUUUUGUUUUUUUAGUAUGUUCUUUAAUUUACAUGAAAUUUAGGAAAGCAAACAAUUUGAAACUAUUAAAAUUUGUCUUUAAGAAAAGAAAAUUUACACCAUAAUAUUUCAUAUUUGGAAUUUUUUUGAUAGGUUAAUUUUACAAAAAAUAUGUAUAGUAAUUAUUGCUUUUUUUUUUACUGCUAUUUGUUAAUUUUUUUUUAAAGUAUAUAUUAUUAUUCUAAAUUUUGUUCUUUUAAAAUAUUUAUCUAAAUUGCGUGUUGUGUUGUUCUAUUUUCUUCAGUAAAAAUUAUCUUUCAAAGCAAGAAAAAUCAUACAUUAAAUUAUAUUUGUCCUACGCGAAAUUAAAAGAAGAAAAAAAUUUUAUUGUUAUUAAAUUUUAUUGUUAUUAAAAUUGGAAAGGUUUAAUAUUUUAUAGAUUUAAACUUUGACUCGUUUUCCAACUUUUUUGACAGCUGUAUUUUUUUUUGGCAUCUGUAAUUUUUUUUGACAUAAAACUAUUUGGCUACAUGUCAUGCUUAUAAUUUUUUUUUACUUUUUUUGGUAAUUAAAAGAAUAAAAUGUCAAGUUUUAUACAUGUGCCUUUUUUACAACUAUCUCUAUCAUAGUUCUGAUUGCUAUAAUUUAAUUUAUGCAGCUAUUAGUAUAAAUUAUAUUAUUAUUAUAAUAUAAUAAUUUAGACUUUUAUGAAAACUAGUACGUGCAAUGCACAUCACACAAAAAAAGAAAGUAAAAAAAAAUAAUUUAAUUAUUUUUUUUGGAUUUCUCAAAAUGUUUAUUAAAUUUUUUGGUUAUUAAAAAAAAAAUUAAUUUGUUUAGUUUCAUAUUGUUAGAUUUUUUUGUGAUUAUCAUAGGUAGGUUUUAAAAUUUUUAUACCCCUGUGUAACUUGAAUAAAAUUAAAAUCAUGGUAAUAAAUGAUUUGAUAUGAAAAACAUGCUACAUUUUUGUAUAACAUAUUACAUUUUUUUAAAAAAGUAAUUUAAUUAUUUUUUUGGAUUUCUCAAAAUAUUUAUUUAAUUUUUUGGUUGUUAAAAAAAAUUAAUUUGUUUAGUUUCGUAUUGUUAGAUUUUUUGCGAUUAUUAUGGGUAGGUUUUAAAAUUUCUAUAUCUCUGUGUAACUUGAAUAAAAUUAAAAUUAUGGUACUAAACUAUUUGAUAUGAAAAACAUGUUGUAUUUUUGUAUAACGUAUUAUAUUUUUGUCAAUUUACAUAAUUUUAUUAUAAUAAAAAAAUAUUAAUAAUAAUUCAAAUAAUACAGCACGCAAUCACUAUCCAAGAUUAUGUUGGAAUGAUUCGACAAAAACUUAAAAUGUAUGGGAGAAUUUUUUAAAAAAUAUUGUAAUUAAUAGAUAAAGCUAAUAUGACUUAUUGUAAUAGAGGAGCCACAAAAGUUUAAUUAAGAUAUAAUCUAAAUUAGAUGUGCGAGAGGAAAGAGCAUAUAGAUUAGAAGCGCCAAUAUAGACAACACUCUAAUGUGCAGAGUGCUGAUAAUGAGCCAAUGCAUAGAAUGCCGAUUAUUUGCCUGCGCAUGGAGUGUUGAUGCUGUGUCGACAAUGAUGUGCCCCGAUGAUGCGCCAACAAAGACAUGCAAACAGCUGAUAAUGUUUCGGUGAGAAGAAAGACGACGAUAUGCCAGCGAAGGCGACGAUGAUGAUAUGCCGGCGAGGACGAUGACAAGUGCCGAUGAUGAUGUGCUGGUGAGGACAAUGAUGACGAUGACAAUGUAUCGGUAAGGAUGACGACUUAUAUGUAGAUCGCAGCUGAGGAGGUGUGGAAGGAAUGGAAGGCAUGGAAGGAAUAGAGAGAAAAUAGUAUAGAAAAGGAUACUAAGAGAAACACGUGAGAAAUUUGAGAUAUUACAAUACGGGUAUUAUACGUGAGAAGCGUUGAAUAAGAUACAAUAGUAAGGUACUAAAAAUAUAUUAUAUAUGGGAUAAUAGCAGAGAUAUUCUAUCGAUAAAGUGAAACGCAACAAAAAUAUUAUAUGUGAGAUAUUAUCAACUAUGAGAUAGUAUAUUAAUGAGAUGAUAGACAGCGGAAAUAUUAUAUGCAUGAUAUUUUCAACCGUUGGAUUAGAGCCAACAAUUAAGCUCUAUAUUUAAAAAACGCGUGAGAGGGUGGGGUAUUAUGAUGAAAUAAUAGGUGGAGGAUAUUACACAUGAAAAAAGAUAAAGCUAAUAUCUGGUCAACAAAAUAUUAACCUCUAUAUUUACAUGAAAUAUUACUAAAAAAAUAUAGUGGUAUUUUUGGAGAAAGAAAAAAAAAAAACAAAACUCAAUUUUUUAUUAGUAUAGAUAUAGAUAAAGGUUAAAGGUUAAAAGUUACUACUGCACGGCACGAGCCCUUUGAUAAUAAUAUUAAAAGGUAGAUUGGGAGAUUAUAUGACAACCCUCCUCAACUAUGAAAAAUUAUUGCCUGCAUAUGGUCUAUUAAUGAUUCACAUAUACUAAAUUUAUAUUCUAACAAUUAAUAUUGUAAAAAAUUAAAAUGUAAUUUGAUAGAUAUAAUUUUCAACACAUGAAAAGACUAUUUAUAAAAAAUUAUAGGGUUUAGACUUCUCUAAUGGCAUCUUAGAAAUAUAGUGUAUAAAUUUUAUUUAUAUCUAAUGCAUGUAACAAUUUUUUCGCCACUUUCUCAUCUUUCCCUUUUCAACUAUGAUAAAUUAUUGAUUGCAUCUGGUCUAUAAGUGCAUCGCAAGUAUUGAACCAACUUUUUAAUAUUUAAAAUCUAAUUGAUAAUGUGACAUAUAUUAUAUAAAAUGCCUACAUAUAAAAAAUUACAAGAUUUAACUUUUUAUAAUAGAGUUUAAUUUAGAAAUGUAGUGUGUAAGAUUUACUAAUACGCCUGCUGAACGAAAUAAUUUCUUCUCUAUAAUCCCAUAAUUUUAUUAAUUUAUUAAUUUAUUUAAAUUAUUUUUUCUAACUUUUGUUCAUGUUUAUCUUUAUAAAAUAAUUUAGUUACUAAUGAACUUUUGUAUUUCACUCAUAUACUUUCUCUAACUCUCUUGCAUAGAUUUUUUUAUAAAAUAAUUUAAUUACCAAUAUCUUUUUAUAUUUCUCUUACAUUCUUUGACUUCUUCUAUUUUCUUUAGCCAACUUCACAUAAAUUUUCUUAAUUAUAUUACUUUUUAUUUUUUAUAUUUAUAGUUUUAUAAAAAUUUAUGUCGCACAUAUACUAAUUUAAAUUAAUUUUAUUAUUAAAGUAUUAUAAUUUAAAUUAAUAAUUAUCCUUAUAAAAUUAUAUAAAAAUAUAUAAAAAUUAACUAAAAUUUAAAAUUAAAAUAUUUAAUAUUCGAUGCAUCGCAACAAGUCCUGAACUAAUUUUAUAGUAUGUUAGGGUGCGGUGUGUAGUGCACCAGGUGCAUUAAUAGGAGACGUCAUUUAUAAAAAUAAUUAUAUAGCUAGCCUAAGGGCUUAGUUUGGAAAUGUGGUGGCUAAAAUCAGCAUUAUUGUACUAUGCACGGUCUAAAAAAUUUAAAAGUAUUUACGGUUUUUUCUUCUUCAAUAAUUUAAAAUUUUAGUUGCAAUUGCAACCAGAGAAGUACGUGACUAGAUGUUUCUCUAGUGGCAGGUGGAACCUUAAAUGUGGGCUAGUUUGGUGUUACCUUGGCUAAAAUUAAAGCACCAUUUUAUAUUUUGCAAAGUUAAAAAAAAUUCAAAAGUAUAUUUAAUAUUUUCUCCUCCAAUUAUUUAAAAAUUAUGAUUGCAAUCGCUAACAAAGAAGCAUGUGCAUCACAGAAGCAAGUGGCUAUGGCCACAAUUUUAGAGUACAAAAUAUUGGAAGAUUGAAAUCACUUUCAAAAAUUUUAGGCUUCUAGAAUGUCAAAAUAAUACUAUAGGCCCUGAUAGGAUGCAUGAAUAUCUUAUUAGUAUAUCUCCGCAAUUUAUUAGUAAUCAUAUUAUAAACAUAAGUCAGAAAAAAAAAAAAAGAAGAUUGAGAGUGCUUUUGAAAUUUCAAGCCUUCUAAAUUAUAGAGAUAAUAUCUAAUAUAUCCUUCAAAAUUUCAAAAAAAAAAAUCUAGUAUAUAUCUGAUUGACCAAAUAUCCUUUUUGAUUUCCAAAAAAAUUAUUCAAAUAAUUUCAAGCCUCUAGGAUUUACUGCUAGUAUUUAAAUUUAGAAAAGCAUUUGAUAAUUUUAGGAUAAAUUUAAAAAUUUUAAAUAAUAGUCAAAGAUAAAUAUGCAAAACUUUAUUAUAAAAACAAUAUUUUUUAGCUACGACCUUAUCAAAGUAGGCGCAAGUCCGGCCCGACAAGGCCCGUAAAGACUGCAGCCCGUUUAGAUGUAUAGUUGCGUGAGAGCCCGUCCGACGGCCCUUUCCAUCGUGUCCGACGGAUCCCGACUCCCGAUCGCUGGCUGGACGACUUCAAGAACUUUGCCUCCGAUCGUUUUCUUUCGCCUCCGCCGCAGAAAAAUUCGAGAUCGCGGGUCCUCUCGAUGGGGUUCCUCGUGACGACCCUUAUCUUCGUGCUCGUCGGCGUCGUCGCCGCCCUCUCCCUCCUCCUCUGCUGCAACCGCGGCGUCUCCACCAACCUGUACGCUUCUCUCUCUCUCUCUCCUACCUCCCUCGUCGUUUCUCUUCCUAGGGUUUCGAUCGAGAGUAGGCCGCGUCGAUUGAUCGGAAUGAAUUAGGGCGUUUCGUUUUCCGUUUUGACCUUGGGAUGUUGUCGGAUCGUGAGUGAAGUAGGGUUUGAGUAGCUAUCGCUCUUUGUAAUUUCCGACUUUGGCCAUGAUCUGUCGACAAAUAUGAUAUUUUUCCCGUCUCGCAAAGGGGAAAAUGAUGGGACUCGGAACCUCUUCGGAUUUGGAAUCUGUGUUGAAAUCUCGACUAGUGGCUCGUUGGAUUAGCAAGAAAUUGUGCGGAGACGAGGAGGUGUUGGAUGAUGUUGUCAACAGUGCUUGAUUUUAGUGUCGAUUGGUGCAUUCGUUGUGUUGAAUAAUGUGAAAUGGCCGUGUUAAUUGGGAGGAGCCUGGAGGGGUUUGAGCUCAGGAUCCCCGGCUCUACGUGAUGUAACCGGUUUUCUCUAAAAGCGUAAGCUGUUUGCGAAUGGUGCUUUCAAUAUUUAUAUUCAACACAUUUGAAUUGGAUCAAGCUGUGGAUUUCGAUAUUGUUUGAUUCAUUCGUUAAAAGGGCACAGGCCUUCGUGCUUUUAGUUGUGCUAAAAUGUGUAUUUAAACUUCUUAGAUUGCUACUGCAUUUAUGCUUACUCGAGCAUAAGUCGAUCCUUUUCUUCUGUCAAUUCGUCAUCUAAUGUUAGAGCCUGUUGUUUAUUUGAUUUUGUGGUUAGCAGUACCACUUUCUGGGAUUUUCUUUGUACUUUCUUCAAAGUCUGCUAAACGAUAGCUUCCUUUUGUUUAAUUCUACAUUUCUUUUACUAGUUGAAAUGGGAGUUUUAAUGCAUUUUUUUAAUGACUAACGCAAUUUGGUGCUGCAGGCUGCAUGUAACUUUGGUUAUAACAGCUGCAGUUUGUUGUUGGAUGAUGUAAGUUCUCAUACUUCUUGCAUUUCUGUAACUUUAAAUAUGAAUUGCAUGUUCUGUAUUCUUUGAUAUACUCUCUUAAUUACAUUGAUGCUGUGAAAAUUAAAAUUUUGUAAUAUAUACUUUACCUUUCUUCAAUGGCGCAAAAUUUUCUCUUAGCUUGUUGAUGACCUAGUGUAGAGGAGGAAGUUUUGUACUUAACAUCCUUGCAAAUUGCAAGACCUCUCCACACUAAAUAAUUUUAAGGUCUACAUUUUGUCCCCUAUUGUUGGCAGCGAUCUUACACACACAUAUUUUGGGAGAGUGCAAGAAUGAACUUUUGCUAUUUUUUAACAGGUUAAGCUGUAUACAAAACUGCCUAAUUCUAUACAUAAUUUUAGUUUUCUUCUGACAAAGAAAUUAAAUUAGAGUGUUGUGUAAGAGUGUAUCUUAUCAUACUUUAUGCUUUUCUUUCUAACCUUUUAUGUUUGCUGGACUUUAUACAAUUCUGUCCAUGGAGCUUUACGUAUUAAAAUGUCAAAUAAGAGUUGGCAGUACAACUACAUCUAGAAAAUUCUAAAGCUUUUGCACUAGCUGGUGUCUGGUUCCAACUUAAAUGAGGUCUUAAAACUGUUUUCGCACCUAGGAAGGAUUUUUCCAAGUGUUUGGUUCCAUGUAGAGUAUUUAUCAGUGAAAAAUAGUUUAUGUAUUAAAAUGUCAAAUGAGAAAACACCCAUUUUCAUUUCCAAAUCUAUUUUAUGAAAAAUAAAAACCGAAAAUUGAAAACAUCUCUCCCUCACUUUCUCUCACCCCUUUCAUUUCCAUCUACUUCAAACUAAACAGGUAUAUGCCUAAAAAAUUAUAUUUAUUUUAUGCCGAACCAAAAAGCAAUAAACAAACUUUUCAAGUUAUGAGAAAAAUCUUUCUAAAAUUUAUGCUCAACAACUUAAAUGUGACACCAAACGCCGCCUCACUUUUUACAACUGGAUCUUGUCCGUUAUGGAAUAUGUCUGGCACAAGCAAUCCACCAUUUGAACAGAGAAAUUCUAUUGAAUAUUCUGCUUAGGGGGUGUUUGGAUUGACAAAUCUUCAUAUCCAAUGUAGCUCAAGUGUAGUGGUGUUUGAGUUUCCCUGAAGUGUGAUUAUUUUUUUGUUGUUUCUUUUGACGUAAUUCGUACGGUCUGAAAAUUAAAUUCAAUCACAUCUUCUAUUUGUUUUGAUGUAAUCUGAUACUGGUGAAAUUAGUUUUUUGAGUUCUAUUAUUUAUUUUGAUAUAAAUAAGUGGAUCCCGUUACGUCCUAAAUAUAGUGGUAAACUUAUCUUUAUAAACACCAACCUAUUAAAUAAUUAAAUCCCUCAUUAUUGUUUGGAAAUAAUCUUAACCUAUUGUAAAAAGAAGUAACUCUAACCCAUUCUAAAGGAAGUAAAGUUUAGGUUUAAUAUUUAAUAAAUUUUUGGAGAAAGUUGAGUGUGGCGGAAAUUGAGUUCGGUACUUUAGAAGGGGAAGUCAAGAGUAGGUGAAGUGGAGGUCCAUCGUAACUUUGAGUUACAUUAUUUUUUUGACUUACAACAAAACAAACACCAGAAGUGAUGGAACUUGAGUUCCACCCCUCCAUUUACACCAAACCAAUCAGCCCCUUAGUCAUUUUCAAUUCUGCUAGUACUGUAUUUAGGAAAGGUUACAAGCUGUUUUUUUCUCUCUCUGUCACCUGUGAUUGCCUUGAACAGCACUACUAGUAGGAUGUUGAUCUCAACUAGGAAUGGAAUAACUAUGAUACCUGGGCGUAACUAGCAUACUAACCACCUGACUUAAAAUACAGAGCAAUGCAAAAUAAUUGUAAUUUCGUCUAUAAACUUAGGCCCUAUUUGUUGCUGUUUGCGUUCUUUUUGUUUUCUUGAAUGCAAAUUCUUCUAGAGUCCACCAAUGGAUGGCUGGCAGGUUGCUCACACACCAUAUAUCAGCAGAAUGAAUUUUUAUAUCGAAACCUUUUCCCCCUUCAGAAGUCGUCGUUGGGCAUCUUAUUGUGCACAGUGCAAGCGAACCAGCAAUGAUUAAAAUAGAGAAGUCUAUUUGUUGGUACAUUCAAUCACAGAGGAUAUGUGUUGAAAAAAGUAAAAAAAUAGCAAUGAUAUGAAAGAUAUCUAAGCAAAUUGAUUUAAAUCUGACAUUCUAUUAUCCUACUUUAGCCAACCUGAAUAGGUAAGAGUUUAAGAGCUGCAUAAAGAUUUAUCUGAUCAGAUCUUCCGGGACCUCAUUUUGAUCUGCUUUUAUUUGAAUAUUGAUUUCUUCAUUCAUAGCCAAAUUUACAUUGCUAGUUCUAUAACAUAUUUCCGGUUGAAUUUGUAUUUUGCCAGUGGAAACCUACCCAGUCGAGCGGGACAGAUUACUUAAUUCUUCUAUUUCAUUGUUUCUUAUAUCUUUCUUCUUUUCACGGUUUGCUUCCCAGCCUCUUGAAAUAUGUAUGGCAGAUAUAUAUUGCUCUCAAUGGAACUCUUUAUAUAUGGCAUCUUAGAUUUUCUGUUUUCCUUAGGUUUCAGAUGAAUACCCACCACAUAUGGACCUAGCAGUGUUUUAUUUUAAUAUCAGCUACCACUUUUUGUCAUAACAUCCCAGCUUCAAAAUCAUCAAUAUCCAUCCCUUGCUAUUGACCAGGAGAGUAGAAACUGAACUUUAGAAGACUAGUUAAAGCUGUAAAGACCCAGCCCACGAGGACUAAUCACUUGCUGGGUCCUAAACCACUGGCUCAAAAUGCUUAAUCCCAGUUAUUAGUUCUAGUAUGCCUGUCACAUAUAAGCCCCUCGCACUCUCCCAUAUUAUCUGAUGUGAGAUUAUUGAGGUGUCACAAAAGUUCUCACAUUGUAAGCGCCAAUCGCCGUGAUCCUUCCGUUAAAUCAUCAUUUUCUUAAUAGCCUGGUAGGACUUCGGAACAAGUUACGCUGAUAACUUGUGCCAUAUGCAGAUUUUCUUUUGUGAUCAAAACCUGGCAGUAUAAUUUUUAGCUACUAUGAUAUCUUAGUAAUUCUGAUUUUGUAGGCUAGUUUGUUCCACUUAUUAGGCGGUUUCUCAAAUUUUGUAAAUUUUUAAAAAAAGAGUCAAAGGCCCUCCAAAGUUAUAAACUAUGUGCCCUUCAAAGUUAUAAACUAUGUGGUUGGAGACGAUAUUUUCUUUUUUGACAAUUAGAAGCCAAAUAGGCUCAAGCUCCCCUCACUAGGACUCAAAGCUGCGUCCUACCCAACCCCUUCCCCAGACCUUACCACUGGGACGUGGGAACUCGAGUGGUUUGAUGUUGUAGACAUCUUUUCAUACACCCCAACAAUGAAUUACACAUCUCGCUCUCCCUAGAUUAAACAAAACUAAAUAUGUGAAACAAAAAUAUUGAUGCACCCAAACAGGCUCCAAGGGAUAUUAAGAUUCAAGUUCAGCAUUACUCCAUGUUACACCAGAAAGCUAGUUUGAAUAGUUUCUUGAUCUUAUUUCUCAUUUCUUUUUGGAGCCUUUAUAUCCUGUUAUCCUUGUUUCUUAUGUCAUACUUUGUGUUCUUAGUUGCAGGACUCUUAAUAUAUAUGCAAUAUGCUGCUGAUUCCGUCACUGUUUCAUUCAGUUGAACCUAUCUAUUAGUCGCAACAUAUUUAACACAAUUUUUUAUACUGUUUUCAUGGAUAUCGGUUUUGUUGUUAUUGUUAGGUGGGCGAUCGUGUAUCUUGCACAGAUGAAGCCAUUAAUCGUUCCCAUCCUCAGCGGAGAGUAGGCUGCUUGUGAAAGAAUGUAAUUCAUCUGCAUCAUGUCAUUUCAACAUUAUGUCUUGUAUUCUGCUAAAGUUUUACGCAAGCAGUUGCUAUGGUAUGAUACUAGUUAUUCUUUUGCUUUCUGAACCAAGUGGAUUUGUAUCAAUAAAUAAUGGAGUUGCAGAAUAUUCACAUAUAUACGCAUAUUCUUGGCUUGUUGUUAAUUCUAGAGUUUUGACUUGAGCUGAAUAAAAGAAUGUAAUUUUGUUCUUGGUUUUGCAUAUGCAUGCCAAAAGGAAAUAUGUUUUUGAGUAUGAAAUGGUUGCUGCUGUUCUGUUUAAACUUUUCUUUUUGCCAUUAUAUAUAUCCCUGUUGCAGUUUGGAAGUAAUUCAUUUUGUCCAAGGAAACUAGGAAAUAAUUUCGUUUUCCUCUUUCGGCUUCUAUAUCAAUGUUUGAAAAAAAGUAAUUGUCGUCUGCAGUAAGGAUCUGUUUGGUCGGAUGUAGCUAUAAAUAUAGUGUAGUUAAAGAUGCAUAUUGUUGGAAAAAGUUGCAAGUACAUAUUGUUCCUACAAAUAUUUUGUUUGGAUGGUUAUAGUUGGGAGGUGCAUAUGAAGAUCAUAUUAUUUAUUUAUGGAGAAUGAAGAAAUCACCUCCAAAAAGGUAAAAAAUUUAUUGAAGAGAUCAGUGGUAAUGUAAGGUUAUCUUUUGAAUAAGUUUGCUCUCUACAUUUGUUGUAUUUUUAAGUACAUUUAAUUUCAUACUGUUGCAACUAUACGGUAGUUGUUAUUAUAUGCAGAUUCAAAUACGAUGUUUAGUUCAAUGUAUUUGAAUUUAUUUGUUAUAGUUAGAAUUGCUGCUAGUUUGAAUAUAGUUCUAACCGCUGAAGUUGGGGUUGCUUGUGUAGUUUGUAACUAUGCCAAAUUGUUCGGAAUUCUAACUAUUCUAGUUUGAUUAAUUAACUUUAAACUAAGGAUCUUAUAUUCUUACUCACUUUUCCAAUAGAAGAUAAUUUUCUUCUACAGUAGGGGAUAAUUUGAUCAUUUUAUAUACAAAAUGAUAAAAUUUGCAACUACAAGUUUGUUUGCUCCCUUCAAAGAUUUUUCUUUUUUUAUGAAUGAACCAAAAAUAUAAGCAUAAAAGACAAAAAUGCACAUGAAAUGUUUGCAUGCAACUAGUAAUUAGCACCAUCACAUGGCAGAUCUUAAAACUCGAAAUUUUAGCCUUUCAAUCGUUAUGGAGGUUUAUUUCCAUGAAAAGUCAAAUCGGAAAUCAAUUUCAUGUUAAAGCUACUUAAAGAAAUAUUGUGAUAACAUAAAAAAUUGAAUAGGAAGGAAAUCAACGUUAUUUUAAUGAAGAGAUUCAAUCACAUUUUGGAAAUAUGGGUAUCUUUGGGUCUUCGGAUACGCCAUUGCUACUGCCAUUUCCCCCUUUUAAGUCUUUUUUUUUUUUUCUUAAUAUUAAACCCGACACCAGAGAACAGAUCCAAAAUUUAACCGUGCGCACGAGUCGAACGUCCCGCGUAGUUUAGUUCCUAAUUCAAGUGCUUUAAUUUUCCAUUAACCUUCAAAAAAAAAAAAUCAGAAAUGUGAUUUGUGGUCAACUUAUUAUGCAGCAUACAAAUAAUAAUAAUAAUUGUAUGGUACUAUCAACUUUAUGACCAUAAAAUGUCUAAGAUUAAGUGGGUGGUCGUGUAAUAGUAAUAAUCCAAGAAUGAAAAAGUGGGUAGUACUAUAAUAUCCUAAUUAAACUCAAUAAGAUUUUGUGCUGGAAUACUAUUAAUAGCAUAAUACUAUCCACUUUGUGAUUAUAGUAAUCAUCGAAGAAUGAAAAAGUAAAUAAUAUGUAUUAUUAAUAGAAAUAGGGCUAAUGUGCUAUUAUGAGUACAGUAACCCUUAUACUCCUAACUUUCUAGUCAUCCAUCAAUUUUGAUGGAUGGUUAGGAUGAGUUAGAGAAGAGAAAUUGAAUGUCUCAAUUUCUCUUCUUUUUGAAUUUCUCUCCAAUCUUUCUUCUCUAACCCAUCCUAACCACCCAUCAAAAUUGAUGGAUUAGUUAGAAAGUUAUGAGCACAAAGAUUACUGUGCUCCUAAUAGCAUAGUAGCCAUGCUCCUAUUAAUAGUACUUUAACUGAACUACUCCUAACAAUAAUAAUAAUUACAAAUGGUUAAUCUCUCUCCAAUCUAACUCAAGAAACAAAAACCAGCAACUCCAAAAUCAUCAACACAAAUGCGAAGGGCAAUCUUUGACAUUCCAUGUCAAUUCUCCUACAAAGCAUUCAACGAAAAAGGAAAACAUAAUAAAUAAAAUAAGAAAAAAGAAAACUCUCAAAAAAAAUAAAAAUUUUGCAAUCCCACCAAACUACAAAUCAACAGAGCAAUGCUAUCUUUACACCUAUAAAAUAGGUAUAAAUCUUGUUUAUCCAAAAGCCAUAAGUUUUUUUACUAGUCAUAUUAUUUUUUUAAUAUUUAAACUUUAACAAUACACUUCGAAAUAAAAGAGUUCAAGAUCUGCCCUGAAAAGAAAAACAAAACUUUUACAAUCUCACAAAACUACAGAAAUUAAAAGCAAAAUUAAUGCUGCAUUCACAUCUAUGAAAUAAGUGUAAAUUUUUAUUCAUCUUAAAAUCGCAAUUAUUUUACUAGUCAUAUCAAUUCUUUUAAUACUAAAAAUCUAAAAAAAUUUGGUAGACUCCGAGAUAAAAAAUAUGUAAAAUUUACGCAGAUAGUAUUUUUCUUGGAACAGAANAAAAAAAAAAAAAAAACCCUAAAUCCCACGUCCUCCACAAGAGCCCACAACAGGAUACCCCAUCACCACAUGACCUGCCUCUUCAUAAUGGUGAUGAUGAUCAUGGUUCCCUCCUCCUCCUCCUCCUCCUCCUCUCUUCACCACCCUCCUCACAGAAAAAUUCACGAUCCCAUUCCUCCUCCCCUCUCCAUCCCUCAACCUGUAGCUCAAAAGGUGCAGGUACCCGGCCGGGCCAUGCGAAAACUCCGCCACCGGCACUGCCGCCGCCGCCACCGGCACGGGCACGGUCCCGGUCCCCCAGCCCUGCUGCUUCCCGCACCCGACCUCGACGCGUAUCGACCGCGCGGAGCUCGGAAGCCCCACCAGAAGCCGCUCGUUCCACGUGGGGCAGCUCCCGCCGUCGCGGUCGAGCGCGGUCGCCGCCGCAUCGCGGGGCCCCGUCCGGACCGUCACGAACGCGUCCUUCUCGACGGGCCGGCCGUGGCGGCCCACACGCAGGUCCUCCGCGGAGAUUAUGAUGAUUUCUAACAACGUCGACGAUGAUGACGGUGUCGGUGACGCGGCCAUGAUAAAUUAGUUCGUGAAUAAAGAUGUAUAUAGAGUAGGGAAUAGCUAGUUAGGGUUUUUCUUUUAUAUAUAUGUAUGUAUAUAUAAGCAGUAGAUACGUAAGUAGUGGGGUUUGGAUUGUUAUGGAAAGUGGAGAGGAACUAACGUGCGAAUCGAAAGUGCGAGGACGCUACUGUUGGCGCGUGGUCUAGAAAACGCGGGUUUUGAACGUUGGAAUGUGUUGGUGUGGAAAAAAUUGCGCGUUUUGCGGUAAAAAAUAGAUUAGGGUUAAGACCCCCUGUGGACCUGGUCCUAGGGGUGUAAUGUGGGCCGUGCUGGGCUGGCACGGCCUACAUUUUUUGGACCGAAUGGGCCAAGAAGUACCCCGGCACUGCCCAAUUUCAGAUCCGGGCCGGGGUGGGCCAGGCUAGUUUUCUCACAACUCGAGCCCAGCACAGCACCCGGCCCGAACGGUACGGGCCGUGCCGGGCCAGGUCGGGCCGGGCUCCGAGCCGCCCAUUAUUAUUUUUAAAAUACAAUAAAUUUUAAAAUAUAAAAUAUUUAUAUAUAUAUAUAAUUAAACUAUAAAAUUUAGGAAAAACUUCAAAUACCCCCCAUGUGGUUUCGCACUUUCUCACUUUAGUACCUUGUGGUUUAACGUGUAUCAAGUUAGUACCCUAUGGUUUCGCACUUUCUCACUUUCCUGUUAAAGGAUGCAGUUUACACAUCAACGUACACAUCAAAGGAGAAAUAGCACAACAAGAGAAAAAAUAGUAAAAUAAGAGAAGAAAUAGUAUAAAUAUUUCCUCUUAAAGAGUGCAAUAAGAGAAGAAACAGUGUAAAUAUCUCUCAAAGAGUGCAACUUUCGUUUAAAGAGUGCAAGGGCAGUUUACAUUUACAAGAGUGCAACUUAUGUCUAUAAUAGUGCAACGUUCUUUUAAAACAGUGCAAUUUAAUCUUAACAGUGCAAAUUCAUCUUCUUCUCUGGUUUUCUUUAUUAUUCUCUAGUUUUUGGCCUUUUACUUUUCUUUUUUUUUAAAAAACAAAUAAAAGUGCUAAUCUAGAGAUACGCUCGUGCAUUUCUCGCCCUUCUUGCCUCCGACACAGUCGAGGCCGCGCUCGUUGCCGCCCUCUGGGGUAGGCGGGUGGGCGGCGUGCCCCCUCCCUCGCCAGCAAGCUUCUUGACACUGAAAAAUGCUUUCUCUUUAUCGUCGACGGUGGUGGUGGAAACGCGAGUUCCAAGAAGUGAAUUUGGUGGAUGCAAAAUCCACUACAGUGGAGGUGGAUGGCGAAGGCGAAGGAAGAGGACGCGUUACCGUCCUCGUUAUCAUCGCGGAGGGCAGCGGAGGAGAUGGAAGAGGGUCGGAGAAAAAAAAAAAGAGGGUCGCAGUACGGCCUCGGCGAGGUCGGAGGUGAGUAGGGCGAGGGGUACGCGGGCGAAGGUGAGGGUGAGGGCAUGAGGUGCAGAGACGAUGGGACCGUUUCCGCUUUCGUCGCCGUCACUUUCUUCGGUGAGAAAAAAAGAAGAACGCGAGAAAAAAAAAGGUGAGAGAAAAAGGUAAAAGGAUAUUUUGGUCAGUUUACUAAAAAUCCGACUCGAAUCUGUAAAUCGAAAAAGGUGGCCCACUUUUGCAAAAGCACAAAACUAGUGAAUUUUUUUUUAUGUAAAUUGGCAAAAAAUUAUCGUAAUUCGAUAAGCAAUUAGAUUGAAAUGCUAGAUGAGAUAAGGGUUCCACAAAUUGAUGAUACUUAAAAUACAGUUAGAUAUAUUUUGAGUGUAGGUAAUAAUUCAUCCUCUAAUAAUAGUCAAAACUCAAAACAACAACAGCGAAUUUCUGUUAAGAGUUUGCAACUUAUAAUAUUAAACUUAAAAGUUUGGGGGCUAAGACAUAGUUUAGGAAUAUGACAAUUAAAAUCACCACUUUUAUUUUUUGAAAAGUCUAAAAAAAUUAAUUAGAAACGCUCCAAUAAUUCCUCCUCUGAUGCUGUAAACUUGCGAUAAAGUUUACUAUCAAAUAAGCAGAUAAUCACACCAUAAAAACAUAUAAGCAGGACGGAUUUAGGGAUUGGAGCGUAUUCUAGGCGUGUUGAUUUUUAUUUCAAUCCCACUUGUCACUCUGUUGGAAACAAAUAAGGAGAAGAUUUUUUUUGUGGUCUUUUGACAUUAUUAUUAUUAUUAUUAUUUUUAAUUUUUGGUCUCCCUCGUAACCUCAUUCUAGGUGGAUCGGAUUGGAAGCUCCACCAAUUUAGACCCACUUGCAUCCCAAUUGAAACGCUAGAUAAAAUAAAGGGCCAUAAAUUGAUGAUACAUAAAUACAGGUAUGUUUUAAGUGUAAUUAAUAAUUCAUCCUUUCACAGUCGAUACUCUAAUAAAGCAAAAUUCUUCGGUGAGUUAACAACUUCUAAUAUUAAAUUUAUAAAUUUAGGAGCUAAAGCCUAGUUUAGUAAUACAAUAGUUAAAAUCGCUAUUUUUAUGUUUUCAAAAAUCCACAAAAUUUAGAAGCACCUCAACCUUUUCUCGUCCGAUACUGCAAACUUACGAUAAAAUUUACAAUCAAAAAAUUAUAUAAUAGUACUAUAACAAUAAUAGUUUUGUCUAAGGGGGUGUUUGAUUCAGUAUAAAAUGAACUGAAAAAUUAUUUCAAGUAUGAAAAAUAUUUUUUCGCUUGUUUGAUUUAACGUAAAAAUAUUUUUUCAUCAAAGUAAAAGUUUUUGUUUUUAUUUUUUUUGAAAGAAAAUAAAAAUUCAAACUGUGCAAAAUUUUAUUUAUUUAUUUAUUUUUAUCAAAUUAAAUAAAUAUAUAUAUAUAUAUUUUUUCUUUCAACUAAAUAAAUAUUGAUAAAAAAAAGCCUUUUUGCAUAAAAAAUUCACUUAUUUUGGGCUUUUGCAAAAUCGGGCCACCUUUUUCGUUUUUGCAGAUUCGGUCCGCUUUUUCAGCAAACUGACCAAAAUACCCUUAUUAUUUUUUCUCUUUCCUCUUUCUCUCUCCUCUUCGUUCUCUCAUUCUUUUUUUUUCUGCCGGAAAAAAAAAGCGAAGGCCAGGCGGAGCAAUUUUUUCUUCUCUUUUUCUUUUUCUUCUUCUUCUUCCUCCUGCUGGAGCACCUUUUUUUUUUCCCUCUUUCUUCUUUUUCUUCUUCUUCUUCUGUAAAAGCACGGGGCGUGCCACGGCAACUUCCGGCCCCUCGCCAAGCGGCGUCCACCUGGGCGGCGUUCUGCAGGGGGGGUCGGCACGCGGCGACCGCAAGCGCCGCGGCGAUGGUGGGGCGCGCGGAGAAGCGGCGCGCGAGGUGAGCGGGAUGCGCAGCCGGGGACGUCGUCGCGUCGAGUCGAGGCGGCGGUCACGGAGCACGCCCGGGGCUCCGCUUCGGCAGCGUCGGACCCCAUCCCGAUCUCCAACGGCUGCUUCUCUUCUUCGUUAAAUGGUGUAAUGGUACGCGGCCGGGCACGCUAGCGGACGGCGGGCGUCAACGCGGUGCGCGCUGCGUGCUGCUUCUUCGUUUUGUCGUAAUCGGUGAAUGGUAAUGUGUAAGUGUAAUUCCUCACCAAUUAACAGGUGUAAUGGUGCACCAUUAUCAUACCAUUAAUGGUGAAAUUACAUCAUUAAUGGUGUAACCAUUACACCAUUAAUGGUGUAAUUUCACCAUUAAUGGUGUAAUGGUGCACCAUUACACCGUUAAUGGUAUAAUUAAUGGUGUAAUGGUGUAAUUACACCAUUAACGGUGCACGCGGCCCGCGAAGCGGAGCUGCGGGUGGAGCUCCGCAGGGCGCAGCCGGCCGAGAGCCUCCUCGAAGCGCGCUAGUAGCGCGGCGUGGCGUCGGCGCUGCCGCGUGGAGCGGGCAGCGAAGUCGUAUGGUCAUUUUUGAGUAAAAUAAGUGGUUUUACUUUUUCUGUUUUUCGGAUUGCAGCUUAGGAUUCGUGUUAGAUAAUCACCCUUUUGAAUGACUCGGUGUAUGAAGGGGCUAAACCUGGAAUGCUGUCGUCGAGGAGCGGCACCGCUGUUCAGUAAUAAGAUCAAACAAGGAACAAGUGUGCGGCUAUCUAGCUGCAUGUAAGAUGUUUGUAGAAAUGACAAAUCACAAUAUAUGGUUUGAUUCUCAUUCUUCCUGCUGCAUUAAUAUUGUCCAUCACACAACCAAUCAAAUUACUGUCGAAGAACGUGACCACCCAUUUAUUUUUUUAAAAAAUUUUUACUCCAAUAAUUUCAACUCUAAUUCUUUACAGAUAUACAAAAGGAACUUGAUACAUUAUCCAAAACCGGCAAAUCCUAUAUUUUAUCAUACAAGACCACCAAUAAAAAUUAUACCAAUUCAUCCAGCCCACUUAGCCGAGCACUGUUUCUAAAGCACCAGCUGAACCCACCGGGCCACACUGGGGCACGUUCUGAUCCACCGGCGUGGCCGAGGCAGCCGCUCGAACUCGUGGCCGAGGUUGCGGCCGGCAGCAGCGAGCGCCCGCCCCAGCACGCGCCGCUCACGCAGGAGGAGCGCGGACAGCUUGAGCUUGGAGGGGGAGGCGGAGAAGACGGCGCCGGCGGCGUCGAAGUGGCGGCGGAACCGCCGCUCGUCGGGAUGCGGAGGGGGAUCGUCAGGAGGAGGGGAUGGAGGGGGGGAUGGAGGGGGCGGAACCGCCGCUCGUCGGCACGCUGACUUCGCUGCUCGCUCCGCGCGGCAGCGCCGGCGCCACGCCGCGCUGCUGGCGGGCUUCGAGGAGGCCCUCGGCCAGCUGCGCCCGGCAGAGCUCCACCCGCGGCUCCGCUCCGCAGGCCGCGUGCACCGUUAAUGGUGUAAUUACACCAUUACAUCAUUAAUGAUGUAAUGGUGUAAUUUCACCAUUAAUGGUGUAAUGGUGCACCAUUACACCAUUAAUGGUGAAAUUACACCAUUAUUGGUGUAACCAUUACACCAUUAAUUGUGUAAUGGUGCACCAUUACACCAUUACGACGAAGAAGAAGCAGCCACAGCGCGCCCGCGUGCCCGCCCGCUGCCGCUGCGUGCAUCGGCCCGCGUGCACCAUUACACCAUUACGAAGAAGAAGAAGCAGCCGUCGGAGAUCGCGACGGCGGCCGACGCCGCCCGAGCGGAGCCCCGGGCGGCUCGCGUGAUCGCCGCCCUCGACCGGCGCGACGUCCCCGGCUGCGACACCCCGCUCCACCUCGCCGCCCGCCUCCCGCGCGCCUCCACCCUCGCCGCGGCGCUCGCGGUCGCCGUUGCCGACCCCUCCCUGCAGAGAGCCGCCGGGUGGACGCCGCUUGGCGAGGCCGGAAGUCGCCGUGGCGCGCCCCGUGCUCUUACAGGAAGAAGAAGAAAAAGAAAAAGAGGGAAAAAAAAGAGGUGCUCCAGCAGGAGGAAGAAGAAGAAGAAAAAGAAAAAGAGAAGAAAAAAUUGCUCCGCCUGGCUUUCGCUUUUUUUUCCGGCGGAAAAAAAAAAAAAAAAACGAGAGAACGAAGAGGAGAGAGAAAGAGGAAAGAGAAAAAGUAAUAAGGGUAUUUUGGUCAGUUUGUUGAAAAAGCGGACCGAAUCUGUAAAAACGAAAAAGAUGGUCCGAUUUUACAAAAGUCCAAAAUAAGUGAAUUUUUUAUGCAAAAAGGCCUAAAAAAAAAAUAUCCAAAUAAAUGAAUUAAUGGUCACCAUCGUGAUAUCUGGGCAAAAGAAACGAGAGGAUGCGACCGCAGUUACAACUCCCAAGAAAAAGAGAAAUAUCUCGGGCCACCGUGGAACCUCCCAAGAUAUUUUCAGCAUCUCAGCCUAUAAAAGACAGGCCCGCCCCCAACUCCACACAAAAUACAGAGAUUUUUCUUUUACUUUUUGUCUUUGUUUUGUUUUGUCUUUUUUUUUUUUGUUAUUUUUUUGUGUGUGUUCGUGCUCAAUCGAAUCAUAGAGUCGUAAUUUAAUUUAUGGAUCUGAGGGAGAUAGCCGACAGCUCCCGGCGGCGCUGGACGGAUCUGCAGCACGCCUCCUUCCUCAGCUGUCUGGAGGAGUCCUUCGUCCGGGGGUCGCUGCUCGGCUUUGACGCCAGCUGCCACCGCCGCCACCGCCUCCGCCGCUGCCGCCGCCCCCCUCGCCUCGACCGAAUCCUCCCCGACAGCGCCACCGAGUCGACCCGCGACCUCAGCCGCAACCCUGAUCGCCAGCCGGACCGGCCCGCCGACGGGGCGGCCGAAUUAGACUGACCGCACAUGCGGAAUUUAGGCCUAGUUUGAAAAUGCGUUGCCCAGAGGCACCUAAUUUUACAUCUGAGAGAGUACUAGCUAAGGAGCUGUUUGAUUGGAUUUUUAAUUGAAAAAUAUAGUAGCUAAAAAUGCAGCAGCUAUAAUUAUAUAUAUAUAUAUAUAUAUAUAUAUAUAUAUAUAUAUUUUGUUUGAUUUGAUGCACUUGAAAGUGCUAUGACUAUUAAUUAUUUGUUUGGUUGAAUAUAGUUAAAAAGCACAUUUGAAAAAUUUUGUCAUCUUAUAUUUGUGAUGGAAAGAUUGCUUGCAAUGUUAAAAGAAAAUAUAUUUUUAUUUGAAAAUAAUUUGGAAGGAAAGUAUAUUUCUUUGUUUAAAAUUAUUUUUCAAAUACUGUAGUUGGAAGUAUAGCCGAUUUGAGUAUAAUUUGAAUUGCUGUAAUUGGGGCUCUUUGUAUAAUUUCAACUGUUGUAGUUAGACUCAAACGCACAAAAUCAAACACCUGAAUUGAAAUUAUAUGUAAUUAUAAUUUAUAAGUGUAGUGCAGUUAUAAAUACAUACAAUCAAAUAUGGUUUCAUAUUUUCGGUUUAAAAAAUGAUGGUGGGAAUUUCCACUGAAAAAAUAUUUUGCGCGUAUUUCUCUGGUGGAGAGAAUAUUAUCAUUUUAAAAUUUUUAAAACUUCUUGAUUAUCUAAAAUAUUAGAUUAGAUGUGUUUGGACAAUACAUGUCCUAUAAUACUUCUAAUAGCACAAGUCAUUGGCGCUAUUAAAAUUUAUGUGAUUAAUAACGAUCUAAAAGAUAAAAAUGAUUAAAAUAGUAAAUUUAAUGGUAAAAGUUUAGUAGUACAAAAUACUUAGGUGCUAUGAGAAGUAUUUCGGUCGGAUUUGCAUAUCCUAAAAAAAAAAAAAAAAAAAAAAAACCUAUCAAAUAAGCCAGAUAAUCACAUUAUAAAAUAUAUAAGCAUGACAGAUUUAGGAUAGGAGCGUAUUCCAGGCGUGUGAUUUUUAUUUCAAUCCCACUAUCACUCUGUUGGAAACAAAUAGGGAGAAGAUUUUUUUUUAUGAUUUUUGACAUUGUUAUUAUUAUUAUUAUUAUUAUUUAUUUAUUACUAUUUUAAUUUUGGUCUCCUCGUAAUCUCAUUCUAGUGGAUCGAUCGGAAACUCCACCAAUUCAGACCACUGGCAUCCCGAUUGAAAUGCUAGAUACGAUAAAGGGCCAUAAUGAUGAUACAUAAAUGCAGUUAUUAUUAAGUUGUAAUUAAUAAUUCAUCCUUUAAAAACAGUCGAUACACUAAAGCAAAAUUCUUCAGCGAAUUAACAACUUCUAAUAUUAAAUUUAUAAAUUUAGGAGCUGAAAUCUUAGUUAGUAAUACAAUAGUUAAAAUCACUAUUUUUAUGUUUUAAAAGAUCCACAAAAUUUAGAAGCACCUCAAUCUUUCCUCAGACACUGCAAUUACACGGUAAAAUUUACGAACAAAAAAUUAUAACAAUAAUAGUUUUGUCUAAAGGGCAUUUGAUUCGGCAUAAAAUGAACUGAAAAAUUAUUUUCGGUGUGAAAAAUAUUUUUUACUUAUUUGGUUUGACGUAAAAAUAUUUUUCAUAAAUAGAAGUUUUUAUUUUCUGUCUUUAAAAAAAAAAAUUCAAGCUAUGUAAAAUUUUAUUUAUUUAUUUUAUAUGGAACCAAACAUUUUUUUUUUUUUCAACUAAAUAAAUAUUGAUAAACUGCUAAAUCCCACGUCCUCCACAAGAGCCCACAACAGGAUACCCCAUCACCACAUGACCUGCCUCUUCAUAAUGAUGAUGAUGAUCAUGGUUCCCUCCUCCUCCUCCUCCUCCUCCUCCUCUCUUCACCACCCUCCUCACAGAAAAAUUCACGAUCCCAUUCCUCCUCCCCUCUCCAUCCCUCAACCUGUAGCUCAAAAGGUGCAGGUACCCGGCCGGGCCAUGCGAAAACUCCGCCACCGGCACUGCCGCCGCUGCCACCGGCACGGGCACGGUCCCCCCAUGCUGCUUCCUGCACCCGACCUCGACGCGUAUCGACCGCGCGGAGCUCGGAAGCCCCACCAGAAGCCGCUCGUUCCACGUGGGGCAGCUCCCGCCGUCGCGGUCGGGCGCGGUCGCCGCCGCGUCAUGGGGCCCCGUCCGGACCGUCACAAACGCGUCCUUCUCGACGGGCCGGCUGUGGCGGCCCACCCGCAAGUCCUCCGCAGAGAUUAUGAUGAUUUCUAACAACGUCGACGAUGAUGACGGUGUCGGUGACGCGGCCAUGAUAAAUUAGUUCGUGAAUAAAGAUGUAUAUAGAGUAGGGAAUAGCUAGUUAGGGUUUUUCUUUUAUAUAUAUAUAUAUGUAUGUAUAUAUAAGCAGUAGAUACGUAAGUAGUGGGGUUUGGAUUGUUAUGGAAAGUGGAGAGGAACUAACGUGCGAAUCGAAAGUGCGAGGACGCUACUGUUGGCGCGUGGUCUAGAAAACGCGGGUUUUGAACGUUGGAAUGUGUUGGUGUGGAAAAAAUUGCGCGUUUUGCGGUAAAAAAUAGAUUAGGGUUAAGACCCCUGUGGACCUGGUCCUAGGGGUGUAAUGUGGGCCGUGCUGGGCUGGCACGGCCUACAUUUUUUGGGCCGAAUGGGCCAAGAAGUACCCCGGCACUGCCCAAUUUCAGAUCCGGGCCGGGGUGGGCCAGGCUAGUUUUCUCACAACUCGAGCCCAGCACAGCACCCGGCCCGAGCGGUACGGGCCGUGCCAGGCCAGGUCGGGCCGGGCUCCGAGCCGCCCAUUAUUAUUUUUAAAAUACAAUAAAUUUUAAAAUAUAAAAUAUUUAUAUAUAUAAUUAAACUAUAAAAUUUAGGAAAAACUUCAAAUACCCCAUGUGGUUUCGCACUUUUUUACUUUAGUACCUUGUGGUUUAACGUGUAUCAAGUUAGUACCCUGUGGUUUCGCACUUUCUCACUUUCCUGUUAAAGGGUGCAGUUUACACAUCAACACAUCAAAGAAGAAAUAGUACAACAAGAGAAAAAAUAGUAAAAUAAGAGAAGAAAUAGUGUAAAUAUUUCUUCUUAAAUAGUGCAAUAAAAGGAGAAACAGUGUAAAUAUCUCCCAGAGAGUGUAACUUUCAUUUAAAGAGUGUAAGGGCAGUUUACAUUUAAAAAAGUGCAACUUACGUCUAUAAUAGUGCAACGUUCUUUUAAAACACUGCAAUUUAAUCUUAACCGUACAAAUUCAUCUUCUUCUCUGGUUUUCUUUAUUAUUCUCUAGUUUUUGGUUUUUUUUUUUUUUUUUUGAAACAAACAAAAGUGCUAAUUCAGAAAUGUUCUCGUGCAUUCCUUGCUCUUCUUGCCUCCGCACCGUCGAGGCCGCGCUCGUUGUCGCCCUCUGGGGUAGGCAGGUGGGCUGCGUGUCCCCUCCCUCGCCAGCGAGCUUCUUGACGCUGAGAAAUGCUUUCUCUUUAUCGUCGACAGCGGUGGUGGGAACGCGAGUUCCAAGAAGUAGAUUUGGUUGGUGCAAAAUCCGCUGCAGCGGAAAUGGAUGGCAAAGGCGGAGGAAGAGGACGCGUUACCGUCCUUGUUAUCAUCGCAGAGGGCCGCGGAGGAGAUGGAGGAGGGUCGGAGAAAAAAAAAAAAGAGGAGCGCAGUACGGCCUCGGCGAGGUCGGAGGCGAGUAGGGCGAGGGGUAUGCGGGCGAAGGUGAGGGUGAGGGCGUGAGGUGCAGAGACGAUGGGACCGUUUCCGCUUUCGCCGCCGUCGCCUUCUUCGGCGAGAAAAAAAAGGUGAGAGAAAAAGGUAAAAGGGUAUUUUGGUCAGUUUAUUAAAAAUCCGACUCGAAUCUGCAAAAUCGAAAAAUGUGGUUCACUUUUGCAAAAGUGCAAAACUAGUGAAUUCUUUUUUAUGUAAAUUGGCCAAAAAUUAUCGUAAUUCGAUAAUUAGCAAUUGGAUUGAAAUGCUAGAUGAGAUAAGGGUCCAUAAAUUGAUGAUACUUAAAAUACAGUUAGAAAUAUAUUGAGUGUAGGUAAUAAUUCAUCCUCUAAUAGUCAAAACCCAAAACAACUACAGCGAAUUUCUGUUAAGAGUUUGCAACUUAUAAUAUUAAACUUAAAAGUUUGGGGGCUAAGACAUAGUUUUGGAAUAUGACAAUUAAAAUCACCACUUUUAUAUUUUGAAAAGUCUAAAAAAAUUAACUAGAAACGCUUCAAUAAUUUUUCCUCUGAUACUAUAAACUUGCAAUAAAGUUUACUAUCAAAUAAGCAGAUAAUCACAUUAUAAAAAUAUAUAAGCAUGACAGAUUUAGGGAUAGGAGCGUAUUCCAGGCGUGUUGAUUUUUAUUUCAAUCCCACUUAUCACUCUGUUGGAAACAAAUAGGGAGAAGAUUUUUUUUUUAUGAUCUUUUGACAUUGUUAUUAUUAUUAUUAUUAUUAUUAUUAUUAUUACUAUUUUUAAUUUUUGGUCUCCCUCGUAAUCUCAUUCUAGGUGGAUCGGAUCGGAAGCUCCACCAAUUCAGACCACUGGCAUCCCGAUUGAAAUGCUAGAUACGAUAAAGGGCCAUAAAUUGAUGAUACAUAAAUGCAGUUAUGUAUUAAGUGUAAUUAAUAAUUCAUCCUUUAAAAACAGUCGAUACACUAAAGCAAAAUUCUUCAGCGAAUUAACAACUUCUAAUAUUAAAUUUAUAAAUUUAGGAGCUGAAAUCUAGUUUAGUAAUACAAUAGUUAAAAUCACUAUUUUUAUGUUUUAAAAGAUCCACAAAAUUUAGAAGCACCUCAAUCUUUCCUCAGACACUGCAAACUUACGGUAAAAUUUACGAACAAAAAAUUAUAACAAUAAUAGUUUUGUCUAAAGGGGCAUUUGAUUCGGCAUAAAAUGAACUGAAAAAUUAUUUUCGGUGUGAAAAAUAUUUUUUUACUUAUUUGGUUUGACGUAAAAAUAUUUUUUCAUAAAAGUAGAAGUUUUUAUUUUCUGUCUUUUAAAAAAAAAAAAUUCAAGCUAUGUAAAAUUUUAUUUAUUUAUUUUUAUAUGGAACCAAACAUUUUUUUUUUUUUUUCAACUAAAUAAAUAUUGAUAAACAAAAAUUUAUCCAAAUAAAUGAAUUAAUGGUCACCAUCUUGAUAUCUGGGCAAUAGAAACGUGAGGUUGCCACCGCAGUUACAACUCCCAAGAAAAAGAGAAAUAUCUCGGGCCAGCGUGGAACCUCCCAAGAUAUUUUCAGAAUCUCAGCCUAUAAAAAACAGGCCCCCCCCGACUCCACACAAAAUACAGAGAUUUUUCUCUUUUUUUUUUUUUUUGGCUUGUUUUGUUAUUUUUUUGUGUGUGUUCGUGCUCAAUCGAAUCAUAGAUUCGUAAUUUAAUUUAUGGAUCUGAGGGAGAUAGCCGACAGCUCCCGGCGGCGCUGGACGGAUCUGCAGCACGCCUCCUUCCUCAGCUGUCUGGAGGAGUCCUUCGUCCGGGGGUCGCUGCUCGGCUUUGACGCCAGCUGCCACCGCCGCCACCGCCUCCGCCGCUGCCGCCGCCCCCCUCGCCUCGACCGAAUCCUCCCCGACAGCGCCACCGAGUCGACCCGCGACCUCAGCCGCAACCCUGAUCGCCAGCCGGACCGGCCCGCCGACGGGGCGGUCGAAUUAGACUGACCGCGCAUGCGGAAUUUAGGCCUAGUUUGAAAAUGCGUUGCCCAGGGCACCUAAUUUUACAUCUGAGAGAGUACUAGCUAAGGAGCUGUUUGAUUGGAUUUUUAAUUGAAAAAUAUAGUAGCUAAAAAAUACAGCAGUUAUAAUUAUAUAUAUAUUUUGUUUGAUUUGAUGCACUUGAAAGUGCUAUGACUAUUAAUUAUUUGUUUGGUUGAAUAGUUAAGAAGCGCAUUUGAAAAAUUUUGUCAUCUUAUAAUUGUGAUGGAAAAAUUGCUUGCAAUGUUAAAAGAAAAUAUAUUUUUAUUUGAAAAUAAUUUGGAAGGAAAGUAUAUUUCUUUGUUUAAAAUUAUUUUUUCAAAUACUGUAGUUGGAAGUAUAGCCGAUUUGAGUGUAAUUUGAAUUGCUGUAAUUGGGGCUCUUUGUAUAAUUUCAACUGUAGUUAGACUUAAACGCACAAAAUCAAACACCUGAAUUGAAACUAUAUGUAAUUAUAACUUAUAACUGUAGUGCAGUUAUAAAUACAUACAAUCAAAUAAUUUCUAAAAUAUAUAUUUUUGGGUUUCAUAUUUUCGGUUUAAAAAAUGACGGUGGGAAUUCCCACUGAAAAAAUAUUUUGCUGCAUAUUUCUCUGGUGGAGAGAAUAUUAUCAUUUUAAAAUAUUUACGACCUUUUGAUUCUCUAAAAUAUCAGAUUAGAUAUGUUUGGAUAAUACAUAUCCAGAAUUAGACUAUAAUGCUUCUAUGAGCACGAGUCAUUAGCACUAUUAAGACUUGUGUGAUUAAUACGAUCUAAAAUUGUGCUAUUAAGACUUGUGUGAUUAAUAAGAUCUAAAAGAUAAAAAUAAUCAAAAAUAGUAAAUUUAAUGGUAAAAGUUUGGUAAUACAAAAUACUUAAGUGCUAUGAGAAGUAUUUCGGUCGGAUUUGCAUAUCCUAAAAAAAAAAAAAAAAAAAAAAAAAAAAAAAAAAAAGGCUUUGGGUUGGUCUCCGUGGAUCAGCGAGUGGAGUGCCACGUCUUGUGCUUCUUCUUUUUUUCAAUUUUUGUAUGUUUUUGAUAGAUUUUUUUCUUUUUUCUUUUUUUUUUUUUUUGGGUGUUAUCUGACCAAAGUCGGUGAGUAUUGUCUGACCCAAUUUAAUUAGUAGCUGCCAAAGAUGGUGAGUAUUGUCUUAGCUAAUUUAAUUAGUAGUUGCUUUCAUGAUUCUUGUUUGGCUUUGUCGGAAGCGUAAUUUUCUCUAAUACCAAUUGUAUAAUUCAAAAUCUAAAAUAAAAUAAAAUAAUAUAAAGAAGAGAGAUUAGAGGAGAAAGAAAUAACUAAACUAAUGCUUUAUUAAUAAAAAAUAAUUAAUUACAUUCUAGGCAACACCAAUGCAGCCAUAUUAAUUAUGACUUAUUCACCAAUACCUAACUAUAUAUAGCUAUCAAAUCAUAACAGAUGAUAAAUCCAAUUUUACUUUGGAUAAUUACGUAUCCUGACCAUAAUCAGAUAAAAGAUCUAAACUUAUCUCUAAUUAUAUUUUAAUUAAGUUUGGAUUAUUAUUCCAACAUCCUCCCUUAAUCCAAACUUUAUCUUCAAGCUGCGAACUCCGUGAAAUGCGCAUUUUGAUUUUGUAAUCUCUGUUGCUGUUGUUGUCGUCGUAUUCGAGUUGUCCAACAUGACGCCUGUCCAAUAAUGUUGUCAUGCACGAAAUAUUUGCCACCUGUAAUUCUGAUUAUCCACAUUAUCCUUAAAGAUCUGCGGGUUCCUGCGAAUAUCUUAAAAAAUAUGUAAUUUUGAAAAAAUUGGAUCGAUAUGAAUUUUGUAAUUUUGUGGUAGCCGAGAAAAAUUUGAUCGAUGCGGAUGUUUAUUCGAUACAUUGAUCUCGUGUGAAUUUUCAUAUACUUUCUGUUUUCGUAAAUUUAAUUUGUGAUUUGCAUCUUCGAUCACAUCAAAAUAAUGGUAAAUUUUCUCUCUGCUUUGUUGCAUUAUUUUUUCGUCAACAGAAAUUUCUUCAAUCAUAUUAUCAUUGCGAACUUUGUCGUCGAUCUGAGUUGCACUAUUUUGAUCAUCAACAUACUUUUCACGAAUAUGAUCUUCUUCAUGAUUUUGAUCAAAUUUUUCUUUUCAAAUUGGGGCUUCUGUAUUUUCGCUGUUUGGUUGAAUUUUUUCUUCUUCUUGAAUUUCAUUCUCUUCCUGCAAAUUUUCUUCUCCAAUUUUUAAUAGAAUUCUCCACGCUUCUCGUGCCGUCUUUAUUGUUGAAAUUUUUCCAACCAACGAUAGAUCCACUGCUUGAAAAUAUAUAAUAGAGCUUCUCUAUCUCUCUUUUUAAAUUCUUUUUUACCAAAUUUUUUUUCAUAAUUUCUAUUCUCCACUACAUCCCAUAAAUCUUGUGAUUCAAAAAAACAUUGAACGAUGAUUGUCCAUCGUUUAAAGUUUGUUCCAUCGAACUUUGGUAAAUUAGGUUGAAUAAACCAAUUAUUUAAAUCCGUGACAAAACUUGAAAAUCCGAAAAAUAAGUUUCAGAUUUGUACCUUUCUGUUUAGAUGACGUCCUUAGUUCAUCGAGAUCUCGCCAAAUUUUCUGUACUUCGGCUUAUUUGCCUAGCCCUCCUGGCUAUCUAGUCAAGUCUUCUUGGAUCUCUUCAGGGGCUCUCCUCGCUCUCUUUUCGUCAAACAUCACAACCACCUGCUGUCGUUUGUUCCGCGAAGGCCAACUUCUUCAAAACGAUUCCUUCGCUUUGGUUUCAGCUGAACGUCACCUUAGUCAAUCUGCUACGAGUCGCUUGACUUUGACCUAGCUAUCUGGUAUAUUAGAUCUAUAUUCUUUUCGAAUAUGUUGUCAUCUGGUUUGUAAGUCACACGGUACUUUCUAGCUCUGAUACCACUUGUUGGAAGCAUGAUUUUCUUUGAUACCAAUUAUAUAACCCAUGAUUUAAAAUAGAACAAAAUAAUAUGGAGAAGAGAUAUUGGAGGAAGAAAUAACUAAACUAAUAUUUUAUUAAUAAAAGGUAAUUAAUUACAUUCUAGGCAACACCUAUGCAGCUAUGUCAAUUAUGGCUUAUUCCUCUAAUUAACCCAUACCUAACUAUAUAUAGUCAUCAAAUCAUAACAAAUGAUAAAUCCAAUUUUACUUUGGAUAAUUACAUAUCCUGAUCAUAAUCAAAUAAAAAAUUUAAACUUAUCUCUAAUUAUAUUUUAAUUAAGUUUGGAUUAUUAUUCCAACAAGUUUGUUUUACUUUGUAAAAUUGUAGCUUGAGAAGUGCUAAGUUUAAUCGAUUUAUUUGUACCUUACAUAGUUGAUUAAGACUUAAUUUGGUAUUGAGGUCUAUCUGACGCUAUUAGAUAAAAUAAAGUUUGGGUAAAAGUAUGUAGGGAUAUGCUUUUGCUUUUUCCAGUAAGACCGCAGAAAAAAUAUUGUAACCGACUCAUCGCGAUAUUGUAGUGACCUUGGUGUUUAGCGAUCUCUGUGAUCAGCAUCUGUGGCUUAUCGGCACGUCUGGUGGGUGUCGAGACAAGUCGGAGUCGUUUUGGCGUGAAAUGGAUGCAAAACGGACUCAGCGCGACGCGAGAGUGGAGUUCUGAUACUAAAAUCUAUAAAAUGUAGGAUUUCAGUGUUGAGUAUCGAUACCUGGGGAGGAGUACCGGUACCCCAGUGAUAUUACAGAACUGGAUGCUCUCGGGUUUGCGUAGGUUCGAUGCUGAGUACCGGUACCUGUUGUCGAGUACCGGUAUCGAGCUCGGGUACCGGUACUGCAUCGGGCUGGUACCGGUACCCAGCAUGCGAGACUGUGGUUUGAGGGGCCGAGUACCGGUAUUCAAGUUAGGUACCGGUAGUCCAAGUGGAAAAUGAGUUAGUGAGGAGUAUUUUGGUCUUUUUGGUGGUGGAUAGUAUCGCCACCUACCCCAACCUAUUUAUCUACCUAAGAAGCUUGGGAACUCAAUUAGCUUCUCCUCUCCCUCUCUCUCUCUAGCUUGUUGCCUUGUUGGUUUGGAAGGUUGAGGAACGAGCUAAUUGUUCUUCUCGCCAUCUUGGUGGUUCGCGCGUGUGCCGUGGUGGAGACCGGUUGAGGCCAUCAGAGGUCGAGCGCGCGCGAGGUUUCUCUUUUCGACUUCUAGCCGACGUUGAACGAGCGGUCGAGAUAGGUUAAUGUUUACCGAAAUCGUCGGAUUUCCUUCUAUGUCCUAAAAGUGUCAGCAUGUAUUAUUGGUUUUGUUCAUUAUGUUAGUAGCUCGAAUUCAUCGAUUGCAUAGCUUUUGUGGAAUCUGAGUUUGGAGAUUAAUUCUAGAAUAUUUUUACAUGUUGAACUGGGAAUUGACUUAGGAGAAAACAUGUUAAACCCUACACUGUCAUUUUCUAAAAAAGUUACCAGAUUUAGCUUCAGGAGCCGUGGUUCUCUUGUAUCCCCAUUGUUAGUGCGUACUGGAUACACAUAUUAGUGUAGGGUGAGUUUACGCUCGUACUGAGGGGCUGGACUUGUUGUACAGUGGUGUGUAGACUGUUCCAUACUGUCGGAUGCCGUCGUGGUUAACGAUGGACCCAAAUUUGCAUCAGAUUGUGCGAAGGGCACAUUAGCUUUGGUUGGUAGACCAGUUUGACUCAUUUAUAUUGAUUAUAGCUUGCAUGAGCCUGAUUGAGCUCGAUAGAGAUACGCUUGCAUACUCGGUUGGAUCGCGCCCAUGAGUGCCGCUCUGGAGUCUGGCUAUUUUGCGUUGAUGUUGUAGUAGUCCAGGUUGGACUUUUGCUCUUCACCAGCUGUCCUCGGGGUGGUGUACGGUGUAGCUUAGACAGGCGGAACGAGCGUAUCACAGUCCCUGUGGAUUGGGUCAGUAACGGCUGAUUUCUUAGCUAGUGAUGCAUAUGUUUACAGAGAUCUUGAUGUGCAUAGUGGUAGAAUAGUAGCAUGUAGCUGUAGAGUCUUUCCAGCUUUCCUUACUACCCUUUGCGCAUAUUUCUGUAGACUUAGUGGGUGGGCCGUUGAGAUCGGUGGCGGUACCCACUGAGGACUACUCUGUUUUGCAGUAGUUCUCACACCCAGUUGUUGACACCUUUUGCAGAGGCUUCGUCUGCGACUGCUGCUGUUGCUGUUGCUGAUUCGAACCGUGGUAAGGGAGUUGCGAGUUAGAUCCCUACCAGCCCUGUCGUCGUGCUAGAGGAGCACCCAUCCGAGGUAGUUUUGGGGUUUUUGUACAUAUAGUUAUGUUGUCGUUGUAUUCGCUGGAGCGAGUUGGUUAGUGGACUUUUGUAUGUACAGUGCCCCUUUAUGUUAUAUACAUACAUUGUUUAGUUCUUGCAGCUCGAUACACUUGGUUGUGGCUAUGAAUUAUUUACAGGUACAUCUAUCGCUUCGUAUAUACGAAAAAUUUCUAUGUAUACGGCGGGUCUGUUGGCGUACCCGAGGAAACGUGGUAAUCCGAGGCAUGACAGAUAUGAUGAACGCAAUAUUACGUACAGAAACAAAUAGGGUAUUUUUUUCAUCGUACUUUCUCACCGCACGUAAUGCAAUCUCCCCGCAGUCCCAAACGAAACUCCGUGUUUAAUGGUAGAUAUUAAAGGUCCUAAGUUGGAAACCUAGUUGCUGUAUAUUUCUUGCAAAAUUUAUUUUGAAAAGAUAAAAAAAAACAAAUAACUUGUCACCUUUCUCCUGAGGUGUUUUCGAUGAUGAAAUUUUCGAAUCAACAAUCGACUCCGUUAGACUUGAUCUAGGGUAUUUGAAGUUUCUAGAAAAUAAUUUAUGUGAUUUUUUGAUAUCAUUUACUUAGUGAUCGAAAGAAUUCAAAAUCAAUAAUUUUUAAUGGUUGAUAUCUGCCGUUUUCAAGUUUAACGGUGUAGAAGUAUUCAAAUUAGAUGAAAUUUUGAUACAAAAUUUUUUAUACUAUCUACAACAAGAUCAAUAUUUCUGAUCAAAAAUUUUAGUGCUAUGUCACCACUUUUUAUAGGAUUUUUAUUUUCAGCCGUUAAAAAUUAUUGAUUUUGAAUCCUUUUGAUUGGGCUAGGUAAAUGAUAUCGAAAACAUAGCAAAAAUUUAUAUAUUAUAUAUAAUAUAUAUAUAUAUAAUAUUAUAUAUAUAUAUAUAUAUUAUAUAUAUAUAUAUAUAUAAUAAUAUAUAAUAUAAUAUGAUACCCUACAGAACCCUAAUCUGCUUUAAAAGUACCAAUAGUCAUUGGCUUGGUAAGUUUUGGCCCCUGGAUUAAGACGAUGUGCGGUUAGGAUGAUUGUGGCCCCCUAAGGGUUAAGGUGUGGUUGGUUGAUAAGAUAAUUCUAACGAUAAAAAUAUCAAAGGCAGAGAUCUAACGUAUAAAUUUUACAAGCACCAAAGUCUGUGGCUUUACAGCACAUAGCCUGACUAUAAUAUAUAACGGGUGAAACUGAGCCGAGCUCGAACGCGACUCUUAUGUCAGCUCAAUUCGCUGAAAUUAAUUUCGAGCGCUUAAAUCUAUGCCAAGCUCGCUUUGAAAUUAAUUCGUAGCCGAGCUCGAGCCGAGCGACUAAUUUUCGAGUCGAGCCGAAGCUCGCAGCUCUAACGAGCCCGAUGAAAUAUCUCGUGACCAUAUAUAUAAUCAAUAAGUUAAUUUAUAGAACUUAACUUACAAUUUGAUGGCAACAUGUCCAAUAGUUCAAAAUACCAAAUAAUUAUAAAAAUAUCAGCUAGGUACUUCCCUGACUGAAUGAGGGCUAUGAGAGAGAGCAAGAAGGACGAAAUAGUUAGGGAUUUGGGAAUUUGAUGUUAUCAUUUUUUAAGGGUUAUGUGCAACAGUAAAAUCUGAAAGAGGAGUGUGUUAUGUAAAUUUAGAGUUGGUCAAUUGCACGGUUGUACUUGUUGGUUUAUUUUAUGGGCCAACACAUAAUGGCCAAAAUUAAAUUAAACCUAUAUAUAUAUAAAACAUUUAUAUAUAUAUAUAUAUAUAUAUAUAUUAAAUAUUAAUAUAAUAUAUAAUUAGUAUAUAUAUAGUAUAUAAUAUAUGUCCGACUACUAUAAUUUUCAUGAAUUGCGUCCUUUAUACUCAUGAAGUUUUCGACCUUAGAUUUAUUCAUUUAACAUUUCCUUCCUUAGAUCUACUAUUAACCAACUACUCCACCACCCUAAGGGACGCACUAUCAUCUUAAGUGGAGACCGACCAAUCAUCCUAGACACACUCCGCAUAAUCAAACGUGUUAAAAUUUAUGAGUAGCAAUGGGGUGCUAUACUCAUAAGAGAUAGAUAGAGCCCCAGCACUAUAUAUAUAUAUAUAUAUAUAUAUAUACGUAUAUAUAUAUAUAUAUAUAUAUAUAAUAUAUUCGAUGCUUUUUCGAGGCUUAAUUCAACGAGCCGAGUAAUACUCAGAGCUCGGCUUGAAAUGAAUUCAGCAUUUUAUUGUUCAAGCUCGCUCAUUAAUUUCAGGUCGAGCUCGAGGACGCCGAAUAUCGACGCCGAACAAAGAGUCGAACGCAGCGCUUCGCGUCAGUUUGCCAGCCCUAUAUAUAAUAUUAUAUAAUAUAUCUAUAUAUAUAUAUUUGUAGAGCUACUAUGCUGAUUGAAGCAUACGAGGCAUCUGUGCUGUUCGAUUUUUGAGCCCUUCAGGAUCCAACCCCUUAAUAAUUUCUAACAUUUGGAUUAAUACUAUAACAUGUGAGGGACCACUCAAUCCUAGGGGUACUACUCAACCCGGGGGGGGGACCGCAACCAUCCAAACCGUAUAAUUUUUUUUGGUCCAAUGGUCAAAAAAUUGGAAGCAUCAGACCCUCUAUGCUUCCAAUAGCAUAGUAGCUCUACACUAUAUAUAUAUAUAUAUAUAUAUAUAUAUAUAUAUAGAGAGAGAGAGAGAGAGAGAGAGAGAGAGAGAGAGAGAGAGUCUGGCUGUGAUACUAUCGAUAGCACGAAGCAUUUGAUACUAUCAAACUAUCAAGUUUUUCGCCAUUAGAUUUACCUCUUUUAUUAUUUUUAUAUGUUCGAUUAUACUAUUCAACUAACCACCCACUCAACCCAAGGGGGCCUACAUUAUCCUAACUGCACAUCUUUUAAUCAAAGGGUAGAAAACUUAAUAGCACCAAGUCAUUGGUACUAUUAAUAGUACUAGUGUAGAACCCGCGUUUCACUGCGGAUAGAUAAUAUAAAUAUAAUAUUUCAAAAAAAUAAUUAAAUAAAAAUAAAAAAAAAUAUGAAAAAAUAAUCAUUUUUUAAAGAAUACAUCUAAGGAGGUGUUUGGUUCGACAUAAAAUCAUAUAAAAUAGUUUUUUUUAGGGAAAAAAAUUUAUAGUGACAUCAAAUUUUCACUUAUCUUUCAAAUAGAAAAAGAAGGAAGAAGAGCAAAAAAAAGAAGAAGAAGAAGAAGAAGAAGAAGAAGAAGAAGAAGAAGAAGAAAAAGUGGGAGUUACAGAGAAUAAGGAGAAGAGAAAAAAAAAGAAAAAAAAAGAAAAGGAAAACAGUGGCCAUUGCUGUCGUGACCACUGCUGAUGUUGUUGCAGCGACCGCCAUUGUUGCUGUGACCGCCAUUGUCCCUGCGACCGCCAUUGCAGCAGCGAUCGCCGACGCUGCUUCCCACUAUCGUGUGUACUGCCGACGCCGCCCAAGCCGCCGCUGGCACGCCUAAGCUGUCAUCGAUGUUGUGAGGCAAGAAGUAAAGAAAAGAAGGAAGAAGAGAAAAAGAAGAAGAAGAAGAAGAAGAGAAAGUUACGGAGAAGAAGAAAAAAAGAAUAAGGAGAAGAGUUAAAGAAAAAAAAGGAGAAAAUGAAAAGGAGAAAAGUCAACGUUGCUGUAGCGACUGCCGCCGAUGCUGCUGCGCGCAAACGCCGACGCCACGGUGACCGCCGCCGCCGCCGCUCAACCACCCAAACUGCCACUGCUAUUGUCAGGCUGGAAGUGAAAAAACAGAAGAAGGAAGAAGAAAGAAAAAGAAGAAUAGGUAAGCACAGAGAAGAAGAAAAAGAGAAGAAAGAGAAGAGAAUAAGGAGUAAAAAAAAAAAAAAGCUAGUAGUUGCGAUUUUUUUUUGUAUGAUGUUGCCGCCGCUGUGUCUGCCGCUAACGCCGCCCAAGUCGCCAUCGCUGCCGUGAACGCCGCUCGCGUUGUCGCGGUUACUGCUGUUGACGUCGUCCAAGCCAAUGCCGCUGCUAUGACCGCCGCUGUCGCCGCCCAAGCCACCAAAUGAAAGGAAAGAGUGAAGGCAUAAGUAGAGAGAGAGCAGAGAGAGAAAAACUUUGGAAGGGAGGAGAGAGAGCAUUGGAGGAGGUUAGAGAGAGAUAGGAGAGAGAAACUUUGGGAGGGAGGAGAGAGAGCAUCAGAGGAAGUUAGAGAGAGAGAGAGAUGAGAGAGAGCAUCAGAGGAGGUUAGAGAGAGAGAGAGAGAUGAGAGAGAGAGACAUUUUAAGAGGUGAAGAGUCGAAUUAGGAGAAAGUGGCCUUUCGGAAGGCGAAGGGUCAAAUAAUAAGAGAACGCCACGUGGCGUGGAGGAGCAUCAAAUAGUGUAUUGUAUAGAUUCCAGCCUAGUUAUAUAUAUAUAUACACACACACACACACACACACACACACACGAUCGCCCUCGUACUCAUAAAUUGUUUUCGAUGAUAGAGUUUCCGAAUCGAUGAUCCACACCGUUAAACGUUAUUUACAGCAUUUAAAACUUCUAAAAAUCAAAUUUUAUAAUUUUUCGACAUCAUUUAUCUUACGAUCAAGAGGUCUCAAAUUUGGCAAUUUUUAACGGCCGGUAUGGGAUACUUGCUAGUUUAACGAUGUAAAAGAAUCAAAAUUUGUUGAAUUUUUGAUAGAAAAUUCUAUUCACUGCAUAGAUAAAGAUCAAUAACUCCGAUCUUGAAUUGAAGGAUCUGAUCAUCCUUUUUUAGGACAUCGUUCGAUUUUGACCAUUCAUUUUAUGCCCACUUGAUGGACUUUAUUAUGAUUUCGAAAAUUUAGGAAAUUUAUUUUCUAGAAGUUUCAAAUACUCUAGAUCAUAUUUAAUGGAGUGGAUCGUCGAUUCGGAAACUCCAUCAUCGAAAACAACUUAUGAGUACGAGGGCUCCAAUACUCAUAAUAGUAUAGCAGCCAUGGCCUAUAUAUAUAUAUAUAUAUAUAUAUAUAUAUAUAUAUAUAUAUAUAGAGAGAGAGAGAGAGAGAGAGAGAGAGAGAGAGAGAGAGAGAGAGAACUAGGCUGGAAUACUAUUAAUAGCACCAAGCUAUUGGUGCUAUUAGUUUUUUAACCCUUGGAUUGAGAAAUAUGUGGUUAGGAUGAUGUGGACCUCCUAGGGUUGAGUGAGUGGUUGGUUGAAUAGUAUAAUCCAACGGGUAAAAAUAAUCAAAGGGUUAAAUCUAACGGUGGAAAACUCGAUAGCACCAAAUCCUUGGUGCUAUUGAAUAGUAUCACAGCCGGGCUAUAUAUAUAUAUAUAUAUAUAGUCCAGCUAUGGUGCUUGUAAAAGCACCAACCACUUGGUGCUUGUAAGUUUUUUACCGUUAGAUCUACUCCUCAGAUCAUUUUCAACCAUUAGAUUAUACUAUUCAACCACCAAAUAUAUAUAAUUGAGCUCCUAUGCUUUUAAAAGUACCAAGUUAUUGGUGCUUGUAGAUUUUUCGUCAUUGGAUUAAGAGAUAUCCGAUUAGGAUGAUGUGGGCCCCAUAGGGUUGAGUAAGUUGUUGUUUGAAUAAUAUAAUCUAACGGGUGAAAAUGAUCAAAGACGUAGAUCUAACGGUAAAAAAUUUACAAGCACCAAGUAUUUGGUGCUUGUACAACCACCAUAGCUGGACUCUCUCUCUCUCUCUCUCUCUCUCUCUCUAUAUAUAUAUAUAAGAGCUAGGCUCUAUUGAUAGCAAAAGGCCUUUUUUGCUAUCAAAUUUUUAACCCUUGGAUGAGAAAUUGUAGGGUUAAGAUGAUAUUAGUUCCUGUCACGCCCCGGGGCCGAUUUUAAAAGCCUUUUAAAAACAGAGUUACGGAAAACGUGCCUUUUUUUUUCAACCUGGCCCACGUGACGUACAGACCCGCCACAAAUACAAAGUUCCUCUGUCCACUCGGGCAGAGUCUCCUUUGUAUUUGCACGGCGUACCAACGGAUACAACAGGAUCACAACCACAACCUACAUUUACCAAUCAACAACCAAAGCAUGAUAUGUAUUUCCAUACAGCUAACAAUCCUUAGAAUGAUGUAUGCCUCUAAGCACUCCUUAGGCGCUGGAUGAUGCAAUGCACAAUACAACAACCAUCCUAUUUAAAAGUGCUCCCCACACAGAAGCUUUUAUUUUUGAACUCUAAUUCAUUCAUCAUGAAAAAUCAUUUGAAAACCUUUUGAAAACUGUUUCCCACACGGAAACUCUAUUUUGAAAACCGACUACCUCGAGGGGUAGAAAACCACNAUCGUCAACUGAGAGUUUAGCUACACUGUAAAAAUCUCAGUCCUUACAGUCCCUCAGGGUUGAGUGGUCCCCACUAGGUUAUAAUAUUUAAUCCAAUGGUUAGAAAUGAUAAAAAAAAUUGAUUCAAAGACUAAAAACUUGAUAGCAAAAAAGGUCUUUUACUAUUAAUAGUAUUCUAGCUCAACUCUCUCUCUCUCUUUCUAUAUAUAUAUAUAUAUAUAUAUAUAGAUAGAAGAUCGAAAUUUAAAUAUAGAUAUAGAUAUAGAUUUCAUUCCAAGAUUUGAUGUCAAAUAUUUAAAAUGUUUACUUAAAAACAUAAAGUUAUGAAAAUAUAUUAACUAGCCAUUAAUUAGUCAUUGAAAAUUUUUCGAAGAAAAGGGCAUUAUUUACAAGAAGCGCGCGACUAUCUGUAUAUUCAAAAGUAGCUAUAAAUUUUACAUUCCACCUAUCCAGUAAUCAAAUUAAUCUCAAUUUCAUCUCCUUAGUUUUAUUAUAAUCCUAUAAAUUUUUAAUACUAAGAAUUUAAAAAAUUGUUUGAACCUUUGAACAAUUGAGUGUAAAAUAUGCACUCCACCUUCAGAUGCACAAAUAAAAUUUCUCUUUAUAUAUAGGUAAUCUAAAAUUUCUAAUUUUUAAUCUGUAAAUUUUCGAUCAUUAUAAUAAUGUCUAAUAAAUUAAAAAUGUCAUUGUUUGUACACCUCAAAAGUAGAUGUAAAUCUUAUUACACUCAAUACAGGUAAGAGCCAAUUUCGUCGAUGGCCUUAUCAACACCCCAGUUAUCGAAUGAAUGGAGUGUAAUUUGUGCACCCCCAAUUGGGUGUACGAAGUAGCAUUUUCCUUUUCACCACCAUCCAGCUCGGGAAAAGUUGAGGUCCGUAAUCGUCGGACCAAAACCCCACUUCUCUCGCCCUCUCCCUCGCGUCGAAGCCGAGCUCGGGAGUGACGAUAAUGGCCGCUGCUUCUUCCUCCUCGCGGCUCGUCCCCUUCCUCUCGCCGCCCCCACCGACUCCUCCCGCAAAACCCCCCUCCGGCGCCUUCCUCCCCCUCCGGCGAACCACCGCCGCCGCCGCCGCCGCCGCCCGGUUCAGGUGCGCCGCCGCCUCGGGGCAGACCGGGUUCUUCACGCGGCUGGGGCGGCUGAUCAAGGAGAAGGCGAAGAGCGACGUGGAGAAGCUCUUCUCCGGCUUCUCCAAGACGCGCGAGAACCUCGCCGUCGUCGACGAGCUCCUCCUCUACUGGAACCUCGCCGACACCGACCGCGUCCUCGACGAGCUCGAAGAGGUUCCCCCCAAUUUUCUAACCCUAGUCACAAAGUGGAUACGUUCGUAAUUGUUGAAGCUCGAUCUAUGCUUCAUCUUCUUUUGUUCAGGCGCUGUUGGUAUCCGAUUUUGGGCCGAAAAUCUCGAUAAAGAUUGUGGAUAGUCUGCGGGACGAUAUCUUAGCUGGGAAGCUCAAGUCCGGAAGUGAGAUUAAGGUAGCAGCUUCAAAACUACGGAGUCCUGAACUGAUUAGCGCGAAGUUUCAGUUUGGUCGGUCCCGUACGUAUUACUACGGAAUUUGUUAUCACAAUUGGGUCCCUAAUCUCUUUAUUUUACAUCUAUGUUAACCCUUCUGUCGAAUUCCGUCAUAUUAAGACUAUCCCCGUGUCGUUUCCUAUAAGAUCGAUCUUUCUGGUAAUAUAGCAUCAGAGCCAAUCCUAAGCCCCCUCAGCUCCCAGAGGUUUUUAAUUUGAUUCCGAUAUCUACUACUUGAUGACAUUAAGGCCUGUGGCUAUGUUUGGAUGUUGGAAUAAGUUGUUCUUGAAAUAACUUAUUUGGUAUGAAAAUUUUCUUGUGUGAUUGGGGGCAAAAAGUUUAACUUUUGGCUUCUUGAAAGGUCUUGUUAUCCAUGAUUAUGUAGGAUAACAUAUUUCAACUACAAUGUGAUUUAUCUUAUUCCAAAAAAUUGACUAGAAAGUGAAAUAUGUUAUUCUGUUCUAGACAUUUGGUCACAGUUCUCAUUUACCAAAUAUUACAAUUUCUUAAAUAUAUCAAAGGUAUAUAUGGAAUAAGAUAUUCAUGCAUCCAAACAUGACUGUUUGGAUACAUGGACAUCGUAUUCGGCAUAUCUCUUUGAUUUCCUCAAGAAGCAUGUAUUAUUCAGGAGAUUGGAAGUGUGAUCAAAUGUCUAGAAUGGAUAACAUAUUCAGCUUUUAAGUCAUUUUUUUCGAAAAAAGAUAAAUCACCUGAAAUAUAUUAUUCUGUCAAAUUAUGAAUGUUAAGACCUUUCAACGAGCAAAAAUCGAACUCCUAGUUUUCGAUCAUACAAGAAUAUUUUCAUGCCGAAUAGGUUAUCAUUGGAUAUCUUAUUUCGGCAUCCAAACAAGGCCUUUAUCUUUCUGCUAUCUUAUCCCUUCCAUCGAUUGCCUCCUAUUAAGACUAUCACCCUUCCGUUUCACACAAAAUCAAUCUUUUUAGUAACAUAGUAUCAGAGCUAGUACUAUGCCCCCUCAAUUCCUAGAGGUUUUUAAUUCGAUUAUGAUUUUUACUACCUGAUGAUAGUAAGGCCCGGUUUGGAUGUAUAAACAUCUUAUUUAGCAUAUCUCUUUGAUUUAUUCAAAAAACAUGUACUACUUGGGGGAUGAGGCAUGUGAUCAAAUGUGUAGAAUUGAUACCAUAUUCAACCUUCAAGUCUUUAUUGUGGAAUGAGAGAAAUCAUAUGAAAUAUGCUAUUAUGCCAAAUCAUUUAUGCCAAGGUUUUAAGUGCCCGUCGGCACGGGCCGUAUCCACAGUGCCGUACCGUGCCAACAAAAUACCGUCACGAUACAGACCCCGUGCCGAGGACACAGCUCAAAACCCUCUAUUCUUUAAAUAAGUAAGUAAUUUCCUCAAUAAAGUUCAAAAGAUGUGAUAAAAAGACAUAAUAACUAGUUAGAAUAUUUUGUUGCUAAAGAAAAUAAAUAUUUCAUGCUAUUAUGUGUCGGCACACAGGAAUUUUUUUGACCGGCACACAUCGGCACUGCUCGGCACGCACCGUGCUGGCAAGUUUCCGGCGCGACCCCAUGCCACGACACUUAAAUCCUUGAUUUAUGCCUAAACCUUUCAAGGAGCAAAAAUCAAACUCCUAGUUUCUAGUCACACAAGAAAAUCUUCAUAUCGAAUAAGUUAUUAUUAGAUUUCUUAUUCUGGUUCGAUCUCUUUUUUGAAGGCAUAGAUUCUUUCUCGAUUUAUUGAGAACUUUCAGCCAGAGGAAAACAGAAGCCCGAACAAGCAAGAUGAGGAAGCGAGUGAAAAGAAAAGAUAGGGGGAGGAAGAUGACUAAUUUUAUUGCUGUCUUAUCCCUGGCCUUUAUUUUAUUGCUAUCUUACCCCUAUUCCCAUAAGAAAUCAAUCCUUUGGUAACAUAGUGUUAGAGCUAGUCCUAAGCCCUCUCAAUUCCAAGAAGUCUUUAAUUCGAUUCUGAUGUCAACUACUUGAUGAUGGUAAGACGCUAUUUGGAUGCAUGAACAUCUUAUUCAGUAUUUCUUCAAUUUACUCAAGAAGCAUGUACUAUUUGGGAGAUGAGUGUGAUCAAAUGUGUAGAAUGGAUAAUAUAUUCAACCUGUCUUCCUUUCCGGAAUAAGAUAAAUCACAAGAUUUAUGCUGUUUUGCCAAAUCAUGAAUCCAAGACCUUUCAAGAAGCAAAAAUCAAACUCCUAGUGUCCAAUCAUACGAGAAAAUCUUCAUGUUGCGUAUGUUAUCAUUUGAUAUCUUAUACUAGCAUCCAAACAUGGCAUUUAUUUUACUACUAUCUUACCCUUUUUGUUGAAUGCCUCCUAUUAGCGCUAUUCUCUUUCCAUUUUAUAUAAGAUCAUUCUUUCUCGUAACAUGGUAUCACAACCAGUCCUACCCUAACAUGGUAACCCCCUUACCGCCUGCGUCCCCUAGAUGCCAAGAUCUUUCAAGGAGCAAAAAUCAAACUCCUAGUUUCCAAUCAUAUAAGAAAAUCUUCAUACUGCGUAUGUUAUUAUUUGAUAUUUUAUUCUUGCAUCCAAACAUGGCAUUUAUUUUACUACUAUCUUCUUUUGUCGAAUGCCUCCUAUUAACGCUAUCCUAGUUCCGUUUCAAAUAAGAUCAAUCUUUCUAGUAACAUGGUACCAUCAAUCUUCCUAGUUCCCAGUCCUACUCUAAUAUGGUACCAUCCUCACACAGUCUCUCUAAUUAUCUUUCCUGUCAUUGAAUAUGACAUGGUUCUUCUGAUUUCGGCCAUGUACGUGAGUGGGCUUUUAAGAUUAUUCCUGUGCUGAUUUUAGUACUGUCUAAUGCCAUGUUAGCAGAUGUUGGGCUCCUUUCCUUGCUAAUUAUGUCUGUUAUUGUUUGUGAAAAUCAAUCAUAUGAAAGUCUUCCAAUUCUUUCAAGUGCCACACUGAAAUUUUGCUAAAAGGUCAAGAACUUCUGAUGCAAUUUACUGCAUUUGGUUGCCUAUUGUCGCAUAACUUGUUGGUGCUUUUUGAAAGCAUUCCCAAUGUUUCCAAAUGGUACCAUUUUCAUGGAAUUUCAUAACCAAGAUUUGGUUGUUUAGGAUGCUUUGAAAAGGUGUGUUCUUGAGCUGUUGACAAACAAAGGUAGCAAAACGGAGCUUCAGUUAGGAUUCAGGUUUUGCCUUCUUGAUUUGGUAGAAUUUGUUUUUUGCAUUCAGUUGAUCUUCUAUUCUGACUGAUUGGCUUUAAACUGCGGAGGUUGUUGAUGUCCUUCUGAUCCCAGGAAGCCGGCGGUGAUCAUGGUUGUUGGUGUGAAUGGAGGUGGAAAGACAACCUCUCUUGGUAAUCACUUCUUGUUGCGGCUGAUUAUAUGCCCUUAUUAUUCAUAUAUAUAUAUAUAUAUAUAUAUAUAUAUAUAUAUAUAUAUAUAUAUAUAUAUAUAAUUAGAUGAAACACCAAGUCGAAUACUAUAACAUGAUCUUUAAGAGUCUAUUACUCUCUGUUUGUAUUCAUUUAUAAGUAAGUACAUCAUCAUUAGAUCCCUUCUAUGCGCUCUAAUCCAUUAUUGCUUUCAAAUCACCUUUUUUCCUUUUUUCUCUUUUGUACACUUCAGCAUAUAUGAAUUGUAGCAUAUGUGUAUUUGUUCUGUUGUUAAAUAUCCAGUUAUCUAUUUCUCUAAAGAUUUCUGGAGUAGAUUGUGUCAUGUGGCAGUACUAGGAGCACAUAUUCUUGAUUUUCUAAGAGAUUGCUUCUUUUUCCAUUACAUUGCAGGGAAGCUUGCUCAUAGAUUGAAGAAAGAGGGAGUAAAGGUUAGCUAUAGAUAUUAAUAUUUGGAUUUUAUUUGAGAAACAAAAGCAUAUUUUGUAUACUUGUUUCUACGAAUUUUCUGUACUACCAUGUUACUGAAAUAGAUUCAGCUUGCGGUACUAUAUAACUACAAUGUGGAAGUAUCAAUACUUGUAGAACUAUGAUAUCAGAGAAUAAAGAUUUAAAAAUUUCUGUUAUGGGAGACCAUAAAAUUGAUUCCUACAUUUGAUGGGUUAACUCUUUAUUCAAACAAAUGAAUUGAGAAAUGAAACAUCAGAUUUCUAGCUGGUACGCAAUCCUCAUAGCUGUUAGUAUGUCCUGUGAAAAACUAGUUAGCAAGAAAAGUCUGUUUCACCUCCACUGUUGAUUUGUAUUAGGCAUUUUGUUUAGUGUUUAGUUUUUCCUCGAGAUAUUAUAACAAAUUGUCAAGUUACAUUUUUAGCAUAGUAAAACAGAAUCUCUGAGUGUUUGUUGUCUGCAACUACUUUGCUUCAGCAGAGUACUGAUUGUCAAUUUAGUCUUGCACAUGAUUUGUCACAAACGAACUGUACUGCUUGCUAAUAUAAAUACAAUCCAGGUACUACUGGCAGCAGGUGAUACAUUCAGAGCAGCUGCUAGUGAGCAGCUGGAGAUAUGGGCUGAGAGAACUGGUUCAGAGAUAGUAGUAGCUGAGGGUGAGAAGGCCAAAGCUCCGUCAGGUAUGACUUUCAUUUAUACCAAAAUAUUGUAUGUUAAAAUCUUCAAAAAUAGUUUACUUGCUUGAUUUUGGUUACAAGGUAAUCAUGUUCCAUCUAACUUUGUUUCCUGGGUAGUUCUUUCACAGGCUGUGAAAAGGGGGAAGGAGCAAGGAUAUGAUGUAGUUCUGUGUGAUACAUCUGGACGUGCGUAUAGCGUUCCCUGUAAUUAAUUUGAUUCAGUAUAACUAUCUGAUACUCGCCUUUUGUUCCCCCACAUUUUGCAGGUCUGCAUACAAAUUACAGCCUAAUGGAAGAGUUGGUUUCGUGCAAGAAAGCUGUUGCUAAAGUUAUCCCUGGUGCUCCUAAUGUAUGGCUCUCUUUCCAAAGAUUGGAAAAUAUUCAUCCGUUUUCUCGUAUCUUCUACCUUCAAUAUUUUGAUUUGUCUUCAAUAAACCAUUUCUUCAUUCCAUUUUUCCUUCUAGUUUGCUGUUUUCCCUUUCAAAAUUCUGCAGUAACAGUAGCUGUAAUUUAUGUCCUGGUCUUUCUACAGUUGUUUUUCUCUAUUACAUUAGGUUUGAUAUGUUGUAGGAUUUUUGGGCUUUCUAUUAGUCAGGCUACUGAAAUGUCAUUUGUUCAAUCUGUCUUCCAUUCUUUUUUUGCUAGGAGUAGACUUCAUGCCUCAUAAAUGUAUCUUUUAGAGCUAUUUAAAAAAAUGAGAACUAUCGAUACAUUUGCUUAAGAAAUAUAUCAACAUAUCCAUGUUGAAUGUCUUAUUUACUCUGUUACUAGCUCUGUGAAUGCUAAUGCUUUUUUGAAGUAGAUUUUCGGGUUAAAUCUCUUUGUUCAAAAUUAAUGCACCUCACUGUUCUUAGACUUUCUAAUAGCUUUGAUAACUUACCACUUAAAUAACCACGAGCUCACAAUUGAACCCUUUUUUUUCUUUCACAUUAUCUCUUAUCAGAGGCACUUUCUUAUGCUGUAUAGGAGAUCUUGCUAGUUCUGGAUGGGACAACUGGUCUGAAUAUGCUACAGCAGGCAAGAGAGUUCAAUGAUGUAAGUUUCUUAUCCUCAGUGGUAUGCUACCUUUGGAAAUUCCCAUCUUCUGCUGUUGGAAUAGCAUUUAGGGGUAUAAAUGGUCGAAUAUGAUCAGAUAUUUGACGAAACCAUAUUCGCAUUCAUAUUUUGUCAAAUGCGAAUUCGGAUGCAGAUAUGUGUUGGAUGCUAAAUUUUCGUUACCAUAUCCGUUAAAAACAUAAUCUAAUACGAUUAAAUAUUUCUUCAGAUUCGGAUAUAAAUUAGAUUUGUAUUUGGAUAUUAUUCGGAUAAUAAUAUAUAAUAAUAUGCACAUAUGAAUAUAAACUAGAAUAGCAACAAUGUGAAUAAACUUUCACAUUCGUGUUCAACUUUUUAUAUACCUAUUUUUUAUUGCAUAAUAUCUAAGAUCUAGCAAAACAUAAAAGCAUUUUUAAUAUGAAACUCAUAAUAAAAUAAACGAAACAUAUAAUAAACCAGCUUAUCCUCCCACAACAUAUAUUAACGUCCUCCUUAUCUCCAUCACAAAAUUUAAAAAAUAAUUUGAGAUGUGACAUGUGAGAUAGCUUUCUACCAUCUAAGCUACACCACCCUCUUUUUUUAUUUUUCCACAAUAUAUGAAUUAAUGAAAUAUAUUAAUUUUCGAAUAAUCCGAAUCCGAAUCUGAAUCUAAAUCUGAAUCCGAAUAUGACAUCCUGUUUUGAAUCCAAAUUCGAAAUAUUCUAGUGUAUCCAUAUCCAAAUCCGAAGUCGAAAAUAUUGUAAAUAUAGUAUACGAAUCCAAAUUCAACUAGAUGCAUAAUUUUGACAUCCGAACGAAUCUGAUCCGAUUGAAUCUGACACCGGAUUCAAUCGGAGUUCAUCCUAACCACUUUCACCCCUAAUAGCCUUGCAUAGUUCUCUGAAAAUGGCAAUACACUUAAAAACCUUUAGGGCCUGCUUGUUUCACGGUUUAUAAUAUUCAGAUAAUCCUCUAUAUUUUCUAUUGAAAAUAUUUAAAUCAUUGUCAUUCAACUCAAGUUGAAUAGUUGUAAAAGGCGUUAGUGAAGUAGCUGAAUUAUUGUAGACUACUAGGUUGUAGAAAUAUUAAAUUAUCAUGGGUCCACCUCUCAUCCAAGUGGAUUGGUAAGUUAGUAACAUAUUUGCCAUUCCUAAUAUAAAAUAUACAAUAUGUUUGGAAUAUUACAAAUCUUGAACCAAACGGCCCCUUAUUGUAAUUAUCUAGCAACUAUUCCAUGCUUGCUUUUGGUUAUGUAUAUUUAAGCUAGAAGAUGGCUGUUGCUAGCAGAUUUCUUUUUCAUGGAACAAUACUUUUUAGGGUUCGGGUCAAACAAAAUCGAUCUCCUGUUGUGUGUCUUUUGAAUCCGCAUAUUUCUCCCUCAUGAUCAAUACCCACUUAGUGCGUUUAAGACAGUUCUUAUUGGUAGUUUUGAUGUGGCUUGCUUGGUCAAAUGAGUUGAGGGAAUUUCUCUGUUUAUCCUUAAUGGAGCCCUGUGCUGCUUUCCUAGAAAGAGUCCCUUUAAGAUGUAUCCAAAUGUUUAUUGUGUUUAUGACUUGUCCUUUAAGAACUCCAGUCUUCCUUUACUUCAUUCGUCUGAAAAAUGUCAUUGCAGGUAGUUGGAGUUACCGGAUUUAUCCUGACAAAGCUAGAUGGUUCUGCUCGAGGUGGCUGCGUGGUAUGCUUGCAUUUCUUCUUGUGGUUUUGUUCGGCAAAUAUAUUUGUCAUAAAAGACGUUGUAUGGUAUGUGGGUGAUCCACCUGCUGCAAUAUUGAAUGUGCAGUAUGCGGAUGCAUAUGCGGGCAUAUAUGCGAUUGUUGUUUAGAAGCAUUAAAAAUUUAAAACAUGCUCAUAUAAUUUCAGAAGAUUUAUAAUUGUUUCUUAAAGUUAGAAAUAAAUAGCAGCACUAAAGAUUAGCUAAAAAUGCAUGAUGAAUAAUGAUUUCUUACGAAGUGGUUAUUCACAAUACUUAGUAAUCCAAGAAAUCAGCAUAAUUAUCUACGCAAAUAUUAAUACCGAUUGUAAAAGUAUAUGUCGACAUUUAGAUGUGUAAUCAUUAUAUGUUGAUUUCUUCUUUUCUUCUCUGAACGGCUUAGGUUUGAUAUCAAAUGAGUACCGGAUUUGAAUAUCGCUAUAAUCUGAUCCAAUAUCUAAUCACAAAUUAUAUGGACUUGCGAAUAAUAUACUGGACAUGUUGUCACGUAUGCAGACCACUGCAUAUUGGCUACCUAGACAAUGUGCGGUGCUGUUCAUUGUCCGCACCGCAUAUGCGGCUGCGAACAAUACAUAACUGUUCAAACGGUGAUAAUCUCACGUCAAUUUUAUUGCAGGUGAGUGUGGUAGAUGAGCUCGGUAUACCAGUAAAGUUUGUAGGUGUUGGUGAGGGGGUGGACGACCUUCAACCCUUCGAUGCCGAGGCCUUCGUUAACGCCAUUUUCCCUUGAGAGUUGUUCAAACCAUUACAAUGACUAAUCUUGUACAGUUUGUGUCGCUUUUUUGUUCGCCUUUUGGACAAUGUUAUGCAAAAUUUUGGUUCAUUCAAUCUAAAAUUCAUCAACAUAUUGCUUCCAGGAUGGAAAGGCUUGCAUGCUGCUUCAUUGUUUAUUUCUUGCAAUAUAUAAAACCUGAGAAUUCUUAGCUUUUUAUUUUUAUUUUUUUUAAAAAAGUAUGUUUUGCGUCUUUUCUGGUUCUACACUAUACCAUACAUGAAAGUAUGUCUUGUAUUCUAUACUAAUCUUUACACUCUCUAAGCAGUUUUACGCUACUUGUAACUUAGUUCUAAACCACUAACAAAUUAGCAUUUCCACACUAUGCUUCUUUGAAGUGAGCAAUAAUGCUGCACGGCCAAGCUAAAUGGGUCACAAUCAUGUUAAAUGGCCAAGCUCAGCAUGCAAUUAUUGGGACAUUUUGUGGGCAUCGUCCCCAAACAAGUUGUUUGGGGACGGUGCCCAUGGGCGUCGCUUGGUGUGCGGUCGCCCACUGUGACCCUCGGAAACAAAAAAAAAAAAGAAAAAGAGAAAAAAACAUUUGUGGGCUCCAAUUUUUUAGAGAGAAAGAAGUAGGUGAGAGAAAGGAGCGGCCGUGAUGGGGCGGCUGCGAUGGGCGCCCCCACACCAUGCGGCACCCCUCAGCUCCGUCCCCAAACCCCAAACAAGUUUGGGGACAGAUGCCCACAAAAUUUGUCCACCAAAGUAUUAAUGGUAAUAUAUCCCGUGAGCCACAAGGCCCAAGACCCAAAGAUGAAUAAAUAAUUCAACAAAAUCUAUACUCAACCUAAGUCCUACAUCAUAUAGGCCACCACAUUACAACAGAGAAGAGUUUACAAACAUGAAUACGGAAUGGAUUUUAUUGGCAAGCAGGGAUGAAUCAUGAAGUGGCAGUCAUGAUUUGCGAAACCGACGAGGAUGUCCAACUGUAAAUCACAUAAUUUGUAAACUAUUGCAAGAUUUGUUAGUAAGCACAACAUUACUCCUAAUAAAAAUGCCAUUUAGGGAAAUGAUAUACCGCCUUCGGCGAAACUUUACUGCUUAUAACACACAAGAGUACAUGAUAAACCUCACAAGCAUUAUAUUAUUCACAAAAACUAGAUAAUUAUAGAUUAUCUUCAAAUUAAAUAAGAUCAUCAUAGGCUUUGCCAUUAUCUCGAGUAAGAAUGAAGUUGCCGGACUCUUUCAAGGCUGGGAGCGGUAACCGUAUGGAUUCUUGCUAGCCCAAUUCCACUGAUCUCUGCACAUUUCUUCUAUGCCGUACUUUGCUCUGCAAUCAGAUAUUCCGCUUCAAUAAUAAUAGCAUUGCUCGAUCAAAACAAAUCACUUUACCAGUCUCAAGAAGUAAAUUUUCUCAUGUAUACUGAAUGUUUUGAUCCUUUUAGACAACCUUCAAUCUCCAUAGAAUUGUAUUAUGGUAGUGUACAAAGUUGCAGUCAAUAUUAGGAGAAGAAAGAGUACCUCCAACCAAGUUCCUUUUGAGCCUUUUCAGUGGAUGCAUAGACAGCAGUGGCAUCACCAGGUCUCCUUGGGCAUAAUUUGACGGGAAUUUUCUGCGAGUUAUAUUAAUGAUGGGAAAAAAAAAAGAAGUUGUAUUAAUUUUCAACAUCUAGAACAGGAGAAACACUUGCAUUGUUGACUAACCUUCCCAGAUGCCUUCUCAAAUGCUGCAACCAUUUCAAGCACAGAUGUGCCACAUCCUGUCCCCAAAUUGUAGGCAGCACAACCUAAACAAAAUAAAAAAGCUUUAAGUUGAUAAUGGAAUGUGCAUGUGUGUCAAUGUGUGCAAAUGAGAGAGAGAGAGAGAGAGAGAGAGAGAGACCAAUAUCUUCAGUGGCGAAAAGUUUCCGCAGGGCUGCUAUAUGACCGUCAGCUAAGUCCAUGACGUGUAUGUAGUCUCGAAUCUGAUUGGGGAAGAAUCACAGGCAGAUAAAUUUAAAGCCAUACUAAUUUUUCCACUUAAACAUACAUUAUUAUAGAAAUAGUAGGAAACUUAGUUGCGAGAGAGUUUGUCUUAAGAUAUUAUUUCCCCUAAUUCAGAAGCAAAAGCAUCAUAUACUGGGAUACAGCUAAAUGAAAAGGUAUGAACUAAUAUUCAUGAAUGGUAGAAUUAACGUGUCAAAUGUAGUUAUUUUCUGGCCGAAGCAAUGUUGUUAAUUCCAAGAAAAAUGAGGAAAACAAUUAGUAAACAAGAAUACUUGAAUUAUACAAAAUAACAGAGUCAACAGUUGCCUUUAGCUUCUAAUCAGACAUGGCAGUAAAAUAACUAUCUAUAGCGAAGUAAAAAUUUCGAAGACGAACAUGUUAAGAAUAAGUAAUUGACAAUAAACAUGUUCGAGUAUAUACACAAUCUUGGCAUAUUAAUGGUGCUAAAUUAUGACUUCUAAAAGCUGUUCCAAUGGCCAUUCAGUCACCACUAAAAGGGGCGGGCGCUGGGAAGAAAAGGGUUAGAAUUGCUGAUAACAGACACUAGAACCCACACGGCACAUGCUAAUUCAGGCUCAACCAAGACAGUGCAGGAUUUUCAUGAGAAAGUAACUACAACCUAUGAUACUAGACAGCUAGAAGUAAUAUAGUAAACAAAAGUAACAAGUAGAUAUCUAAAUCUUUACUUACCGCGCUACCAUCCUUUGUUGGGUAAUCUUUGCCAUACACAUUCAACUCAGGCAGCCUACCAACAGCAACUUGCUGGAUGUAAGGCAUCAAAUUAUUCGGAAUACCCUUCGGAUCUUCACCAAUUUGACCACUCUCAUGAGCUCCAACAGGAUUGAAGUAUCUUAGCAGUAUGAUUCUCCAUUCAGGGUCAGCUUUUUGGAUAUCCCGAGCAAUCUCUUCAAGAAAAAGCUAUUACACCAAAAUUUACAGAAUGUGAAGAUGCAAGUACACCAAGUAAAAGAUUUUCCUGAUAAUUAUAAGGAUGUUUCACGCCAUAACACAUGGCUAAUCUAAAAUAAGGACUUCUUUGAGUAAAGUUGUCGUAACAAUCUGUUCACAUUUUCCUCAGAAAAAAAAGGAGAAACAAAAGCAAUCUGUUCGAAAAAGCAUCAAUAGCUUUUUCACUAAAAUCCCCUCCAUUACUUCUCUCUGCAGCAAAAGCAGAAGUUUUCAACUACUUGAAGCUUCUGCUACUUGGCAAAAGCUCAUUUUAGCUUCUAGCUACAACAAAAACUAUGAACUAUUUAUUAGCAAAUGAAUGGUUGACAAAAGCUUCAGAAUCUUGGAGUAGAGAAGCUUUUCCACUAGUCGAGCCAAGAACAAGCUGGAAAAAUAAAUAAAUAACUUGACAAUUAAACAUACCUUUGUCCUACCAUACGGAUUCAUUGCUUUUAGCUCGAAAUCUUCAACACAUGGAAUUUUAUCGGGUUGGCCAUAAACAGUAGCAGAGGAUGAGAAUACCAUCUAUUUCACACAAAAAUAGGAAAAUAAAACAAGGGGUAAAAAAGCAUAAGUACAAUGUAAAAAAGCAAAGCCCUAGUUGAAUUAACUACAAGCAACUCAUAAUUUGUACAUUGUAACUUCACUAUAGUAAAAGCUGUGAGUUACAAUAUUAGCUAUAUAGUUAGUGGAAAACAAGUAUUAGAUGUGAAGAAAACCUUUUUACAACCGUUUUUUGCCAUGAACUCAUAGAGAUUGAUUGUUCCAACCAAAUUGUUGUCAUAAUAGAGGAAAGGUCUCGCAACACUCUCUCCAACAGCCUUCAACCCAGCAAAAUGAAUUACAGCAUCAUACCUAUGGAUACAACAAUUUUCUGUUAUCGACGAGCUAAAGAUAAGAAUGUGAAAGUCAUACAUACUCUGCUACAAUGAAUUACUGAGAUGCUCAUUUGUUUAGUUGGGUCUUCUGCAGAAAACUAUUUAAGUAAGCUGCUAGAAGCAGCACAAACAACUUUUUUGUUUAGUCCACCUAACAGCUACAUGCUGCAGCAGAAGCAGAUCUGUAAAUCAGAGCUUCUGCUAGGGGUCCGCAACCUCAUCUCAACUCCCUAACUGAAAAGAGCUACAAACAUUUUCUUUGCUAUAUGCUUGACCUCUUCGUGAGAAUAUGAAUUGUACCACAAGUCAAGCCAAACAGGCAUUGGAAAGCUACAGCAAAUGUAAGUCACCAACGACCAUUAGUGAAAUUACAAAAUAAUUGUUGCAUUGCUACAUAGGUGGGAAAAGAUUCAUUUGAGAUCGCCCCACAGUAGAGUGGGAAAAACUAAAAGCUGCCACAUGUGCAAAAUUUAAAUUCUGGCAUAAGUGAAGAUAAAAUGAUCUGAUCAUGGUUGAAUGAGUUUGAGUAUUUACCCUAAAAAAAAAAAAUGAUUAGUAACAAAAAUUGUUGUUGGGUUUCGAAGGUGCUGCUCCUAGUGCUAUCAUAUUUCUUAUGAUAAGUACUAACAAAGUAUAUUGAAGAAACAAUCUCCUAAAAGACUAGGUCUUUGAAUUCUAACUGAUCAGAUAAAUUUUCUUCACCUUGUGAUCGUCGCGAGAAAACAACAUCAAAUGACAUUCAUUGAUGAAAUAAUUAAGUUUCUAAAUAAAUUGAUUUCUUCACAAGAAGGAACUCUCUGUAGCUUUUGACUAAGUAAUAGCAAUAAAAUAAAGAAAAAUAUAUGUCGGAUCAUCUUGAGCUUAUGUCCGAUUACACUUAACCACCCAAACUUAAAAAAUACAAAGAAAACGAAAAACUGCAUGAACUUUCAAUUCUCUUCAAUUAGCUACCUGACCCCGAUUUCAGCUAGUCUUCUUUAUUAGGUAGCAAUUAUAUAAAGAUAAAUAAAGUCAAAUACCCUUGAGGGCUGUUUGGUUCAUGGUUUGUAAUAUUCCGGAAAUGUUGUAUAUUUUAUAUUGGGAAUGGCAAGUUUGUUACUAGCUUAUAAAGUCACUUAGGUUGGGAGAUCGUUAAAAACUAAUUAAUAGACUACAAUAAUUCCCAUCAAGAAUGGAAAUGAGAAUGCCUCCUACAACCCAUGAUAAUCUCCCUUAGAAUCAUCUAGGCAUUCAAAAAGAAAAUGAGUAAACAUGAACUUUUCAAGGUCAAAUGACUGUCCCAAGCCAUAUAUUUAGUUCAAAAAUUUUACGAAAAGUGGGGUGGAGUAGUUGAAUGAAACAAAUUAAAAGUUCAUGUGAUUUUUUUAGCUUUUUAAAGUUUGGGUGGCUAAAUGUAACUAGGCUAGAGUUUGGAGGGUUCGAUAUAUUUUUCUGCAAAACAUAAUGAAGCACUGAACAAGCAAACCAUUGGGUGAAAUCUCCACAUCACCACCAACCCACUAAUGUCUACAACUAAAUACAGUUUUGUACAUCAUAUAACUGUCCAUAACAAAGCCUGUGCAUGAAAGGGUUACUUUCUGUAACGCCCCCAAUAGUCCUAUAUCGGAUGGGAUAUUGAUUCCGAUCAGUUUAUAUGAGGCCUACACGCUAGUAAUAAUAACUAAGCUGAAGCAUUUUGGGCCAGUGGUUGGGCCCAACAAGUUAUUGUUGCUAGCGGGUUGGGUCGUUGCAAUUGAUAUCAGAGCCGAAUACCAGCCGUAAGUGUCUAAGUGCUAUGCGGGACAAAGUGCUACACCAACGGGUUUGGUGAGAGGCCACCUCUUGAACCCGUAGGAGCUACCUCUAGAAUCUCACAUCGCCUGGUAAUUCCGGUCCUGAUCUGUCUGUCUGUGAUCUAGUUUGGACCCGACGAGGACGNCCGAUGUGGGAUUAUUGGAGUGUCACAAACUCCCCCCGUUAAGGCCCUGACGUCCUCGUCAGUCCAAUCACACACACACAGCCCAAGAUCACCAGGCGAUGUGAGACUCGUCUCGCUAGCCCGUCAUCCAGACCCUGGCUUAGUCGAGACUCGCCACACAUGUCCAGCUGGUGAACCGGCUCUGAUACCAAAUGUAACGACCCAGCCCGCUAGCAACAAUAACUCGUUGGGCCCAACAACCGGCCCAAAAUGCUUAAGCCUAGUUAUUAUUACUAGCGUGUAGGCCUCAUAUAAACUGAUCGGAAUCAAUAUCCCAUCCGAUAUGGGACUAUUGGGGGCGUUACACUUUCCCAAAAUUGGUUUGCUCACAUGCAUAUCAGAACAUACUAUAUUACAAAUAAACACAAAGAGUAGCUCAACACAUGAUUACCCAAAACAAAACCAAAUUCAUGUACAAGCAAAUCCAUAUACUUAGAGACCUUAUGAUAGGUUUUUUUUUUUCGGAGUUCAAAUGAAUAAUGCUAUGCUCAUUCCCAAGAGUAGAUUGAAAUAGGAUGUAGUCCAAAGUGAUUGAUUUUUUGGAUAGUGUGUAGGGCCCAUCAUUAUAUGAUUUGUGUAAAUCUCUUGAUUAUAUAAUUCCAACUGCGAAAUUUCUACUUCCAUGAAUUUUUGGAAGUGAGCUUACCAUUGCUCAACGCAAAUAUCCCAUCUAGCAUCUCCAAUUAACUGAUAACCUUCAAUAUAAAUCCUAUUUCCAUGCUUAAAAAAAAAAGUAAUGUAAGGAGAAAACUGCCCACAUGCCUGGGAUACAUUUUUGAUUGGUUCAAAAUGUGAACUUGAAUUAAAUGAGAGGAAGCUAACUAAAUGUAGGAGUCUAUAGGUCAUGAUCUCAUACUCUUAUAUCAUAUUAAAGAACCAAUUACUAUGAAACCUUUUUUCCUUUUUGACUGCUCUCUAAAAGCUUAAACUAGUAGGACUUAAACUAGUAGGAAGUAGAAAACAAUAUUCAAAUAUUUGGUUAAACUUCAACUUAAGUAUUUCACUUUGCCACCGUAAUGGUUUAAAAAGUUGAACUUCAUUACCUUUUACUUUUGUUUCUCCCAUAAGGACCUACCAUUUAACAAGUGGCAUGCUAAUAAGAUAAUAGUAUUUUACCAUCUUAUAAUCUGCACUUUAUUAUUAUGCAGUUUGUAAAAUAUAUUGUUUUUUACCUCAUCUAUCGAGAGGUUACUAUAAUUGAACUUUUUGAACCACAAGAUGACAAAGUACAAAAUGAGCUAAGGAGCCAAUUGUUAGGAUGCAAUUAGAAAUAUAAUAUAGUUGGAGACGCAUUCAAUUGAAAAUAUAGUAAUUAUAACUACAUGCAGCUUAUUUGAUUGGAUAUAAUUGUUUAGUUGUCUAUAGUUGAAACAAUGUAUUUUUAAAAGUUUAUUACUUUAUAUAUAAGGUAGCGAGAUUACCUUCAAUGUAUAAAAGGAAAAAUAUUUUCUAUUUAAUAGCUGAUUAGAGAGGUCAGCUUAUUUUUCGUUUAAAAUUACUCUCUCCAUCUGCUGCUGCUGCAGCAGUUGGACUUCCUUAUAAACUUCUAACUGCAGCUAUUGAAUUCAAAUGCAUUAAAUCAAACACCGAAUUCGGAUAUGCAUGUAGUUACAACUGCAGUGCAGUUGCAACUAUUUGCAGCAAAACACCCCCUAAACCACACGGUUGUAUUUGGCACGGAGGAUAUCCCGGAACAACGGGGGAUAUCCCCCAAUUUGUAGCCAAACGCAAGCAGAACUUCGGGGAACGGGUUGUUCGGGUCAAAACGGGUUGUCCUGGGUUGUUCUGGAACAAUUCGUUAAAAAUUGUUCCUAGGGGAACUCAAAACAACUUUGGGCGUGUUUGGUUCGAAGUCGAAAUCGGAAUCAGAAUAAGCUGGAAUCGAAAUCGGAAUGACGCAUUACCUAAUUCUGUAUCGGUCUUUGGUUCAGGUAGAUAUAAAAAACGUAAUUAAAUUAAUAUACUAACUUUAUCUUUAUAAUAUAUUAAUUUAAAUUCAAAUUGAAAAUUAAAUAUUAAAAAUUUACAUCAAAAUUUUGAAAUAAUAUCAAAAUUUUAAAUCUAUUUUUUUAAAAAAUUAAACUUUGAAGUUGAGUGGAUAAUUUAAAAUAUGAAACUUAAUUUUGAUUUAUUCAAAUUCAAACUUAAAAUUACAAUUUUACAUUUUAAUUUGAAUCAUAAAUUUUAAUUUAAGUUUUAAAAAAAAUUUGAAUAAAAUCUUUAUAUAAAUUAAAAUUUAAUUCAAAUUCAAAUUCAUAAGUUAGAUUCAAAAUACUUGAUUAAAUUUAAUUUUUAAUUCAAAUCCAAUUAAAAUUAAAAAUUAAUAUAUUUAAUUUCUAAAUUUAAACUCAUAUUUCAAUUAAAAAUAUUAAAAAAAUAAAUUUAAUCCGAAUAAAUAUCCAUUCCGUCCGAUUCAACUUCUAAUCCGCCUUCUAGGGCCGGAUUGAAAAAAGAAAGUGAUGGGACACUCGGAGUAGGAUGCAAACGGCGCGAUCUGGGGCGGAGAGCCCCCCGCCUCCCCCCCGACUAGCAAAAAUCACUGGCCCGCUCCCGCCCCGAAUCGUGACGGUUAAAAAAUACAUCCCAUAAUCCGCCUCGCAUCGUAACCCGCCUCCCGCCGGCAGCUCCGAAUCCGCCCGCCAACUAAUAUUUUUUAUAAAAUUAUAAUAUUAUUAAUAUUUUGUAAAAUAUAAAUUAAUAAUUUUUAAUAAUAUUAUAUAUAUAAUUUAACAAUAUUAAUGGUAAAAAUUAAAAAUAUCAAUCACAAUUCAAAACAAAAUUCAAAUAUUUCAAAUACAUUAGAAAUGAGAGUAAUAACUUAUUUGUAUUUUAAACUUUUUUUAUAAAUAUAUUAUUUUUUGGGAAUAUUUUUUAAAAAUACAAAUGAUAUUCGGGGCGGAUUCGGGGCGGAUUCGGGGCGGGUCAAAAUUUUUCCUGUUUCCUGCCCCGAAUCCGUCUCGGAUUGUAAAACUUACCCCGUUUCCUGUCCCGAAUCCGUUUAUUUUCUCCCAUUUACUGCUCCCGUCGGGGCGGAUCGGGGUGGGAACUCCACCAACCUGGAUCCGUUUGCAUCCCUACUCGGGAGUCGGAAUCGGAAUGGGACUCCCGCGUACCAAACACCCACAAACGAAUUCGCCAAACACUCCCUCUGUUCUUCUCUUUAUUUUAUUAGAUAAAUAAAUAAAUAAAUAAAUAUAUUAAUAUACAUAGUAUUUUUAUGAUAAUAUAUUUAUACUUAAAUCUUAUAUAUAAUAUAAAUUAAUUAAAUUUAAUAUAUUAUAUAUUUGAUUAAGUUUUACUAUUUAUGUAUUAAUAUUUAAUUAUUUUUUAUAUUAAAUAUUAUAUAUAUAUAAUAAAAUAAAUAUACUAUUUUAAAUUAAACUUACAUAAAAUAUUAUAUUAUAAAUUACAAAAUGAAAUAAUUUUAUAAAUAACUUUAUAUAAAAUAUACUAAUAUAAAUUAAUUAUUUUAUUUUUAAAAAUAUAUUUGGACAUUAUUCUUGACUUUUUAUCCAAACGCUAUUAAAAAUAUCCUCUAAAAUAUUCCCGAAUAUAUCCAAACGUAAAUUUAUAAUUAUUAUCUAUUAAAUUAUAUGAAUCCUCAAUAUAUUUUGCCACGUGGCAAGUUUUUCUUCACCUUCACCACCAUGUGAUUCUUUCCCUUCACUUCAUCAAAAUGAAUCCUCAAUAUAUUUUGCCACGUGGCAAGUUUUUCUUCACCUUCAUCACCAUGUGAUUCUUUCCCUUCACUUCAUCAAAUUUUUAAUUAACGUAUCUAAUUAAUACAUCUAAAAUGGCCUACUACUAAACUUCCAAUUAAUGUAUUUAAAUGGUUCCCUAUCAAGUUUUUCUUCACCUUCACCACCAUGUGAUUCUUCCCCUUCUCUUCAUCAAAUUUUUAAUUAACGUAUCUAAUUAAUACAUCUAAAAUGGACUACUACUAAACUUCCAAUUAAUGUAUUUAAAUGGUUCCCUAUCAAGUUUUUCUUCACCUUCACCACCAUGUGAUUCUUCCCCUUCUCUUCAUCAAAUUUUUAAUUAACGUAUCUAAUUAAUACAUCUAAAAUGGCCUACUACUAAACUUCCAAUUAAUGUAUUUAAAUUCUCCAUUAAAUUUUUAAUUAACGUAUCUAAUUAAUACAUCUAAAAUGGCCCACUACUAAACUUCCAAUUUAUGUAUUUAAAUGUUCCCCUUGUCAUUUAUAAUUCUCACCAUUUUAUUUCUAAUUAAUUUAUUACGAUCCUUCACUUUUCCUCCACAAGACUUCUAAUUAGUCCAUCUUCGUCAAGUUUAAUUUGUUUAUUUAUUUUAAUUAUUUUGUAUGUGCAAUUUUGAAAUUAUCAAAAUGAGAAGCUUAAAUAACAAGUUGGAGGAAACUGCGAGGAAAUCAAGAGGAAAAAAAAGAAUGCUCAGGUAAUAUAGAAAUUUUUUUUUUAAAGCAAAGUAGAAAGUAAUUUUAAUUGUUUCAUCAGGAAAAAUUUAAUUACUAAUAUUAUUUUCUAUACACACUUUUUAAAAUUAUGUUCAUAAGAAGUUUUAAAAUAUUGCCUUAAAUAACUUGAAUGUGUACUCUUAUUUGCAGUUUAAUCCAGUCUUCUGAUUCCCAUGAAGAAGAGAAGUGAAGAUUUUUCCAGCAAAACUAUCAUAAGAUUAUAUUUCUAUAAUAUUUGAAGGAUAUUUGAAGGAUAUGUGUAAGAGACUUAUUUUAUUUUGACUUUAAAGCAUGAAGUUUAUAGUAUGAAUUUUAGAAUUUAGUAAAAUUCUAAAGCUUCUAGACACAAUUUAUUGAAGAAUAGUGAUGUUUUGGAGCCAUAUAACUUUCAUUCCAAAUUUUAUAAUUUAGAAAAAUUAGUAUUUAGGAUUCUAAAUAUAAUUUUAUUUUUUAAAAUUUUAAAUUUGGGAUUCUAUUAUCUACCCGCCGCAUCGCGCGGGUUUUUGCACUAGUUAUAUAUUAUACAGAAAUACCUCCGUUGUUCUCAGAAACAACAAAAUUGUUCUCCAAAAUUUAGUUAUAUACCAAACGCAGCCAUCACAAAAGUACAAGCACAAUAAAACUAAUUGAGGAUAAAAACAAGAAACUCACCUUUUUGAAGAAAACACCUUCUCCAGGUCCUCCUUGCUCCUCAAAUCUCCCUGCAAACGCAAGCAAUGCGCGCGCAGCGCUCUCAAAAUCUAGAGAGAGAAAGAAAAGGGCGAGAGAUAGAACAAGAGAGAGAGAGAGAGAGAGAGAGCUAGGGUUUAUACGAGGAAGAAGCGGAGGUUUUGGGCGAGCGCGGGGCCGGCGAGGGCGCGGACGCGGUCGAGGGCCUCGGGGACGGAGUUGUCGAGGUUGUCGAUGAUCGAGACGUGGCACCCCUCCCUGAGGAGCUGGAGCACGGUGUGGCUCCCGAUGAACCCCGCGCCCCCCGUCACGAGCACGCUCCUCCUCGUCGUCAUCGUCUCCCUCUCCGUCGAAGCCGAAGACGAGGGGGGCGGCGCCAUUAAUGGAGGCCGAGGAGAAGAAGAAGAAUAAAAGAGAAAGGGAGAAUGAGAAUCAGGAAUAGGGAAUGGGGAUAUAAUAAUAAUUGUUGUCGCAGAUUUGCUCUUUAUUUAUACCGGAAGGAAAAGGAGACGCGGAGAGAGAGAGAGAGAAAGAGGGAGGCUGUUUGGGAGAGCGUGAAGGGAUGAGUACGGAAGCGCAGGAAUAAAGGGGUUGAGAGUGAGUUGGAGUUUGUUGGCGUGGACGUGGAGACUUUAUUGCCUGCUGCGCCGGGUGUACAGGUGACAACUAAGUAGUAACUAAUUAACCAGUAGCCACUCCAUUCCCUAAUUAGUGUGCGUUUGGUUGGAGGAUAAAAGGGGUUAGGGGGUUAACCCAACCCCUUUUAUCCCCAAAUGUUUCUGGAAACAUUUGGGGGUGGAGUUUGUUAACCCCGUGGAGUGCGGUUAACAAACCCCACCCUCCCGUGUCGGAUUAAGUUAAUUCCAUCCUAAUUUAAUUUUUAAAUAUAAAUUUAAAAUUUUAAUUUUAAUUUAUAAAUUUUAAAAAUUUAUAAUUUAUAAUCUUAAAAUUAAUAUUAAUAUUUUUAAAUUGUUUAAAUUUUAAAUUUGACAUUUUAUAUUUAAAAUUUUAAAAAUGUAUAAUUUGCAAUCUUAAAAUUAAUAUUUAUUGUUUAAAAUUUUAAAAUUUACACUUUAAAUUUAAAAUUUAAAAUUUAAAUUAUUAUUUUUAAUUAUUUAAAUUUUAAAUUUAAUAUUUUUUAUUUUAAAUUUCAGAUUUAAAAAUAUAGAUUUUAAUUUUGAAUUUUUUUAAUUUUAAAAGUUAUCUAUUUAAAUUUAAAAUUUUAAAUAUAAAAUAAAAAAUUUAAAUUCAAAUAUAAUAAGUGCGGUAAUAUCAUUAUUUUCUAUUUAUAACUACUCACUAUUCUUCUUAUUCCAUUUACUCAAACCAAACACUAUUUUGCUUACAUCUGGACUAAACUCAAUUCUCAACCAAACACAAAACUGCUCUAACUCCAUCUUAACCCUAAACUUAACUCUAUCCCUGAAAUAAGUAGUUCUUACUUAACCCCGAACCAAACAAAAAAAAAAAUUUAGCCUUUUUGUAAUUAAACACGUAUUUGAACUUUCAAUUUUGACAAUUAAUUUUUAAGUAAAUUUUAAAUAUUAUUUCUAUGAUUUGGUAUUUUUUUAUUUUAAUACUCUAUAAUUUAAUGUGUAUCCCCUUUUAGGAUAUAUCCUGUAAUUUCAUAUUUCUCUUUCUAUCAGCAAUUUCAUUAACUUUUUCUUAAAUCAUAUAUAAAAAAAUUUCAGAUACCCUAUUUAUGAUUUAUCGAAUAUUCACUUUAGUGCCAUGUGGUUUACUGAAUUUUUAUUUUAAUACCCCGAUUUUAACUUUAUCAUUAGUUUAACGAAAAAAAUUAACGAAAGGAAUAACGGAAAGAGAAAAACGAAAUCAUAAAAUACUAAAGUGAUACGUUUUAAACCACAGAAUACUGAAAUAAGAAAAUGUAAAAUGAUAGGGGUGGUAUUUAAAGUUUUUUCUUAAUUUUUAAAAACUUUAUCAAAUAAUUCAAGAGGUCUCUCUUUUCCGUUAAAGUUGUUAAUUAUAUAAUUAAUUUUGAUCGUAUAUAUUGCCUACUGUUUUGUGAAACUUUAAACAACGGAAAAAAGAACUAUUUGUAUUCUAAUAUGUUAAAACAGCCAUAAAAAUUAAAGUUUAAUUCAACUUAUUUUUCGAUCUUCAUGCUUAACUUAUAUAUGCAUGAUAUUCUAUCAAAAUGAUUGUGAAAUUAGUGAGUUCAUUUCAAAAGAAAAGUCUAUCGAAUUAUAUUAUAAAGUUUAGGAGAUAUAAUUGCCAAAAUUAAAAAUUUAGGUAUCUAUUUCGCAAAAAAAAACUAAUGUUCCGACGGGCUUUGUACAUUCUUUUGCUUAUUUUUAUAAAUCCAAAAAUAACCUUUUCUCUAUUAUUGUUAUUUUUUAGUAGCAAGAAUCUGGUUAGAAGCAAGGGGCAUCUUAACAUUAUUAUGCAAAAUCAAGUUGGUACAUAGAAAUUUAUGCUUAUAAUGUGAUAUUAUAUAUAUAUAUUUUUUAUCGUAUUAUUUUUCAUACCGCACAUAAUAUAAUUUUUCUACACUAUGAAUUGAAAUCUAUGGUUAUUCAGAUAGCUAAGCAAAGAUUUUUAAGUCAAGUAGUUUUUAUAUAUCUAAUCUCUUUAGCUGGAAAAAUAUUUAUUAUAGCAAAUACAUCACAUAAAAUAUAUCUCAAACCAAUCUUAUUGUACCAUGUAGGAUGACAAAGUAAUAAAAUCAUUUUAUAGUAAUAGUAAAAUGACGUUUGGACAAAGAUGAACUUCAAUUUUUCCCUUGAGGUUUAUCGUAUUUUCACUUUACAAUUCUAUAUUUUAGAAAGUUGCAUUUAACUAUUCUAUACACUAAAACAAAAAUGAUCUAUAGCGACACUUUUAAAUAUCGGUACAGAUAAAAAAAAAAUUGCUGGCUAAAUUACCGACACUUUUAAAAAGUGUUGUCAUAUGUGGUGUCGCUAGUUAUAUAAUGACAGUUAAAGAGUGUCGCUAUAAUCUAAAAAGAGUGCCGCUAAUUUAUCAAUACUUAUUUAAGCAUUUAGCAACCGCCAGAACUCUACCUUAUUGGCUGCAGUGACGGAGGAGGACGAAAGGGAAAGCUUCUUCGUCUAGGAUUUCAGUGAAUUGAGUGAGGGGAGAAGGAGAUAUGGCAAUCGAUUUUUUUUUUUUUCUGUUUGUAAUCGAGCCGAAUGAGCUGGGUGGGGUGGGUUGAGUAGAACAAUCUUUUAUUUUUGGUUGGAUUAGACUUUAUAUUUAGGUAUUAGUAGAUUUUUUAAUAACUUUUGGCAUAAUGGGACACUUAUACAAAAAUGUCCCAAACAUGUGUCUCUAUAACCUAAUUUUGUUAUAGUGAUACUUUUAUUUUUAUUUUACUAUAAUUACGGACCGUUAAAUAGAAUAAUAAAAUAAUAUUUCUUUCAAAUUCCUGGAUUGUAAAGUAUAGAUUAUAGGAUAGUAAAACGCCAUGGUUCAACGCUGCAGAGUUAAUAAAAGGGUUAUUUGCAUACACGUCCCUACAAAUAUAGUGAAUUGCAGAAAUAUUCCUGCAAAACAGAAAUUCCAUAAGUUGUCCCUGCAAAAGUCCUAAGUUAUGCAGAUAUGUCCCUCUGGUUGAAAUUCGUUAAGAAACUGUUAAUUUUUUAACAAUUUUCAUGUGAAAUGACUGUUUUACCCUCACAAAUAUAUCCCUCCAAAUCUCUUUCCCUUCCUUUUCUCUCCCUCUUUGGCCCACCGAAGUGGACGGUGGCGGCGGCGGCGCGGGGUUGGGUUCGCCGGCGACGAAGAAGAGGGAAGAGAAAGAAGAAGAGGAAGAAGGAGAGGAAGAGGGAGAAGAAGAGGGAAAAGGAAGAGGAAGAGAGAGAGGGUUUGCUUUCAUCGCCGCCGCCGCCGCAUCUCCUCCCUCGCCGGCGACGAAGAAGAGGAAGAGGAAGAGGAAGAGGGAGAGGAAGAGGGAAUAGGGAGAGGGUUCGUCGCCGCCGUCGCCGCCGCAUCUUCUCCCUCGCCGGCGACGAAGAAAAGGGAAGAGGAAGAAGGAGAGGAAGAAGAAGGGGGAAGAGGAAGAGAGAAGAGGAAGAGGAAGAGGGAGAGGGCCGCCGUCGAUGCCGCCGUCGCCGUUGCCGCCGCUGCCGCAGUCGCCGUCGCCGCCACCGCCGGCGAGGAAGAAGAUGGAAGAGGAAGAGGAGGAAGAGGAAGAAGGGUAAAACCGUCAAUUUACGUUAUUAAUUAACCAUGGUUAAGUUUUUAACUAUGGUUAACAAAAUUUUUUUAACAGACCUUAACAGUAGGGACAUAUCUGCAUAACUUAAGGCUUUUGCAUGGACAACUUAUGGAAUUUCCGUUUUGGAGGGAUAUUUCUGCAAUUCACUAUAUUUGCAGGGACGUGUAUGCAAAUAACCCUUAAUAAAAAGGAUCACUUUAAUACUUUAUUUAACAGUGGAUCCUUGCAGGGAAGGAAAAAAAUAAAAUUGUAGAACAGUGAAGUGCAAUUUUUUGAAACUUAAGGUCUUUACUGAAAAUGCACUGUACCAUGCGGGGGGCUUUUGCGGGGGUCUUUACUGAAAAGAAAAAUCUCCGCAUGGACACCCUCGCCCGCGCACUCCUUGCCCUACUCGCCUCCUACCCCGCCGAAGCCGCACUGUGACCCUCUUUUUUUUUCCCUCCAACCAUCCUCCACCGUCUCUGCGGCCCUCCGCGAUAAUAACGAGAAUCGUAACGCGUCCUCUUCCUCCGCCUUUGCCCUCCACCUCUACUGCAGCGAAUUUUCUAUCUGCCAAAUAAACCCGCCGUCCCCAUUGCCGCUGCCGGCGAGGAAGAGGAAGUGCUUCUCGGGGCCGAGAAGCUCGCCGGCGAGGUAAGGGGCACGCGGCCCACCCACUUACCCCAGAGGGCGGCGGCGAGCGCGGCCUCAACGGUGUCGGAGGCGAGGAGUGCGAGAAAUGUAUGGGAAAAUCUCUGAAUUAGCACUUUUGUUUGUUUAAAACAAAAAAAAAAAAAACUAAAAGAUACAGUUUAUAUAAUAAUAAAGAAAAUCAGGAAAAAAUGAAGAAAAAGAUGAAUUUGCACUCUUAAGAUUAAAUUGCACUAUUUUAAAAGAACGUUGCACUAUUAUGAACAUAAGUUGCACUCUUUUAAAUAUAAACUGCACCAUUUAAAAUGAAAGCUACACUUAAACGAAAAUUGCACUCUUUGAGAGAUAUUUAUACUGUUUCUCAUCUUAUUGCACUCUUUAAGAGGAGAUAUUUAUAUUAUUUCUUCUCUUGUUGCAAUAUUUCUAAAAGGGUGCAACUUUAAGAUUGAUCAUACAAUGUAUACAUUCGGCCUUGUUUCAAUUGGUUUGAUCCAGUUGUUUCAAACCAGUUUCAUUCGGUUCGCGUCUCACUUAAACCAUACUUUCAAAUAUAUUCCAUUCAAUUUUCUUGUAUCAGUCUAAAUUCACGUCUGUGUGCUAGUAAGGCCUAACUCGUGUCAAAGCGACGUAUUGAGAAUAAUAAUCUCAUAUAUAUUAAAAAAAACUUCAAAUAUUAUCUCUGUAGUUUCACACUUUCUCACUUUAUUAUCAUGUAAUUUAAAGUGUAUCAAUUUAGUGCCCUGUUGUUUUAUUUUUAUCUUUUUAUUAUUGAUUCCACAAAUUUUUUUGUUAAAUAAAUGACAAAAUUAAAACUAAAGGGCACUAAAGUGAAUAUUCGAUAAAACUAUGUGGUGUAUCUGAAGUUUUUUGUAUGUAAUUUAACGAAAUAUUAACGAAAAAACUGACGAAAAAAUAAAAAUGAAAUCACAUGACACUAACAUGAUACACUUUAAAUCACAGGAUAUUAUAAAGUGAGAAAGUGCAAAACUACACGGAUGGUAUUUGAAGUUUACCCUAUAUAUUAGAUAUAGAAUAAGAUCUUAGCUUGUAACUUUGUAUACUUCAGUUUUUGGAUUGGAUCUUGGGCCUACAACAAUCUCUUGACCUAAUGGAGCUCACUAAAUAGGUGAGAAAACAUAGGAAUUAAAGACCCCUAAGGCAUUUUGAAAUAGUCUUGCAAAAUUCUAAUAAAAUCAUCAUCAAGUUCAACAAAUCUCCAAUUUAUAUGACGAAAUAAUCGAAAUAAAAGCAAACACAAUUUGAAGGAGCGAAAAAUAGAAGCCGGACUCGGAUACGUUGGGAAUUUAAUAGGGCCCAAGACGAAGUGUCCUUCGCUUGAUUGGGGCGGGCUAAUCGUGAGACUGAGGACUUGUUGGAUUUUGUUAUAGAAUGCAGUAUUGUUUAAUAAAGUGUUACCGGAAAGACUAAGAGAUGCUAUUUAUCGUAAACAUCUUAUUUCUACAUCAAAAUCAAAAGCACGAAGCUGAAGCUUCUGAGAUUGAAUGUUCCGAUGUCAUUUCUAUUUCUUGCAAUACUCUUCCUUGAAAAAUUGGAGAAAUAAUGAGAAUUUUUUUUUAAUGUAAAGUUGUAAUAUAAAGUUUCACUUUUUAAGUAAAUAGUGAGUGGUAUAUUGUUCAUUUUAUUUUGGCCCAUGUUACCAUACACGUGAUACCUCAAAGUUUAAUUUACUUGCAAGUUUAAUUGAAUUAGACUCUUAGGCCGUAUUUGGUUCGCUCCGUUUUCAUUCAGGAAUUAAAAUCGGAUUGGACAAAUUCAUUUAUUGGUGUUUGAUAUACGGGAGUUCCAUUCAAAUUCCGAUUUCCGGAUAAAUGAAAAACUUUUAAUUAUGCUAUUUUUCAAUCCGGUUUAGGGCCCAAUUGGAAGUUAAAUUCAGGCGAAAAGAAUAUACUUUAUGAAAAUAUCUCAAUUAUAUUUUUUUAUUUAAAAUUAAAUUAAAUUUUUAUUUAAAUAUGUUUUUAAAAUUUGAAAUUAAUUUUUAAUUGUGGAUUUUGUUUUUGAAAUUAAAGUAAAAUAUAAAUUCAAUCAAGCAUUUUGAAUUUAAUUUAUAAAAUUAAAUUUAAAUUUAAAUUUAUUUGUAAGUUUGAAUUUGAAUCAAAUCAUAAAUUAGUUUUAUAUUUUGAAUUGUCUACUCAAUUUUAAGUUUUUUAAAAAUUAUAUUUAAAAUUUUGGCUUAUCAUUUCAAUAUUUUCAUGUAAAUUUUUAAUAUUUAACUUCUAGUUAGAAUUUAAAUUAUAAUUUUAAUUUUAAAUUUUAAAUUAUUUUUAUAUUUUGUAUUUUAAUUCAAAUUUUAUUUUAAUUACUUUUUUAUAAUCAAAAUUUUUUAAUAUUGAAAGUAUGAAUCAACGCUACCAAGAUUUUAUCAUUUCAUUUUCAAUUUCUGUUAAUUCCAAUUUUUUUUCGGAUUCCAUUUUUCAUUUUGAACCAUACGCAUGCACAGUUAAUAUUUAUCAACGCAUGCCCUAGUUAUACACAAACACAAGAACUAACACUUAUGAUAUAGCACCGACCGUCCCUAGAGCAAGUGGCAAAGGGCUUGGUGGUUGAUACCCGAGACCCAAGUUCGAAUAAUAGUCGAUUCACAUUUCUAGUUAAAUUUAUUUCUAAAUGAAAUAAACGAAGCAGAUAGCGUGCUACCUAUCUCUCUCUCUCUCUCAAAAAAAAAAAAAACACUUAUGAUAUAGCAAACUGAGAGACAUGAAACAUUAAUUAUUUGAGGUUAAUUUCAUAAAGGUCCAUGCAGAUAUAGUGAAUUACAAAUAUAUAACUAUAAAUUUCAACUUUUAUAUAUUGUCCCUAUAAAAGUUCUAUUGUUUUCAAAUAUGUCUCUGCCGUUAGAAUUCGUUAGAAAACUUUAGUUAACCAUAAAUUAAAUACUUAAUCCUAGUUACUUUAUGAGAUAAUUUCAUAUUUUUGUUUCUCUUAUAUUAUACUUUUGUUGCUUUUGAAAAGGUAUAUUUGUGACCAACUGUCUCUAGAGUAAGUGGCAAAGAGCUUGCUGGUUGGUACCCGAGACCCAGGUACGAAUCCUAAUUGAUUCACAUUUUCAGCUAAGUUUAAUUCUAAAUGAAAUAAACGAAGCGGGUAGCGUGCUACCUAUCUCUAAAAAAAAAAAAAAAAAAAAGGGCAUAUUUAUGAUGGCAAAAUUGACAUUUCAUUUAAAAUAUAAACAGUUCUAUAACGGUAACAAACCAGAGUAACAUGUUUGAAAAUAUUAAAACUUUUGUAGAGAAAAUAUAUGAAAGUUAAAUUUUACAGUAAUAUAUUUAUAAUUCACUAUAUAUUUGUAGGGACCUGUAUACAUUUAAUCCUAAUUAUUUAGAUAACUACAAAGAAAUUAAAAAACGAGGAUCUCAAAGAGACUCAGGCACAGUGAUAUGUAGCUCAUCAAUGCUUAUGAGAAGCAUUAUGAUUGGCGAGCGAGCCAUCUUUAUUUUGUCCUCAUCGUCUCUUCAAGUCAAUAGACAUAAAAUGAAAGAUCAAAAUAAAAUUUAAAAAAUAUUAAAUGAAUAAGUUGAAAAUAAUAAAAAAUACAUAUAUAAAUAAUAUGCAAGAAAAUUCGAGCACACGAAUAAAAUCAUCCAUAUCGAAUACGUAUGUGAUAAAAAAGAGUUAAUUAACUAGAGAAGAUAUAGAUAGAUGUGGAAAGAGUAAUAGAAAUAGGUCAAGCUAAAUCUUCUACUCAAACACUCGCGCGCGCACACACACACACACACGCACACACACACACACAAAUUUUUUUUAAAAAAUAAAAUAAAUUUUGAUAAUAAACAUUAAUUUUUAUUAUUUGAUUUACCGUAAUUUCACCUUCCGUCGAAACAAGCAGGCACCUUUCAUUGAUCGAUCGAUCGAUCUCCAGGACACAGCACGAAUCUCAAAGAUAGAGAGAGAGAGAGGGGGUCACAAGGAGUGGGAAAUGUAAAUUGAUUUGUGGGCUUUUGAGCACUUUAAUUUAUAUAGAUUUGAGAAUUUUGACCGUUGACAACAUGUGCCUUGAUGCCCAAGACAAGUUGAAUGGGCGGUUGGUGCAUGUCGUGGGAACUAAAAUAAAGCCACUAAUUAUUUUUUAAACUUUUUUUAGGUUAAAUGCACAUAAGUUCCUACCAAUAUAAUAAAUUAUGAAUAUAUUUUUAUGAAAUUCAAAUUUUAUAUGUUAUCCUUAUAAAAGUCUUAAUAUUUUCAAAUAUAUUUCUCUGAUUUGUUACCGUUAGAGAAUUGCUUAUAUUUUUAAUUUUGACAUCACAAAUGUAUACAUCCAAAAGUCACAACAAUAAAAAAUAAAAAAGGUAAAAUAUCAAGUUGUCUCAUACACUAAUCAGGAGUAAGUAUUUAACAUAUGAUUAACUAAAUUUUUUUAACAAAUUCUAACGACUGGAAUAAAUUUGAAAACAUUAGGAUUUUUGUAGGGACAACAUAUGAAAGUUGAACUGGAUGCAUUUGACCCUAUUUUUCUUCGUUUUAGUCUGAUUCUGAGGUCCCUUACCUUACUACUGUAGCUUAAUUCAUUUCUUGAAUGAAUGAAAUAGAUUGUGUCCUACUUUUUUCUCUUAAAAAAAAAUCCAGUUGGACGAAUAGAUAAUUAAACUAGUGUAGUUUAUAUUUUUAAUUUUUUAUUUAAAUUUAAAUUUAAAUUUUAUUUUUUUAUUUUGAACCAAACGUGAUCUUAAUAUUUCAGCGUAUAGGUUAUUUGUACAAAAAAAAACACAAGAACUAACACUAAUUAUUAUAUUGGCAAAAUGAGAGACAUGACACAUUACUUAUUUAGAUAACUACAAAGAAAUUUAAAAAACAAAAAAAGAAAACAAAAAGCGAAAAGGAUCUGAAAGAGGAGUGGGUCUUGUGUGCUAUUCGGAGCACCGAGAUCUCCGUACUCCUAAGCUAUUUUCAAUGAUGAGCUUUCGAAUCGACGAUCAAUUCCGUUAGACUUGAUCUAGCGUAUUUGAAGUAUCUAGAAAAUAAAUUUUACGAUUUUUCGAUAUUAUUUACUUAGCGAUGGAGAUAUUCAAAAUCAACGGUUGAAAAUAAAAGUCUCAUAAAAAAUGAUAAUAUAGGAUUAAAAUUUUCAAUCAAAGAUAUUAAUCUUUUAGUAAAUAGUAUAACAAAUUUUCUAUUAAAAUUUAAUCGGAUUCGAAUAUUUCUACACCGUUAAACUUACAUACAAUAUAUAUCAAGCAUUAAAAGUUAUUGAUUUUGAACUUUUUCGACCGCUAGGUAAAUGAUAUCGAAAAAUCGCAAAAAUUAUUUUCUAAAUACUUCAAAUAUGCUAGAUUAAGCAUAACAGAAUCGAUCGUCGAUUCAAAAACUCUGUUAUCGAAAACGGUUUAGAAGCACGAAUACUCCUAAUAGCACACAAGACCUACUCUGAAAGAGAGACUCGGACACAAUGAUAUGUAGUUCAUCAAUGCUUAUGAGAAGCAUUAUGAUCGGCGAGCGAGCCAAUUUUCUUUUGUCCUCAUUGUCUCUUCGAGUCAAUAAACAUAAAAUGAAAGCUCAAAAUAAAGUUAAAAGAUCAAAUGAUUAAUUAAGUUGAAAAUAAUUAGAAAAAUACAUAUACAAUAUGCCAAAAAACUCGAGCACACGAAUAAAAUCAUCAAAGAUCGAACACGUAUGUGAUAACAUAGAGAGAAAUAUAGAAAAAGGCCAAGCUAAAUCUUCUACUCAAACACGCGCGCGCGCGCGCGCGCGCACACACACACAAAAGGAAAAAGGUGGAGCGGAUGUACAGGAGUGUGUUUGUUUCAUCAAAACUAUUUAAAAAAAUAAAAUAAAUUUCUACGAUAAAUAUUAAUUUUUAUUAGAUUUACCAUAAUUUCACUCUCCGUCGAAACACGCAGGCACCUUUUAUUGAUCGAUCGAUCUCCAGGACACAGCACGAAUCUCGAAGAGAGAGAGAGAGAGAGAGAGAGAGAGAAGGUCACAAGUAGUGGGAAAUGUAAUUUGAUUUGUGGGCAUGAGCACUUUAAUUUAUAUAUUAUAUAGGUUUGAGAAAUUUGACCGUUGACAAAAUGUGGCUUGAUGCCCAAGACAAAUUGCAUGUGCGGUUGGUGCAUGUCGUGGGAACUAAAAUAAAGCCACUAAUUAUUUUAGAUUUUUUUUUAAGUUAAAUGCACUUAGGUUUCUAUAAGUAUAGUAAAUUAUAUAGAUAUUUGUAUAAAGUUUAAAUUUUAUAUGUUAUUAUUAUAAAAGUCCUAAUAUUUUCAAAUAUGUCUCUCUGAUUUAUUACCGUUAGAGAACCAUUAGAGAACUGUUUAUAUUUUCAAUUUUAUCAUGAUAAAUAUAUCCAUCCGAAAGCCACAACAGUAUAAUAUAAGAAGAAUAAAAAUAUCAAAUUGUCUCAUAAACUAACCGGGAUUAAGUAUUUAACCUAUGGUUAAAUAAAUUUUUCUAACAGAUUUUAACGACAGGGACUUAGGACUUUUGCAGGAACAAUAUAUUAAAGUUGAAUUUUAUAGGAACAUAUUUAUAAUUUAUUAUAUUUGCAGGGACCUGUAUGCAUUUAAUUCUAUAUUUCUUUGUUUCGAUCUGAUUCUGAGGUCCCUUACCUCACUACUCUAGCUUAACUCAUUUCUUUAAUAAAUGAAACAAAUAGUGUGCUACUUUUUUCUCUUAAAAAAAUUCAGUUGGACGGAUAGAUAAUUAAAUUAGGGACAAUUUCAUCACUAUCCCUCUAAAAUUUAUAAAGUUUAUAAAUUCUCUUGAAGAAGUUAAAAUAUCAUGCAUAUCCCUACUGUUAAGUAAUGAAACGAUGAAUUUUUUAGCCCUUGGAUUGAUAAAUGUGCGGUUAGGAUGAUAUGGACCCCCUAGGGUUGAGUAGGUGGUCGGUUGAACGGUAUAAUCUAACGGAUAAAAAAAAUCAAAUGGUUAAAUCUAACGGUGAAAAACUCGAUAGCACAAAGGAUUUGGUGCUAUCGAUAGUAUCACAGCCGGACUCUAUAUAUAUAUAUAUAUAUAUAUAUAUCUGUGUGUGAUGUUAUAUUUGAAUUUGUAUUUUAAAUAUUUAGAUUUAAUGUAAUAUGUUCUGAAAUAUGCUAAAGUUAAGAAAUAAUUAUUUUGGAUUCAGAUUCGAAUUUCAAAGUUUUGGUCGGGUUCUAGUUUGAAUAUGAAUUUUCAACAUCCGUCGGAUUUGAAUUUGAAUUCGAAUUCGGAUUCAAAUUUAAUAGUUGGAUUCGAAUUUAGGUCUCUGCAAGUCCGCCCCGAAUUCGAUACAUUGACAUCUCAAUAAGAGUAGCCUCGUUCACUUUCAAUCUUGAAAAGUAAGGCCACUGCCACCAUUUGGAACGCAGUUGGAUGUUCCCGACAAGCUCUUGAGGAUAGGGCUGUCAAUGGGUACAGAUAUCCGAAAUUUUAUCCGAAUCCGAAUUCGAACAGAGCGAAUUUAUCCGAUACUAAAUGGAUAUGGUUUCGGAUAUGGAUAUCAAAAAUAAAAAUCUGACGAAUAUGAAUACGGAUAUAGAUUUUGACUGUACCGAACCCGAACCCGAACCCGAACCCGAUCCAAACCCGAAUUUAUUUUACAUUAUAUAUAAUAUGUAUAUAAAAAUUUGAUAUCAUAUUUGAAUUUAUAUUUUAAAAUUUUAAAUUUAAUAUAAUACAUUUUGAAAUAUUGAAAAGAAAAAUAAUUAUUUCGUAUUCGGAUUUUUGGGUUCGGGUUCAAGUUUCGGGUUUUUUUGGUUGAUUUCGGGUUUGGAUAUGAAUUUUUAAAAUUUGUAGGGUUCGGGUUCGGGUUCGGGUUCGAAUUUGAAUUUUUGAAAAUCCGCCCCGAAUUCAACCCAUUGACAUCCCUACUCGAGGAGUUUGAGAGUUCAAACCUCUGAACGUAUGCAUCAAAAAGUAAGGUAUUAGGAUUUGCCCUCCUUUGCUCUGCCCUUCGUUUUUUCUAAUGUUUAUUUUGUUUUCCCUUCUUUGCUAUGUCUGACCUGGUUUUAUUGUUUUCUCUUGUUUUGCCGGCUCAGUUCAGAGGCCAUAACUGCUUCCAGCAUGUAUGCUAAGUUUAUUUAGCUUAAUGAAUGAGCUACCUAUUUCUUAAAAAAAAAAAAGAAGUAAGGUAUUAGGGACGCAAGUUUUGAAGGACUUUGAUUAUUGGUAUUGGAAACUUAAUUAUUUCACAUUUUUAAUUAAAAGCUCAUUUCUAAAAGACAACAAGGGAAACGAAUGGCACUCUAUCUUUCUCUCUAUUUUUUUCUAAAAAAAUAAUAAUGUACUCAGAUUGAUCAUAUCUAGUAUAAUUGGUCAAGAAUUUGAUAAUUAAUAUCUGAUAUUCUAGUUCGAAAUCUAACCGUUUCAUAUUUCCAGCUGAAUUUAUUUUUUUAAAAAAAAUAAAUAAGCAAAGCAUGUAGCUUGCUAGUAUUAAAUAUAAAUCCUGAGAGGAGUUUUUGAGUUAACGGCCACAUACAAUUUGUAUGGAGCUUCCGUGCAAUAAUUAAGAAAAAAAAGAAAGCAAAAAAUGAGAGAAAAAUGAUACAAUAAUAUCACAUUCAGGGCUUGUUUAGGUCACCUAUUUUAGAAAAUCGGAAUGAGAUUAAUUGAUUUAAAUAGCAAUUGUUUAUUUUAUCACUCUCUUUAUCACUCUCUCUUUAUCACUAUCUUCUUUGUUAACUAAAAUUUUUUCUCAGAGUACUAUAGCUGUCGAAAUUGCUUGUUCCGAUUUUCAUUCCAAUACUAAAAUAAAUAUAUUUAGAUGUUUCACCAUUUUUGUGGUCCAAUCAAAAGACACCUAUAGAAGUAUAUUUCUAUAUAUUUUUGCCAUAAUUCUAUUUAUCUACUGGCAUAGCAUGAGCAUCAAUAGCAAAAGGAUCCUAAAGAACAAGAUAUCAACUAGAAAAUAGAGAAAUUGUAAGAUGAAAAUGAUUUUAAACAGAAAAAUUGUUUAUAUCUACUGUCCAUUACGUGAAUGACACAAAUCUUACAACCAAGAAUUAAAAUGCUCAUCGGUACGGACCGUAUCCAUCGUGCUAUAUCGUACGAGUAAAAUAUCAGUACGAUACAACUCUCGUACCGAUGAUACAACUCAAAACGCUCUAUUUUCAAAAUUAAUAAAUAAUUUUCGAAAGUUCAAAAAGUUUGAUUAAAAUAUAUAAUAAUUAAUUGACAUAAUUUGUUGAUAAAAAAUAAUAAUAAUUUAACUCAAAAUUUUCUAUAUUUUUUGUGAUCGACAUAUAUCGAUAUGAUCCGGCAUGCAUCGUGUCGUGUUGUGCCGGAAAAUUUUUGACACAAUCAAGUGUCACGGCACUUAGAACGACGUGGAGGGCUGAUGGAAUAAUCUCACGGUAAGACUGUAGUAUUGUCUGAUAGACUUUAUAGGUAUGUAAAACAAAACGAAAAUAAAUACAUAUCAAAAUUCAGGAUCAAAACAAAAUCAUAAGAUAACUCACAGAGCGCCAUAGAGAAGAAAUUCUUGAUCAAUCUUGCGGAAGCUGGAAGUCCGGCUACGAUCUGAAAGUCACGAACCGAACUUAGGUGAUUUGGUUUCUCCUCCUAUCUCAGGCACUCUGCCGUAUGGUGUGGAACCGAUGGUAAUUCUUCACCAGAAUGCGUAUGAGAAGGUGGCAGGACCAAUACCCCUUUAUAUAGAGUCCAGAUCGACUUCCCAUCAAAGUCUGAUUAGGAUUCUAUUUAAAUCUGAAAUAGAUGGGAUAGGGAUAAAAUAUACCAUAUCAAGUAGUUCUAAAUCUGUUAGGAUUGACCUUUAUCUAUAGCAAAUUCUAAAUUAAAUAUGAUUAAUUGGGCCAUAAUAUAUAGAAAUCCUAACACUGUCUGUACUCAUCGAUUUUUAAAAUUUUUUUUACAGAAUUAUUAUUGUAGAAAGAAUAUCCACACAUUUUCGCCUUAAUUAAUGUUUUCCAUUUUCCAUUAAUUAAUCCAAAGUUGGUAGCUGGAUUGCAGAAUUCAUGGAAUCCUGCUGAUGUCAUGAAAUGAUUUUGGUGCGUCAAUCCAAUUUGCGAAAUACAAGGGAUUAGGCGAAUUUGCACUUUAUUUAUUUAUUUAAUGCAACUACAUUAUAAAAAGGGUGACAUACAUAUAAAUUACUGCAAACAUAAUAAAUUAUAAAUAUAUUUUUACAAAAUUUAACUUUUAUAUAUUAUUUCUGUAAAAAUUUUAAUAUUUUCAAAUAUAUUCUUUAAGUUUAUUAUCGUGAGAUAACUGUUUAUAUUUUAACAGUAAAUAAAUAAGAUGUCAAUUUUGCCAUUAUAAAUAUGCCCCUUCAAAAACUACAACAAUAUAAUAUAAGAGAAGUAAAAAUAUCAAAUUAUCUUAUAAACUAAUUAGGAUUAAGUAUUUAAUUUAUGAUUAAUUAAAAUUUUCUAACGGAUUAUUACGGUAGGUAUAUAUUUGAAAACAUUAGAACUUUUAUAAAAACAAUAUAUGAAAGUUGAACUUUGUAGAAAUAUAUUUACAAUUCACUAUAUUAGCAGAGAUCUGAAUACAGUUAAUUCUUAUAAAAAGGUGAAAUUGUAUGGAGAGGCUCCUCAACAAUAGGCCGUUCUGAAAUAGACCCAUGAACUUUAAUUUAUCUAAAAAACGUUAUUUGUACACCCAAAAGUUGGAUGCACCAUAUCUUAACAUCCAAUUCAUCAAAGAGUUUAGAAAAAUUAAUUGCACUAUUGGUGCGUAAUCUUUAUCCAUUUUUUCACUUCGGUACCUAACAUGUCCUCUCCAAGGAGUGUACAUUAUGUUAAGCCCAAUUUUACAACUCUCAAUAUUGAGUUGGGCAUGCCACCAAAUUGUAUACCCUCAUACGAGGGGGAUAGAUCUGAAUGGCAUAUAGUUGAGGGGUCUCUGUGCAUUUCUAUCUUAUAAAAAAGAUUAGUUCCAUUCAAGGCACCUAAUAUAUAUACCAAGAAUCCUAUCCACUAAGCAUCCUACUUAAUCCCAAGUUUGGUACUGAGGUGACCCUUUCCAAGAACUAUCUACUAAAAUUUUUUAAGUUAGUGGGUUGUGAGUAGGGGUGUAAUGUGGGCUGUGCCGGGCCGGCCCACAUUUUACGGGCCGAAACAGGCUAGUGGCCGGCCCAGCCCGGGCCGGCUUCUAUUUUAGGCCGUGCCGGGUCAGGCCCGAGCUUUCUAGCCUCCGGCUCGACAAGGCCCUUCAGCCCGAAAUGCACAGACCGUGCCGGGUCGGGCCGUACUUCGGGCCGGCCUUAUAAAAUAUUUAUUUUAAUUUUUUUUUUAAAUAGCUUAAAUUUGAUUAAAUUAUUAAAAUUUUAUAAAAAUAAUUAUAAUAUAGUAAAUAUUUAAUUUUUGAAAAAAAUAAAUAAAUUUGUAUUNCAAAUUAAAAAGAAAGAAAUUCUAAUAAUUAUAGCAAUUUGUUUAUGAUACAUGAACCAAUCAAUUCCCAAUAAUAGAAUCCGGUUUUUAAUCUCGUCAAGCAUGCAUGCCAUACAAUACAGUAUAGUUAUAUUUGAUGAAAGGUUGUAUGAAUCUCGCUUAGUACUAGCCACCUUGCAAAAUAUUAUAGAGGGAUUUAAAUAUUUAGUUUUAUUAUAUCUUAUGUAUAUAAUUAUUUUAAAUUUUAGGAGUGUCACGUUCUUUUUUUCUAAGUUCUGACAUUCUUGUCAGGCUCAAGCAUAUUUCGUUAGGGUCAAGCACAUUCAUAAGUAUCAGACGAUGUGUGUGAUGCCCCAAUUUUUCAGGAGGUCACGCAUCCUAUGACUACUUCCGUCCUAACACGUUCUCUUAACCUUUUGGAUCUAGCCACCACCCAAAAUAUUUAAGUCAGGUUAAGAGUUUUAACCCUAUUAUAUCUUAUAUAUAGAAUUAUCUGGGAUCUCACAUCCUCCUCUCUUUUAAGCCCCGACGUCCUCGUCAGGCUUAGAUUCACAAGUAACAGACGAUAUGAGACUCGUCUCGCUAGUCUAAACCGACAUUAUAGGGGAGCCGCACUCUACACACAAUAGUCAACAGUAUGGGAGUCUCGCUUUUCCCGUUGUAUAACUUUGACUUAGUCGAGGCUCAUCUUACACUUCCGGCCGAUAAUUGGUUCUGAUACCAACUGUGACGCCCCAACUUCCUAGAGGGUCAUCCAUCAUAGGACUACUCUCGUCCUAGCACGCUUAACUCUUUUAGCCUCUUGAGCCUAAUCAUCGCCCAAAAUGCUUAAGUCGGGUUAAAAGUUUUAACCCUAUUAUAUCUUAUAUGUAGAACUAUCUAGAGUCUCACAAUGUGAGACUCGCGUCGCUAACAUUAGCCGAUCUUAUAGUCAGCUGCGCUCCGCCCGCUAUAUGAUUCUAACUCAGUAGUCGUGUCUUAUCUCAUAUUUUCGAUUGAUAAUUGAUUCUGCUUCUAACUGUGUCGUCUUACCUCACAUGGAGGUCAGCCUUCUUAGAAUUACUCUAACUCGCUUAAUUCUCAUAGCCUUUUAAAUGUAAACAGUACUUAAAAUAUUAUAACUGGGCUAAAAGGUUUAGUUCUAUCAAAAUUUAUAUAUAUAACUAUUUUAAAUUCUUAGAGUGUCACUAUUAAAUUAAGCAUUAUAUAAAUAUAAUAUUUUUGCUCUUUUUUACCUAAAGUAGAAUCGAGAUCUUCUUAUUUUAAUUGCUAGAAGUGAUUAUGGGUAAAAACAAAAGUAAAUACCGGAUCAAAUAGGCAAAAAAAAGAAAGGCACUUUUCUAUAUAGUUUUUUUUUAAAAAAAAAACUACCAUAUUCUAAGGUAACUUUGUAUGUUCUAAGGUACACAAUGAUGUGCAUCUAUUUAGAAGGAAAUAGGAUGAGGUGGCAACCAAAAUGACAUAGGCAAUGUGCUACUAAUCUUUCCACUCCACUUUGUUGAUUAAUUUUCAUUCUCACAAGGAAAAGUUAAGUUAGCAAUGAUUAGUCUCAUCUAAACUCCAAAGUCUAUGAACCAUAGUCACCUAGUCCAAUUAUUUAGUUUAAAAUGUAUGAACAUCCCUCAACUAUAGGCCAUUUUGAAAUGACCCUCUCAAUUUUUUAAAUUAAGUCGAUUGAGUCAGAGAUUAUAAUAAAUUUAUUGACGGUUCUAUAUAUGUUGGUAAAUAAAAUUGAAACUAGUAGAAUUUGUAAUCAGGUUAAUCCCAAUUGAAAGGUUAAACUUAGGGGGCCAAUUUUAAGAACUUAUAUAAUUGAGGGGUCUCGCACUAUAUUAACCAAAAACAAUUUGUUUGCAUGCUUUUGGAACGAAAGGCAAAAACGAGUCAAGCAAUGAUUGAGCAAGGGGCACCCACUACAUGGCACCACUUUAACAAGAAAACUUUUGUUGGUAUUUAUUUGGAAUAAGAGAGAGAGAGAGAGAGAGAUUAGAGAGAGAAAAACAAUUUAUCUCCAUCUCGUGUAUCCUAAUCCAUGACGUAGUGCUGUCUGGUAUUAUAUGUUGCAAACACUUAUUGGUCAAAAAAAAAAAAAAAAAAANAUAUAUAUAUAUAUAAUUGAGCUCUUGUACUUUUAAAAGCACCAAAUUAUUGGUGCUAGUAAUUUUUUAGCCAUUGGAUAAGAAAUAUGCGGUUAGGAUGAUGUGGGCCCCUUAGGGUUGAAUGGGUAGUUGGUUGAAUAGUAUAAUCUAACGGGUGAAAAUGAUUAAAGACGUAAAUCUAACGGUAAAAAAUUUACAAGCACUAAAUGCUUGGUGCUUUUACAAGCACCAUAGCCGAACUCAUAUAUAUAUAUAUAUAUAUAUAUAUAGAGAGAGAGAGAGAGAGAGAGAACUAGGCUGGAAUACUAUUAAUAGCACCAAUGACUUGGUGCUAUUAGGUUUUCUACCCUUGGAUUGAAAUAUAUGCGGUUAGGAUGAUAUGGGCCCCCUAAGGUUGAGUGGGCGGUUGGUUGAAUAGUACAAUCUAACCGGUAAAAAUAAUCAAAGGGUUAAAUCUAACGAUGGAAAACUCGAUAACACAAAACCCUUGAUGCUAUCGAGAGUAUCCCAACCGGACUCUCUCUCUCUCUCUCUCUCUCUCUAUAUAUAUAUAUAUAAAAUUGUGGCCACGAUUGUAAUUCAGCGUUGGAGAGUAAUCCAAAUUAGUUUGAGGGUUUAAUAAAAAAUUCUACUUGUCCUAAAGAGCAAAAUAAAUAGUUUUGAUUUGAAUUUUAAAUCCUUUUAUCAGCAUUUUUUAUAAGAUUUUUAUUUUCAAUCGUUUAUUUUGAGGUUAUUUGAUCACUAGACAAACGAAGUCAAAAAAAUUAUAAAAUUUAGUUUUUAAAUAAUUCUAACACUAUAAAUCAUGUCAAAUGAAAAUCAAUUUUCGAAUCAAGUUUCCUAUCAUCGAAAUAACUUGAAAGCACGAAAACUUUCAUACUUUUAAAGUAUAGCAGCCUAACUCUUAUAGAUAUUAUUAUAUCGUAACUGAAUAAUCGUGAUCUCUUAUCUUUUACAAAAUCAAAUUAUUCUUUAGAGUACUUUCUUGCUGCCGGUAAUGUAUCAUCCUAUAAUUCCAAUCCAUUCUAAUGUGAUAAAUAUAGUGUGCACCUAAUAAGUCAGAUUCUGAUUUUGAGAUAUCUAUCGCAGAGUUCUAAAUUCAAAUGUGCAAUGGUGGUGUAUGAUGUUAAAAAAUAUAGUCCCACAAUAGUGUCAUAUUCAAUACAAAAUAAAAUUUUGACUACCAACUGGUCCUAGUGCAAGUGGUAAAGAAUUUGAUGAUUAGUACCUAAGAUUCCAAAUUUGAAACAUAAUUGCUUCACAUUUUUAGCUAAGUUUACUUAAUUUUAAAAGAAAUAAAUGAAACAGAUAGUAUGCUUAUUAAUUUGUGGCCUGUCCAGUAUAUAUCAGGUGCCAGUCGUAUUACAUGUGGUGCAUAUUAGUGGUGCAUAUAUACUAGUUACGUCCAGUAGGUAGAAUAUAUACGCCAUGAGUGAUGAGUGGGAGGAGACGAAGCCGGUAUUUUGUAUCCAGUAUGUAUAUUUUUGCUGCCCUCUUUUUCUAACACUACUUAUGCCGUAUUCUAGGCGUGCCUGAUAUACACUCCACUGCAUAGUUUUAGCUUUUUAGUUAAGCAAGCCCUCUAAACAAAUGCGAUAGCAGUUAUACACCAGGUGCAUCUAAUUAUUUCUAGAGAGAGAAAGCAACAAAAAUUAUGAAAAAAAUGUGAUUAGGAUUUGGCUCGUGCUGUACACGCACAGUAUAUGGUCAAAAAGAGUUGGCCGAGCACCAAACAUUUAUUAAUAUUUUAGGUUAAAUUAAAUAAAAAUAUAACAAGAACAAACGGUGAUCCGUCAAUGGAGAUUCAAUUAGAUCUUGGUGGGCCCGCUUCGCGCAGAAGCGCUUUUUAUGAGGAAAAAAAAAAAACAGGGGAAAGCGACUUCUCGAACUGCUCCCAAUUAGAGCGAUUUGUGUCUCCUCGUUCCCAAUAAUGUGCUUAAAAAGCGUAAUUUAGAAAUAGUGGGGUUAGAGAUAAUUUAAAUAUGAUUUCCGCUACGAUACUAUCAAUAGCCCCAAACAAGUAAUGCUACUGAGUUUUAAUUAAGAUGCCAGGGUUAAUUUCAUACAUAUUCCUACAAAUUGAUUUUUCUAUAUUGUUUCUGCAAAAGUCCUGAUACUUUUAAAUAUAUCUCUGUCAUUAGAAUUCGUUAAAAAAAGAGUUAGUUAACCACAUGUUAAAUACUUAACCCUAGUUAGUUUUUGACAUUUUUAUCCCUUUAUAUUAUACUAGUAUGACUUUUGGAGGGAUAUAUUUGUGAAAAAUUAGUUGCUGUUAUCUCUGAAAAAUUACCAUUUUGCCCAUUCCAAUAUACCCUCGUACCGUAACUCACUUAUCUUAUAUACCCUUCAUAUAACAAAUAUUUUUCUUAUUUGCCCUUCAAAUAUCAAUUAAUUAAUUAAGCACGUUGGGAGCGAGCAGAUGAACGGAUGAGAUUGAUCGCAGCUAAACCAAUCUUAGUGGUUGGAGGCAUAGUUAGUUAAUUCAGAUUCGGCAAAAAUUCGGUACAGAUAUAAUUCGGAUAAAAUUCGUCUUUUAAUUUUUAAAUUCGUUGAAAAAUACGGCUAAAAACGAAUUUUGACCGGAUACGUAUAUAUACGGGUAUUAUACGUUCACCAUUUAAAAUUCCGAAUCAAAAUCGACAUAUAUAAUAAUAUAUAAUAAUUAAAUAUACUAUAUAUAUUAUAUUAUAAUUUAUAUAUAUAUAUUAAAUAUAUUAAAAUUAUAAUAAAUAUAUUUUAAAUAUAUAAAUUAUAUAUUUAAAAUAUUAAUAUAAAUAUUACAAAAUUAUAAAUGAAAUAUAUAUAGAAAUAUUCAAUAUAAAAAUAAAAUAUAUAUAAAUAUAUAUUUAUAAAUAAAAUUAUAUAUAAUAUAUUAUAAUAUAUAUAUAUAUAAUAAUAUAUAUAUAUAUAUAUAUAUGAGUGAAGCUACUAUGCUAUCGAAAGUACGGAGCCUUCCGUGCUCCACUCAUUUUCGAUGUUGCGACUUUCGAAUCGUCGAUCGCUCCGUUAAACUUGAUCUAAGUAUUUGGAGUACCGUGAAAAUAAUUUUAUUAUUUUUUCGAUAAUCAUUUGCUUAGAUGAUCGGAAUGAGUUCAAAAUCAACAAUAUUCAAUGGCCGAGUGAGCCUUUGCAAGUUUAACGGUAGAAAUAUCCAAAUCACUGAAAUUUUGAUAGAAAAUUCUUUAUACUAUAUAAAACAAGAUUAAUAUCUUUGAUUUAAAAUUUUAAUUCAUAUAUUACAUUUUUAAGAUUUAUUUUCAGCCGUUGAUUUUGAGCCCCUUCGUUCACUAGGCAAAUGAUAUGCAAAAUCAUAAAAUUUAUUUCUAGGUACUUUCAAAUACUCUGAUCAAGUUUAACGAGCCGAUCUGACGAUGUCGAAGUCGCAAAUCGAAUAAAACGAGCUGAAGCACGGAAGGCUCCGUGCUUCCAUAUAGCAUGAGAGGCCUCACUCUAAUAUAUAUAUAUAUAUAUAUAUAUAUAUAUAUAUAUAUAUAUAUAUAUAUAUAUAUAUAUAUAUAUAUAUAUAUAAUGAGAGGGAGGUCCACGCCUCCCUCUCAUCCGGUCCACGAUGAGCUCGUGGACCGCGCACAAUAAAAUUUUAAAUUGGCCUCGUGGACCGCGCACACCUAGUGCUCCCCGAUGAGCUCCGCCCCCUCUUCGUCUCCACCGGCUCUGCCGACCCCUCCCCCCGCUCCUCCGACAUGCCCCCGCCUAACUUCAUGCCCCCCGCCUCCCUCUUAUCCUCCUCCUUGGUCCCGUUUGCCGGCAUGCUCUUGCUCCCGGCGCCGGCCAAGGCGGCGGAGGAGGAGGAGGAGGACGACGAGAGCGGCGACUCGCGGGCCGUUUUUUUUGUGCGAAUGAGGCGAGGCUUCUUGGGGGCGAAGGUGGAGGCGGAGGAGCCGGCGCCGAGGUUGGCGAUGGCGGUGAGCUGCUGGCGCUCGCGGCGGCGGGCGGCGGCGGGCGGCGAGCGGCGGGCUUGAUCGAAAGUAAUGAUAUUAAGUUGGCAGAAAAAGAAAGGAUAAUUUAAGGAAAUAGUUUAAUAAGAUAGGGGUAAAAUAGGUAUUUUAAUUAGGUUUUAACUCUAGUAUACAUUUAACCCGAGUUUGUUUAACAGGGGAUAACUAUGGGGGUAUUUUAGAAUAACGGUGGAACAUAUGAGAGGUAUUUUAGAAAGAAAAAAAAAGUAGGGGCAAAUCGGAUAUAUUCAAACGCAUGAAGGGUAUAUUAGCAAUUAUCCCUUAAAAAUAUGAGGACUUUUACAAAAACAACAUAUGAAAGUUAAACUUUGUCUAACCCAAGAUGCCAAUCCAGUAAAGUUACAAUAUCAGCUAUUAAAGUUGUAAAUUUUAAGACCAUUUUAAUAGAGUGAGGCUACUAUGCUAUCGGAAGCACGGAGCCUUCCGUGCUUCCAGCUCGUUUUCGAUGUUGCGACUUUCGAAUCGUCGAUCGGCUCCGUUAAACUUGAUCUAGAGUAUUUGGAGUACCUAGAAAAUAAAUUUUAUUAUUUUACGAUAUCAUUUGCCUAGUGAACGAAGGGGCUCAAAAUCAACGGCUGAAAAUAAAAAUCUUACAAAAUGUAAUAAUAUGACAUUAAAAUUUUAAAUCAAAGAUAUUGAUCUUGUUUUAUAUAGUAUAAAGAAUUUUCUAUCAAAAUUUCACGUGAUUUGGAUAUUUCUACACCGUUAAACUUGCAAGCGGCUCACUACGGCCAUUAAAAUUUGUUGAUUUUGAGCACAUUCGAUCACUAGGCAAAUGAUAUCGUAAAAUAAUAAAAUUUAUUUUCUAGGUACUCCAAAUACUCUAGAUCAAGUUUAACGGAGCCGAUCGACGAUUCGAAAGUCGCAAUAUCGAAAACGAGCUGGAAGCACGAAAGGCUCCGUGCUUCCGAUAGCAUAGUAGCCUCACUCAUUUUAAUAUGUCUCUUAUAAAGAGAGAUCUAAUUAAUUUAGCAUGCUUUUAUUUCUAAAAUUCUGAAUCAUCUCCGCAUCAUAAAUGCAAACCACAAAAUCCACCGACGCAUGCAACGAAACAAAAAACCCACCUAUUCUAACAUUUCCAACCCUGACACAAAAUAAGACAAAAUGCUGGGCAACUGAGAGGGACUACUUCUGUUAUCCUGACAAAAAGGAUAGCCUCCACAUACACAUACAGGUGGGGACUGGUGAGAUGCAUGAAUGUGAUAUAUAUUUUUAUAAUUUAUUUUAAAAAUUGGUAUAUCAGUAGAUAAAAAGUGUGAUUAAAUAUCUAGAAUUCAGCCUACGAAUCAUUUUUUGGGAUAACAUAAAUCAAUUUGUAAGUAAUACUAUCAAAACUUUUCAAAGAAUAAUAAUCAAACUCGUUUCUUACCAUCACACUAGAAAAUCAUUGUACCGAAUAAGUUAUUCAAUGAUAACGUAUUUCGACUUUCAAAGAGAAUCUUACUUUUAUGUUUUAAGCUCUGUUUAGAUGUUUGAAUGAGUAAUCUAAGAAUAACUUAAUCGGUAUGAGAUUUUUCUAGUAUGAUUGUACCUAAUUAAGGAGUUUGAUUUUUAUUUAUUUAAAGAUCGUGCUGUCCAUAAAUUGGUAGGAUAUUAUACUUUUCCUAUAAAGUGAUUUAUCUUAUUUUAGAAAAAUGACUUGAAGGCCGAAUAUGAUAUUCCAUUUUAAAUAUUUAAUAGCACUCUUUAUCUGCCAAAUGUAUAAAUUUAUUGAGUAAAUUAAGAAGAUAUACCAAACAAAAUUUUCAUGCAUUCAAAUAGGAUCUUAGGGAACAAGUUUUUUAAAAAAAUUUGUAAAAUAAGUAUAUCUUUUGGGAUAUUAAGAAUAAAAAAUAAUUUUAUGUUUGGCCAAGAAUCAUCUUAUUCUUAAGAAUAAAAACAUUGUUUUUGGACAAUUACGGUGGUUUAGUUGAACAAUAAGAAUAUUCUAAUAUAAGAAUAUAGAUACCUUACCAAUUAUAAACAUAUAUAUUAUUGAUGAAAUAAUAAUUAUUAAACCAAUUAAUCAUUUUCCAAGGCUAUAUAUUGUUUGGAUGGAGAAUAUGUGAAGAAUAAGCCGUCUUAUUCCCUUCAUUUUGUCUAACGCUAGAAGAAAUUAUUUUUUUUUGAUUAAAAAUAUUUUUUUUGAUUAAAAAUAAUAUUUUAUUUAGUGUCAAGAUUUUGUUGGGAGGAUAAAAGUUGAGAGUUCGAUUAUUUUUUUAUUUAAAAGUCUUGACAUUUAUGAUUUGGAAUAUAGUUUACGUUAACAAUAAAAUAUUUUAUCCUAUUAUCUUGUAUUUUUAAUAUUGUUGUUACAUUUUAUUAAAAUAUUAAAUUUUUUAUAAUAUCUUGUGCAUUGAAGGUGAUAUAAUAUAUCUUUUAAUUAGUGAGUUUUGAACCUAAGAUAUUUUAGGUUUACACUACUAGACUUACUCUUGUAAAUCCUACAAUUUAUGAACGACACUAUAAAACGUAGCGGAAGUAUUCAUUCGUAUCUUUUUGCCGAAGCGAUUUGCGUUAGACCGCGACAAGUCCGGAUCGUAGAGGUUGAUUCACGUGUCCUCGGAUUGUCCUUGAAUGUCUUCUCACGCUCCACGAACUCGCGGUGGAUCGAACUACAAACGACACGAUUUCCAAUCCACCGUUCAAAAUCCUCUAGAAUAAUAGGUUAAUGGGGGAUUUGGUUUCUUGUUAUGUUUCUUGAUUUUCUUGUUGUAUUUCUUACGUGAGAUUGCCCGUAUAUUUAUAAGUGAUUGUAAAAUCCUCAUAUGUACGUAAGAGAUUGUUAUCCUAAUAUGGUUAGAAUUUAUUUCUAAUUAGCUUUCCAAUUUAAAAGCGAGAUUAAUUCUAAUCUAAUUAGAUAACGUGAUAACGGUCGGAUCCAGCCCGAUUAUGGAUGUACCUGAUUCGAUUUAACUGAAUGCCAACAGACACUUAAUGUCAUGUAACUCUUAUGGUAAGGUGACUAUAAAUUGAGUUUUGCCUUGACUUUGAAAAAUAACAAAAAAAAAAAAAAAGCAACAAUAAAAAAAAGGAAAAACUUCAAAAACCCUCCCUGUGGUUUCGUAAUAUCUCACUUUGCCCCCCUGUGGUUUAAAAUGUAUCAAAUUGCCCCCCUGUGGUUUCGUUUUUAUCUUUUCGGUAGCUUUUUCGUUAAUAUUUCAUUAAAUUAUAUACAAAAAACUUCAGAUACCCAUCUAGAUUUAUCAAAUAUUCACUUUAGUACCCUUUAAUUUUAACUUUAUCACUGAUUUAAGAAAAAAAAAAUAAUGAAUUUGAUAAGAAAAAGAGAAAAAAGAAACCACGGGGGGGGCAAAUUGAUACAUUUUAAACCACAGGAGGACAAAGUGAGAAACUACGAAACCACAGAGGGGGUUUCUGAAGUUUUCCCUUAAAAAAAAAAAUAAUUCUGAGAGAGAGAGAGAGAGAGAGAGAGAACGGCUAAAGAAAUGUGUUUUUUUUUUUUUUUUUUUUUUUUUUUUUUUUUGUAGAGUUUUGGGUUUAUCUAUUUGUGCAGAAUUGGUGAAGCCACAUGACAAGAAUCGAAGUGCUGUAUCCUGAAGGGAACAAUUUAGUGUUCUACUACAGCGAUUCAAAAGCUUUACCAACUAUAGAGAAUUUGAAUACUUUUAAAGAAAGUGAGAAAGUGAGAUUUUCAUGCCUCGAUUUGAUAAAUUCAUCGAUACUUUUUAUAUAUAUAAAUUUGUAGCCUAACUUCUAUUUUUGAAUAUUUUCACCAAAAAAAUAUUAUGUUAAAUUAUAUUAUAUAAAAUAAGUGUAAUUUACAGAUUACUUAAUAAACGAACAGCAAAAUAACAUUUUUUUUAUAUUUUAUAUUUGAUUGAAUGCUAGCUUUAAAACGUUACUCCUCGAAUAAGCCCCAUCGGAAUUGACGUAACAUAGGAACAUAGGAUAGGAUAUGCAGCAGGAAUGGCAUUUACUAUGUAUGCAUGCCGGGAACUGUGGGGAUCGAUAGUAACAGAGGAAGGACAAGCUACUGGUAGGCCCAGCCGCUGCGCCCCAGCAGACCAGAGGAGCAUUGCUCAGCACUAGUGAAGCUAACUUAACUCCAUGCAUGUGUGCACAACUCUCUCUCUCUCUCUCUCUCUCUCUCUCUCUCUAUAUAUAUAUAUAUAUAUACACAGUAUAAAAAAUUUUCUAUCAAAAUUUCAUAUGAUUUGGAUAUUUCUACACCGUUAAACUUGCAAACGGCUCACCACGGCCGUUAAAAUUAUUAAUUUUGAGCCCCUUCGAUCACUAUGCAAAUAAUAUCGAAAAAUCGCAAAAUUUAUUUUCUAGAUACUUCAAAUACUCUAGAUCAAGUCUAACAGAGCCGAUCGUCGAUUCGAAACUCCGAACAUUGAAAACAACGUAGAAGCACGGAACGCUCCGUACUUCCAGAAAGAUACCAUACGCACUAUAUAUAUAUAUAUAUAGAGAGUUCAACUAUGGUGCUUGUAAAAGCACAAAGCACUUGGUGCUUGUAAGUUUUUUACCGUUAGAUCUACUCUUCGGAUCAUUUUCAAUCAUUUGAUUACAUUAUUCAACCAACCACUCACUCAACCCUAGAGGGCCCACAUCAUCAUAACCUCAUAUCUCUUAAUCCAAUGGCUAAAAAUCUAAAAACACCAAUAACUUGGUACUUUUAAAAGUAUAGGAGCCCAAUUACAUAUAUAUAUAUAUAUUACAUUAGCAAUACAUUAGGGGCGCGUUUGGUUCGAAGUCGGAAUCGAAAUCGGAAUCGGAAUCAAAAUAAGCCGGAAUCGGAAUCGGAAUGACUCAUUACCUAAUUCUGUUUGGUUCAUCACCUGAAUCGGAAUCGAAAUAAAUCAUUCCCAUUGUCGGUGUUUGGUUCAGAUGAAUAUAAAAAACGUAAUCAAAUUAAUAUACUAACAUUAUCUUUAUAAUAUAUUAAUUUAAAUUNNNNNNNNNNNNNNNNNNNNNNNNNNNNNNNNNNNNNNNNNNNNNNNNNNNNNNNNNNNNNNNNNNNNNNNNNNNNNNNNNNNNNNNNNNNNNNNNNNNNNNNNNNNNNNNNNNNNNNNNNNNNNNNNNNNNNNNNNNNNNNNNNNNNNNNNNNNNNNNNNNNNNNNNNNNNNNNNNNNNNNNNNNNNNNNNNNNNNNNNNNNNNNNNNNNNNNNNNNNNNNNNNNNNNNNNNNNNNNNNNNNNNNNNNNNNNNNNNNNNNNNNNNNNNNNNNNNNNNNNNNNNNNNNNNNNNNNNNNNNNNNNNNNNNNNNNNNNNNNNNNNNNNNNNNNNNNNNNNNNNNNNNNNNNNNNNNNNNNNNNNNNNNNNNNNNNNNNNNNNNNNNNNNNNNNNNNNNNNNNNNNNNNNNNNNNNNNNNNNNNNNNNNNNNNNNNNNNNNNNNNNNNNNNNNNNNNNNNNNNNNNNNNNNNNNNNNNNNNNNNNNNNNNNNNNNNNNNNNNNNNNNNNNNNNNNNNNNNNNNNNNNNNNNNNNNNNNNNNNNNNNNNNNNNNNNNNNNNNNNNNNNNNNNNNNNNNNNNNNNNNNNNNNNNNNNNNNNNNNNNNNNNNNNNNNNNNNNNNNNNNNNNNNNNNNNNNNNNNNNNNNNNNNNNNNNNNNNNNNNNNNNNNNNNNNNNNNNNNNNNNNNNNNNNNNNNNNNNNNNNNNNNNNNNNNNNNNNNNNNNNNNNNNNNNNNNNNNNNNNNNNNNNNNNNNNNNNNNNNNNNNNNNNNNNNNNNNNNNNNNNNNNNNNNNNNNNNNNNNNNNNNNNNNNGCUCGCGUUCGACUCGCGUUCGACUCGAUACUUGGCUCGCUCGAGCUCGACUCGAAAUUAAAUGAGCCGAGCUUGAACAAAGAAAAAGGCUCGAAAUUCAUUUCAAGCCAAGCUUGAGUAUUACUCGGCUCGUUCGAAUUAGGCUGGAAAAGCUCGAAAAGCUCGAAUAUAUAUAUAUAUAUAUAUAGAGAGAGAGAGAGAGAGAGAGAGAGAGAGAGAGAGAGUCCAGCUAUGGUGCUUGUAAAAGCACCAAGCACUUGGUGCUUGUAAGUUUUUUACCGUUAUAUCUACUUCUCGGAUUAUUUUCAACCAUUAGAUUAUACUAUUCAACUAACCACCCACUCAACUCUAGGGGGCUCACAUCAUUCUAACCGCAUAUCUCUUAACCUAAUGGCUAAAAAUCUACAAGCAUCAAUAACUUGGUACUUUUAAAAACAUAGGAGCUCAAUUAUAUAUAUAAAAGGAGGCUGAUAUGCUUCUGGAAACACGGAAUCCUCCGUCCUUCCAAAUCGUUUUCGAUGUUGGGAUUUUCGAAUCGACGAUCGACUCCGUUAGACUUGAUCUAGAAUAUAUGAAGUAUCUAGAAAAUAAAUUUUAUGAUUUUUCAAUAUCAUUUGACUGGUGAUUGAAGGGACUCAAGAUCAAUAGUUUUAAUAGCCAUAGUGAGCCGUUUGCAAGUAUAACGGUGUAAAAAUAUUCCAAUCACAUGAAUUUUGAUGGAAAAUUUUAUAUACUAUAUAAAACAAGAGAUCAACAUCUUUGAUCUAACCAAUCGUUCCUAGUGCAAGUGGCAAAGGACUUGGUGGUUGGUAUCCUAGAUCCCAAGUUCGAAUUCUAGUUAAUUCACAUUUGCAACUAAGUUUAUUUCUAAAUGAAAUGAACGAAGCGGGUAGCGUGUUAUCUAUUUCUCAAAAAAAAAAAACAUCUUUGAUCUAAAAUUUUAAUGUCAUAUCAUCACAUUUUGUAAGAUUUUUAUUUUAACAGCGUUAAUUUUGAGCUCCUUUAACAAUGGGCAAGAUAGAUAUCAAAAAAAAUCGCGCAAAUUUAUUUUCUAGAUAAUUCAAAUAUAUAGAUUAAGUCUAAUAGGAACCAAUCGUACGAUUUCAAAGUCAACAUCGAAACGACUUGUAAAUACGGAGCCUCCGUAUUUAAGAUUGAUGAUGGCCCCUAGGUUGAGUGGGAUGGUGGUUAGCUAUGUAUAAUCUAAUCGGGUGAAAUGAUCACAAAAGUGAGCAUCUAAUGAUAGAAAACUCAAUAGUAUCAAGAAUUCGUACUAUUGAAGUAUGUAUAGUAGACCGGACUAAUAUAUUAUAAUAUAUAAUACUAUUAUAAUAUAUAUAUAUAUUAUAUAUAUAUAUAUAUAUAUGAUAUAUACUAGCUCCGCGGGAGCUGUCUAUACUAUUAUGAGUAAUCGGCCUCGAUAAUCAUUAAGUGUUUUCGAUAAUAGAGCUUCGCGAAUCGACGAUCGCACACCGUAAACGUUUUUCUAACAUUUGAAAUAUCUAGAAUUAAAUUUAUAAUUUUCGACAUCAUUUACCUGACGGAUCAAAAAGCUCACGAAAAUUGACAAUUUUUAACUGUGUGGGCCGGUGUGGAAAUUGCUAGUUUUAACGUGUUGAAAAAGAAUCCGAUAGGUUGCAAUUUUUGAUUAAGAAAAUUUGUCUAUUCACUUAAUCUAGAUAAAGUAUCAAUAACUUGAUCUUAAAUAUGAAGAUUCGAUUCAUCCAUUUUAAUAAAACAUCGCUUUCGAUUUUGAGCGUUCAUGUUUAAUUGCCGGCUUGAUGGACCUUUAUUAUGAUUUCGAAAAUCUACGACAAUUUUUUUUAGAAGAGUUUCAAAUUAUUAUGAGUCAUAUUAACGGAUGGAUCGUCGAUAUCGGACGCUCCAAUCAUCGAAAAGCAACUUAUGAGUACGAAGGGCCUCAAUACUCAUAAUAGUUAUAGUAGCCGCUAUCUAUAUAUAUAUAUAUAUAAUAUAUAAUAUAUUAUAUUAUUAUUAUAAUAUAUAUGCCACCACAGUCUAUCGUUAACCCCAUGCUUGUCCUCAUUACCCCUUUGUGACUUCUGCCACUCGUCCUACUUGUUCAUCAACUAUUGUGAUUAAGCGAGUGGAACUCCAAACAACAUGCGUGCGUUUCUUUUCUUUCUUCUUUUAUUUUUUAGAGGUAAAUUGUUUAGAUAUAAGUAUUAACUCAUACUACUUUCAAAAGUAAUAUGGUGAUAAAAAGAAUAAUUAUAUUAUAUUUUCAAUCUCAACACGGCGCUCUGGAACGUCAAGAUUAAUUAUUUGAUUCUAUUGUAAAUGAAACAUUUUUUCUUGUUGCCGGAAUAAGGAUCUAGAUCUGUUCAUAAAUUAUGGGGACGGCCAUCUGACACUUAAGAAGGCCUCAAUGUGGAGAGCCUAAGAUAGAUAGAGUUAGGGUGCAAUCCAGCUCCUAUUGGCGAGCGCGCUCCGUGUUCCGAGCUGAAUAUGAGCAUCUGAGAUCGGCUGCGCUCGAUUUGAGUUAAAACGAGUCGACACGAGCCUGAAUUUUUCAGCUCGUUUAAUAAACGUAGCCGAACACAGAGCUGGGUCAGCUCGCUCAUGUUCGGCUCCUGAUAAAAGGCUCGAGAUACAUAUAUUUUAUAUUUAUAUAAAUUUAUUUAAUUUUUAUUUUAUAUAAAUCAAAUAUAUUAUAAUAUAUAUUUUUAUUAUUUAAUUUUUAGCAAAAAUAAAAUAAAUAUGAAGUUUAAUUAUAAAAAGAUACUCAUUUAAUAUGUAAAGUUUAACUAUUAGAACUGAUCAAAAGUCAUAUAUGCAUAAGAUUUUAUAAUAAUUUAUUUUAUUAUAUAUAUUUUAAUCUAAUUCUUUUUAAUUUAUUGUUUCGUUCGCCAAGGCUCGUAAGCCAGCAUCGGUUGUCGUCUCGUAAUUAAACAGAGCCGAAACACGACUGAAUUUUUAGCUCGAGUACUUUAACGAGCCAGCUCUUGUCGGUGUUGUUAAUAAACAAGUCGAACACGAGCCAACCCCGGUUCGCUCGUGUUCAGCUCGUUUACACCUCUAGAUGAGAGUUAAGUAUAAUAUAAGAUAUAAUAGAACUAAUCCUGUUAUAGCAUUUUGUACGGUGGUUAGGCCGAAACCGUUAUGAGAGUUAAGUAUAUUAAGGCUCGAGUAAUCAUAAUAUGGAUGACCCCUUAGGAAGUGGGUAUCACAGUUAGUAUCAGACCCAAUUACCAGCCGAAAAUGUGAGAUGAACCAGAUUAUAUAGCGGGGAGAGCGAAACUCUUAUGCUGAUGACUAUUGUCGGUAGAGCGUGACUCUCCCACAAGAUCGAUUAAGACUAGUGAGAGGAGUUUCAUAUCACCUGAUACUUAUGGAUCUAAGUCUGACGAAAACGCCAGGACUUAAAAGAGAGAAAAUGUGAGACACCCCGAUAGUCCUAUAUAUAAGAUAUAAUAAAGCAAAAACUCUCAACUCGAUUAUAACAUUUUGGGUGGUGGCUAGGUUUAAAAAGUUAAGAGAGUUAAGCGUGCUAGAAUUAGAGUAGUCCUAGAAUUGGUGAACCCCUGGGAAGUGAAGCGUCACACUCAACUAGUAUUAAGUCACGGAUUUCAAUUAGACUCAACUCGUCUGGAUGUUAGAUCGAUUGUUGGAUCUCUUGCCGUUAAGUUUAUUAUGGAACCACUACAACAGAAUUAGAUUAUAGGGAUACAUAUUUGGGACACUUUUGAGUAAGUGUCCCAUUUAUCCUAAAACUUAAAAAAAAUAUCUACUAAUGCCUAAAUAUAAAACCCAAUCCAACCAAAAAUAAAAGAUUAUUCUACUCAACCCACCACACCCAGUCUAUUUGGCCCGAUUACAAACAGAAAAGAAAAAAAAAAAGAAAAAUCAAUUACCAUCUUUUCUUCUCUCUUCACUCAAUCCACUGAAAUUCUAGACGAAGAGCCUUUCCUGUCGUCCUCCUCCGCCACCGCAGCCAACGAGAUAGAGUUUCGGCGGUUGCUAAAUGCUUAAAUAAGUGUUGGUAAAUUAGCAACACUCUUUUAGGUUAUAGCGACACUCUUUAACUGUCACUAUAUACCUAGCGACCCCACAUAUAGCAACACUUUUUAAAAGUGUCGGUAAUUUUAGCUAGCAGCACUUUUAUGACAUGUACCAAAUUUAAAAGUGUCGCUAUAGACCGUUUUUGUUGUAGUGAACGUAAUCCAACUUAAGUUUUUGAGCUUAUCCAACUCAAACUUAUUAAUUUUCUUAGCCUAUUAUCACAUAGAAGAAACUUGAACCCAUUUUAGCCAAUAAUAAAUAGCCAACAAAUUAUACUUUCGGUAUUUAAAUUUUUGACACGUGUAACAUUUUCGUCCUUAAAGUUUAACUUGUUGUAAAUUUGGUUUAAACUUUCUAAAUUAUUGCAAUUAGAUUCUAUUGCUGAUGUAAUACUGAUGUGAUGAUAAUAUCGUAAUCCGUAAAAUAUCAACUAUUAAGAUGUUGUACAACUAUCACAUCGGUAAAAUACCCGUAUCUAGUUAACUAAAUUAAAUUAUAGAACUUUAUUGUAAAAUUUUUAAAAAAAUUAAGUUAUAGUUAAUAAAUUACAGUCUGAAAAUCAAAAUAUUCUGCAUCUUAAAGUUAGGGCUCUCAUGUACUAUUUAGCCAUUUAGUUUCUAUGAUAAAUGGCGGAUGAAAAAGUCGAAAAUGUGAUGGUGGCACCACGUUAUUCAUAUUCCAAACAAAUCAAAUUUUGCUCUAAAUUCAUACCCUAUUAUUUUUGCUCAUUUUGACUCAGCAUCCCUAUUCUCGUCUCCCAUCAUUUUCUACUGGAAAAGAAAAGAUAUAGAAUGCAUAAGUUAUAUUACCGAAGUGGUAUUUCCAAUCAAUAGGAUUGUUCCCCUUGAUUGUUCCCCUUGAAUUCAUCCGUCCUUUCAUAGCCAUUAAAAAAAUAUUUUUGUUAUAAUUUUUUUUAAAAAAAUAUAUAUAAUUGGAUUGUUACUUAAUGAUACGAUGCAGAUGUGGUACCAUAUAUAUAAUUGGAUUGUUACUAAUGAUACGAUACAAGAGUGAUACCAUAGAUGUUCUUAGUGGAAAGAGACAGCAAGGAGCUACACAUUUCUGCACAGCAUUUAUCUCUCCUUAAUUUCUUUCUCCAAAUUUUCAAAUAAUUAAACUCUUCCUAAAAUUCUCUUCCUCUCCCUCUAUGUAUUUAUAUACUCCCUGACGUUUCUUCCCUUUACUGGUCGCAAACGAGCCUUCUCAACAAUAAUAUUCCUCACUCUCCUCAAACCCCUCGUAACUCCUCUCCCUUCUUUCUCUGCAAAAAAAAAUUUAAUAAAAUUUCAGAAAAAAAUUAAGGAAAAAAAAAGAGAUAAUUAUGCUAGAAACGGUGAAGUACUUGAUGGGCUCGCCGGGCCCCAGCGGGUACGGCUCGAAGACCACCGCCGAGGACGUAACCGCGGCGGCAGCGGCGGCGUGUUCCGAUCUCCGCUGCAUCACCGCGAUCGUCACCGGUAACGACGAUACGUACGCAACUCCUUGUAAAUCAAUCAAAUUCGCGAACGCUCGUAAGCAACGAUAGAUAGUUAUUGUGCAGGUGCGACGUCGGGGAUCGGGGCGGAGACGGCGCGCGUGCUGGCGAUGCGCGGGGCGCGGCUGGUGCUGCCGGCGCGGAGCCUGAAGGCUGCCGAGGAGACGAAGGCUCGCAUCGCAGCUGAAUUCCCCGGAGCGGAGGUCUUCGUCCUCCCCCUCGAUCUCAGCUCCCUCUCCUCCGUCCACUGCUUCGCCUCCCGAUUCCUCUCCCUCCGCCUCCCCCUCAACCUCCUCAUGUAUACAUCAUAUAUAUACUACGAUUUGUACUAUCGAAAAUUGUUUCAUAUUAUUUAACAAAUAAGUGGAAUAUAAAUUUUACACUCUUUUGAAUUUUUAUUAACUUUAGAAUGGGUGGCAUAGAGUUUACACCCGAAAACUUUUCGAGUGCGUAAAAAAUACGUAUUUUUUUAUUUAAUAUAGUAUCAGAAUAGAAGAUUCUGAUUUUGAGAAAAAAAAUGUUUUUUGCGUGCGGCUGCAGAAACAACGCCGGAAGGUUCUCGUACGAUCGCGCCUUGUCGGAGGACGGCGUCGAGAUGACGUUCGCCACAAACUAUCUUGGUAGGUUUUCUACAGAAAUGUUCUGAUCGAAAGUUUUUCUUGGCGCCCUCCACAUAUGUUGUAUAUAGCUUAUUAUUAUUGUUUUCUUUUUUCUUUUUUUUUGUAGGGCAUUUUUUGUUGACGAAGCUGCUGCUGGAGACGAUGGCGGAGACGGCGCGGGCGAGCGGGAUCGAAGGCCGCAUCGUGAACGUCUCCUCCGGCAUCCACGGGUGGUUCUCCGGUGACAUGCUGCGAUACCUCGACAUGCUCACCAGCAAGAAGAUGUAAUUCCGAACAUAAUAUAAUUCUUUCCUUUAAUUAAAAGAAAUUACAAUAAGAAAUGUUUUUUUUUUUUUUUUUUUUUUUUUGGAUGUAUAGAGCUUAUGAUGCCACAAAAGCGUACGCGCUGUCGAAGCUCGCCAACGUCCUCCACACCAAAGCGCUGGCGGAGAGAUUGAAGGUGAGAUUUCGAAUCCUUCCAACUCCAACGGCAAAUCUCGUCCGUCCAUUUUCCAUUCGUUUUUUUUUUUUACUUUAAGUUUUAUUUUAUUUUUUUGGAAUUGAAUUGGAAUAAUAUUAGGAGAUGGGUGCAAACGUAACUGCGAACUGCGUGCACCCGGGAAUCGUCCGAACCGGACUCACCCGCGACCACGACGGCUUCAUCACCGGUGAGUUUUACACACACACGCGCGCGCGCAUGAGUAAUACUAUAAAUACACUCUAAACUAAAAUAAGGUGAAUACCUUACAUCCGCUCUAUUCUAAGAUCAUUCUUAUCGUAGCAAUUUUCUUAAAUUAAAGUAUUGUAAGAUCAGAACAUCUCGACUACCGUCUGAUUAGAACACUAUCGUAAACUAACGACUCCCCGCCGCUCAUCAGAUCUGCUGUUCCUCCUCGCGUCCCGACUUCUCAAAACGAUUCCACAGGUGCUUCUCUUUUUUCGAUGAAUUUCAAUAUUGAAUAUUUAGGUAUAAGUUUUUUUUUUUUUUUCAAAGAAAAAGUUGGCAUGUUACUCGUUUCGUUUAUUUUUUAAAAAAUAAAUUUAGUUGAAAUGUGAAGCAACAAGAUUUCGAAUUUGGGAUUUCGGGUAUACUCUAAAAUAGAGUAUACAAUUUUUAUUGUUUUCUUUCAAGGGUCCCUAUUCCUUGCUCGUGUCUUUUUUUUCGAUUAAAAAAUAUUUAGAUUUUUGUGAAUUUUAAGAUGAAAAUAUAAGACCUACAAUUGUUUUAGGGUGUACAAAUAAAAUUUCGCUUAUGCUAAAUUAUAAUAAUAAUAAUAAUGAUACUUCAACUUCCAAAUGUUAAUUAUUAUAAUUUUUAUUUAGAACUUUUUAAAUUAUUACCAUUAAUUUUAAUAACUAUUUUAAUUUACUAAAUAUUAUUUUAUCGCUAAUAUGAAACUGAUGACGUAAUGACUUUAUGAUUGAUAAUACGGUAAUAAUUAAAAUAUCGUACUACUUUCAUAUAUAUCAUUAGUACUUUAAUGUUUAGUUAGCUAUAAGUUAGAAAAUUUUUAUUUUUUAGAGAAAAAGUUUAAUACGUUAUUCAAUACGUUAUCUGCUUCAUUCACAAGCGUAUAAAUUUUUAUUAUUGAUUGCUGUGCUUUAUAGGCCGCGGCGACGACGUGCUACGUGGCGACACACCCCGCAUUGCGGGGCGUUUCGGGGAAGUACUUUGCCGACUGCAACGAGGCGGCGCCGUCGAAGUCGGCAUCCGACGGGCAGGCAGCAUCGCAGCUGUGGCGUGCCUCCGAAGCCAUGACGGCCGAGAAGGCUGCCGGACGCUUCCCGGAAAAGCCACAGGAACUAUAAGCAUGGCAGGUCACUACAAUAGCCUCGUAACAAAUAUCAAACAAUACAAAAAAUAAUAAUAAUAAUAAUAAUAAAGGGGUAAAAUGCAAAAAANAGUACAAAUGCAAAAACGUGUAAAUAAAAAAAUAGGACCAACUAAUUUACAGUAUCAUUAUAGUAUAGGGAAUAUUAAUCCAUUUUUAACCUUUUAAAAGGGGUACUAUUUAUCACUUCAAAUGCUGUUAUAUAUAUUAAUUAGGGCCCGCCAGGCACUGAAGUCUAUUUAAUGUUAAUAUAUAAAAAAAGUUGGGGGCGGGUAGCGUGCUAUCUAUUUUUUAAAAAAAAUAAAAAGAAGUUGGGGUAAAACUAUAUAGUGAUAUGAUUUCGCGUUUAGUCAGAUUUACGAUCGACUCAUUGCGAUUGCCAUAUAUAUAACGUAAUAUUAUAUAUCAAAACAAACGAAAUAUUUUUUUUUGAAAAAUAGAUAGCACGCUACCCGCUUCGUUUAUUUUAUUUAAGAAUAAACUUAGCUAGAAAUGUGAAUCAACUAGGGUUCGAACUUUGGUUUUUGAUACUAACCAUCUAGUCCUUUGCCACUUGCUCUAGGGACUUAAUGGUAAAAGAAAAUACGGGAGAUGUUAGGCUCUAUUAUGUGUACAGCAUGUGAUAGUUGUAAUACAAGUGACUUAAUGGGAAAAGAAAGGUGGAGAGGUCUUAGGUUAUAGACCUUGUUGGGUUAGGCAAGAAAUGUAAUGCAUGUACUUAUGCUUAAUUGAUGUUGGACCCAUGCACGUGUGUAGGAUGCAAAAUAGAGUGUACACAAUCAACGGUCUAUGAUGCAUCAGGUACAUCGAAGAUGGUCUAUGAACAUGUAGCAGCACAAUAGCAUAACUCCAUGAACUUUGAUCUAUGAUCCGCCGGGUGAACUAAAAAUAACCUUUUGGUUUAUGGUGCACCAGGUGCAACAAAAACAGUCCGCGAAUACGAGGCAGUAUAGUACUAUAACUUCACGGACUUUAGUAUAUAAUAAUAAUAGAUAGAUUGUAAAUGUAAAUAUUUUUUUCCUUUUUACAUGUAUAUAUUUAUGGUGAAGGGGUACAAUGGUAGGUGGAAAGUAGUGAAAUGUUAUUACUGUUCAAAAUUAUUUUUGAAUUAUUUUGUAUGAGAUGAGAAUACGGUGUCAGAACUAAAUUUUAUCAAGUACUCUUAAUUUCAAGAGGCCCGUCCUAAUAUUGUAGUCAAAUUAAUUUCUUACCGUACAGUCCAAUCUUUUGGAUAAUAAUUAUAGAGGGUUAUACUAAAUUACUAAUUAGUUAAUUCUCAUAGAGAAUAGAAAAAUUUUGGGAAAAUUUCUAUUAGAUUUAGGGUUGACGAAGACAUCAAUAGCUAAACGGUGGAGUAUGUGACACCCUAAUAAUCUCACAUCAGAUAAUUAUGACUAGAUGUGAGCUUAUAUAAGCUUGAUUAGGUUAGACAUAAUAUAUAACUGAACUUAAGCAUUUCCAUCAAGUAUUAAGCUGUAUGAGAGGCCUAACAAGUUUUAAAUCACUAAAAACCCAAUAAAAUCUAACCGUUUCUUCACUGCCCUUCCAAAUAAGUCAAAGAGAGAAACCUUUAAAAAUAACCUUUACAUUAACUUAUCAUCAAUUUGAAUAAACGACAAAUAAAAUUCCAACUUUAAAUAUUUAAUUGGCUACAAAAUCAUUUAUAACUUUAUAAACACCCCUUUAAAUUUAUACAUCUCUAUAACUUUAUAAACACCACUUUAAAUUUAUAAAUAACCUACAUUGAGAGAUAAGUUUUUAUCACAAUAUAUAUAUAUAUAUAUAUUCUGGCUACUAUACUUUUAUGAGUACAAUCGCCCUCAUACUCAUAAGUUAUUUUUGAUGAUAGAGCUUUCGAAUCAACGAUUCGUACAGUUAAACAUUAUAUAAAGUAUUCUAAAACUUCUAAAAAUCAAAUAUUAUAAUUUUUUGACAUCAUUUAACUUACGAUCAGAAGCUCACAAAAUUGGCAAUUUUUAACGGCCGGUAUAAAAUACUUGCUAGUUUAACGGUGUAAAAGAAUUAGAAUAGAUUGAAUUUUUGAUAGAAAUUCUAUUCACUAUCUAGAUAAAGAUCAAUAACUCCGAUCUUAAAUUGAAGGAUCCGAUCAUCCAUUUUUAGGACAUCAUUUGAUUUUGACUGUUCAUUUUAUGCUCGUUUGAUGGACUUUAUUUUGAUUUCAAAAAAUUACGAAAUUUAUUUUUUAGAAGUUUCAAAUACUCUAGAUCAUAUUUAACAGAGUAGAUCGUCGAUUUGGAAGCCCCAUCAUUGAAAAUAACUUAUGAGUAUGAAAGGCCCAAUACUCAUAAGAGCAUAGUAGCCCUACUCUAUAUAUAUAUAUGAGUUGAGCUAGAAUACUCUCAAAAGCACCAAGGGAGCAAGGGAGUGGUGCUUUUGAGUGUUUAGCCUUUGGAUGGAGAGAUGUAGGGUUGGGAUGGUGAUGGUAGGUAGUGGUAGGUAGUGAUAGAUAGAAUAGUGUUUGAUCCAAGAGCUAUUAGUAAUUAAGGAAUAGAUCCAAGGGAUAGAAACUUAGAAGCACCAAGGAGUUGGUGCUUCUAAAAGUAUUCCAGCUCAAUAUAUAUAUAUAUAUAUAUAUAUAUAUAUAUAUAUAUAUAACUAGGUGGAAUACUAUUAAUAGCAUCAAUGACUUCAUACUAUUAAGUUUUCUGCCCUUGAAUUAAAAGAUGUGCGGUUAGGAUGAUGUAGGCCCCCUAGGGUUGAGUGGGUGGUUGGUUGAAUAGUAUAAUCGAACGGAUGAAAAUGAUAAAAAAGGUAAAUCUAACGGAAGAAAACUUGAUAGCACCAACUGCUUCGUACUAUCGAUAGUAUCACAGCCGGACUAUAUAUAUAUAUAUAUAUAUAGUCCAGGGCUGCUGUGCUCUCAGGAGCACGGAGGCCUCCGUGCUACUAUGCCGUUUUUGAUGAUAGAAUUUUCGAAUCGACGAUCGGCUCCGUAGACUUGAUCUAGAGCAUUUGAAGUUUCUAGAAAAUAAUUUUUGUAAUUUUUUGAUAUCAUUUACCUAUAGUAUAGAUACAAUAUAUAUAUAUAUAUAUAUAUAUAUAUAAUAUAAUAUUUAUAUAUGAGAGAGAGAGAGAGAGAGAGAAGAGAGAGAGAGAGAGAGAGAGAGAUGGGCUUAUGCUUAUGGAAGCACGGAGCCCGUCGCUCCACUUUGUUUUCGAAUGUUCGAACUUUCGAAUGCGAUGAUCGGCUCAGUUAGAGUUGAUCUAGAGUAUUUGAAGUACCUAGAAAUAAAUUGCGAUUUUUUGAUAUCAUUUGCUAGUGAUCGAAGGGGCUCAAAAUUAAUAAUUUAACAGCCGUGGUAAGCGGUUGCAAGUUUAACGGUGUAAAAAUAUCCAAAUCAUAUGAAAUUUGGAUAAAAAAAUUUUUAUACCAUAUAAAACAAGAUCAAUAACUUUGAUCUAAAAUUUAAUGUCAUAUCAUUAUAUUUUGUAAGAUUUUUAUUUUCAGCCAUUGAUUUUGAGCCACUUCGGUCACUAGGCAAAUGAUAUCGAAAAAUCUCAAAAUAUUUUCUAGAUACUCAAAUACUCUAGAUCAAGUCUAACGGAGCCGAUCGUCGAUUUGAAAGUCGCGAACAUCGAAAACAAAGUGAGGCACGGGGCCCUCCGUGCUUCCAAUAAGCAUCUUAGCCGCACUAUAUAUAUAUAUAUAUAUAUAUAUAAUAUAUAUAUAUAUUAUAAUAUAUAUAAUAUAUAUACUUCUAGAAAUCAAAUUUCAUAAUUUUUCGACAUCAUUUACCUUACGUAUCAAAAGCUCACAAAAUUGACAUUUUUAAUGGCCGAUAUCGAAUAUUCGCUAGUUUAACGGUGAAAAAUUGGAAUAGGUUGAAUUUUGAUAGAAAAUUCUAUUCACUACCUAGAUAAAAGAUCAAUAACUCCGAUUUAAAUUAAAGAUCUGAUCAAUCCAUUUUUAGGACGUCGUUAAUUUUGACCGUUCAUGUUUAUGCCGUUUGAUGGACUUUACUAUGAUUUCGAAAAAUUACGAAAUAUUUUUUAGAAAUUUCAAAUACUGUAGAUCAUAAUUUAACGGAGUGGAUCGUCGAUUCAGAAGCCACGAUCAUCGAAAACAACUUUAAGUACAAAGGGCCAAUACUCAUAAAGUGUAGUAGCCCUACUCUCUCUCUCUCUCUCUCUCUCUUCUCUUUUAUAUAUAUAAUAUAUAUAUAUAUAUAUAUUUAUUUGAACUAGCAUAAAUUUCUGUGCUUUCGCAUCUUAAAUUUCAAAAUAAAUAAUGUAAAAUAUCUUAUUUUACAAACCACACAGCAGUAAAAUGAUGCAUUUUACUCUUUAUUUUAAUAUUUUAAAAUAAAUAUUAUCAUGCUAAAAUUAUUUUGUAAAAGAUUUUAGAAGUUAAGGGCAAAAUGGACAUUUCCACUACAUUUAUGGUAAUCUAAAUAUUUUAGCAUUCUAUAAAGAGAUGAAAAGUAAGAAUAAGGAGGGUACAUUUGAAAGAUAGUAAGCUUUUGUAGGGGUAUUUAUGAUAUAAUCAAAUUAAUAGGGGCAUCUAUGAUAUUUUUGAAGUUUAGAGGGGCACCAAUGAAAUUGACCCAAAAAUUUUAUAUGAUUUGUAUGUAGAUUCUUUGCUGAUACUCAUUCUUUAUCCCUUCAGAAUCCUUCUCUCAUGUAGACAACUUGAGAGAGAAGGAAAAAUAGUGGAAUUAAUUAGUGUGCAGAAAUUUUGUAUACACUAAUAAGUCACUUAAAGAGAAGAGCAGAGCGAGGGGCCCAAGCCCGGCCCAAUUAUUUUAUUUGUUAGGAACAUUUGAUGAUAGGGCUAGAUCAGAUCCAUUACUACCCCUACUAAUAUCUUUUUAUUGCCAGUGUGCUUAGACAAAAUUAUCCAAUUGUUGCAAAUUUAAUUGAAGAAUUGAAAUUUUAUAUGCAUAACAUAUCCAGUGAAAAGGAAGAGAAAUUACAAUGAAUUAUCUAUAGAUGUUUUUAUAUGUAAGCAUUAUGUACACAACCAUCUAUGUCUAGGCAUAUCUUUAAGGCAUAGGGUCAAUAGUUUUUAUAUAUUGAGUAAUGCUCUGCUGAGAAAUAUAUUUUACAAUACUUUACAAACUAGCAUACGUGACGAUAUUUAAUUGGUGAAAAAAUACAUGAUUUUAUAAUUUUAAGGUCGAAACCCAACAGUUGACUUGUGUAGUUCAUAAAAUGUUGCGAGAUUUUGUAAGCAAAGUAUUUUUCUUAUACAUUUGGUCACCAGAUCUAUGCUAUCAUGUAACUGCUCCCCAUGAUUCUAACUUUAUGUAUACAUUUUUAUAUUUUGAAGUUCAGAAGAUGGAAGCUUCCCUGGUCUGAUUUAGAAAAGCAGAAAAGCAAGAACUACUGGAGAAUCAAGCUGAAGCCUCCUUCAGAUCAGUCAUAUAGUAUCAGAAACAAGUAGGGGUGGAAACAAGCCGAGCUCGAGCGAGCUUAUCUCAGCUCAAGUUUGGCUUGAAAUUAAUUUCAAGACUAAAUUUAGGCUCAAGCUCGACUUGAAAUUAAUUCGAGCCGAACUCGAGCGAGCCUAAUUUCGAGUCGAGCGAGCUCGAGCCCUAAACGAGCUGCUUGAAAUUCUUAACACCGUAUAAUCUAUAGUUUAAUUUUUAUAAAACAUUAUCUAAAAUUCAAUACAAAAAAUGUCUAAUAGCUCAACAUACAAAAUGAAUGCAUGAAAUACAAUAUUAUAAGAUUAAAAAAAAUAGGAAAAGCGAUUCUGUGAGCGAGCGAAAAAGAGAGAAAAAGAGAGCAAUUAGAGUAUGAUUUUGCUGGUUUGAUUUUAUAGGCCCAAUAAUCUAAAUUCUAUAUACAUAUAAUUAAAAUACAUAAUAUAUAUUAUUUUAUAUAAUUAAAAUAUAUAUUAUAUAUAAUUAUAUAGAGAGAGUUCGGCUACUAUACUCCUAUUACUAUAGACCCUUUUAUACUCAUAAAUUUUCGAUCGUUAGAGGAGUCUAUACUCAAAAGAGUAUAGUAGCCCUAGCCUAUAUAUAUAUAAAAUUAGGUUACUAUACUCAAGGUUUUAAAUGUCCGUCGGCACGGGCAGUAUCCACCGUGCCUACCGUGCCAACAAGAUACCGGCACGAUACAGACCCAGUGCCGAUGGCACAGCUCAAAACCCUUCAUUCUUUAGAUUAGUAAAUAAUUUUCUCAAUAAAGUCUAAAAGAUGUGAUAAAAAGACAUAAUAAAUAGUUAUAAUAUUUUGUUGCUAAAGAAAAUAAAUAUUUCAUACUAUUAUGUGUCGGCACACAAGAAUUUUUUUGACCAGCAUGCAUCGGCACGGCUCGGUACGCACCAUGCCAUACCGUGUCGGCAAGUUUCCGGCACGAUUCCGUGCCACGGCACUUAAAUCCUUCUAUACUAUUAAUAGUAUCAACCGCUUAUUAUUAGGUUUCGGCCCUUAGAUGAAGGGAUGUGUGGUCAAAAUGAUUAUAGGGUUGAGGAGGUGGGUAGUUGAAUAGUCUGAUCUAAUGGAUGAAAUCGCCAAAGGGGUAGAUCUAACGACAGAAACUCAAUAGCACCAAACGCUUGAUACUAUUGAUAGUAUAGUAGCCGGACUCUAUAUAUAUAGGUAGAUCUAACGGCAAAAAACUCGAUAGCACAAAACGAUUGGUACUAUUAGAUUAUAAUAGUCGGACUAUAUACAUAUACAGAGAGAGUCCGGCUAUUAUAUUAUCGAUAGUACCAAAUAUUUAGUACUAUCGAAUUUUGUGCCGUUAAAUCUACCCCUUUGACCAUUUUCACCCGAUAGAUCAUAUUAUUCAACUAACCACCCACUGAACUCUAGGAAAUCACUAUCAUCCUAACCGCAUAUCUCUUCAUCCAAGGGCCCAAAACCUAAUAGCAAGUGGUUAGUACUCUUAAUAGUACAGUAGACUAAUUCUAUCUAUAUAUACAUAUAUAUAUUUCGAGCUUUUCAAGCCUAAUUCAAGCGAGCCCGGUAAUACUCAAGCUUGGCUUGAAAUUAAUUUUGAGCCUAAAUUUAGGCUCAAGCUCGACUUGAAAUUAAUUCGAACCGAGCUCGAGCGAGCCGAAUAUCGAGCCGAACGCGAGUCGAACACGAGCCGGCUCGCUCAUUUGCCGGCCCUAGAAACAAGUAGUAUAAAGUAAUAUGCACAACAUAAGCGAAAAAAAUUAUCUUAUGCACAGCCAAGAAGGUCACAUUGAUGCCAACAUGGUUCCUGAUAAAAGAAACUAAUCUCCUCGUAACACGACACAAUGAUUCCUGAUUAAAAGAAACUAAUCUUCUCAAUAUACUAUUGUAUUAUGAGCUCAGCUAGUGUGGUUUUGGUCGUACGGAAACCGUUCUGCGAUUCAGGAAGAAGCUGUGGACCUCCUGGUGCAGCUUUAAAUACAGCUUAAAGCAUUUGCCUGCGAAUCUGGAGGCAGAUCUGAUGUGUAAAAUGUCAGAAGCAUUAACAGGUCAGUUCUUCAGAAAGAUCAUCCAUUGCAAGGUCCUAAAUUAUUACAACUUUUCAAGAUAACAAACUUCAUCUACAAGUGAAUAAUCACAUCCUAAGGAUUUAUUCGCGGAUUAACCAAUUAUCAGAUACCCAUCGCGUAAAUGAAAGAGUUAGAUGCUGCACAAGAUGUUCAUGCAUUCAAAGUUCACACCAACCAAAAUAGAGUAUUAAAAGAUCCCAAAUCAGAACAUGGAUUAAUAACUCUGCUGAGGUCAUGUCUGAGAUUGAAAAGAAGGAAAAAAAAACAAAAGAAAUCCUGGUCGAAAUGAAGGUUCCUCUUGUUGACCAGAGCACAUGGUUCGGUUAGUAAUUGUCUCUCUUAUUAAAUAACCAUUGAUUAUGAACUAAUUAGAUUAGAUGAAGUGAGUUUCUAAUAAUUAUAAUGAAUCUUGUUGACAAUCAUAAGUUACUAGGCAAUCAUGAUUCACAAACUAAUUUUAUAACAAAGCUAUGGUGUGUGUUUUAGUCUCAUUUUAAUAUAGAAAAAAUUAAGAUCUAAUGUACAAUUAGAUAGGACUAAGUAAAAUUUAAAAAUCUUGUUGACAAUCACAAGUUAAGAAGGUGAUACUACAGAACAAAGGUAACCCCAUGCAGUUUAGUACAUUUUUACUUUACCACCCUAUAACUCAAAAAGUUAUACUUAACUACUCUAUAAUUUAUUUUUGUUCCGCUGAAACAAAUCUAACGUCAAAUAAGAUACCAAAAUGAAAUUUUUUAAAAAAUCAAAAGAUGGUAUUAUGUUUAACUAAAAGUUCUUACAUUAAAAUAAAAAUAAAAUCACAGGUAAAUAAGUUGACUUUUUGAACACAACAUGAUAAGUGAAAACACGCUACAGCUAACUAAAUGCAACUUUUUGAAUCACAGGACGACAAAGCAAAAUUGCGCUAAACCAUAGUGGAAUAAAUUGAAGUUUAGAGUGGUACAAACUAACAAUGAAUGAUAAUUAUUUUGUUUCCAUUUUUCUCUAACAUUUUCCUUUUUCAUAGAUAAGAACAUGAAUGUCCCAAGUUAGAUCAACAUUCAACAAUACAAUAUGGUAAGCCCUCUUGGGAUGGAGUAAUCAAUCAUUCACACUCCAUUAACCAACCCCCAAAAAGAAAGUAAUCAACCAAUACAAAUUGCAUUCCCUAUUUCCCUUUGCAUUACUUAAACUAGUUUAGCAAAAGCAAAUGAUCUAAACAAAAUGGUGAGUUGGGUAUUCUUGUUCAGAACCAUUGUAAUCAUAAUACAACCUCUCACCCUUCGCGAUAUCCCUGAUCGCGAUCAGUAGCACGCGGCAUUCCACAUUUACGUCGAACCUCACGCACUUCAGAUUCUGCUUCUUUCUCCCAUCACUGCAGCACGUAACAACUUUAUAAGGAGAAUUCGAUUCUAAGUAAUGCGCAUUGAUUCGUGUCACAAUUCAUAUUCGCGAAAAAAGUAUUGCUAUCUGAAGAUCUGACGAUUUCUCUUACGGUGUAUGAUUGUUGAUGCCGUUAAUGAAUCUGGCGAUGUUGCUGCGCUUGUCGGGACAAAUCACGAGGCUCUUCGACGGAUCCUUUGCCGACAGGAGAGUCAUCAUGCUAUCGCCAUCGUCGUGCUCUCGAUUCUUCAAGUAAUCAACGUCGCCUACAUACUCGGUUAUGAUGGUAAGGUCCUUGAUGAAUCUAUCUGCUUCGACCGUAAACCUGCUCACGCAAUACACCAAUUCAUAAAAAUCAUUAUAUUAUUAAGUGGGAUGGAAUGAGAUCAAGACAAACCCUUCGAGCGGAUCGUGGACGACCAAAAGCGGAGGCCAUUCCCCCCUCUCCAUCAUACUCCUACAGAGGUUUAGGGUUUCGGUGUCCUCCUUUGAUAGCACCUGAGACAUGAAAAACAGAGUGUUUUAGCAACAAUUCUCGCUGCGAACAUUCAUCAAACACCUUCCGAGCAAACCUGCAUUCCUCCGUGCUCGAGAGCGGGGGAAUUGGCGGAGCGCGGGGCCAUGCCGGGGACGUAGGUGAGCUCGUUGCUGAAGGCGGCGGCGGUGGCGGUGAGCGCGGUGGCGAGCGACGCCAUCUGCUGGAGCCGCCGAUUCGGGUCGUCGCUGGGGGUGAAAGGCAGCAACUUUCUGCUCUUCUUCUUUGUCUUCGCCGCCGCCGAAGCACCCGCCUUCCUCCGCCUCCGCCGGCAGCACUCGGCCUUCGCCGCGGCGCCGUAGGACCGCCUGAUCUUGAAGAAAUCGACGAUCUUGGUCUGGAUCAGAGGGAACUCUGCAUCCCAACAAAGGACAAUUCGCCACUUUAGAUUGGGGAAUAAGAGAGAGGGAGAGAGAGAGAUGGGGGAAAGAGCGUACGCUUGGGUUUGGCAAGGGAGGAGCAAGAGGGGCAAAACCAGGGGCCUUGGGGGACGCGGGCGAGGAUGGGCCGGAGACAGAAGAGGUGGAGGCCGCGGUCGCAGGCGUCGCAGAGGAGGAGCUCGGCCGGAGAGUCGCCGGAGCCGCACUCGUCGCACCGGACGGAGUCGGCGCCACCGUCUCCUCCUCCUUCUCCUUCUCCUUCUCCGUUCGAGCACGGCGCGGCGUGGGUUCGCCUACGAAAGGGGGUUUUGGGAGCCAUGGAUGAGGAUGAGAGAGAGAAUAUUUGGAGAAAGUGUAGUGUGGGGUUUAAAAGUGGCGGUGGUAGGUUUUGGGUUCGCGCGCGCGGGUUUUUUUUUUGGCGGGAAGGGUAGGAUUUGGCGGGAAUGCGGGGUUUUCGGGAGAAACGAUUUUGCUCUGUGCACCCGGUGCACAAUUUGUCUACAGCAAUCAAGCUAGUCCACAUUAAUUAAAUUAUGAUCACGCUAACACUUCUGUUAUUCAUUUAUUCUAGUUCUAGGAUAAAUUACACUUUCAGUCUUUAAAACUUUAAUUUAUUAUAAUUUCUGGUUCAAAUUUUUAAAAUUAUUAUUGUAAUUAAAUCCUACAGUCUAAUUAGUCUAAUUUGGUUGACUAGAUUUUGAUAUUUUGCUAAUGUGAUAGCAAAAUAAUAUCUUAAUAAUUAUCGUAUUAUUGAUUAUAAUACUAUAACCAUAAUACUAUAAUUAGUGAUUUAUCACGAUUUAACCAACUAAAUUGGGCAAUUUAGCCUUAAUUAAAAAUUAAAAAUUCAAUUUUUGUUCUUUAAAAAUUUUUGGCAUCCAUCCGGUAGAAUAAUACAUUUUGUCCAGAAGAUAAUUUAUUUUGUUUUAAAAAAUAAUUUAAAUUUCCUUUCGAAUAUAGUACCAUUCUAAAGAUCUGAUCACACUUGUUAUUUACGAAAUAUUCCGUAUUUUUUGUGUAAAUUAAAAAAGAUACCAAAUAAAAUAUUCAUGCAGGUCAUGUUUGGAUGUCAGAAUAAAAUAUCUAAAUAAUAAAUUAUUUGGUAUGAAAAUUUCUUAUACCAUUCAAAGAGAAGAGUUUAAUUUUUACUCCUUGAAAGGUUUAAUACUCAUAAUUUGAUAGAAUAUCAUAUUUUACAUAUGAGAUUAAUUAUAUAUUCUAAAAAAACGACUUGAAAAGCCAAAUAUAUUAUCCCUUAAUAAUUAUUAUAGAUAUUUAAUCUAGCUACUUGUCUUCGAAAUGCUAUAUGCUUUAUGAGUAAAUGAAAAGGACAUACAGAAUAAGAUGCUUAUGCAUCCAAAGUGGGCCUAAAUCAAAGAAAACUACAGAAUAAGAUGUUCAUGAAUCCAAACAGAACCUAAGCCUUGUAGCUUUAUCAUGAAAGCUUUCAUUUUUGCCUCUUGCAAACAAAAAGAACCAUUAGUCUCUGUAAUUGCAGCUGAACAAUAUUCUCAAAUUAAUUACAGUUCUCAGAAUAAUACGGCGAAAUCAACAGAGAUUGAUAUUUCAUCCAAUAAAUAGUAUAGUAUGCUGAAUGGAUUUCAUUUGACAGGUUUUCGUGAUUUCAUUAAAAGCAAAGCAGGGAAAUACAACCUAGAAAUAACUACAGACGGUAGUUUCAUACACAGAUUGCAGCAAAAAAGGGCGAAAAAAGAGGUUUACUAUCGCUCAUCAGAUAACGAGCAAGAUUCAAGGUAUCAACCUUGAAUGAUAUAAAAAUUGAGACUUUUCUACAUGCAGCAGAACCUCUUAACUACCCGCAUUGAUUCCGAAGAUGCGAACUUUGUGCAUGUUAGGGAAUUUGGCAACCACCAGCACAAACACAGCAAGUGUGUUGAGGAAAAGCAUCGGAUGUUGGUAGUCAGUUGUAUGCGAGGCUAUCAAGUACCUGUGGAAAAUUAGAAGGAAGAGGCUCGUUAAUCUAAUGAAAGAAAAUAAACUAGAAGAGAGAAAUUGAAGCAAUUUGCAAUCGAAGCAUGCGGAUGAAUUCGAGAUAUCAAAAAAAAGGUUAAAAAAUAAGGAAUCUAAGUUCUAACUACAAGCUGUUUCAUCCGGGAUAUAUGGUUUAUCUGUUGAAAGAAAGAAGCCAUGCGAAGGGAUUAGCUGAUAUUCAGUGAGUCGAUGUAAAUUCUAUCUAAUAAUUAUGUUAAAAAGAACCAUUAUAUUGAUUGAAUGAUGAUUUCAGAUAAUUUGCCCCAGCUAUAUCAAGUAACUACUCUAUCCUGAAUAAGAGAGGCCAGAUUAUUGCCAAACAAAAGGACUGGAAUUUUUUGCUUGAGUGGGAAGCCAAAAGGAGAUUCAGCACCCCAGAGCACAAGCUCCAAUUUAAGAAUCGUUUUUUUGCUGCGACAGUAAACAGUCUAAGGGUUUUUGAUUGGAAAAAUGUUGGCGUCUCUUGAGACAGUCAUACUCCAACAGCAGGUCUGCAAGAGCUCCAGCUAAACCAAACAAAAGCCUUAACAAGUAUGGUGACUACAACAGGUUUGGGGCCUUAACAAGUAUGUAAAACGGAGCAUUGCUUCUCUGCAGGGAAAGCAUAACAAUGUUAAAUUAAUAUUGGUUAACUUAAAAUUUAUCUUGCGAAAGUCAAGUAUGCUUCUUUUCCAAUAUUUGCAUGCACAUAGAAAAUGUGGCAUGAUUAAAGUAAUAAGUGAAUACAAAUUACAAAUACUGGCCAAUCUGUAUCCUUUGCUUAGAAAGGACAGCCUAAAAGAUGCUUCACACAAGAGAAAGCUAGGACUCUGCUCCGAGAUCCUAGAUAUCUUAUAGCUUGGAAUGGCUUCUGAUUUUGUGUCAAACAUAUAAGAACCACAUGGAUCAAGAAUAAUUGAUCAGGUAUUCUAUAUUAAUCAACAUUUCUUACAGAACUCAGUGGUUUCAAGUUGGUUGAGUAAAUCCAGUACUUCGAUGCCUUACUAUAAAUCUCAAUAAGGGUCUGUUUGGUUUGCUAUAAAAUAGAUCUGAAAACUCUUUUCAAACUGGAAAAUAGUUUUCCAACUGUUUGGUCCAAUAUAAAAUGUUGUACCACAGAUUUUUUUUACAUAUUUUAAGGAAAAGUAAGGUUUUCAUUUUGGGCAUUUUUUUCUGCAGAAAACAUAAACUCAAAGAGAGAAAACACGAGGCCAAUUACUUCCAGAUUCUCGCACGGAAAUAGUUCUGCACAUGAUGAGUUCAGUCACCAUCCCCUCUUUAGCCCAUCGAGCAUUAGGGUAACUAAAUUUUAGAAUAUAUAUAUAUAUAUAUAUAUAUAUAUAUAUAUAUAUAUAUAUAUAUAUAUAUAUAGUCCAGCUACUAUAUUCUUAUGAGUAUGUUCGUCUUCGUACUUAUAAAUCGUUUUCGAUGAUAGCGCAUCCGGAUCAACGAUCCAUGCCGUUAAAUAUUAUUUAGAGCAUUUGAAACUUGUAGAAACCAACUUUCAUAAUUCUUUGACAUCAUUUACUUUACGUUCAAAAGAUCUCAAAGUUGACAACUUUUAACAGCCGGUAUGGAAUAGUUACUAGUUUAACGGUGUAAAAAAAUCAAAAUCGAUUGAAUUUUUGAUAGAAAAUUCUAUUCACAUCUAGAUAAAAAUUAAUAACUCCGAUCUUAAAUUGAAGAAUCCGAUCCUCUAAUUUUUAGGAGGUCGUUCAAUUUUGACCGUUCAUUUUAUACCUGCUUGAUGGACUUAUUAUAAUUUUAAAAAUUAUGAAAUUUGGUUUCUUUCAAAUGCUCUAGAUUAUGCUUAACGGUAUGAAUCGUCGAUUCGGAAGCUCUAUCAUCGAAAACGACUUACGAGUAUGAAGGACUUUAUAUUCAUAAGAGUAUUGUAACCCUACUCAUGUGUGUGUGUGUGUGUAUAUAUUGUUGAUGCUACUAUCCUUUUAUAAGGACAUGAAUAGUAUAUAUUAUAGACUUUUCAGUCUUGGAUCCCCUCAAGUUUAUUAUUUGGUGGUUGUACUAGUAUGGAUCCAAAGGUCCAAAAGUCUAUAGUAGACACUAUUCAUAUCCUCUUAUGAGGAUAGUAGCUCAAACAUAAAAAAUAAUGAGGCUAUAAUACUUUUGAGAGUAAGGUGACAAUACUAUCUACUUUUUAGCCCUUGGAUGCCUAGGGUUUAGUGGUGGUAGGAAUAGUGUUGAUCUAAGGACCGGAAAGUUGAUAGUAAAUACUAUUCAUUUACUGAUAGUAUUCUAGGUAAACACCGAUCAAAAGGAUGCACCGCCACUGAGAUGAAUUGUAGGGGAUGGUUCUUCAUAUCCUCCUUUGUUGAUUACCUUUUAUUCCAUACACCUGGAACCGCUCCCUUUAGUUUUGGUCUGAACUACCCGAACUAGUCGCUUCCACAGUAACUAGUGCUUUUUUCAAAGAGGCAGAAAAAGGUUGCCUUAGACGAAAGAGUGGUUUUAAGAAAAGAGUCAAUGGGUUCUCAAAUUUCAAAUCUUUGAACACUGCUUCUCUCUCGAUCCUUCCCCCUCUAUAUAUAUAGAGAGAGAGAUAGAAAGAGAAAGGGUUUAGGGUUUAUACAAAUAGAGAGAGAGAAGAGAGAGUUUAGGGUGUAUAUAGAGAGAGAGUCCAACUAUUAUACUAUUAUGAGUACGAUCAAAUUCGUACUCAUAAGCCAUUUUCAAUUAAGGAUUUAAGUGUCGUGACACGGGUGGUGUCGAAAACUUGCCAGCACAGUGCAUGUCUGGCCGUGCCGAUGCAUGUCGAUCACAAAAAAUACAUAUGUAUCGACACAUAAUGGCAUGAAAUAUUUAUUUUCUUUAGCAACAAAAUAUUUUAAUUGCUUAUUAUGUAUCUUUAUCAAAUCUUUUGAACUUUAUUUAGAAAAUUACUUACUAAUUUAAAGAAUAGAGGGCUUUGAACUGUGCCAUUCGCACGAGGCUGCAUCGUGACGGUAUCUUAUUGACACGAUACGACAUGGUGGAUACAACCCGUGCCAAUGGGCACUUAAAUUCUUGUUUUCAAUUAUAGAGUUUCUAAAUCAACAUUCCACACCAUUAAACAUAAUUUAAAGCAUUUCUAUAUUCUAAAAAUCAAAUUUCACAAUUUUUUGAAAUUUGCCUUACGAUCAAAAAGCCUCAAAAUUGACAAUUUUAACGGCUGAUAAAAGGUGUUUCCUAGUUUAAUGGUGUAGAAGAAUUGAAAUCAAUUGAAUUUAUCGAUUGAAUUUUGGAUAGAAAAUUCUAUUCACUAUCUAGAUCAAAAUUAAUAACUCUGAUCUUAAAUUGAAUAAUCCAAUCCUCUAUCUUUAAUAGGUCGUUCUUUUGACCAUUCAUUUUAUACUCGUUUGAUGGACUUUAUUACAAUCUUGAAAAAUUACAUAUUCGAUUUCUAGGUACUUCAAAUUUUCUAGAUCAUGUUUAUCAGUAUGGAUUAACGAUUCUAAAAGUCUACCGUUGAAAACGACGAGUCCAGCUGGGGUAUCUUUAGAAGCACCAAGUCCUUGGUGCUAUCAACUAUUUUGCCCUUGGAUGAACCCUCUUGGCCAUGGAUCAUACACAAUAGGGGGCCCUAUUACUAGCCACCAUUGUUGACUUUUGAUCCAAUGGCCAAAGGCUUGAUCCAAGGGCCCAAAACUUAAAAGCACAAAGGACUUUGUGUGUCUAAAAGCAUUCCAGUGUGCAUGGCCACACAUACAUAAUGCGCGACGCGCAUGCAUGGCCGUACUACCACAUGAAUGUAUAUGCAUGGCUAUAUUGGUAAUCCAAGGGCCCAAAACUUAAAAGCACAAACGACUUGGUGUGUCUAAAAGCAUUCCCGCAUGCAUGGCCACACAUGCAUGAUGCGCAAUGCACAUGCAUGGCUGCAAUGCUAAUCCACAAAUUUUGAAACCUUACACGUCAACAUUUUAAUUCAUGGCCGUAUAAAUACUCAAUUUCGUCUUUUAGUGCAUGGUCAUGCUACCUAAGUUUGAAUGGCUUCUUUUGAUUGCCUCUGCAGCCAUGUAUGUGUGUCACGCAUCGCGCGUCACCCGCGCGCAACACACACUGCCCGCAUAUCGCAGAUGCACCGUCCAUGCGGCCUUGGCUGCCUAGGAUUUAGUGGUGGUAGGUGGAAUAGUAUUAAUCCAAGGGAAAGGUUUGAAAGUAAGCACUACUCAUUUACUAUUGAUAGUAUUCCGAGUAAUCUCUCUCUGAGAGAAAGUCUAGCUCUACUCAUUUAUUAUUAAUAGUAUUUCAACUAAACUCUCUCUCUAGAAAUAAAUAAAUAUAUAUAUAUAUAGGGGGGCGGGGAGAGUCUAGGUGGGGUGCUUUUAAAAGCCACCAAAAUCCUUGGUGCUAUUGACUUUUGGCCCUUGGAUCAACUCUCUUGACCCUGAAUCAUGCACAACAGGGGCUCCACUACUAGCCACCAUCGUUGAUUUUUCUAAUAACCAAAAGGCUUGAUCCAAGGGCCCAAAACUUAUAAAUACAAAGGACUUGGUGCUUUUAAAAGCAUUCCAAUGUGCAUGGCCACACAUGCACGAGGCGCGACGCACAUGCACGGCCGCAUUGCCACAUAGACGCACAUGCAUGGCCACAUUGCUAAUCCACAAUUUUUUUUUUGAAAUCUUACACACCAGACAUCUUAAUUCAUGGCCAUAUAAAUACUUUAGUUCAUAUUUUAGUGCAUAACCAUGCUAAUUAAUUUGAAUGACUUCUCUUGAUUGCAUGAGGAGCGCAAUGCGUGGGCAGCUCGAAUACGGUGUACGGCGCACCUACGGCAUAGGGUGAGUGCACCACACGCGGGCAAUGCGCAACGCACAUGUAAUCAGAAAAAGACACUCAAAACUUAGUUAGCAUAGCUAUACACUAACGGACGAAAUAAAGUAUCCAUAUGGCCGUAAAUUAAGAUAUGUGACGUGUAUAUUGUAUUGAGCUAGAAUACUUUUAUAAGCACUAAGUCCAUGGUGCUUAUAAGUUUUGGGCCCUUCAAUCAAAAGUCAACAAUGGUGGCUAGUGAUAGGCCCCUUAUUUUGCAUGAUCCAAGGGCCAAAAUGUUGAUAGCACCAAAAACUGUGUGCUUCUAAAAGCACCCCAGUAUGUAUGUGUGCGUGUGUGCAUAUAUAGAGUCCAACUAUGGUGCUUUUAAAUGCACCAAGAACUUGAUGGUUGUAAAUUUUCUGUUGUUAGAUUUGCCCUUUGACCAAUAUCACCACUUAGAUUAUAUUAUUCCACUAAUCACUCACUUAACCCUAGAGGACCACUAUUAUCCUAAUCCUACAAAUCUAAAUCCAAAGGCCGAAGACCUACAAGCACCAAUGACUAAAUGCUUUUAAAAGCAUAGGAGCUCAAUUCUAUAUAUAUAUAUAUAUGUAUAUGUAUAUAUAUAUAUGUAUAUAUAUAUAUGUAUAUAUAUAUAUGUAUAUAUAUAUGUAUAUGUAUAUAUAUGUAUAUGUAUAUAUAUGUAUAUAUAUAUAGAGAGAGAGAGAGAGUUGAGCAAGAAUGCUAUCGGUAGCAAACUGGCUCCGUUGCCGCCCAUUUGUUUUCGAUGAUUUCCAAAUCGACGAUCGGCACCGUUGAAAAUGAUCUAUACUACUUGAAGUAUCUAGAAAUUAAAUUUCAUGCUUUUCCAAUAUUGUUCUCUUGUCCAUCAAGUGGGUGUAAAAAUGAACAGCUGAAAAUGAAUAUCUUCUAAAAAGUGAUGAUAGAAAUUUUGUAAUCAAGAUCAAGAGUAUAGAUCUUGUUCUAAAUAGUUUAAAGAAUUUUCUAACCAAAAUUCAAUUGAUUUGGAUAGCUUUACACCAUUAAAUGAGAAAAUGCCUCGCAUCUACCACUAAAAUUACAAAUUUUGAAACCCUUUGAUCAUUAGGUCAACGAUGUCGAAAAAAUUUGAAAUUUGGUUUCUAGAUACUUCAAGUGGUAUUGAUCAUUUUCAACGGUACCGAUCGUCGAUUUGGAGGCUCCAUCAUCGAAAACAAAUGGGUGGCAACGGAGCUCGUUUGCUACCGAUAGCAUUCCAGCUCAUCUCUAUAUAUAUAUUGCCACCCAUUCCAGCUCAGCUCUAUAUAUAUAUAUAGAGCUAAGCUGGAAUGCUAUCGCUAUCAAACAGGCUUUGCCACCUAUUUGUUUUCGAUGAUAGAGCCUCCAAAUCGACGAUCGGUACCGUUGAAAAUGAUCAAUACCACUUGAAGUAUUUAGAAAUCAAAUUUCAUACUUAUUCGAUAUUGUUCUCUUAUCCAUUAAAUGGGCGUAAAAAUGAACGGCUGAAAAUGAAUAUCCUCUAAAAGGUGAUGAUAGAAAUUUUAUAAUCAAGAUCGAGAGUAUAGAUCUUGUUCUAAAUAGUUUAAAGAAUUUUCUAACCAAAGUUCAAUUGAUUUAAAUAGCUUUACACCGUUAAACGAGAAAACGCCUUAUAUCUACCAUUAAAAUUACAAAUUUUGAAACCCUUUGAUCAUUAGGUCAAUGAUGUCGAAAAGAUUUGAAAUUUGGUUUCUAGAUACUUCAAAUGGUAUAGAUCAUGUUCAACGGUAUCGAUCGUCGAUUUGAAGGCUCCAUCAUCGAAAACAAAUAGGUGGCAACAGAGCCGGUUUGCUACCGAUAGUAUUCCAGCUCAACUCUAUAUAUAUAUAUAUAUAAAAUAGUGGGCUAGAAUACUAUUGAUGGUAGAGCAAUAAUAUUUGCUAUCUACUUUUUAUCCCUUAGAUGCCUAGGGUUUACUAUUUGGUGGUGGUGCUAUUAGGUAAAAAGUUGAUAGUAAUACUAUAUCUACUUCAAUAGUAUUCCAGCAGGACUCUCUCUCUACAAAGUUGAUAGUAAAUACUAUUUAUCUUUUAUCUACUAUUAGUAGUAUUCCAGCAGGACUCUCUCUCUCCAACAGGCCUCUCUCUCUCUCUCUCUCUCUCUCUCUCUCUCUCUAUAUAUAUAUAUAUAUAUAUAUAUGUAGAGUAGAGCUACUAUACUCUAUUAAUUAUGAAGGUGUUCAUACUCAUAAAUUGUUUUCAAUGAUAGGGCUUCCGAAUCGACGAUCCAUGCAAUUAAACGUGAUCUAGAGCAUUUGAAAUACUUAGAAGCCGAAUUUCAUAGCUUUUUGAAUUUUAUUAAAGUCUAUUAAGGGGGUAUAAAAUAAAUGGCAAAAAUUGAACGACCUCCUCGAAAUAAAUGAUUGGAUUCUUCAAUCUAAGAUUGGGAUCAUUGAUCUUGAUCUAAAUAGUGAAUAGAAUUUUCUAUCAAAAAUUCAACCGAUUUUGAUUCUUCCACAAUGUUAAAUUAGGAAACAUUCCGUAUAACGAAUGUACAGAUACAGUUCCAACCUACAUUAGACGGCUGUAUCAACCCAAGCCAAGCUCUAGUCUAUCAGGUUAUUCCAAUAUUGCGCCCAUGAUGGUCCAUGAGAUAAUGCCUAUAAUAAUAUCUAAAGUGCAUAAAACGAAAGAUUCUUAUGUACUGCCAAAUAUACAUCCUAAAAGGGGUUCACGGCAGCAUUUCACAAUAAACGCAAAGUGGGCCCACCUAGAAUCAGAUCUAAGCAUGUUUGGCUUUCCUGAACAGAAACCAACUAAUUCCACUAAAACCAGUCACUAUAGCUUCUUGGCUAGCACAUAGUGGUGGCAAUUGGCUAGGACCUAUAGUUUCUGAGUGCAAUCUGAGAACUGCUUAUACGAAUUGCCUAUAAACUGAUUUUCCAAAAGAAGGAAAAUAAAGAAAGAAAAAGACAAACAAACUCAUUCUACUACGAGGCUACCAUGGUUGCAUAACAUUUUGAGCAUUAAAUACACAAAACUGUGAUCCCUUUGGUCAUUUGGGUUUGUAUUGGAACAACACACUCUCAAAACCUUUAGACAUAGCAUCGAACCUACACCAGCUGGUCUACUUACUGACAGGUCAAUUUUUCAUGACCAGACCUGCCUAUUUGGUAGUGUUGCUCUAAACCUAACCAAAUCAACAGUUAGGCUUGUUGAGUUUCAUAAAUAGGAUAAAACUUAGAAACAUUUUCACAUUUUCAUGGUCAUUUGGCUCGGGUAGUUGAGCCACUAAGCAACAAUGUCAAACUCUUUGACCUUGUUUCAGACCUAUACUACCCUGUAGAGGGCUAAUAUUUCAUGAACUAAACAUGUCAAUUUUUCAUGACCAGACCUGGCUAUUUGGUAGUGCUGAUCCGAAUCUGACAAAAUCAACAAUCAGGCUUGUUGAGUUUCAUAAAUAGGUUACACCUGCACCUUAGAAACAUUUUCACAUUGCUGCCCAUUCGGCUCGAGUAGUUGAGCCACUGAGCAACAAUGUCAGAAUCUUUUGACUUUGUUUCAAACCUAAACUACCUUGUAGAGGAUCAAUAUAUGUAAGGUCACAAAGGUUAGAUUGAAUUGGACUAGGAUCAACAUCAUCACGCCUACAAGCAUCCCAGUGUGUAAAAAAGUCACUAAUAUUCAUCUCACCAGCGUAAUGUCAUUACUCCUCUACACCAGUGUAAUAAGGCAAAGGACCCCUAAGUCAUACUAAUCUCUUGUAGCAACUCAUUAGGAGGUUUGAAGAUAAGAGCUGCUACACUGAAUGUUCUAAAUGUUAGUUCACCUGUACAAGCAUAGUUCGACUAGAAAAGCACUCAGGGUUUAGGCUUAUCUAAAAUUUAAAUAUUCCCUAUGCCAACCUCCAAGUUCAAACUUUCUUAAAGGCCCUGCAUCAAAUGGAUCCUGAGCACCAGAUUUAAAAAGUUUACAAAACUAUUAGAAGGAGAGCAAGUAACCUAUCAGAUAAAUCAUUUCAUAAACUUAUUUAUCAAUCAAAUAAUGUAAUGGCGUCAUUCAACACAAAGGACACAAAAGGGGACUUGGUUGAAAAAACUGGAUAGAUGACUACCACAACUUUGUUUUUCAUGCUUAUGUAGUGAAUAGGUUAACGAUCGAGGUUUUACUUAGAGGUUUCCCAAGCAGAUGAGUUUUAUUUGACUUAGUUCAUUUAAACUUGAUGCAUAAUUAUCUUUACAAUAGAGAGUAUAGUGAUUAUUCAGAUUUUGUCUUACAUUAAUAUAUUUGUGUUUCUUCUCAAUCUCCUUCACCAAGAGGAACCAAACUUUUCACUGAAUUAAAUUGCUAUAGCCACUCGUCUGCCAUAAGGCACUAACCACACUCCUUAUACCUUCCUAUCUGUAUACAAUUAGGCUAACAAAAUUAAAAAGAAAAAAAAGGUAAAAAGACAAAACUUACUACAUUUAGACCCAAGAUACAGUUUUUUUGUUUAAGUUCUACUUGUAGCCUCUUCCUCUUGCAUUUGGCCUGGAAUUCAACAAAAUAUUCUAAUAUCCAGGACUUUGAGAUCAAUAUAAUAGCCAAAACAAACUCCCAGACCCAGUCAUUUGGAGCCUCUAGACUUCUGAUUUCUGCUCAGUCAAAGACCAUUUUUUUAUGAAAAUGUUUGGAUGAUGCUUACAAGAAGGUACCACAGGAAACGUCUACGUCUUGAAUUCAUACCAUGAAAGAUUUAACAGUAGACCCUAGUAGUUUAGAUUUGUUAAAACCUUUACUCAGGAUCAACUGCCAUCUACUGUGCAAGUACAGCCCCUCUUUUAAUAUAGACCAUAAUAAGACCAAACUGUCUAGACUUAUGGGCUACAGUUGGGUAUUACCAUUCUUAUUAGGCAAUGAAAUAUUAUUCCAGGCAAUAAGAGGCUCACUGUGCAACAGGGAAGAAAGGUUAAGAACCUAAUAGCACUGUUGGGAGAUACAUAGCAAGCUGGUUCACAAAGGAGGUAGAUGUCAUCUCAAAUGCCAAUCACUAUAGGAACUCUGAGGCAAUAUUAAUGGGCAAUAUAAUUAUUUGGUCUAUGAACAACCAUAUUAUCUCCUAUUAUAGGUUGGAUUAAGAAUGGCAAGAGGUAGAGAUGGAACGCAUCUAAUGAAGAUUGGCCAAUGAGAAUGACGGAAAAGUCGAUAAUUAUGAAAGUACAAAAUAUGAGCUUUGGGAUUUUUUUAUGAUCACAUGAAAGUAGUUGUUUGAAGUUCGUUUUGGCACUUAUUUUUCUCCUCAAGUAUUAGUAGCGAAAUGAUGAACUAGUAAUCGUCAUAAAGAGAACCGGUAAAAGCCAUAAGAGAUAACAAUAAGCUAUUUAAAGUCAUAAGAGAUAAUCGCAUGCUUUGCUACUGAUCAAUUUAGUCUCUAUUAUGUUAUUGCCAUGAGCAGCAAAUUUCACAUUUGAUUUGGACACAGAAAGGCAGAUAUUGCUGUGGUUUUUGAAAAACUAAGUCAACGCUGAAAUAUAUUAUCUGCUAAAGAACCUAGCUAUGCGUAGUUUGGAGAUCCCUCCAUCAAUGGACUAGCUAACUGCUUGAAUAACCUUGGAGUAGCUCGGCCUGUAAACAAUUCCAUAAUAAAACUCGAUUUGUACCCCUCAAUGAGAGAAAAAAGGAUCAUUAAGCAUCAAAGCUAAAGGCAAUAUACCUAGUUCCUUCUGGGCAUUAUAUCCAUUCACAUCUACUACUCAUCUAUUUAUCAUGUCAGUAUCCCCUGAAAAUGGCACAAUUAAAUUUACUCAACUCCCCUCCUAACAACUAUGUAAAACCAUCCAAUCUAGAAGUUGUGCUAAAUCAACAACCGUGAAUAUAAAUGUUGAGUACCUUUCUCAGUUUCUUUUUAUUUUGAGAUAUUACUUCAUCCCAACCUCAUUGCCAUAAGUUUGAAUCACGGAAACAGUCUCAAUGUACAUAGGAUUAAGGCUUUACGCUACUCUGCAAAUCUAUCGUUGCAAGAGUGAUCAGUUUUUGUGCUGCCUUAAUUCUCCUAACUGCCCAACACCAAGUGUGGUAGGGAUUGUAGCUUUGCCAUCUCAUUAAAUCAAUAGUUUCUUAAACUUAGGAUAUGCGAUGAGUCAUUAGCUUAAUAGAAGUCUCAAUGAUUUUGUCUACAGCUCCUUUUCUAUACCUUCAAGUCCUAGAACUAGUUAACCAAUAUCUAUCACAGCUAACAUAACUCCGUGGAUACCUACAAUUUUGGGUAGCACGCGGUCUCAAGGCAACAAAAAGGAAAAGUAGUUUAUAUAUAUUAUUCUCAAGAUAGCUAAAAUACUACUAGAAUUUCAUGAAAUUAAGUUGUGCAAUCUCACUAACAAAAAAUGCAUCAAAAAUGGCUUCUCCUGCUGGCAGUAGAAGACAGAUAAAUUGACUAGAUAAAUUGACUAGAUAAAUUGACUAUCUAAAUUUCCACUCACUUCCACCACAAGCAAAUAUUUGGUGUGCUAUGCUAAGCACAAGAAGAUAAAAGAAGUUCACUAGCUAAAUUUCCAAUCACUUCCGACACAAGAAAUACGACUUUGUAGAAUGCAUGAUUUGCCUUUAGUUGCCCAUGUCAGUGUUAAUUUUCAUGGCAGCUGUUGUAUUUAGCAGAUUACUUGUUGCUAAAAUUUUUGUUGAACAAAAUAGUACAGGUUGUAAACAACGCUAAGGAGAACAUAAUACUUACAGGACCACAGGGACAACGGUCAAAAACUUUCUAUUCCGAGUUAGUUGCUUGCCAUUGUCCAUCUGCUCCCACCAAGUCAGAGUAUUGUAGAUACCCUGGUCUUCAGCAAAGGGAGUUCCCUUCUUCCAGUGGAAAAAGUGAUAGGUAACCUGAAUCAUAAUCAAAUAUGCAGAAAGAAAAGAGAUCAAGAAAAGAGAACUCAAUCAAAGAAAGCCUCGGAAAUUAUAGAAUACGAAUGUUCUAUUGGUGUAUUAAAUUUUGAAACGAAGAAAGUUACUAAAGAAAAGCAUAUGCUGUCUAUUUUGAACUCUGCUAGAACUAAAUUAUGCUAUAUUUAAGCCCCAACACCACAAUUCUCAGUUAAGGGGAUAACCAAAUUUGAAUAAUCCCCCUUAGCCAAAAAUGUCCAACCUCACAUAUGAAAGCUUCAUUUAUUUUUUUGACAAUGAAAAAGUUAAGCUUGUCAGACAAUGAAAGCUUGCUUAAGUUCCACUAUAGCACAUAAUCACAAGUUCUGAUCAUGCUUGAGAAGUGAGAACUCAUAUAUUUAGUUUGACUUAUUUAGGGGUCAUCGAUUGUCAUGAUUCUUGUGUAUCAUCCACGCCGUCAGAAGAAACUUGGUAAACAACAAAGUUUCAUAUUGAUCAAAAAAACAAAAGAGGAAUACUAAAUCCCAGAUUCCAAAACAAGAUGAUCUUAAGUAAUAGUAUGCAGGUUCUUCUCGUUGUAGUCCAUUGUUUACAAGAGAAGCUACCAAGAGUUAACAAACAACCUUCUCCAUGCUUGGUAGCAAUUGGACCAAACAAUUAUAGUAAUAAAACAUAAGAAGAAUGAAACUUUCCUAGCAGAGAGAACGUGCGCAACUCGAUAGCAGUGAAAUUCAGCGAUGUAGCUAUCAAAUCGAACCCAAGAAAGGAAAGCCUAGAGAAACAAAAAUGACCACUUCAGCUAUCCUUAAAUCAAAAUCCCAAUAAACAGCAAUCCCCGAUUAAACCCUAGCAAUUAAGCAGCAAAACGAAGGAAAAAGCACACACACAUUUCAGGUGCAUAUUCCUCUUUAGUUGCAAAGCCCGAAACUUUGAAACACUCAGAUUCGUGAGUUAUCUAAUUGAAAUCACAAAGCUCUACAGAUCAAAAGAAGAACAAAAACUAACGCACUCAAAGUUCCCACCUUUUCGUCCUAGCUUGACCCUAGUCCCACGAUACCAAAUCUCUAACCUAACAAAAUCGAAGAUUGGAACCAAACAACCAUCGAAUCGACACCAAUCGGGGCAUCUCCGAUCGAGCCAAAGAGGGGGCUUUUACCGCGAAGUGGAAGAGGUUGACGACGGUCCACGCCAUCCCGGGGGUGCACCCGAAGACCGAGAGCACGAUGAGCCAGGAGAAGAAGAGGAUGAGGAUGUAGGUGGUCCACACGCCCGGGUACAUGAACCACUCCGUGUUCUUGUUCAGAUCCGGUGGGGGCGCCGUUUGCACGUAUAGCUUCGCCAUGGAUGGGCUCAAUUCGCCUCCUUCUCCUCCUCCUCGUCGUCCUCGUCCCCCCCUCCUCCGCUCUGAGCCUUUCUCCUCCUCCGUUCGAAGCUAGGGCUUCUUCAAAUGGCGAAGUACGCGAGAGAGAGAGAGACAAGGGGGGAGAGUUUGGAAUUUAUAGGGAUCGGGGAAAGAGGGGAGAAGAGUUCAGAGAGGGGGAAGAGAGAGAGAGAGAGAGAGAGAGAGAGAGAGAAAGAGACGCGGGGCUUUUACUCUUCUAGAGGGCGUCGAUUGGAUCAAAAAAUAAAAAAAAAGGGGAAACUUUAAAUUCUACCCUCUGAUUUUACACUUUUCCAUUUUGGUAUCUUAUAAUUUAAAAGUGUAAUUAAUACCUUUGAUUUUAUUUUAAUCAUUUUAUUAUUUCUUUUACUAAUUUUUUUAUUAAAUUAGUGACAAAAUUAAAACCCAAAAAUACUAAAGUGAAUAUUCGAUAAAUUUAAAUAGGGUAUUUGAAGUUUUUUAUAUAUAAUUUAACUAAAUGUUAACAGAGAAGCUGACGAAAAAAAGAAAAAUAAAACCACUAUGUACUAAAUUAAUACAUUUUAAACUAUAGGAUACUAAAUUGAGAAAGUGCGAAAUCACAGGAAUGGUAUUUGAGGUUUGCUAAAAAAAAAUUUUUUUUUAUUAUCACUAUUAGUGUUUUUUUUUAACUUUAAAGGUUUUUUAUUUUUUAUAUUGUAUUAUUUCUUUUUUUCAAAUGCCACAUUUAUUUAUUCUUUUUUUUUCCUCCUCAGUUCCUGCACAAGAAGUAAUAAACCUACAAUUUUCUAUAAAAACUACUAAAAAUUACUAGGUAAAAAUAGCAGAACAUAUAUUCAAUUUAUUUUGAUAAAAAAUAAUAAAAUAUAUAAAAUAAUAUAAAAUUAAUUAAAAUUAAUUGAAUAGAAACUUUUAAUGAGUCUAGCAUAAAGAUUUAUUUUAUAUUUUUCUACUAUUUAAUCAAUAUCGUUUAAAUAGUCCUUAGAUUUUGUCUUAAAUAAUAAAUUGAAUAACAGUAAUGCAGAAAAAAUCUAAGGACUAUUUAAACGAUAUUGAUUAAAUAGUAGAAAAAUAUAAAAUAAAUCUAAAAUACAAUACGUAGAUUGAUAAAAAUAAUAAUACGAUGGUGUUUCUCAAAAAAAAAAAAAAAGAAAGACAUAAUGUAGUGAAUAAAAAUAAUACUAAAGUACCGUGCAUUAGAGUAUAAUUAAACCUUUUUUUUUGUUUAAAUUACACUAUUGAUCUUCAAGCUAUAAUUGAAUAAAAUUUUCGUUCUCAAAUUUUAAUUUAUUAUUUUUUAAUUUAAUUUUUUUAAAUUAUUAUAAUUAAGUCAUACAAUCUAAUUAGUUAAUUAGAUACUGAUGUAUCAUUGAUAUGGCACUUAACUAUUGCAACGCUAUCAAUUAUAAAUAAACGAAGAAACGAUUCAAAAAAAAGAAAAGUCUAAUUCAAAAGAGAAAAGUAACAGUCAAAAAAAAGAAGGAAAGCAAGCAUAAAAAAACCCACAUCCUACUAUGAAGGUUGGUCUACCACGUGGAUUAGUUUUUGAGGUUUAAUACAGGGUUAAAUUAUUAUAAUUAAGUCAUACAGUCUAAUUAGUUAAUUAGAUAUUAAUGUAUCAUUGAUAUGACACUUAACUAUUGCAACCCUAUCAAUUAUAAAUCAACGAAGAAACGGCUCAAGAAAAGAAAAAGUAACAGCUCAAGAAAAGAAAAAGUCCAAUUCAAAAGAGAAAAGUAACAAUCAAAAUACUAAUUCCUUUCGGUUCAUAAUGAGAUGAGAAUAGUUCAAUUUUUAUUCUAUGUAUUAUUCCCCUUAGGACUAUUCGUAGAAGGGAGGAGCCGUAUUACUGAGGAACGUCUUUAUCAGAACAUUUUUGCUUCUCACUUUGGACAGUUAGCAAUAAUCUUUCUGUGGACGUCAGGAAAUCUGUUUCAUGUGGCUUGGCAAGGAAAUUUUGAGUCAUGGAUACAGGACCCUUUACAUGUAAGACCAAUUGCUCAUGCAAUUUGGGAUCCUCAUUUUGGUCAACCAGCUAUAAAAGAAAAGCCAACAUAAAAGAACCCACAUCAGGUUUAAUGUAGGGUUAUAGAUUAUAGAUAUGUUACAACACUAUCAAAUCAAUGCUCCAUCAAUAUUUAGUUAAUUAAAUUACACAUUAGGAAUCAACUGUUCCUAGAGCAAGUGGCAAAGGGCUUGGUGGUUGGUACCCGAAACCCAAGUUCGAAUUCUAGUUGAUUCACAUUUCCAGCUAAGUUUAUUUCUAAAUAAAAUAAACGAAGCAGAUAGCGUGCUAUCUAUCUCUCAAAAAAAAAGUAUAUCUUAUACCCCUCACCAUAUGGUUUAAAAUUUUUUAAAAUUUUCAAUAUUUAAAAUCUGUAAAAUUUUAAUAAUAAGACAAGAAUCCAGGUAUAGACACUUGAAUAAGAGGGAAUAAGAUGUACAUCAGGGUUAAAUAACAAAAUCACCCUUGUACUUUUGCUAAUUAUCUGAAAUAUCCUUUACAUGGUAUUUUACUUCAAUGCACAUUAUUUUUGUGUCAAAUAAAUCAAAAAAAUUUGAUGGUGAAUGUAAAACUCUACACGGAAAUGAGUUGUUUAAUGAGGAUUAUAGUUUCAAUAAAGAGGCAAUUGCUUAUAUAUCUCUGCGAAGUUUCCGACUUUCUGAUUUAUCCCUCUCAGAAGGUUAAUAUUGACAAUACCUUUUUUACGUUUCAACUAUUUCAAAUAUACUCCUAGAGUUAAAUUCCGUUAAUGAAUUGUUAGCAAUAACUGUUAUCUAUAUGAAAUUACUAUUUUGCCCUUUCAAAUAUACCCUUCUAUCAUCACCGACUUUUCUUAUUUGCCCUUAGGUUAGGGGUACAAAAAGUAUUUUGUUUUUUGAUCUUUUCAAAUGUACUCUUCUACCAUUACCAACAUUUCUUAUUUGUCCUUAAGUUAAGGACAAAAGUGACAUUUUAAUUUUUUUUAACUGUGAUAGAUAUUUAACUCACGUUUAACUCAAGUUAACUUAACGGGUGGUAACUGCAGGGGUAUUUUGGAAUAACGAGGAACAUUUGAGGGGCAUAUUGGAAAGAAAAAAAAAAAGUAAGGGUAAAUGAAAUAUUUUCGAAGUUUUAAGGGUUAUAUAGGUAAUUAUCCUAUUUUUUUUAUUAGUUUUUUUAUUUUUAGGGUAUUUUUGGCUCGUGAUAUUUGUUAAGAUUUCACAAAAUAAGUUUUCCCCUGGUUUAUUAUGAGAAGUGGUCAUAGCAUAAAUUUAUGAUUCGCAAGCAUAUUCUAAUUCCACAAUAUAUGAAGAUGUGGGGUACACCUCCUCUCUUGUGUAUUUAUUAUUCUCCUAAAAGUUUAAUUUUAAUAUUGCAAUAUGACCCCUUGAACUUUUGUAAAUAGGUGCUUAGUGAUUUUGAUAAUUAGAUUCUGUAAACUUAUAUUAAAUAAGUAAUUUUGAUAAUUAAAUUUUAUAAAAUUAUAUUAAAUAAUUCAACGAACCCUUUUCCUCAAUCAAAGUUAUUAAUUAAACAACCAUUUUAAUCACUUGCAUUUCAUAUAAUCUUCUAACGCUUUGAAACACAAAAAAAUAAUACCUUUUUAUUCUAACAUAUGAAAAAAGUAAUAAAAACUAAAGAUAGAUUUUCUCUGUUCUUCAAUUCCGAUGGUUAAUUAUCAUUACUAGAAAAUUAAAUAAAUUCUUUGUGUUUUGAGUUAUGCAAAAUUAUAUACAAGAUAUGAGAUCAAAAUGGCUAUUGAAUUAGUGAUUUAGAUGGAGGAAAGGAGUUUAUUAAAUAAUAUAAUAAAUUUUAGAAAAACGUCGCUAAAAUAAUAUAUUUAGAUGCGUAUUCACAAAAAUAAUAUAUUUAGAUGCGUAUAACGGCAAAAAGUUCUAAUGGUUUGAAUUUCCAACUCGAAAAAUAUUAUAUGCAAAUACAUAAUCUUUUGGGUUAGGAAUGAAAUAGUGGUAAGUUUACUUUAUUCUACUCCUUUACUUCUAUAUCUCUUGUUAAAUUUUUAUAUUUUUAUAUAUUAUUUAAUACUUUUGACUUAUAUCCAGCAAAAUAUGACUGGUCAACUGAGUAAGUGAACUAGUGAUAUGCUCAUUUAUUGAAUGAACAAGUUGAGUUUAAAUUAAUUUCGAGUCGAACAUAAAUUGACUCAUGAACAAUAAACUGAGUUGACGAUAAAUGCUAUCUACAACACUGACCGUCCCUAGCGCAAGUGACAAAAGGGUUUAAUGGUUGGUACCCAAGGCCCAACUUCGAAUCCUAGUUGAUUCGCAUUUUCAGAUGAAAUAAACGAAGCGCCAUUUGAAGCAAAAUUUUUUAAUAGUAUUUUGUUGCAUUAUUUCUUUUAAUUUAUGGUGUGUGGAAUCAACCACUACUAAGUAAACGUACAGCUAAACAUCGUAGAUUAUAACGAUGCAUUAUUAGCUAGCAUCGUUAAAGAGAAUAUAUAAAGAGGAAUUAAGUGUCAAACCAUAUAUAGUUUCUACAUCAGCAAGAGUUUUAAGUGCUCUAAAUUAAUGGAGCAUUUUGUAGAACAUCCAAAGCACAUCAUAUAUAACUGGCAUAUAUUAAUGUGAACUUCUCUAUACUCAUAGAAGGUGACUAGGAUACUUUUGUAUUUUGUGAUAGUUCGUUUAUUUUAUAAUCAAAACGCAUGGUAGCCCAUGAUCGAUCUUUCAAAAUGUUAUUAUAUAAUUUGGAACUUCUUCGUCCUUGAAUUUAUUAACCCUGAUACCGAGAGGAUUUAUUACUUGCUCUGAUACUAUGUUAUCAAUAAGGAACGAUUUAAUAUAGUCUUAAUAGAACUAUGCGUAAAAUUUUACAUUCAUAUGUUGUGAAAUCUACUUAAAUACAUGUGUUGGGCAAGCUGUUUGUUCCGGUUUCAAAAACCACCAAAUUAAAGACCUAAAGAAAGUUUGAAUAUUGUUUUUGUCUCUUUUUUAUUUUCUAAUUCUCUCAAAUUACUUAGGUAUCUGGUUUAUCGAAAAGCAUGAAAUAGUGUUUUCCGAACUGAAAAAACUAAUUUUUUCAUAGAAUCUAAAAAAAAAAAAAAAAAAAAAAAAAAAAGAAAACUAGAAAAGUACUCUUUUUUAGAAACCAAACAGACUGUAAAUACUUUUCAAGUAAAAAAAAAACUACUUUUUGGGAUAUUUUUCGAAAAAGCAAACACCCCCAACUAGUAUGAUAUGUAGAAAUUAGUAGGAGUAAUAAGUAAGUUUGAAAAUAAGUUUGAAAAUGGGGAAAAGAAAUUGACCCAGAUUGGUGCCAGUUGUGUUAUUGUGAGCAAAUGUUGAAUUCAACAAAUUCAUAUGUUGUUGUUUUUAAGGAUGGUACUGGAUGAUGUGGUUUUAGCUUUUGGGACUUUGUUUUUGUUUGUCUUAGCUUGGAAUUGAAAGCUACUGGAAUUGGUGGAUUCAAAAUGAAAGCUAGAAGAUUGGGUGUUAUCAUUUGUAUCUUACUUAACUUGACAUUUUUUUGUUUAAUCCUAUUAUUUUGAUAUUCGAUAUUGUUGAACUAAUUACAUUAGGCUUAUUUGUUAUUUAGAUUUUAUUGUUCGGGCCACGUAAUUUUGGUAAAGUCAAAUCUUCUAUUUCUGUAUUUUCUUACUGUGUUUUGUGAGUCUUCUACUUAUAAGUCUUUAGAUCGAGAUUCUUUUGAUCCAAAAGUUCAUAUUUGAUAUUCCUUUAUCUCAGGGCUAAAGUGUGGUGAUUAGAAUAAUAGAGAAGAGAAGAGAACCAGAAAGUGAGAAAAUAGGUGGGAGAAAAUAGAGAAAACCUAAAGCUUAUUUUAACCAUAGUACUAUCAAGAAGCAGAUGGGAUCUUUCUUAUAAGGUAUGGUUUACAUUAUUUGGAUAGAGUUAAAGAUUGUUGGAGCUUUCUUUAUAUCUUGGAGUGAAGGUGAUAUUUCUUCCAUUUGUAUCUCUUUUGUAAUAUUUAAGUUUUAUAGAAGAAGCUUCUUUUGCAUUGUUCUUUCGUGCAUGUAGGUAUAGCCGAACCACGUAAAUCCUUAUGUUCUUAUGAUUUUUUUAAUUUUGUUACUGCUCUUGUGUUUAGCUCUCAAUUAGAUAUGUAUAGAGUGUGGUUGUGAAAUUACCGACCAAAUAUUUAUGAAAUUGCCAUCAAUAUUUGUUACCCUCAUUUUACAACAGAUUUGUAUCAUUAUAUGGGAUCAUAAAAGUUGUUGUAUUAGCCUGAUUUAACAAAUGAGCAAUUUUAUGCCUGCUGAAACAAUUUUACGACAGUAUACGAGCAUAAUAAGACAGAAAGUUUUGAUGGUAAUUAAGUUAUGAAUUGGACGGUGUAAUUUACAGAUAAAAUUAUAAUUAGAAGAACUAAAAUGAACUAAUAAAAAUUUGCCAUAUUAGUGUAUGUUAAUGUUGUAAACCAAUUUUCUAGCUUUUAGCCAAGUUUUUCUAGUUCCAUACUAAAUAUGCCAAACUUGAAUUGUUUACACCUGAUCCAACUUACAUACUAUAAAUUUCUUUGAGUGAAUAAAAAAUGGCAACAUUCUAGGUAAUUUCUAAAUAGUGAGUGUACCAAAAUGUGGUUUUUUUUAUAAUCAUGAAAAUAUACCUAUCUUAGAUGUUCAUUCAUCAAAGUUUGAAUCAGGAAGAUCCAAGAUACAUUAAAGCAGCUUUUAGUGGAAGUCCAAUUUGAGCUUAUUAAUCCUUGAAUCAAAUACCAUAUGAUGGAUUUAAUUAGUAUGAAUUAACUGAAUGGAUCCAACUGAAUCUAACUCACAAUUUCUUAAAAGAUAUACAAGUUAUAUAAAGUGCCCAAUAAAAGCUACCCACUUCCUAAAACCCUACCAUUAUAAUUCCCAACUUAUGCGAUUUUCUUUUUUGAGAAAAAGUAGCAAGCUACCUGCUUCAUUCAUUAGGCAAAAUGAACUAAGCAAAUAGGAUGAAAGCAGCCGGGGCUUCCUUAAAAAAGAUACACUAAAAGGAGACAAAAAAGAGAUAAAAAAGGAAAGAAAAAUAAAGCAAAGAAGGGACGAGCGGCGGAGAAAAAGGGAAAAGGGACGGAUGACGGAGGGAUAGGGAUCAGGCGAUCAAAGAAUGUCGUUCAAAGAGGCUAGCAGGAGUUUGAUGCGCUCAACCGACCGAGAAGGGUUGAGGAGUUUAGCUCGGAAGAUAAUAUGAUUCCUUUCUGUCCAGACGACCCACCAGGUUGCCGCUAAAAGGGUUAAACCUUUAGUUCUCUUUGAAGCAUCGCUAAUGUUAGUUAUCCUUAAACAGAGAACGCGGACGUCGUCGAGGAACUCCGUGAGGACUUCCGAACUGUCCGCGCAUAGGAAAAGGUAUCUAAUAAAAACGCAAUUGCAUAAUAGGUGAUCACAACUUUCCGUGUUAAGAGCACAGAACACACAGUUUUGAUCCACCCAUCGGCCUCAAUCAAUCAGUCUAUCGGCCAUAAGAAUUCUUUUGCGAAGAAGUAGCCAAAUAAACACUUUAAUUUUAGCAGGGGAUUUCAGUCCCCAGAUGAAGGCACUCGUCGAGUCUCUCUGUCCAGCAUCAGUGAGAAACGUAUAAGUGGAUUUAACGGUGAAUAGUUGAUUCGAGGUCCAGUGCCAGUUAACCGAAUCUGGUGAAUUACUAGGGCUGAAGGGUUGAAGUAGGGCCAUAAGCGAUGUCAAUAGUCUGCGAUUAUGUGCUGAUAGAGACGCCAUAAAACCUCUGCAAAUGAAACGCCAUCUCCAGCCAAUUGGAUCCCAGCAUUGAGACAAUGUAACCUCCUUGCUCCGUAAGCUAUCGAAAAUAGCCGGGAACAUGGUUCUCAAAGGGGUUUCUCCAAACCAAAUGUCUGACCACAUCCUGAUGAUUCUUCUGUCUCCAAGCAUAUAGGAAACGCCACAUUUGAACACAUCUCGGCAACGUAACAUGGUUUUCCACCAUUGCGAAUACGGGACGACGGCUCCGCCUUCGAGUAAAGGUCUCCGUCUCUUGUAGUUUAGAUGUCUAACCAACUUGUUUUAGUGCAACGACGGCUCAUUAAUGAACGGCCACCACCACUUGGUUAGAAGAGCCAAAUUCAUCGAUUCCAUUUCUUUGAUUCCUAGCCCCCCUUCUAUUUUGCUUUUGCAGACAUUUUUCCAGCUGACAAGGCAAGCACCCCCGGUGACUUUAGAGCAGCCUUUCCAGAAGAAAGCUCUUCUCAGGGUUUCAAUCCGGUGCAAAACCCAUUGAGGCACUUUGAAUAUGGAGAGAUAGAAAAGCGGUAAAUUCGUAAAGACCGAGUUGACAAGAGUAAGCCUACCCUCUUGGGAGAGUAGUUUAGCCUUCCAACCUUUGAUUCUAGUCUUAAUAUGAUUGAUAACCAAAGCCUAGUCCUCCUUUUGAAGUUGCUUAUUAAAGAGAGGUAGACCCAAGUAGCGAAAGGGAAGAUUACCUACCUUACAUCCCAGGAUAUUAGCUAAUCUAACGGCUUUGUGUGGAUUGGAUCCCAAAUAGUACAAUUCUAAUUUGUUCAUGUUGAUUCUGAGUCCAAAUGCCCAUUCGAAGAUUUUCUAAAGGAAGCGCAGGUUUCGCAUGAUAGAUUUUCUAGGUUUGCAAAAGAAGAUCGUAUGCGUACUGAAUAAGGAUCGUGUGGCAAUCAGCUGACGACCCGAUUCCGAAUAAUAACUCAUUACUCCUGGCAGCCUUAGUCAGCCUGGCGAGGCAGUCAGCUACCAAUAGAAAAAGAUAAGGAGAAAAGGGGUCACCUUGUCUAAGGCCUUUUCUAGCUUUCAACCAUUUAGUCGGGGUCUCAUUCACUAGGAUGGCCACUUUAGCGUUACAGAUGCACCUUCGAUCCAAGACCACCAUUUGUCACCGAGACUUAUCCACUGCACAAUAUUCUUUAGAAAGGACCACCUCACACUGUCAAAGGCUUUUUUCAAAGUCGAUCUGCCUUGAUACUCACGCAUUCCUUUCCUGUUUUAGAACACUAAGCAACUAACUCGCAAACAGUGACGAAGGAGUCUGCCAGCAGACGAUCUUUAAGGAAGGCCGAUUGCACGGGAUUAAUAAUGUCAAGAAAAAUACAAGCCAACCUGUUCGCAAGAACUUUGGAUAUGAUUUUUUGAAUACCGUUCAGAAAGCUAAUCGAGCGAAAGUCGUUAACCCGACACGCUCCCUCGUUUUUGGGAAUGAGACAAACAAAAGAGUAGUCUGAAGGACCAGGGAAGAGUUUGCCAUCCUGGAGGUCGAUGAAGAAUUUGAAGAUAUCAUCCUUGACCAUUUCCUGGAAAGUUUGAAAGAAGAUAAGUGGAAAGCCAUCUAGCCUAGGGGCUUUGUCACUUCCCAAUUGAAAGGUCGCGGUUUUAGCUUCCUCGAGGGUGAACGGGGACGUGAGAGCGUCAGGCCUAAGCACUCAGUUAGAUCGGUAGAGCCCACUCAACUCUCCCUGCGACAAUCGUGUCUCGGGAUAGUCGAAUAGUCGUUUAAGAUUUUGGAAAAAGUAGGAUCUUAUAUGAUCUUUGUUAUUAAUUUGUCUUCCAGCGUCGUCUUCAAUAAAUUCAAUUCGUGUUGACACAUUUACGACCGUUGGCUUUCGAAGUUAGAAAGUGUGGUUGAGUACAUUUAUUAUGCAAAAAGACAUAAUAGCUAGCUUCUCUGUUAAGAUCCCUUAAUAGCUACAUUAAGAACACGGAUAGGAGUUUUAAAUUAAAAUUUUCACUUUUAAAUUGUUAAAUUUUCUAAUUUCCUACUUUGAUUAGAUUAUAGUACUUCAGUUUUUUAAAUUGAUUUUUUUUCUUUUUUUUUCUAUUCUUUUUUGUUGAUUUGCCGAGCUGAAUUAGCUUGUCGAAUUAGCAAAGGCCGCUAGAUGGAGGGGGCCCACCAUGUAAAUAACGUGGGGCUCUCUAUCGUGCGAUUUUGUUUGGUGAGGAUUAGGACAACCUCUUUAUAAUUAAUUACUAGGACUACUAUUACAUUUCUCAAAUUGAAAAGUUGUUUUUAGAAUUGACCCAUAUAUGACAUUUUCUAACUUGAAAAGUAUUCACUUAUUCGCUUUACAUGCCGGUCUUCUUCUUUGGUUUGUAAUAAGAGACUUCCGAGAUGAUUCUGAACUUUUUUUUUUUUUCCAAAAGACUACUGUGACACUUCAAUAAUUCUACAUCUGAUGAGAAUGAGAUUGUGUUUGGAAAUAUAAGAACUAUAGACUCUAAUAAUAAUAAAUGAGCCGAAGCACUUUGGGCCAAUGGUUUGAGCCCAAUGAGUUAUUAUUAUUAGUGGGCCGAAUCGUUACAUUUAGUAUCAAAGUCGAUUCACUAGCCAGAAGUGUAAAGUGGAUAUCACAUCGUUUCGUGAUCUUGGGCUAAUCUUGGACUAUGUGUGUGAUUGAAGCCAUUCACUAGCCAAAAGUGUGAAAUAGAUCUCACAUCGUUUGAUAAUUUUUGGACUAAUCUUGGGCUAUAUACGUGAUUGGGCCGACGAGGACUGUGAUAUUGGACUAAUUUUGGGCUACAUGUGUGAUUAGGCUGACGAUGACGUCAAGAGUUAAAUCGGGAAAGUCUGUGACACUUUAAUAGUCAUAUAUUGGAUGAGAACGAGGUUAUAUUUGUACAAGGAAGCAUGAACUCUAAAAAAUAAUAGUUGGGCUUAAGUAUUUUAAGCCAGUGAUUUUGGCCAAACAAGUUAUUAUUGUUAGUAAUCAGGAUCAUUUUAACUACUGUGCCAAGGAUUAUGAUAAUGUUUUGAAGAUUUUUUUCUCCAAAUUUUGCCCAAGGGUGUCUUAAUGCCCCAUGAUGGACUUUCAUGGGUUCAAAUCUAGAUCUCCAAAGCCUUCCAUGGAGUACCACCACUAUUUCUAACCAUUUGGUGUUUUUUUUUUUUUUUAUUUUUUUGAGAGAGAGAUAGAUAACACGCUACCCGCUUCGUUUAUUUUCAUUUAGAAAUAAACUUAGCUAGAAAAUUGUGAAUCAACUAGGAUUUGAACUUGAGUCUCGGGUACCAACCACCAAGCCCUUUGCCACUUGCUUUAGGGACGGUCGGUCAUUUGGUGCUAGCUAGUUAUGGUUUGUAAAUUCUCAUAUUUAUUGUAAAAAGAAAAUAUACAUGGAUAAUAGUGGAUCACUAUAGAUAAAAAAUUUGAAAUUAGUCAUAGUACCCUUGCCACUCAAAAUUGCUUAAAGAAGAGCAAAAAAACCAAAAGAGAAAACUAAAAAAAGCGAGUUUUAAGAUUGUUUUUUAGUCUUUAAUAUGUUUUGGGUUAAUCAUACCAUUGGUCCCCAACCUUUUUCCAAAUGUUCAAUUGGGUCUCUAUUUUUUUUUUUUUUUCUGGUGUCAAUCAAGUCCCCAACAUUUAUAAUUCAUGUCAAUUGAGCCUUUGCCGUCGAUGAUUUCAUUACUGUAAUACUUUAAGAGAUAGGAGAAGAAAAGAAGAGUGAGGAGGAGAAAAAGAUGAAGAGGAAAAAUGAAGAAGGAAAAGAAUAAGCGAAAAAAAAAAAAAGAAAGAAGAAAAAGAAGAAAAGAAGCAAAUGAUAAUAAGAAGAUGAUAAUGAUGGGUAGAACAAAGAAGAACAAGAAAGAAAGAGAAGAAAAGGAAGGAAAAUAAAUGGAAAAAAAAGAGAGGCAGGAGAGGAGAGAAGAAGAAAAGAUGAAGAAAAAAAAAUGGAGAAAAAUACAAAGAAGAAAAAAAAGGAGAAGAACAAGAAAAAAGGAUAAAAGGAUAGAGAAAAUAAAAAAAUAAAAAAUAAAAAAUAAGAGAGAGGAAGAAAAAAAGAAGGGGAGAAAAAAAGUAAAACCGAUUGCUUAAAGAGUCUUUAGAGAGAUGAAAACAUAAUUCUUUUUUCAAAAUUCCGUCAAUCACGAGCACUUAUGUGUCAAAUCCAUUAAAGAUAACAGAGUCAUAAGCAGCGGAGACCUAUUGGAAUAAAUUAUAUAUAUUGUAUAUUUAAUUAACGUAAAUACAAGGCUAAGGAUCCUAUUGAAUAUUUGCGAAAAGGUUCGGGACCAAUAGUGCAAUUAACCCCUUUUCUUUAAUUUUUUUUACUUUUUUAACUUAACUUUUAGUUUUUUUUUAGUAAAAUACCCAGCCAAACAUCUUCUAUGAAAUUUAUGAACUUUCAAAAUUACCAGCAUAAUAACAAGUUUAUCAUUGUAAAUAAGUUCAAGAGUUGUAUAAAAUACAAGCUUACAUUUUAAGCUGCAAUAGUUGAGGAACAAUAAUUACAAUUGCUAUAGAAUAUUCUUUAAUUUAACUUAUGAAACAUACUAAGUACAUAACAGGGAUUAAUUUUUUCGAUUGUUAAAAAAAAAAGGAAGAAAAAAUAGUUCCUAUUUUCUUAGUACUACAUUCAAAAUCAGGAAGUUGUAUACAAAUUUACUUCUUUUACCAGGACACAGCAUUAUUGAUGCAUUUAUUUAUUUAGUGUUUAUCUAUUAUGAAGGGGACCUCAACUUGAAUUUAUGAUUUGAUGUUACCCAUUCAACAAACUUGCAAUUUUCUAUUCAAUAUCCUCAUACUACUACUACUACUAUUUUAUUCAAAGAGCAACUUGCAGAUUGAGACUAAAUUGUUUUUGGGUACUUAAUUCAUUAAUUUUUUGCUUACUUUUCUUCAUUUUCUAUUCCUACUGAUCUUUCAUCUUGUGAGAAGUUCUUCCCACAUUUACUUGAGACAUGAAAAUUUUAACGAAUAAUUUCAAAAGCAUCUAUUUAAAAUUUUGAAAUUAGGAGUUUACCGCUGCAAAAUUCUAAUUAUCGUAUAUAUUCCUUUAAAUCUCAAAAUAAAUCGCAACAUUUUCAAUGCAUUUCGGCAUUAUAGAUCUCAAUUUUGCAUAUUGUUACACAAUUUCUGUUCUGCAUUGCACACGUACCGUUGUAAAGUUUAAGAACUACACUGCACUCUUUUGGAUGAUUUUUCAAUAAGUGUUGUUACUGCAUCUGAAAAAUACUAUAUAAUAUUGUUGAUAAUAUGUCAAUAUCAUUAUUAUAUUUUAAAAAUUAAUUACAAAUUCUAAGUAUUAUUAUUAAAUUCUAAGUAUCAUCAUUAUAACUUAAAUUCUAAGAGCUAAUCCCUUCACAUAUGCUUGACAACACAUCAAUGGUAUAAUUGGAUAUCCCAAAGUGGGGAACCCAAAACAUUUCUUUUUUGAAUAGUGUUGUACAAGUUUGACUCUCUAAGACUGCGUUUGAUUCGGAUAUAAAUAAGAACUGUUUAUUUUAAAGAUAGCUAUAAGUUCAAGUAUAAGCAAGAACUAGACCAAUUUUGUGUUUGAAAGAAAAUUCGGUUAUUUCUAGGAAUAAGGUAAAUAAUGUUUGGAUUUUUAGAUUGGAACAAAAAUAAUGAGAGUUAUAAUUUUAAACAAAAAAAUAUUUUAUCUAAUUAAUUAACAUCAAAAAAAUAAUUAAAAAUAAUUUAAUAAAUUAAUAAAUUUAUUAGCUAUGAAUAUUGUAUAAGAUAGUAAAAAAAUAUUAAUUAAUUAAUUAAUUAUAAGAAAUAAUUUAAUUUUUUAAUUAGUUAGUAAAUUAUUUUAGUUAGACAAAUAGUGAAAAAAUUAAUUAGAUUAGUAAAAAUAUUAAUGGUUGAUUAAUAUAAAUAUUAGCUUAGGGAUAAACAUAUUAAAUUAUUAAUAAUUAAUUAGCUAAUUAAUUAUAAGUAACAAAUUAUUUAUUACUUUAUUAUUUAAGCAAUGGAUAAUGAUUUUAAUAUAUUAAUUAGAUUAAUUAAUAAUUUAAUAUCAUAAUUCAAAUUAAAUUUAGUUUUUAAUUAAUCUUGUUUCCACUUAGGAACAAGCUUAUUCCACGAAAAAGGGUGGAAUAACAGUUUCAAGCUUACACUGGAUUACACCAGCUUAUAUCAGGGGCGCAAAAACUAUUGUUGUCGGAUACAAAAUUUUAUGUUUGGGAAUAAAAGGGGGGAAUAAGGGCUUAUUCCUUUCUUAUUCCUGAACCAAACACUGUAAAGAUGAAGACAUCAAUAAUUAAUGAUCAAUAAUUAAUAUAAUUAUUAAAUUUAAUAAAAAAAUUUAAGAUUAGUAACUAAAAUAAUUUGAAUUAGAAAACAAUUAAAAGCUAAAGAUCGUGUCAAUAAAAAAAAACCUAAUGUUGAAGGCAAAUUUCAAAAUGGCCUAUAGUUAAGUGGAUACUUAAUGUUGAAAAUAUAAUAAAAAAUUGAACUUACUGAGGACGGCUAAUUCAAUAGUUAGGAAAGUUCGGCGAUCUUAAAAAAAUUUUAUAAAAAUUUGGGGGCUUGUGCAAAAAAUUUUAUAAAAAUAAGAGUAAAUUUUAAUUUAGCCAGCUGAGUUGUAGCGCAUUUUUACUACACCAUUGUGUGGUUCAAAAAAAUUCACUUAAAUGCCAUGCAGUUUAAAAAAGUUUAUGCUUAACUAUACCGCAGUACUAUUUUUAUUUCACUUUAAAAACCUAUUUAAAUAGGAUGCUAUCCUGUAGUUUUAAAAAAAUUUAUUUUGUAACACCAGAUUUUUUCUUUGGCGAAAUAAAAAUAAAACUAUAUAAUAAUUAAGUAUAACUUUUUGAAGGAUAUAAUAACCUAUCUUAUAGGUUACUAACAUAUAAAAGUUAAUAGAUAUAUCGUUAGAUUUAAAUGAGCUGAUGUAUUGAAGCAAUUGUCAAAAAUAUAAUAAGAAUAUAGAAAAAAAAAAGUAAUGCAUUUAUAUACAUAAUUGUCAAAUAAAAUCUGAAAUUUUUGAAGGUAUUUCUACAAAUUUCCCACAUAUUACUCUUAUUUGUUGUUGAUUUAUUUUUUGGAUUAUUGCUACUAACUCAAUUUCAAAAGAUAGAAGCCAAUCAAUCCAUUUAAAAUGUGGCUACGAGUUUCAACUGUAAUUUGGCCCACUAGGCUUCGCCGCAUAGAUAGAAUACUACCCUACCUGCCAAUAAUCGCCUCUUCAGCAAAAUAGAUGAGAAUCGAACCUGUGAUCUGCUCUGAUACUAUUUGUUGGAUUGUUGAUAUUAGCUACAAUUCCAAAACUUAGAUUCAACUUUAUUGGUAUUAUAAUGGGAAGAAAUUUGAUUAUUUCAUACAUGCACUCAGAGAGACAAAGAGUCCAAUAUUAAAUUACCAAUAUAUUAAUAAUAUUAUAGAGCUAUUAUACUUUCGAAAAAAAAAACUAUAUUAAUUGCAGCAAGUGAAAAUCAAACCUGUGACCUACUCUAGUACUAUUUGUUCGUUUGUUGGUACUAACUACAAUUCCAAAACUUAGAUUCAACUUUAUUGGUAUUAUAAUGCGAAGAAAUUUGAUUAUUUUAUACAUACACUCAGAAAGACAAAGAGUCUUAAUAUUAAAUUACCAAUAUAUUAAUAAUAGUAUAGAGCUACUAUAUUUUCGAAAGUAUAAAAACGUUAGUGUUUUCGACAUGACCUUUGGAUUAAGGAUUGUAGGGUCAGGAUAAUAGUGGUUCGUCCCCUUUAAUUAGGAUUGAGUGGACUUUUUAUGAUAUAAUAAUAUUAAUUCAAAGAUCAGAAAUGACCAAAAAAAUUAAUCUCAGGCCGAGGGCCAAAAAGUUAAAGAUAUUAACUUUCUUACACUUGCGAAAAGCAUAUUAGCUCUACUCUUAAUAAUAUAUAAAUAUUACAUUAAGAGAAUUUUUUUUCAAUAUAAACACGUAGUCGUUUCAAAUUACACUACAGUUUACGGUGUAAUAAGUCAGGAAAUCGUACUAUAUGACCUUCGAAAAGCAUACAAUUACACAGAUGCCCUUUUAAAACUGAAAUGUCAUAAUUAACUCUCUAAUAAAAAACUUGCCAAAAUGACCCAACUUAUUUUUCAUCAAAGGUUACAGUCAUAUAUAACAGUUAAAUUUUCAUUUUCACCCUAUUAUUAUUGUCUUAUAUAUAUAUAUAUAUAUAUAGAGAGAGAGAGAGAGAGAGAGAGAGAGAGCGCGCGCGCUAGGCUCCUAUGCUUUCGAAAGUACGGGAGGCUCCGUGCUUGUAAGUUAUUUUCAAUGAUGGGACAUCCGAUUCGGCGAUCGGUUCCGUUAAACUUGAUCUGCGCUAUUAGAACUAUCUAGAAACCAAAUUUCAUAAUUUUUUGAUUUCGUUUGUCUAGUGAACGAGUAGCCUCAAAAUGAACGGCUAAAAAUGAAAAUCUCAUAAAAAACAGUGAUAAAGGAUUCAAAUUUUAAAUAGGCAGUAUUGAUCUUGCUACUGAUGUUAAGUAGAAUUUUCUAUUAAAUUUUCAUGUAAUUUGGAUACUUCUACACCGUUGAACUUAAAAAUGUGCCACAUCGAUCGUUAAAAUAGUCAUUUUUUAGACAUUUUGAUCGCUUAGUAAAUGAUGUCAAAAAAAUCUAAAAUUUGGUUUCUAGAUAGUUCCAAUAGGGUAGAUCAUACCUAACGGAGCCGAUCGUCGAAUCGAACGUUCUAUCAUCGAAAACAACUUACAAGCACGGGCCUCCCAUACUUUCGAAAGUACGGGAGACGGACUAUAUAUAUAUAUAUAUAUAUAUAUAUAUAUAUAUAUAUAUAUAUAGAGAGAGAGAGAGAGAGAGAGAGAGAGAGAGAGAGAGAGAGAGUGUGUCCGGCUACUAUAUUAUUAUGAGUACGAUCGCCCUCGUACUCAUAAGUUAUUUUCAAUGAUAGAGCUUCCGAAUCGACGAUCUGCACCGUUAAACGUUAUCUAGAGCAUUUGAAACAUCUAGAAAUCAAAUUUCAUAAUUUUUCGACAUCAUUUACCUUACGAUCAAAAGCUCACAAAAUUGACAAUUUUUAACGGUCGGUAUGGAAUACUUGCUAGUUUAACGGUACAAAAGAAUCCGAAUAGGUUGAAUUUUUGAUAGAAAAUUCUAUUCACUACCUAGAUAAAGAUCAAUAAGUCCGAUCUUAAAUUGAAGGAUCCGAUCAUUCAUUUUUAAGACAUCGUUCUAUUUUGACCGUUCAUUUUAUGCCGCUUGAUGGACUUUAUUAUGAUUUCGAAAAAUUACAAGAUUUAUUUUCUAGAAGAUUCAAAUAUUAUAUUUAACGGAGUGGAUCGUCAAUUCGGAAGCUCCAUCAUUGAAAACAACUUAUAAGUACGAAAGACCCAAUACUCAUAAUAGUAUAGUAGCCCUACUCUCUCUCUCUCUCUCUCUCUCUCUAUAUAUAUAUAGGGCCCGGCUACUAUACUAUUAUGAGUACGAUCGCCCUCGUACUCAUAAGUUGUUUUCGAUGAUAGAGCUUCCGAAUUGACGAUCCACACCGUUAAACAUUAUUUACAGCAUUUAAAACUUCUAGAAAUCAAAUUUUAUAAUUUUUCGACAUCAUUUACCUUACGAUCAAGAGGUCACAAAUUUAACAAUUUUUAACGGCCGGUAUGUGAUACUUUCUAGUUUAACGGUGUAAAAGAAUCGGAAUUUGUUGAUUUUUUGAUAAAAAAUUCUAUUCACUACAUAGAUAAAAUUAAUAACUCCGAUCUUGAAUUGAAGGAUCCGAUCAUGCUUUUUUAGGAUGUCGUUCGAUUUUGACCGUUCAUUUUAUGCCCACUUGAUGGACUUUAUUAUGAUUUUAAAAAUUUACGAAAUUUAUUUUCUAGAAGUUUCAAAUACUCUAGAUCAUAUUUAACGGAGUGGAUCGUCGAUUCGGAAGCUCCAUCAUCGAAAACAACUUAUGAGUACGAGGGCUCCAAUACUCAUAAUAGUAUAGUAGCCAUGGCCUAUAUAUAUAUAUGGAUGAUACUAAGAGGACCAUUAAGAUUCAUUAUCUAUAGAUAAGGAUUCCACCUCAAAAUAAGAAAAGAUUGAUCUAAGACGUGGAAGGUUCGGCAGUAGGAGCUCCGGCAUGCACGUCCUAAGUACUUAACAUACAAAUAAUGAGUAUCUCCAUUAAUCUUUUAUUUUUAUCUUAGUCUUAAAUGAUUUAGACUUAAUUCAAGUCCAUCAUUUCAACUAUUAUGCUCUAUUCUCAGAUUAGAACAAAAGUUUCAAUUUCGGUAGUUCAUAACUCUCUAAAAAUAGAUAAAAAUCUUAAAAUAACUCCCUAUAUAAGGGUUAGGGAUACUUAAUUUUAACAAACGACAUCUUAACGAGAUGUUUAUACCCUCUUGAAGCUAACCGGAAUAGUUCAAAACGAAAAUAGCAUAAAUUGAUCGAAAUAUUAACAAACUAAGUUUAAAUUUGAUCAAACAAUUUGCUCUAUCAUACAUUCAUGGCCAAUAUAUUUGAACAUGAUUGACAUCUUAAUUUAAGGAUUCUAAACUCUUAAAAUCAACUACAAAAGUUUAAUCUCGUAGUUGAUUAAAAUCCUAAUUUUGGAGCCUUAUAGCAUGCAAUUAACUCAUCAAAACNAAAAAUAAAAAAAAAAAAAAAAAAAAAAAAAAAAAAAAAAAAAAAAAAAAGAAGAUCAAAACAUAUGUACCAAACACAACAAAAAAUGUUAAGGUACCUCCUAUGGUACUACUCUUUUACUUCCAUUUUAAGUACAAAUAAUUGAUUGUACAUUUCACUUGCUAAACAUAAUUUGUAAAAAUUUGCACAAACUUGCAUUUUACAACUUGUUUAUUCAAGAAGCUGGCAAUAUAUAUAUAUAUAUAUAUAUAUAUAUAUAUUGAAUUAUGAUUUUUUUAAAAACACCAAAUAUAAAUAUUUGAUUUUUAUAAAUUUUUUCACCACUAGAUCGAUUCCUUGCUUCGACCACUUUUUAUUAUAAAAAAAAUAAAAUUAAAAUUUAUAGCUGAGUGGUGCAUAAGCUUAGAAUGUGAAUAAAAAACCAACUAUAAUACUUCAAGAAAUAAAUAAUUCAAUUUAUUUCCGCAUUAUUUCCUCCCACGAGAUGUCUGAAUUAAUAAUGAUUAAUAUCAUUAGAUUUUUACAAUUUUACCGCAUCAUUUAUCUGCUAUUCAACUGAUCUCAGAUUGACAACUUUUAGCAGUAAACAUAAACCAAAUAAAAAAUUAUUUAAUUACUAUAUAAAUAAUAUCAAAAAAUUAUAUAAUUUUAUAAAAUAUUUAAAUAAUUUAAAUUAUGUUCGAUGAUGUUAAUUUAUAAAAUUCAAAUGUCUCGUCGUCGUCGUCGUCGAAAAUAAAGUAGGAGGGAAAGUAAACUGUCCAGUUGUCUCACCUGCGGUUCAAAGUUCAAACCAAUCUGUGGUUUUAAAAGUCGCGAUUAAAAAUUGCUCUUCCAAAACCAACGCUGGUAACGUGCGAGAAAGUGGCGCCGAAUUCCACACAGUUUGACGAACCAGCACCGACGUGGCACCACAAUCCCCCAGUCAACGCCACAAUUCCGAAACAGAUCCAUCCACUUCCACGUGUCCGAAUCCUACUGGUAGGCGUGUUUGACAAUAUACUCCAGAAAAUUAAGUUUUUUUUAAAAAAAAAUUAAAGAAAUAAGGAUUAAUUCCAUACAGAUAGCUGCUAACAUAUUAAAUCACAAAUAUAUCUCUAUAAAAUUCAACUUUCAUAUGUUGUUCCUAUAAAAGUCUUGAUAUUUUUUAAAUAUAUCUUUGCCGUUAGAAAAUUUUAGUCAACCAUAAAUUAAAUAUUUUAACUAUGGUUAAUUUUUGACAAUUUUAUCCCUUUUUAUUAUACUGUUAUGGCUUUUAGAGGGAUAUAUAUUUGUGAUGACAAAAUUGAAAAUAUAAACGGUUCUCUAAUGGUUCUCUAAAGGUGACAAGUCAGAAGGACAUAUUUAAAAAUAUCAGGAUUUUUAGAAACAAUAUAUGAAAGUUGCGCCAACCAAAAUAAUUGAAUAGCUUCAAUCAAUUUAAUUAAUUAUAAUUGUAAUCAUUUUUUAAAUAAAUAAAGCUGCUCCGACCAGCUAUUUACAACCAAUACAUUUAACAAUUUUUUUUUUAAAUUUGACUGAUUAAACUAACUUCAAUCAAACAAAAAAUUAUAAGUUAAGGGAUCUUAGUUAGAAAAUUCUUAAUUAUCACUGAACCGAAUAUAUUAUAAAUUAGGGUUAAUUUCAUACAGAUCGCUGCAAAUAUAGUGAAUGCAUGACAAAUAUAUUCCCAACUUUCAUAUGUUGUCCCUACAAAAGUCGUGAUGUUUUCAAAUAUAUCCAUGCCGUUAGAAUCUAUUAGAAAAAUUUAGUUAACCAUAGGUUAAAUAUUUAAUUCUGAUUAAUUUUUGACUUAUUUAUCCCUUUAUGGCUUUUACAGAGAUAAUUUUAUAAUGACAAAAUUGAAAAUAUAAACGGUUCUCUAAUGGUUCUCCAACAGUACCAAACCAGAGAGGCAUAUUUGAAAAUAUUAUGACUUUUGCAAGCACAACAUAUGAAAGUUAAAUUUUGUAGGAAUAUAUUUGUCAUCCACUAUAUUUACAAGAAUCUGUAUGAAAUUAAUCCUAUAAACUAACCAACUAUAAAGGUAAGAGAUUUUUUUCUCCUACACAUUAAAUUAUAUAGAUCAUUAUUAUUUUUUUUAAAAAAUAAUAAUAAUAAUAUCAAAUGAGGCCUAAUAAAAAAAUAUCAGUUAAAAAAAUAGUUAAGAGGCAAUUAAAAUUAUCCGAUAAUUAAGGGGGUCCCCAUUUAUACAUUUUUUUACCUCCACAUUAAUUUUUACCAAAAAUUAAGAAAAGGUGCAACUGUGGGACCCACGAAUGGCAACGCCACCAACCGCAACGUUCCAUAUUGACGUACACAACGUGGUGUGUUGACUGAGUCCACAAUCACCGUCGAAAGAACUCGAUCGAUGCAUUCCCCACCGUCCGAUCUCCGCGCCCCUCCACACGGGUCAAAUGGGCGCCAAAACCCGACCCGUAGUUUACCACACGCCUUUCACGUGAGCUCCAUCACCUACGUUAUUUAUUACAAAGAUUACUACACCACCACUCGUUCUCGUGGCCUACUCCUUGCCCAUAUUUUGGUCCACAUCAACAGCUUUAUUGUUUCUUUUGACCAAACUGCUUCUUUAGAACAAGAAGCGCUUCUCGUUGAAGCCCUUUUUAUAUAUAGGAAGAGAACUAGCUAUUAGUAUGUACUAUACUUCUAUAGCUUAUGAUCAAAUGGAUGGGCUUGAGAUACCCCCCUACUUCAUUUGCCCAAUCUCUCUUCAAAUCAUGGAGGACCCCGUAACCGUCGCGACCGGCGUGUCCUACGAUCGCGCUAGCAUUGAGCGCUGGUUAACGGUGUACGGGCGCGACAAGUGCCCGGUCACGAACCAGACGUUAGUCGACCGCACCCUCACGCCGAAUUCGACCCUUCUCCGCUUGAUACAGUCGUGGGCCGCCUGCGCAGCACAGCUGCCUGCUGCCGCCACCGCACGGUCUAACCCUCGAUUUGAUCUCUCCGACGUGCUUCGACAGCUCAGAGAUACCGAUGCGGAGCUCCAAAGAAGAGGACUCAAGAAGGUAAAGCUACUGGCAGAAGAUGAUGGUGAUUUCGACAGCAUGGCUUGCAUGGAGAAAGCCGGUGUCACGUCGCUCGUAGCGUCUCUAAUUGUCAUGAGGAAUACUGAUCUAGUACAAGAUGCCUUGGAUGUGAUAGAUGAGGCUACGAUCGUUUUGCAACAUCUCAAGCCGUCACCGCAAGCCAUAAAGCGACUCGCGGAGAGUAACAACGGUGAGCUCAUCCGCUCUCUAUCAUCAAUUCUUCAAAGGGGGUCAUAUAGAGCGAGAACCCACGCCACCCUUCUCCUCAAAUCCAUAUUCAAGGUAGUCGACGAGGGCUACAAGUCGAAUCCGCCUCCCGAUCUCUUCGACGGGGUCGUCGAGAUACUCAAAGACCAGAACUCGGCGCGAUCGACCAAUUUAGCCGCACUAUCCAUCUUAACCGAAGCGCUAGCGCUCGGAAAGAACCGCGCAAAGGCCGUGGAGGCGGGGUUGGUUGCGGUGAUAAUAGAAUUGCUGAUAGAGGAGAACGGCGACCGCCGUAGCUGCGAAGCGAUGCUGUACAUAUUGGAGUUGGCUUGCGGGAGGGCGGAGGGGCGGGCGGCGGUGGUGGGACACCGGGCGGGGGUGGCGGCGGUGGUGGGGAAGGUGUUGGGGGUGUCGGGCGGGGCGACGGAGAGGGCGGUGAGGGUGUUAGGGUUGCUGUGCAGGUACUGCAGGGUGGCGGAGGAGAUGGCGGAGGUCGGCGGGGUCGCGAAGCUGUGCAUGGUGGUGCAGGUGGAGGGGAGUAGGAGGAGUAGGGAGAUAGCCAAGGAGAUCUUGGGGAUGCACUUGAGAACAUGGAGCAGGUCCCCUUGUUUCCCUUAUUCUUAUAGCUUGCCUUAUUAAAGCUAGUUCAUUAGCUAGGUUAAGUUACAUGAAAAUUGAUAUAUUUUUUCAACUAUAUAUCAUUUGUUUUAUUUUGAGUGGAAGAUGAAAUUAAUGGUGGUGAUUUUAUUUUUGGUUUUAGAUCGGUUUGUAAUUGUAGAAGCAAAUACAAAUAUAUGUUGAGAAUUUGUCAAAUUGUGCACAGAUUAAAGUAAACUUACAGUGCAUAUUUUAUCAAUAAUCAAUAAUAUAUACUUAUUCUUGAGAUAUUAGUUUUCUAUAAAUUGUUAAUUAAUUUGCUUCCCUAUCGAUCGAGACUCAAUUAAUUGCUUCUCAUGUGCGAAGAGAAAUUAUUUAGGGCAUUAAUGUAUUUAUUAUAGCUUUAACAAAUUAAUUGUCGCUUGUACGCAUUAAUUGCAUUGAAUAUUUGUAUGUACAUACACUGGAGUUUUGAAAAAUUAAUGCGUCUUAAUUAAAUGUUUGUAACUAAUCAACUCCUCUUAUUAAAACUAAUAAAUAUUUAAAAUUUUCUCAAAUUUUAAUUAAACAGUUAUAACCGCUCAUUUCUAUCUUUUUUAUUAUAACCAUUCAAAAUAUAUCCCAAUAACAUUAAUUUUUAUUCGCAAAACCUCUUUCAUUAUUGCCAAAGUUGUUAUCCACCGUGAAUGUAUCUUUUACUCGAGCUUGCUUUGUAUCAAUUUGAAUUUGAUAAUGACUAGCACCAUAAGUUUUUUUUAAAAAAAAAUUAUUUAUCACAUCGAUCACCAUCUUGAGUUUUUCUUUUUUUUAUCCCUUUAUUUUUUAUAUAAUAUUGUAUAGAUUUAUUUUAUUGUAUACAUGCAUGAAUUAUUCUAUUUUUAACGUAAUAAAUAAUAGAGUAUUUUUAUUUACAAUCUCACGUAUGGGUUAUCAAUCAUUAAUUAGUUCCCUAUUAAUUGCACCCAAAAAUUUUAUAAGGUUGGUAAAAAAAACAGGCUCUAUUGCUACCAAUUUAUUUUUUAUAAUACAGCCUAUAAAUCGACGAUCAAUACAAUUGAAUAUGAUGUAUACUACUUGAAAUAUUUAGAAAUCAAAAUUUUAAAACUUUUCGACAUUAUUGACCUAACGAUCAAAGGAUUGAAAAUUAUAAGUUUAAUAGUCAAUAUGAGAGAUUUGCUCAUUUAAUAGUGUAAACAAAUCUAAAUAAAUUGAAUUUCAGUUACUAAGUUUUUUAAACUAUUUAAAAUAAAAUCUAUACUCUUAAUUUUGAUUAUAAGAAUCUUAUCAUUAUUUUUUAAAGAAUAUUUUUAGUUGUUUAUUUUUGUGUUCACUUAAAUGCACAAGAGAACAAAAUCGGAAACACAUAAAAUUUAAUCUUACAUAUUUCAAGUAGUGUAGAUCAUGUUCAAUGGUGUUGAUCGUCGACUUUGAGGUUUUAUCAUUGAAAACAAAUCGGCAGCAUUCGUUUACUACCAAUAGUAUUCUAGAUCAACUCUAUAUAUUAGUAAAUAUUAUUAUUUGAAUAUGAAUGCAUUUUUAGUAGAUAUGAUGAUAAAAAUGAAGUAUCUGGUACCUAUUUGAAUCUGAAUUAGUAUUUACUAGUGUUGAACCCGCGCUUCGCUGCGGACAAUUUUGACGCUAAUAUUCUGAUGUAAAUUUUAAAACAGUUUUGAUCAUAUGUAAUAUGUAAUUAAGAAAAAAGAGAAAAAGAAUAGAGAAAAACUUGAUGGAAUUGGUAGUUUAGUAAAAAACAAAUAUAAGUUCAAAUAGUACUGAAUCUCAUUGCCCAUAGUCAUAAUUCCUUUGUUGGAAGAAAGCUACUACAUUAGUAAUCAAUUACAUAUAUGUGACCUGUAUAGCUUUGACUUUUAAUUGCUUUUUGGUAUAAGCUAUGUCCGGAAAUUGUUUUUUUAUUUGUAGAAAAAGAAAUGCUGCCAUGUAUACAUGUAAAGCUGUCAAUUAAUCUAUUUGCAUGUAUGUUUGGAGAACAUAUACCAAAAAGCAAUUAAAAGAAUUUGAAGCAAAAUGACAGCAUACAUCACUCAAAGAAUUCAUCAAUUACAUUACUUAGAAGCUAUUAUACAAACACUAAUCUCUCUAUAAACUAUGUUGUGUAGUCUUAAAACAUUAUAAAAAAGUAAGGAUAACCUCAAAUAUUUUAGUAAAAAACAAAUAUAAGUUCAAACAUUCCUGCAACCGGCAGAAAGGUAUUACAUUAGAAAUCAAGUUCCAUUAUCUUUUCAUCUACAUCUUUAGUAAAAGACCAUCAAAAUAGCAGCAUACAAAAGAUAGAAGUAGGAGAUUAGAAACAUAACAGAAUAUAGAAACAUAACAGAAGCAUGAUAAUUCUCAAAAGUUAGAAGCUGGAGUUUGGAAACAUAACAGAAUCUAAAAGCCACAAACACAAUGGAAUGCAUAGUUUUCAAAAGUAGACUAAAAAGAUCAUACAAAAGUCUGGCCAUGCAUGAUCAACUACAAAAUAAGUACCAGCAAAAUAUGCCACUUUUACUUCAGACCCAAAUUAACCGACGGGAGCAUCAGUUUCUGCCAUGGCAUUCUUUAACUUCAGAAAGUUAUACUCCUUAAGCAAGUUGUUGUAGCGUGCAAAUAGCACAGCAUGGUUUGUGGAAAGUUCAUUGUAUAGAUUUUGAUGGAAGAUACUUUCAUCAUAAUUUAUAUCCUUCAGUUGCAAGUCAAAUUCCUCAACUAUCCUCUUAAUAGUUAGGCGAGCAGCAUCUUGUUGAGAUGCAGCAGAUGUGGAGGAUUGUGUCCCCCAACAUCGUACUAUUUCAACUAUAGAUUCAUUUCGUGGAACCGGAAGAUCUAUAUACGCAAGGUAAGUACCCUCUGCAGCCGGAGUGACAACACACUGUGGUGUCUCUAUCUGGAGCUGAUCACAAACCUCACGCAACAAUGUAAGGUAAGAAAGUUGGACGGUCGACAUAGACGAAGCUGCAAAAGAGAGAAAGUGAAAAAAAUGGAAGGGAAUGUAGAAAGGCAGGUCAUUAGAAGCAGUUUUUUUUAAAAAACCAAAAUAGUAAAGACAUAAAAGGAACAAAAAAUACCAAAAAAUUUUCAAAUAACAUGUGAGCAAAAGAAUGAUCUGAGAAGAGGCGUAGGGAAAAGAGGGAGGAGAGAGAGGGGCAGUAGAGGGCGUGGAGAGAGGCGUACAGGGGAGAGAGAAAAGAGAGAGAAGAGGGAGAGGAGAAGAGAGAGAUAGAGAGAAGUCUCGCAAAAGGCGCACUUUAUCCUUAUUUAAAUAAAUCUAAAUAUUUUAAAUAAUCGUUUAAUUCAUGAUACAAAUAAUGUAAUUACUGUUUGAAUAGUAUUAUUAUAAAAAUAUUAUAACACAAUCAAGUACAUAGCAGAAUAUAUGACAUCUAAAAUGCAUCUUCAAACAAACCAGAACAUAGUUCUAAAUCAAAAUACAAAGUCGAAAUUAAGAAAGCAACAUAGUUUUAAACCAAAUACAAAGUAUGACAUCUAAAAUGCAUCUUCAAACAAACCAGCACAUGUUCUAAAUCAAAAUACAAAGUCGAAAUUAAGAGAGCAACAUAGUUUUAAACCAAAAUACAAAGCUGAAAUAAGUUUUCAAAAUUUUAAACUACAAUGAUAGUUUGAAGCAUAGAGCUUCAAACAAACCAACACAUACUAAAUGUAAGCAGUUAGCAAAUCAGCAAUCUUCAUUUGGCGAAUUUUCGUCUAACCUGAAAAUCAAUCAAAGGUAUAUAUUACUCAACAAAAAUCACGGUACAGGCAGAAAUCACACUUACUCAACAAAAAAGACAUGUUAAGAAACAAAAGAAGGGAAAAAACAAAGUAAUCACAUAGCAAACAGUAAGAACCAAUAGAUAUCAAUAACCCGAGUGAAUCUUUAAAACGAAAAGAAAUCGGUAAAAUUAAAAGUGCAGGGGGUGAAUACUUUAGUACUUUAAUUUUCCUCUGCCAACCUUUUAACUGCAGGGAAAUAGAAAGUACAGCAGGAGGGACCAGAGAAGAUCCACCUUUUGUGAUUAAGCAGUAAACAGGAGAACAAUGCAGAGACCUACACAAUAGUGCAAUGGCAAGAAAAAUCAGUAGGCUGCAUAUUAAUUAAUAUUAUAUAUAUAUAUAUAUAUCAAGAUAAUUUGAAGAUAGAAAUAUACCUAUCUUGGUAUGAGGAGGACACUGGCAUGCGGCAAUUAAUGAAGGGUGGUAUUUAUAAUAAAUCUGAGAGAACUUUUCGAAUAUCACAGAAUGAAACAGGGAAGCCAAGAGGCAAGAGGGCUAAGCACAGGGACAAAAUAGUCAAAAAUAUUGUUUAAAUCUUUGGGAACUCUAACAGAUUUCUAAAAAAAUGGUUAAAAAAUAUGUAAAAAUCAUAGGAAUAGUGUAAAAAUCUCCUGUAAAUCUCAAGAGAUCACCCAAAUCAUGAAAAAACAUAGGCUAGGUUUAGACAGAGGAGCAACCGGCCAAUCGGCGGGCUCAUCCGACACGCGUCCGAGCCGACCGGCGGACCAAUCGAGAGAGGUCUCGAUUUAGAGAGAAGAAGAGAGAGAGAGUUAAGGAGAUCUCACCAGAUCUGAGCAGAUCUGUAAAAUCAUGCCAAAAUAGGGUAGGUUUAGACGGAGGAGCAACCGGCCAAUCCACGGGCUCAUCCGACACGCGUCCGAGGCGACCGGCGGAGCAAUCGAGAGAGGUCUCACCAGAUCUUUCAAGAACCAACCCAAAUCAUGAGAACAUAGGCUAAGUUUAGCCCCAGGAGGAACCGACCAAUGGGCAGCCGAGGCGACCGGCUGAGCAAUCGAGCGAGGUCUCGAGGUAGACGAAGAAGAGAGAGAGAGUUAAGGAGAUCUCACCAGAUCUGUAAUCAGCCAGCCGAAAUCAUGAAAAAUAGGCUAGGUUUAGCCCCAGGAGGAACCGCCCAAUCGACAGGUCGACGGGCUCAUCCCACAGGCGGCCGAGACGCCCGGCAAAUCUCGGAGUAGGGAAGGGAGAGCGAUUGGUCACAAACCGCCCAAUAGACGGCCUCAUCGCACCUGUCGUCGAAUCGAGCGGCGGGCCAUUCGUGGGAGUCGUUGAGAGAGGCCUGAGAAGAAGCAUAGGGGAGAGAGAGGAGAAGAGAGAGAGGAGAAGAGAGAGAUAGAGAAGCCUCGGAAGAGGCGCGAGGGGAAAAAGAGAGAGAGAGAAGAGAGAGAGAGAAGGCUCGGAAGAGGCGCGAGGGGAAAGAGAGAGAGAGAGAGAAGGCCAAGAGUUUUUUUUCGUAAAUUAAAUUAUUAAGACGUGUGGCAAUUUCUUAUUGGUCCAUGUCUUAGUUGGGCCAAUGGGUCAAUGGUGCAAUAGGACUGUUCAAUUUUCUUACAGACACGUGGCAAGAACCUAUUGGCCCAUACUUUAUGUUGCUUUCCUUAUUUUAUUCGCAAAAAAAGAAAACGGCGCCACGUACCCUUUUUAAACUGUCAAUUAGUAUGUUUGGUAUGGAUAGGAAAAAAAAAAAGAAUGCAAAUAUAAUUUUUGUAAAAAAUCCAACCUUUUUUUUUUUUUCCGCCCGUAAGUACUAACGGGGAAUUCGGUUUUUUUUUACAUUUGGCCCUGAAAAAAAUUUAUUUUAAAAAUAGUUUCAGUAAAUUUAUAUUGCAAAAAUAGUUCUAUUCCUACUAUGCAUGCACCACGUCAGCGCCACGUGAAUGGGGCCAGGAUCAGUUUAUUAAGUUGAACAUGGUGAACCAUAUAUUCACCGUGUUUAGACACGGUGAAUAUAUAGUUAACCGUGUUUGGGGAAUAUACAAAUAUAUGUAUUGCGAAAAAAUAUAAGAAAAAUAUAAGUACGGAAUACGGUGAACCAUUUACCGUGUUUGAACAUGAUGAAUGGUUUACCGAGUCUAGAAAAAUUAUAUGUAUUGCGAAAAAAUAUAAGUAUUGAAAAGAGGGAAGAAGGGGAAUAUAAGUAUGGAACAUGAUGAAUCAUUCAACGUGUUUGAACACGGUGAAUAAUUUUUCACCGUGUUCAACUUAGCACCCCUCCAGCUUGCGUAGCGCUGAUAUGGCGCCUGCGUGGCAGGAAUAGAACCAAAUUUGCAAUUAUAAAUUUGAUAGGUUUAUUUGUAAAUUUUUUUUGUCGAAGGGGCCAAAUGCAAAAUAAGCCCCGGGAAUCACACUGUUGUGAACCCAACGGCGGGUCCUGCGUCUAAUAACAAGUCCCGCCGAUAAAGCCGACAAAGCGGAGCGAGGUUUUUAUUCUCGCCCGCGCCGACGCAGCGCGUGAUCCGACCCACUCCUCCUCGCCCGCUUUUCUCCUCCUCCUCUCCACCCCCCCACUCACCUCCCCGUUCCUCCUCCCUCUCCUCCCCGCCGAAACCCUAGCGUCUCCUCCCUCCCAUGGCCGAUGGGUACUGGAGGUACGGCGCCGACGCUCGGCAUCCGCCGCCGCACGCCGCGGCGGCGGCGGCGGCCGCGGUGGCCCCUUCUCCCGUCUCCCUCAAGCGGCCCCGCUCUGGAUACGCCGGUUCGUCUCCUCCUCCCCCACCAGAUGCCCUAAAUUUGUUUUUUUUUUUCCCUUUUUUUGUUUGAAUUGUUCGGGAGCAGCUUGUUUGGUUCCUCCGUGGUGAUUUUUCGUACUCGGGAAAUUAGAUCUAGGUAUAUAUUUGUAUCCCGGAUCUGCUAUCGGGGUGGUGCUAGGGCGAUUAUUUGAUGGGGAACCGAAAUUUUUCGGUACAAGUAAAGUGAACUCCUGGUUUUCUUGGACUAUAGAGAUCCUUUGGAACUCGUUUUCAUAUCAAUUCUUGAAGUGCUUAGUUUUUGUUUAGGUUUCCGAUAUUUGGAAUUAAGGUUUAUGUGAAUUUUACUGAUGUAAAAAAAUGGGUGUUCUGCACACUUAGAUUGAAGGUAAUGUAGUUCAUCUCGUAGCUGAACUGUUGCGGCUGCAUUGAUGAAAGAUUGGCUGCAAAAGAUCCUGCAUUACGGUGUGCCACGGCUCUUGUUUUCAAUUUAUCUAUGCUGGAUGGGGGAGUCACAUCCGCAUCCAACAUGUGUAGGACGCAGGAUGCGCAGCGGAUGCGUGUUUGAAUAAUUUUAGAGAAGAAAGAGAAAAGAGGCAGCGGACAUGGCAGCUGAGUGAUAGCAGGCGGCGGUGAGAAGAUCUGAGAGAGAGAGAGAGAGAGAGAGAGAGAGAGAGAGAGAGAGAGAGAGAGGCGGCAUGGGAGAGCUUGUUAAUGUGGGAGGGGGAAUCGAAAGGGCUUGGUGGGGAAGCCGCUAGAGGAGAAGGGGCGAGCCGAGGGAGGAGAUGUGAGAGAAGGGGGCCAUUUUGAAGCCAUAGGCAGAUAGAGGGAGUUCUCUUUUGGGCUAGUAAAAACAAAAGAUGGAUAAACUGGGGACGAAUUUUAAGCAUUUAUAAACCAAAUCGGUCCUGUUUGAAAAAUUGGGAACUAACUAAGUUAGAACAGAAAAGUCCAGUUUUCACAAAUUUGUGAACAGUAACUGCAUCAGUAAGUUAGACUCUCAUGACUUUUACGAUAAAAGUUUAUUUUAUCAUCGUCAAAAUAUUAUAAUGUUAUAAUAUUAUAAAUUUAUAUUUAUUAUCUAUAUAUUAUUCUGUUAAAAGUUGAUGUUUAUUAGCCAUGUCCUACCAUGUCCGUGUCCUAUUGUGUCUGCGUCUUGUGUCCGUAUUGUUUUGUGUCCAUGUAGGCAUGUUCAUGUAGCAUAGCAAUUUAUUGAAGAGAAAAAUAGACUAUAUUGCUCAUGUGGAUUGAAGGCGGUGUCGGUUUGUCCUAUUUUUCUUGUCUGUUGAUGCAAACCGAGAGGUUGCCAAAAUUGAAUUUUCAAGUUUGCUUUUGUUUAAAUGUAAAAUUAGGUUCAAUUUAUCAAUUCCGAUGAACUUUAAGCAAGAAAGCAAAAAUUUUAGCAAAACAAAAAUUAAAAUCGAAUCGAAGUAAUACUAAGAUGAUGAUAAACCUUCAAUAUAUGAGAUAAUAACAACCAACUGGAAAUACAUAUAAUAGUUCCAAAAGGUAAAUUCGGCUUUAUCGGACUUAAAGUUUUAGGCUUGGUUGUUUGGCAAAUAUGGUUGGUAAUGGUGGAAGACUAGAUUAAAAGGUGAUAAUAGGAUGUCAGGAGAUGAGAGAUACAAAAAAGUGCACCGUUCACACGAUUGCGGGGAUCCACGAUCGACAAGGAGGGCGGUACACCACGGGUAGCACUUCGGCAACGGGGAAGAAGAAGAUGAGGUAGUGACUCGGAAGAAGAGGAGGGGUUGAAGUAGAAGUCUUUCUUUGUCACGAGGAAGAAGCGACAACGAUCAAGUUGAGGAAGAAGACGAUCUCGGCGCGAGGAAGAAACGUCGAUGAUCUCACCGGGAAGUAAAACACCAAGGAUAAAGAUUGAGAGUAGAAUUUUCUAUUCAUCCAAAUAUAUCUCCCUUAAGGUCUCAAGAACCAUGUAUUUAUAGUGUUGAGAGUCCUCCUAUAAUCAAUUAUUGUCUUUUCGUUUUCAACAUAACACGGUCACCCAAGAGUCAUGCAUUGAAAACGAAGCAAUUUUGGAAAUUUCAAAGGUCUUUGUUUUUGGGGAAUUCCAAAGGUCUUCUGGGGAUUGUUUUUUGUUUAUGGGAGAAAAGGAUUUGGGUUAGCCAAAUCAACUAAAACCAAAUGAUUUAAGUCCGAAUCAAACACGAACCUACAAAAUAAAAGAAAAUUGCAUUUGAAAAUAAAACGAGAUUUAUUUGCUGCAUCAUCUGUGCUAUCGGGUGCUAUUGGUUUUGCUCAUUUAUUAUGGAAAAGUUUUAGAUAAAACUUAAUUUUAUGGACGGAUUUGUUAUGACAGAUAAGGAUUUACGAAAAGGUUAUAGAAACUCAAAGGUCAUACAGGACAUGCUAUUUUUAUGGUACACGGCCGAAUAACUCUAAUCUGAAACUGGCUAGUCUGCUCAGGCGCUAGUAUGAGGAACUUGUAGGGCCUUUUCCUUAACCAGGUGGCUCAAAAUUUUUAAGCCCAACUUACCAGUAGUGUACAGAAUCAUACUCCAUGUAUUAUCUAGUUUGUGACCAUUGUGGUUUGACAUAAUUACUCAGCUCCAAGAUGUGCACAUGGCUCUGGGCUCUGUAGGAAUACGAGCUAUGACUUCUUUUCUACAGAAUCAGUUGUCUUUUUGCCUUAUUAAUCAAGUGGUCUGAGUAGCCUUAUUGCUUUUCUGAAGUACAUAACUCAGUAGCUACUCUACCGAUUCUAUGGUGAUCUCUCUUAAGAUGUGCAUGUGAAGAUUCCUAUUGUAUAAUCUAUUUUCUUUUGAAGAUGUACCUGCUGGACCGGAGAUAGCUGGUUACUAUCCUCGUGAUGAAGGAAGGGCAGGGUAUCGUGCAGUCAAAGAUACUGAAGCCAUUGGAGCUUCCUAUGAUCGUUACUUACGCGAUGGGGUAAUAAUCGUAAGUCUUUUACUUGCAUGUUAGUUGUCAUUGGGAAUCUAACUUUUGGACGAAAAAAAAUCUAUUCUAGAUGGCUUCCUUUGGUGCUAGUGAGCCUGCAAGGCCUGCAGCUGGUGGAAUAACUGGUAAUCCAAUUGCUAAUCAGCGAAUAAUGGCUGGUGGGAGGCCAGAGCUUCCUUCUCUUCCUCCAGAUGCCUCAAGCACUCUGUUUGUGGAAGGACUUCCUUCGAACUGUACGCGCAGGGAAGUUUCUCGUAUCCUGAUAUUUCUAUCUAUCAUAACGUUUAACAUAAUUCCACCGUAUACUCUUGUUUUAAUAGCAUAAUCUUAUUUUCCAAUAUAUUUUUUGUUUUCUUUCUGCUGUUCCUUUACUUCUUCUGUAGAUAUUUUCCGUCCUUUUGUAGGUUUUCGUGAGGUGAGGCUUGUCAACAGGGAGCCCAGACAUGUAAGUCAAGGAUCACAUAUUGGAAUUAUUAUUAUCUUCUUAAAUCUUGUUUAUUUGUUAUAUUUACCAUUAUUUCCUGCAGCCUGGAGGUGAUCCACACAUCCUGUGCUUUGUCGAUUUCUCAACCCCUGCACAAGCUGCUGUUGCUUUGGAUGCUUUGCAAGGUGAAAGCUACGUGACUAACGGCCUUAUCCACUAUCCUUGUUUCAUAGCGUCUUGUUGCAUCUCUUUUCUACUGUUUCUUCAUUUGGCUUUGUGGAUUGCAUGGUUCUCCUGGUUUUGGUUAUAUCUGCACUUUUGGUUGUAUGUAUGGCUUUUGUUUCUUGUGUUCUACAACUUCAGUUUUAAUGCUAUUAAUUAUGCUAACGUUCUAGUUCUCAGAUUUUGUUUUCAACUUUUUUUUUUCUCUGUCUGAUGUCACAUUAUCUGAUAUAAUUUGGCAGAGAUCUUUUAGAAAAAGGUGUCAGGGGAUAAUAUCGAUUUAUUUACUUUGUAGAAUAUUCUGGUCUUUGAGUCAUUGAUCACUACGGUGAUUGCAAACUAUUACCCAGUCUAAAUGGGCUCCUUUUCCUUUCUGUUUCUGUUUGAUGUCCUGAUUUGUAGUUUAAAUUUGGCGGCAGUCCAUUAGGAAAUUGGUGUCAAAUGUUAAUUAUUUGGAUCUUUGGGUGCAUGGACUAUUGUGGGGAUUGCAAAAUUGUUUAGUCUAAAUAAACCUUUUUUCACUUAUCAUUUACACUGCCGUUUCCAUCUAAGGUUGUAAUCAUAAGGUGGAUACUUCAGCCCCAGAUUCCCAUCUUUACGAACAAAAUUAUCACAUGAACACAAUUCUGCGCUAAUGCUGAUGGAAAGUUUUGAAUGCCUGUCUGUGCAGAUGGAGUUAUGGUUAAGUGCUUUUAGUAUUCAAAUUGAGCAUGACAUGACCAACCCAGUUUGUAAGCAAGGAAUGGGAUAAAAUCUUUUUAAGACCUUAUAUGCAAUACGUCAUUCAAGGUUCAUUAUUAGGAAAAAUAUGCCAGCACACCUUGAACUUUGGGGUAAUUAUAGUUAGCCACCUGAACUUAAAAAGUAAAAAAAAAACUACAUUAAGUUUAAUUCACUUCACUUCAUUUAACCAUGCUACCCUGAUUUUUGUGAAGUCCUGUAACUAAUUAUAGCUUGUCACAGUUAUUUGGCCUUAAAUGUUUACUCACUUGAAUGCUAAAAUGAAUUUAUAAAUAUUUGAGUUGUUCGAUCCUUACAUUACUCCAAUUAUUAAGACGGUAAUGGAAUUUAUAGUCCGCUGUGCUGAUUGAAACAAAUCAAAAGCUAACAUAAGUUUCUCUUUUUUAACUUUUUAAGGUCCGGAUGGCUAAGUGUCAUCGGACCAAAUUUUUAGGCGGGUCCUGUGUACUUUUCUCUUCAUUAUAUAUGCAGUCAUAAAAGAGACAUAUAGUACUAGCAAACAGUUAAAUUGUCAUUCAGGGCUGUUCCUUUUCACUUAAAUACUUCAAUACGCGAUUUUACACCCAAUUUGUUUGCUUCUCUCUCUUAUUCCACUAGAAUUGCUUUAAUAUUCAGUUUUAACAUUAACUAGCUGGUCUCUCUCUCUCUCUCUCUCUCUCUCUCUCUCUCACGCACGUGCAUGUGACACGCGCACACGCGUGCGCGCAUGCUUGCAUAACCUCUCCCAUGAUUUAUAGUAGCUGUACUGAACGAAAUUGAAAUGGUUAUUGUAAAGGGCAUUCAGAUGAAGCUGAUAUGUUAUACAUUUUUUGUUUGAUAAUUGGCCAAAUGACUUCUAUGGAAAAAUUCUUGAAGAAGCCCUAUAUACUCUCACGACUGUUUCAUACUGCUUCAUUUUCACGAUUAAACCGGUACUCAUAAUGCGUGACAUUUCUUUAUUUCGUCUCUUGUACAUCUGUUUUACGUUUGCACGACGCGUUUUCACGUACUAAAUCGUAAGAGAGUCACGAUACAUUUUGCAGGUUAUAAGUUUGACGAGCAUGAUCGCGAAUCACCCAAUAUGCGUUUGCAGUUUUCUCGCUCUCCUGGUCCGAAGUCAUCUGGUGGACCUCGAGGUAGGCGUUAAUUUUGCGGGUCCAGUUAACGGUGGCGGAGAAAUAUAUGCGUUUUGUAUGGCGAUGAAAAUUGCUUGAAUGAAAGGCAUAAUACUAAGUUAUGGUGGUAAAGCACAUAAUUCUUUGCCAGUUACUCUCUUUUAGGAUCAAUCUAGUUAGAAAACCAUAGGGCGCACAGACGCAUUCGAUGAGCUAUAUCAAGUAUCCUGUUUGCCAGAAUUUAUUUACUUAUAACAACUUGUUGUAGUUGUCGGCUUGUCGCAUUUCGCUGUUAUCUGUUAGUUUUUGACGUGAUCUCCUUCGCAGUGAGUUAGUUUGUGCUAUGAAUGUCAAGGUUGUUGUUUAUCGUGUAUUAAGAUUGCUUUGCCUUUCUGUGCAACAACAGGUUUGCUAGGUUGUAAUUAAUAUGAAAUAGUGAGGCUGAACCUUUAUUUGCUAUUUGUGAUUUACAUUAGUGGUUUAGUAAGUUGGCAUAUUGUUUACAUAGUCUGAGAGAUUGUGUUGCUAGUCUGCUAGCUUGUUUAGACUAAGUUCUGUUGUUUAGUAUGUUUUCAAAAUUAUCUUUAACACGAAUAUCUGUAUGCUAAAACUACACAACUAAUCGUGAGCACAAUUAUAAUGUCAUCAAGUUUUCACUUCACGGCAUUACAAUUGCAAUGUGGAGAUAUUCGUAUCCUGAAACUGUUAACUAAUCAUUCUUAAUGUUGGAGAUUAUUAUUUCUGCAUUAGUCAAAAUGAGAGCCCUCCUUUGGCACUAGCCAGAGUAGAAUCCUCUUCAAUUAGACCUAUAUUUGUGAGUUUUGUGCAAGAUCUCUUUUUAGUAAUGAACAAAUAUAGCAUUUUUCUCGAGCGUAUCUGAAGAUUCUGAACUAAAUCUCAAUAGUGUGCUCAGAAUAACAAGUUAGGUCUGGUUGACGUUUUUUGCUAAUUAGUUGAUCGGGCCGGAACCUUGAAUCAAAACCAAUAAUAUUCUUGAUGCUAUUUUCUGUCUCCUUUCAGGCGAAUUUAUUUCUGUUUAAAUUUGUUCGAAAAAUCGUAUGUUUGUUAUUCGAUGAAAAAGUAGGGAUUCAACAUGGGUUCUUUUUAUUUUUUUCCUUCCCCCCUGUAUCAAUUCAUUACAAGUUGUUCAAAAUGAUUUGGUAAGAUAACUUGAUGACUAAUUUCUAGUUUCAAUUGUCGUCGAGGCUUGUUCCAAACUCAUCUGCUUUAUAAUUUGGCUAUAUGAGAUUGGAAAACCGGGUACAUUUUUUGUGUUAUAUAAGUUAGUAGCUGAUACAGAGAUGCUAGUAUAUUAAUAACUUUGUUUUCUAGUAAACUAUAAAACCUUGUAAGUGGUUUAGCGUGUUUGGGCAUCAUUAAUCUGGGGCAUUUCUUUUCCUUUUUUGAGGACGAAUGUUAAUCGAAUAAGAUAUUGAAAGCAAAUAAAGAGUCACUGGUUCUUUUUCCUUUGUAGUCGAUCGUAGGCAUUGGAAUGGUUGGAAUCCUUUUAUUCAUUUCAUACUCUCAUUUGUUUGAUUUGAGUCUACAGUAAUUAAAGCGUAGGAGAUCACCUGUGAUGUCUGUGUAGAGUAUUUACUUUUUAUUUUAUUUUCAUCCAACAUUUGAACUAGUCUGAGUUUGCUUGCGGUUUAGGGCAAAACUAAGUCUUAUGUCUAAGUUUAACCUGUUAUGCUUAUCCGUGCCUAUGCAGAAGGUAUAGGCUUGUGUCAAAUUGAUUGCACUAAUGUUGUUGUCACUAUUUAAUGCUUUUUUAUGCUGGAGUGUUGGGAGAUUACAAUUGUGCAAUGGAAAGUGAUUUCUCUGUAGAUUGCGAUUUCUGAGUGUAGCCUGUGCAUCUUAUUAUAUUUAUUUUGACAUAGAAGUUUCUUAAAACUCUUUGCAAUCAAGUACAUCUUGUUAUUUGCAAGCGCAAUAAAUUUUGCUCUCUCUUCUCUCUCUCUCACUCUCUCUGUAGAAUACUAGAAUGGUAUGUAAAGAGUGAAAACAUUACAUUUCUAUGUGCUAUUGAUGCUCUCACUCUUUUUACACCCCUCCCCACCCACCCAAAAAAAAAAAAGGAUAUCCAAGUAUUAGUUGCUUUUUUCUAAUAAAUUUGCCAAUUGCUUUAUCCUUUGUGAUGCUUACUUUUUUUUCAGCUGUAGGUCAUGAUAUGACAGAACAUAGUUGUCUUAAAUUUGAAUGGUUGAGAAGUAAUGACAAUCUGUGCUGCUAUAUUACUAUGUUAGCCAUCUUCAUCAUGUUUUAGUUAUUAAUGUUAUAAAGCAUCAACACACAGUCAAGCAAAUGAUAGUUUUAGAUGAUUAUAAUCUCAAGAAACAGAAUAUUUCUUCUUAUGCUAAACUUUCAAUUAAUUAGCUUUCGCGUAGUUUAUUAGCACAUUUGCACUUUCUUGUAGUUUACCUUGAUACUGCAAUUUUGUUUGUGUUUCAGAGCAAGGUAAAAAAUAGCUUUAACUUAAUGCUAUGUGGGAAUAAAAGUGUUGCAUUGGUGUCGCUUGAGAUCUUGGUAACUAACUAUUAAGUUUUUAGCCAACUGCAUUAUAUACCGGCGCUGAGAGUUAGAUUUUAGCUACCAAAAAGUUUUGAGUAUCACUCCUGCAUUUAAAAUUCUCACUUUUAACUUGGAAGAUUUGACAAUCUUCGCACUUGUAUCUUGUUUCAAUAUUAAAUCAACAAUUUGAAUUUAAAUUUUAUUACUUUAUUUAAAUAAAAAGUUUUUUAUUGAUAAAAAUUAAAUUUGAAUUUAAUUUAUACUUAUUACUUAUAAACCCAAUUCUAAUUAUUUAAUUUAAACAUAAAGGUCUUAUUUGUAACAUUAAAGUUAAUCUUAAAAAAUUGAAUUUAAUUUGCGCUGUUACUUAUGAAACAAAACUUCUUACUUCACAUUGAAAUUGGAAUUGAAAUUUUAAGUUUGAAUCAAAGGCGGCUAAUUUGUUUUCUUCUAAGCUAAUUACCAAAUGUGAUAGUAUCCUACAAAUCUUUCUUUUCUUACUUAAUUUUGAUACUUAUCAAAUCUGAUACUGCCUCCUAAGUCCUUUCUGAACCAUAGAGUGGCAAAAGCAAAAGCGAACUAAACUACGAGAGGCCAAUUUAAAGUUUACUCAGUAACAAUAAUGCACCAAAAGAAAAAGUUAGGAAAAGAAACCCACCUCAUACCAAAAGAUUAAACAUGUAUAAGAAAACCACUACCCUUGGUCCCCUCCUCCUUACUUUGCCACCUCUAUUGGGCAUAAUUAUUGCAAUUAAAGGCAACAUUCAUUAAAAUUAGCUAACUAAUAUGAACAGCUUAACAGCAGGAGCAGGUUGGACAGGUGUGGAUUUCAUUAAUAAUCUUUCUUUGCCUCCUCCUGUUUACAGAACACAUUGUACAUGUUUGGAUGGGCCCCUAAGAAUAGCUUAGGCAGUAAGCAACAACUAGAUAUAUCACAUAAAAGAGUUAAUAUAUGUUAGAAAAUGAUUUGGAAAUAGUAUUAUGAUUCUCACAUGCAUAGUACUGAGAACAUGGCUUUGGUAGGAAUUAAAGAUAGCAUCUUCUUGCAAGAGAUUAGGAGACUUAGAACUGGCUCAGAUAUUAUACUUUCCAAAUGAUAAAUAUAUAUAUGUAUUGAGAAAUGAUUCAAGAAUUGUGAAACAACCGUUGUACUCUAAAAGCUUAAGUUGUUAGAGAACGGUGUUUUAAAUAUUUUUAUAUUUAACACUCUCCCUCACGUCUGAGCUCGAGACUUUUUAGUUGGCCCAUGACGUGGGCUUGAAUUAAAUGAGAGAAAAUUAAUAUGUUAGGAGCCUGGCGUGACUCGAACUCAGGACCUCCUACUCUGAUACCAUGUAAAAUAACUGUUGUACUCUAAAAAUAUAAGCCGUUAGAGAACGGUAUUUUAAAUAUUUUUAUAUUUAACAAAAAUAGUCUUUGCCGGUAUAAGCCUUUUGAUCGAAAGAAAAGCUUCAAUCUAAAACAUUUUCCUCUGAAAAGAAAGAGGUCGGUACGAAAAUUUCAGUUCACCGAAUUUGUCAGUACUUCUUUGAAAAGCUAUGUUUGAAAAACAUCUUUGCUUUACUACAAAGUACUAGCUACAACAACUAUGCUACAGAAUAGUAAAUUAGGAUAGUUUAAGGUCCUAUUUAGCGGCAGAGCAAGUUAUCUAGUAAUAAUUUAUGCACUGUAUAAAAGUUUUUUCCUUUUUUUUUUUUGUGAUUGUAAAGUAAAAGUUUGUUUUUUUAGCUCCCUAGAAUAUCUUAGCAACUAUGAUUUUUAAAAUAUAGAAAACCUCUUAUAAAUAUUUAUUUUUUUACUUUCCUUUAUGACUAUCAAAAUCUUAUAUUUUGUCUCUUAAAAUUUUAAAAAUAUUUUCAGGGAGGAUACGGUAUUAAUAAAGAGGGCAAAAUUACCAAAUUAUCCUUAUUUCUUCUAUAUAUUAAAAAAAUAAUUUUUAAUAUAGUUUUGUUAUUUUGAAAAAUAUUUUUGGUAUAAGUUAUAAGAAAUAGACGGAAUAGUGAUGGAACUCUGACGGAGCGGGGGUUAAAUGUAGCAAUUGAAAUAUCGGGGGUUAAAAUGUAAGUUUUUGAAAGUUAUGAAAGAAAAGUAAAAAAAAAAGAAGAAGAAUAUUUGUAAAAAAAUUUUCUGUAAUUUUAGCCUUUGCCUGAAUAUUAAAUUAAGUGAAAUAAUCGUUUUUCUUUAAAAACAUAAGUUAAUAGAGAAUAACAUUUUUAUAUUUUCUGAGUUCGAGAUUUUUUAAUAGACUCAUGACGUGAACUUGAAUUAAAUGCGAGAAAAUUAAUUAUGUUUGGAACCUGGUGUGACUUGAACUCUGAACCUCCUACUCCGAUACCAUAAUAAAUUAAAUACUAUAAUAAAUUAAACGAAACAAUCGUUUGUCUUCAAAAACUUAAACCGAUAGACAAUAUUAUUCUUAAAUUUUUAUAUUUAGCACCGAACGAUGCAACAACAUUGACGAGCCCGCAGUUUAAGUGGACUGAAUAACUAAAACGAGCACAAUUCAUGUCGAAUUAUUACAAAAAAAAAAGAAAAAAAAAAGUAAAAAAAAAAAGACACACAACAAUUACUUAAGUUGUUGGGAAAAACUACAUUAAUGGCUUAAGCUUAAAAUUAAGCUGGGUGUUGGAAUGUCAAUUCAUGGAAGUUAUUUCCCUUUGUGCUGGAGCCAAUAAACAGAGGAGGCCUCUGUUUGCAUGUAGUUUAGGCAAAUCCAAGUCUCAUGUGGACAAUUCAGCAUUGGGCUACGCUGAUCAAAGGUGGACCAAGGCUAAGCCGGGUCGUGAGAAAUUCAAUUCAGAUCCGACCCGUGAAAGUUGGCCAGGUUUAGGUGCGGAUUUGACUCUUUUUGUUUAUUAAAGAAUUAAUCCUACCUGUUUUCAGCGUUCAACCCAACCCUAGACCUGACAAAUAGGCAGAUAGGACAAUCUGCAUGCGGACGGAUCAUUAUAUCUAUAGAUGGAUUAUGCAAGCAUACGUGGAUAGAAUUUACCUGCAAAUUUUUGGAUAGCCAUUAUUCUUAUGAUCUUUUCUAUACUUGCCUGCUGGUAGGCGAGUGAAUAUAUGGUUUACCCAAAAAUACUCUUCUAAUAUAUAUAUAUAUAUAUAUAUAGUUGGACUUGGCUACUAUUAGUAGCAAAAUCCCAUUGUUGCUACCAGUUUUUUAGCCUUUGAUCAACUCUUUUCAUUAUUUCUAGCCAUUGGAUUAAAUACUAUAACCCAGUGGGGACCACUUAACCCUAGGGGAACCACUCAACUCUAACCGACUAAUAUCAUCCUGACCCUACAAUUUUUCAUCCAAGGGCUAAAAACUUAAUAGCAAAAGAGCAUUUUACUAUUAACAUUAUUCCAGCCUAAUUCUUUAUAUAUAUAGAGUCCGGCUACUAUACUAUCUAUAGUACCAAGCUUUUGGUACUAUUGAGUUUUCUACCGUUAGAUCUACUCUUUGAUCAUUUCCACCCGUUAGAUUAUACUAUUAAACCAACCACCAACUCAACCCUAGGGGAUCACUAUCAUCCUAAACGCACAUCCUUUCAUCCAACGGCCAAAAAUUCGAUAGUACCAAAGGCUUGGUACUAUUGAUAGUNUAUAUAUAUAUAUAUAUAUAUAUAUAUAUUUUCCUCUUUCUAUUCCUAUACUUUACAAACAUAAAUAACUUAUAUAUCAUUUAAAAAAAUCAAAUAUAAUUUAUUAUUUAAAACAUCACAACAUGCAAUAGAUAAUUUUUUAAAAAAUGUACUAGGAGAAAUUAGUGUUAGGAUUAUCGAAAAGGGUAAAACAAAACGAGUAUUUAUUCUUUUAUUUUUUAUUAUUUUUUUAAAUUAUAUAUGUGGUGGGUACUCAACAGUUAUUCAAGAUGUUCAUAAUUUUUAACGGAUACUUGCCCAUUUUAUUAAAAAAAAUCUAAUAUUCAUAUUCCUAAAUGGCCAAUUUGCAUAAAAAAUCCACUAGUUUUGAGCUUUUGCAAAAAUAGGUCAUCUUUUUGGAUUUUCCAGAUUUAGGCUGAAUUUUUAAAAAACUGGCCAAAAUACCCUUAUUCCCUUUUCUCUCUCCUCUUUUUUUUUCUCGUUCUUUUUUUUCUCUCUCUGAAAAGGGUGGUGGAGGUGGAGGCGGAGGCGGACAGAGGCGAUUCGCCUCGCCUCUGUCCCGCGCGCCCUCGCCCGCGCCCGCGCACUCUCCCUCCGCCUUCCUCACCUCCGACCCUACCGACGCCGCGUCUCGACCUUCUUUUUUUUUUUCCCUUUUCUCUUCGACCCUUCUUCACCGUCUCAUCGGUUCUUUACAGCAGUAAAAAGGGUAGCGUCACGUUCUCUUUCUCUCCUUUUUUUUUUUUCUCUUGUUAUUUCUUUUUCUCUUCAACUCCACUCUACCGCCUCCGUAACCCUUCACGACGAUAACGAGGACAAUACCACAUCCGCUUCCUCCACCUUGACCGACGCAGGCACCGACGUUGAUGCCGGAGAAGGAGAACUCGAAGUAAGUACGGGUGAGAGCGAAGCCGAGAAAGAAAUAUUCAGAAAAUAAUAAUAAAAAAAGAACAAAACAUAAAAAAAGAAGUAUUUUUAUAAGAAAAAUGAAGAACCAGAGAGAAAAUAAGAAGAUAAUGAAUUUGCAGUAUUUGAGGAAAAUGUUGCACUAUUUCAAGAAAUGCUGCACUACUUUUGAAAAAAAUUACUCUUUUUGAGAGAAAAAAUAUACUUUUUUGGAUGAAAAUUAUACUAUUUGAAUAAAAGUUGCACUUUUUGAACGAAAAUUGUAUUAUUAGGACAAAAAUUGCACUAUUUGGCCAGAAAAAAGAGUACGAGAAGGAGGAGAAACAGUACAAUUUUCGGCCAAAUAGUAUAAUUUUUGAUCAAAGAGUGCGAUUUUCGUUCAAAGAAUGCAAAUUUCAUCCAAAAAAGAAUAUUUUUUCUCUCAAAGAGUGUAAAUUUUCUCAAAAACGGCGCGCACCGUUUUCAUGUAAUAAUGCAACAUUCUUCUGAAAUAGUGCAAAUUCAUUAUCUUUUCCUUUUCUCUCUGAUUCUUCAUUUUUUUUUGUAGAAAAAAUUAUUUUUCUAGUAGAAAAAAUGAAUUUUUUUUAAUAUUUUAUUGUUUAUUUUUUUUAUUUUUUAUUUUCUGUAUAUUUUUUUCUCAGCUCUGCUCUCACUCGCACUCGCUCCGAGUCCUUUUUUUUCGGUACCAACGUUGGUGCCUUCGCCGGCGAAAGGCGGAGGAAGAGAAUGCGGCGCGAUUCUCGUUACCGUCGUGGAGGGCCGCGAAGGCAGUAGAUGGGGGUCGAAGAAAAAAAAAAAGAAUAAGAGAAUAAAAAGGAGAGGAGGACGUGAUGCUACUUUCUUUGCUGCCUUCUUUACUGUUGUAAAGAGUCGGGGAGGCAGUGGAGGAGGAUCGGAAAGGAAAAAAAAAAGAAGAGUCGAGGUGCGGCCUCGGCCGAGUCGGAGGCGAGGAAGGAGAAGGGAGGGUGCACAGGCAAGGGUGAGGGCACGCGGGACCGAGGCGAGGCAGGGCGCCACCACCUCCGCGCUCUCUUCGGAGAGAAAGAAAUAAAAGAAAUGCAAAAAAAAGGGAGAGAGAAGAAAGAAUAAGGAUAUUUUGGUCAGUUUUCUGAAAAUUCGGUCCGAAUUUACAAAAUCUAAAAAGACGGCCUAAUUUUGUAAAAGCUCAAAACUAAUUAAUUUUUUAUGCAAAUUGGCCUUCCUAAAUUUGCGGGUAAUUUGUGUAUUACACAUUGAGAUUGUACGGCCUAUACUACAUCACGCUAUGUCCUUUUUCUUAAUAACCUAUUAAGGUGUUGUGUUAUUUGAUUUCUUUCUCUAUUUGCUCUCAUAUGGCUUUAUUUAAAGAGAAUUUUGCACAGUGUAAGUUAUUUAAAGGAAUGUAAACCUAAUUUUGUACAGUGUAAUUUUAACGUCCAACAAUCGUUGCUCCAAACCUUUUCUCACAUUUGCUUCUAAACUGGGUAUGAUUUGUCAAUUUGUGCAUAAAUACACAUUUACGGGUCCAUUUGAUUUAAACUUUGGCCCGAUUUUAAAUAGUUAACUAAGUUUGAAAUAUUUAAAUUUAUUAUAUGAACAAUCAACUUUUUUUAAGAGAAUAAAAAAUAUAUAUAUAUAUAUGCCUAGGUGUUGAUUUUUUUUUUAAAUAUGUAGCAUAUUACCCGCUUUGUUUAUUUCAUUUAUAAAUAAACUUACUAGCUGUUGAUUAUUAAUACAGAUAUAGUUUAGCAGCUAAACUUUAAAAUAUUAAAUUGACUUCUAUUUAUUUAUUUAGAUAAAUUACAUAAGUUUUGUAAUUUUUGAAAAUAUCACAAAAUAUAAUUUUCUGACGAGAAUUAUAUUUUUUUUCGUCUAUUCGGUUCCAUAAAAAAGUAAUUUUUCUGAAACUUUUUCUUCUCAAAUUUUAUAGAAAAACGGUAGAUGUUAGAAUUUUUUUUUUAAAAUACUUUUUUUCAACUUUUCGAGAAACCAAACACUCAUGAAGGAAUAGAUGUAAAAUUUAAAAUUUAUAUCUUAUUUCUAGAAUGUGCACGUAGCAUUUUUCUUUCCCGUCGUCGAAACCUGGAAAUUGUGACUUUCACAGAUUGGACACUUCUAUACCCAACCUGGUUAGAAACAAAUGAAAACAUUGUUAUAUUAUUACAUUUUAGGGCAUGUUUGGUUCAAGGAUGGAAUUGGAAUGAAUAAUAGAAUGAAAAUGAAUUGGAAUGGUAAUUGGAAUGACCCACUCCCCAAGACGUUAGGUUUAUUUAUGGAUUGGGAAUUGGAAUGAGUUAUUCACAUUUCAUUAUUUGGUUCGUAUAAACUAAAAAAAUUAUAGGAUACUAUAAUACUAAUUUUACUCUCAAAUAUAAAUUUAUAUUAUUUAAAAUUUAUGAAAAAUAUAAUACUAUUCUCUAAUAAGUUUUCCAAAAAAAAUAUCAAAUUUAUUUUUAAAAACUUUUAUUGAUGUGGGUUAGGGAUAGGAUUUUGAGAGAGGAUAGAUUUUUUUUUUUUUUUUUUUUGAUGAGAAAGGGGUGAAGAGAAGGAGGGUGAGAUGGUCACAUGGGCUUCAAGAACUUAGUGGGUUUCCGGAAUGAAAUCUCAAUCCGGGCUAGAAAACUGGAAUCAAGUUAAAGGCUAAUGGGUCAUUUCCAUUCCAAUCCGGAAUAGAAAUCCCAAACCGAUUCAUGCGAACCAAACAAAAUUAACCGGAUUUGAUCAAACCGAUUCUCAUUCCAUACCCAAAAUGAAUGAACCAAACAAGCCCUUAGAUUAUUUUUGUUACUCAAUUAUUUUUUUUUAUAUCUACAUUAUUAUUAACAAAUAAUCUAUUAUUUCAAAUAAAAUCUAACAAGUUUAUUAAAAGGCGCCGGCUAAAUAGUAAGAAAAAUGUAAAAUGAAUCAUCAUGAUAUGCUCACUAAAAAUUAAUUUCUAUCAAAUUAUUUUUAACUAUUUUAUCUAUAUUAUUUUGUUAUUUUUUGUGUUAAAACUUAAAAGUGAAAAUAAGGCUAGACUGUAUACUCUACCACUUUCGAUCAGUAUUUUUAACAAUUUUCAUCCAAAAAUUAUAAAUUUAUUACUUCUACCGAUAAUAUAAUAGCCUUGUUCUAUAUAUAUAUAUAUAUAUAAUUGAGCUCCUAUGUUUUUAAAAGUACCAAGUAAUUAGUGCUUGUAAGUUUUCAGCCCUUGGAUUAAAGGAUGUGUGGUUAGGAUGAUGUGGGCCUCCUAGGGUUGAGUGGGUGGUUGGUUGAAUAGUAUAAUCUAACGGGUGAAAAUGAUCAAAGGCAGAGAUCUAACGGCAAAAAAUUUACCAGCACCAAGUGCUUGGUACUUUUACAAGCACCAUAGCCGGACUAUAUAUAUAUAUAUAUAUAUAUAUAUAUGGAGAGUCGGCUGGGAUACUAUAGAUAGCACCAAGGAUUUGGUGCUAUCGAGUUUUCCACCGUUAGAUUUAAUUCGUUGAUUAUUUUUACCCGUUAGAUUAUACUAUUCAACCAACCACUCACUCAAUUUUAGAGAGCCCACAUCAUCCUAACCACACAUUUCUCAAUUCAAGGGCUAAAAAACUAAUAGCACCAAUAGCUUGGUGCUAUUGAUAGUAUUCCAGUCCAGUUCUAUAUAUGGAUAAAAGAAUAAAAAUUGAGUGGUGCCUUUACCCAAAAAAAAAAAAAAACACAUAGUAUAAAAAGUCAAAAAAAUAUAAAGUAUAGUAUAAUGUAGUGAAUUUAAUAUAAUCGAUAAUUAGUUUAAUCAAAUCUGAUAUUUGAUCAAACUAACUAAAAAAAUCAAAGAGGAUUUCAAAUGUCUAUAUCAGGAUUGAUAAUAAUUGAGAGAACAACGAGUUGGAUCGAGAAGUAUCUUUCUCUACUCCGUGAUGGCGCCCUAAAUCUGGAUCACAAAAUUCUAAUAAAGGAUUUUUUAUUAAAAAAUAAUCUUUUAAAAAAAUUUUGUUUGGCCAAAUAAUUUUUAAAAAAUUUUAUUUGACUAAUCAGUCCCUUUCUUGCCAACUCAAUGGACAAAAAUAGGAAAGUCAAUGAAUUUGUUCACUGUCUUUAAAAAGCGAUAAAUCAUUUUUCAUUUUAAAAUUUCUAUGAAGUUGUUAUGAUUGUAUGUGAAUUAUUAAAAUUUUUGUUUGAUUAUUAGAAUUAUACGAAUAGAUUAUUGCUACGAACUUUUAGGUUGCUAAGAUUGUAUCAGUGAUUUGUUGAAAUUUUUAUAUUGUUAUUAAAAUUCUAUAUGAAAAGUAGAAAAAAGUAGUGAAUCUUUUUCGCAGAAAAAAGAUGGUAAAUGAUUUACCGUAUCUUAAAUUUUAUUUACCAUAUUCUGAAUUUCAUUAAAGAGGUGAAUGAUUCAUUAAUUUCUAAUUAUUUUUCUAUCCUGUUGAAGAGUUUUUUAGUGAAUUAAAAUUUGGACAAAGUUAUUUGAUAAACUAUAAUUUUUUUCAAAUCUAUUUUUUUUAGAAAAAAAAGUCUAAUAAGAUUAGUUUCUAUUACCAUGUUGUUUGUUUAAGUGGUUCAAAAAUUAUCCUUUACCAUGCGUGCACUCAAUAAAAAAAUUAAAGAAGAAUGUGUCAAUACAAAAUAAAUAUUAAAAGCUAUUAGUGAAGGAUAAGAUUGGGUUUUAUAUAAAAUAACCUACUAAAUAUGUUACCGAUUUAGAUUGUUCAAUAGAAUAAUAUUGGGAACAUGUUUUUUUACUUAUAUAACCUUGACUACUAUUUAAAACUUUUAAAUUUAUAGUUUUAUUUUCGAAGUAUUUUUCUAAAUUCCAAAACCAAUUAGUAAACCGUAAAGUUUUACAAAUAUUUGAAGGAAUUUUUGAAAACCAGUAAGUUAUUUUUGAUAAACUAGAAGUAUAUAAGAUAUUUUUUAAGUUUUGAAAAGUAUAUUAGAUGUUGUCUCUAUUGAAAAAAAAUUAAUAGUAUAUGCCAAAUUUGCUAUAUAUGCCUUAUAAAUUUUAAAUUUUUUAUUUAAUUUUGUUACUUAACUAAAUUAAAUAAUGCCCGAUUUGUUAACUAUCCAACUCAUACCAAUGGUGGAAGAGCGUCCUUUACCACAAGGGAGAUCUUCAAAUGUAGAGUGUGUUAUGAGGUGAGGAUGGAAAACUUCUCAAUUUUUGGUUGGACAGAUGGUGUAGUGAAGCAUUUUUGGAGAUACACUUUCUGGAUAUUUUCGAUAAGGUUAUAUUGAAGAGGUUCACGUUAUGAAAUAUUUUUCUGCUAAAGGAUGGAGAUGGCAAAAAAUUUUAAAAGGAGUUGUAACAAGGGCACAGGAGUAUUUAAGAAUAAGGAAAAUCAAAGAAAUGCUUGUUAGUUAUCGGACUAUAAACAAACCUAAUGAAAUUCGAAGAUGGAAUGCAGGAAGCAGGUUCACAAUCAAAUCGGUUUAUGCGAUAGUUAGAGACGAAGGAAUUCAUGAUACCCAACUGACUCAUAUUUGGAAGCUAGUAAUACCAGUAGUAAAGAUCUUCUUGUGGUUGGCACUAAGGAAGAGAAUCCCCACAAUUGACAAUCUACUGAAAAGAGGAUGGCCGGGCAACACUAUAUGUGUCCUAUGUAGUAACAGUGCAAAAAUAGUGGAACACCUCCUUAUGAGAUGCGUAUACAGCAGGUUCGUGCUCUACCAAACAGUAAAGAACACUGAAGUUUUGGAGUCGGUGGAGAAUGUUAUGGCUUUUUGGGGGAAAAUGACUUGUAAUAUUAUGCAAAGGGUUGUUGGUCAAGAACUGGUGGCUAUAGCAGCAUGUUGGAGGAUAAUAUGGAGGGAAAGAAAUAAUGUGAUAUUCAGAAAACAUUCUAUCGACUUGCCUAUAACUUUGCUAGUCGUAUCAAGGUGUUGGGGGUGUGGAGGGAAUUUUGUAGUGCCUGGUAUCUUGCUACGACAGUUUAAUCUUCCUUUUUUUUUUUUAUUAUUGAAGCCUUGUUGUCUCACCUUCUGUAGCUAAAUUUAUAUUCCAAAUGAAUGAAGCGGAUAGCGUGCUAUCUUUUUUCUCAAGAAAAAAAAUAUUGAAUUUGAAUUUAUAUUUGAAUUUGGUAUUGUAAUGUAAAGUUUGGAUUUUGAAAUUUAAAUUCAACUUCUAUAUUUGAAUCUAAUUGUACUUUUAAUGUUAAAACCAAACUUUAAUUUUGAUUUAAAUUGGAAUUUGGAAUUCGAUCUAAAAGUUUAUUUUGAAUUAGUGUAUUAUAUUUAAGAAAAAAUGAAUGUGAUUCAAAACUAAGUUUCCUAUGUUGUUUUCAAAUUAAAUUCGCAGUUUGAAUAUAAUCUAAAUUUCAAUUAUUAUUGUAGACAUUUGAAAAGUUCAUAAUAUCAUUAGCUGGAUAACACUAGCUAUAAAUUUUAUGAAGCAAAAUACUCAGUAAAAACCAAAAUGCUCUCUAUACGGCCAAAGUUUGUAUAGUGUAUUUAAGCAUAACUACUAGAGAAAAAAAAAAAAAAAGAAAAAAAAGCUGAAUGUAAGUCCUCUCUUCUCUAUUGUUAAAAAGUAAAAAUUUUCAAUAAAGAAUUCUCUUUCAAUGUUUGAUAAAUUUGACAUUUGACAUAGGCAAAACUUAAGUGAGGAACUCUUAUCUCGUUAAAGAGCUCUGUAUUGUUACAUUUUAUUAUUAAUAUGAAUUUUAUUAACCUUUGCAUAACCUAUACUUGCAUUUAUAGUUGUGCAUGUGAAUUUACCACUUCAUUUAGUUUGCAUUCAUUGUGAACUUAUAUGUGAACCUACUUCAAUAAGGUGAACAUAAUUAAGUUCAUUUACGUAUGUAAACUCCUAUAGCACUAACUAUGUAACCUAUGGGUUUGAUACUUUUGUAACCUAUACUUUUGAAACCUAUAUAUAGAGGCUUCUCUAUUCACUUCAACAUAACAUAAAAAAGAAAACUACAAUAUCUAUAUUCUACUUGAGAGAGAGAAGGUCAAAGAAAGGUGUUUCUUUUGGUGGAGCUUUGGGCUCAUCUACUUGCAGAGUUGGUGAAGCCACACGACGAGGGUCGAGCUGUUAUAUCCUGAAGGGGACAAGUCGGUGCUCUGCUGCAUCGGUUCAAAGACUUUGCCAACCGCAGAGGGCUUGAAUCUCCUUAAAGAGAGCGAGAUAUCCGUGCCUCGGCUUGAUCGACUCGUUGAUAUUUUUUAAAUUAUUUUGUAGCUAACCUCUAUAUUUUGAAUAUUUACACUAACAACCGUCAUGUGUCUAAACAAUAUGUAUCUUAAAAAAAAAAACAAGUAAUAAUUUUGGUAAAAAAAAAUCUAAUUAAUCUGCUUAAUUAAUUUGGGAUUGAUUACUUAAAAAGAAAUGCUAAGUCUAUAAUCCCAAAAAAUUUGUAUGAUUACGACCCUCACUUCAAAGGUCACAAUCAAAAUUAUAUAAUUCUUUUUGGAUUUUAAUAGGAAGAAAAAAGAAGAUAGAUAUGACUAGUCAGAAAAACUUGAUCUUUGGAUUGGCAAGUUGCAAGAAAAGCUUUAUAAUCAUUUCUCACUAAUCAUAUCACUCUUUUUAUUUUUUAAUAUUAGAAACCAAAAAAAUUGUAUAAACUCUAGGAAUAGAAUUAUAACUCUUGAAUUGAACAUUGUAAUCCUAAAACCCUUUUUGAUUUGUAGGCUGUAUUUAUCUUCAAGUAACGAAUUCAAAAUUAAUAAAGCAGAUCGAAUUUUUCUGCCGACCUUAUCAGUUAUUUUUUGAGAUAUGUGCCGUUUAGACACUUGACCGUAGAAGGAGAGCUCCUUAACGAGAUCUCGUUGUGGAACUCCCCAUUUAAAUUUUAUUCAUUUCAAGUGAAUGUUGGAUUCAAUCACUUUUUUAAUUAUGCCCUCAAAUUAUAAAGGCCUUUUUGCAAAACAAUCCACUAGUUUUGCAUUUUUGUAAAAAUAUGCCCUUUUUCUCGUUUUGUAGAUUUGAACCAAAAUUUUUAAAAUCUGACUAAAAUGCCUCUGUGUCUUAUAUAUCCCAUCUCUCUUUCCUCCACCCCCUUUUCUGGGCCAUGUCUUCACUACCAGUAGCAAUCUCGAGCGUUUAUCCCACCUUCACCACCUCCACAUAGAUUCUACUGUAACGUCCGCGUCAUGAGCACCUCACGAGCGAAAGGAACACGAUGAACUUAACUUGCUCAUUGUCAUAGCCACUCGAUGCUUCGCCGGAGACGGAGACAAAGGUGGCAUUGGAGGAGAGCAAUGAUCACUGAUGAUUGAGAAUGCUUUUGAAGCAUGUUCAUGACGAGCGUGGCCUAUAAUGACAAGCUGGUGGGGGUAGUAAGAAAAAAAAAUUUGUCGGAUGACACAAUAUUGCACUAUUUGUUAAACAAUUAUACUUUUUGAAUAUAUGUUGCACUAUUUUAUAGUUAAAUAUACGUAUCAAAUAGUAUAACUUUCUUAUUAAAUAGUACAACAUAUAUUCGAGUAGUGUAAUUUUUUUAAAUAUUGCAAAAAUUCACAAUCUGCCAGAUUCUUCUCUCUCAUAACCACAACCAUUUCGACGUCGCGGCCAUGCUCUCUCUAACCUGCUAUAUGAGCAUCAUCGACCAACAAUCAUCACGCUCUUCCUCCGCCAAGUCCGUCUCCAUCAUUGGUGAUACUAAGAACAGUGCCACCCACAUCUUUACCGCGGCGAUGUCAUCAGAGAAUGCCGAGAACGACCAUGGCCAUGACCACAAGCAAUUCAAGCUUCGUUAUCAUCCUUUCGCUCGCGCGCAACAUAGGGAGGAGUGCGGUAAUGACAUGGCGGCGGUGGAGGAGUGAGAGAAGGCGGGAGUAGAAAGAGAACAAGGAAAAAGAAUAGAAAUAUUUUGGUCAUUUAAAAUUUUAGAUUAAAUCUAUAAAAAUGGGAAAAACAUUGUCCACUUUUAUAAAAAUACAAAAUUUGUAUAUUUUUUUCCCAAACUAAAUAGGACAAAAAACUAAAUUUGACUUCUCCUCUCAGUUUUCAUAUUAGGAUGAAAAAGGCCCAUCUUUUUACUGUUGAUCAAAAGCAUGCAUUCAAUUAUUAUGUUCCUUGUGAACCAUGAUGAUGCCUCCUUUCCUAUUUAUAUUGAAUAACAAAGCCAAGGGGGUCCUUGAGAGAGCCGUUGAUGAGUGCAUGCUUUGUUUAGAGAAGCAAAACAUACCAACUCUCUCUCUCUCUCUCUCUCUCUCUCUCUCUCUCUCUCCACACACAAAAGAAGAAAACAUGCAUCAAUGAUCAGUAGUAUCCACCUAAACCCCCCCUCCUCCUGUCUGUUGUUAACAGAAUUUCCACCUCUCUCUAUCAAUGCCUAAUAUAUAAACAAGUAAGGUAAAUGUAUAUAGAGGACCCUUAACUUUAAAGUGUUUCUAAAGUAGGCCCCUCAACUUUAUUUUCUCUAAAAAGAAAUGCUAAUAAGUGUACAGUAAAAAAGGAAUUGUAAUCUCUACAAUCGAUCCAUUAUUCAAGAGUUUUGGAGUUUACUAAUUCCUUUUUAAUUAAUUGUUAAUAGAAAAAAAACGGUGAUAAGACUAGCUAAUUACGAAAAAGUAGCUUGUGAGUAUAUAUAUAGAAGUGUUGUAGGAUUACAACUGAUUUUGGGUUCUAGAUCCAGUAUUGCGCGUUGGUCAUAAUUGAUAUUCUCAACUUCUGUUCUUCUGAAUUUGAGUGAUUACAGUCAAAUAAAUUUGAAAGCAAUAUCCAAAUGAAAUUGAGUGAUUACCGUCGAACAAUUCCUUAUUAAUAGUUAAUAAGAAUAUUGUAGGAUUAAUUGCAACUCACUUUAUAAUUAACUACCUAAACUGAUAAACCAAAUCAAAAUUUUCAAUUUGGUUCGGUUUGAUUUAUGUUUUUUCUCAAAUCGAAUUAGAUAAGUCCGAUUUCAACUCACCUCGCAACCAGAAUCAAACCAGGCCAUGCCCACUCCCCAUUUAAUCCCAAGGAUGCAAAGCUAAACUAACUCAUGUAUUUAGCGCAGUUAGCUGAACGUGCUUGAUGGUUGGUCCACGAAGUUUCCAACUCAAAGUAUAUAUAUAUAAUUGCUUCACAUUGUUAGUUAAGUUCAUUUAGUUUUUUUUUAAAAAAAGAGUAAAGUUGCGGGUAGUGUUGGGAAUCAGGUGCUCACCCCGGUACCGGAUCUCGUGAAUCCGCAACCCGCUCCAAUACCGACUGCUGUGGAUCCGGUAUCGAUUGUUGGGAUUUCGUAACGGAAGCGUCGAAUCGGAUUUUUACCAUAAAUCCGUCUCCUCAGCAAAAGCUGAUACAAUCAUAAAGAGAGAAAUAUCAAAACAGAAAAUAUGCGAGUAAAAUAAGAUUCAUUAAAUAAGAGAAGAUUACACCUGACUCCUCUUCUGCACAGAGUAGCUACAACCCGAGCCCUCUUUCUUUAAUCUUUUCUACCCUUCUCUCGUCUUCUAUAAUUCCAUAAAGAAGACAAUCAUCCGCGCGCACCCAUGCACUAAGUGCACUAAAUAACUCUCUCUCUCUCUUUUUCUCUCUCUGGUACGGCACCAAAGAGGCCUUUUCUCUCUCUCUCCCGUACUCACAUCAAAAAAGCAAACCCACAAAGAGUUAUUUAUAAGGCUCCACUAAAACGUACCCCAAUCCUAAUAUAUUUAGAAUUUCUACUCCAAUUAAUAUCUAAAUCUAUCUUAAUUAAUCUCUAAUAGAUUUAAAUAUUAAUCAUAAUCUAGUUAGAUUUUAUCCUCUAAUUAAUAUUUAAAUCAUAAUUUAUCUCCAACAGAUUUAAAUAUUAAUUCUAAUUCAAGUAGGAUUCAAUUACAAAUCUAACCAAAUCCUAACAGGUAGUUUGCUAUCUAUCUUUCUCCAUCAGAAAUAAAUAAAUUCGAAAGGUCAAUUUCAAGCUGCCCUAUAGUUGAAGGAGUCUUCAUAUAUUUGUACUUUGUGUGUUUGUGUGUAUAUAUAUAUAUACACUUAAAACUUUUUUUCUCUAUGUUGAGAGGGUAGUAGAAACAACCCAAUUGGAAGAGAGAGAGAGGAUACAUACAAUAAUUCAUUGUACAUGAAGAUGAGGAGGGAAGAGGAGGAGGAGGGGGAGGGAGAGAGAGGAGGAGAAGAAGAAGAAGAAGGGGAUCAGUGGGAGGGGGAGAAGGAGACGGGGGAGGUGGACUACGUGUUCAAGAUCGUGGUGGCGGGGGACUCGGCGGUCGGGAAGACGCAGCUGCUGGGGCGGUUCGCCAAGGACCAGUUCUUCUUCGACUCCAAGUCCACCAUCGGCGUCGAGUUCCAGACCCGCACCCUCACCCUCCACCGCAAGCGCGUCAAGGCCCAGAUCUGGGACACCGCCGGCCAAGAACGGUACCUUCAUUCAUUCUUUAACUAAACUCUCUCAUAUUCAUAAAUUUGAGUCUAUAUAUAUAUAUAUAUAUAGCUAUCAAACAAGCAGAUAAAUAUGAAACGUAUAUAUAUUAUAUCAUAUACACGCAUAGAAUUUGGGUGCUGCAAAAUGAAGAGUCUAUUGUUUCUUCCUGUACGCUACUUCAUGUAGAAAUUGUAUUUUUUUUAGAGAGUAAUUCAUGACUUAGCUAAUUAAUUAAUUAAUUAUACAAUCUAAUAUAAAUUGCUAAUCAAUUAAAUUAAGGGGAAGCAUUUUCAAAGUGUGAAAGUGCUCAUGAUUAGGUGCACCUCCAUUCGACAGAAGCUCAUUAAAAUUUGUUCCCGUGAAUGGGAAUAAUAACUGUGCGCAUUUUAGGAAGUUGUGCCUUUUUUUUUAAAUUUUUUAGAUUCUGUUGUUUGGCUCCGCUUCAGUAAUAAACCGUAAAAAAAAAAAAAAUUGGAAAAAAAUUUAGAAGCUAAUUAAUUAAUUAAUUAACAAGAGAAAGUAAAUAAAUUUAUUUAUUGUUGUGCUUAAUUAUAUUUUUUUUUUUCGGAGAAAUAGUAGUAAUCUCGUUUUGGCAAGGGCUUGUGUUGUAAAUUAAUGUUAAGGCAAUUUGUGGGCCCCAUCAAUAAUAAUGGUUUAUAUUUUGUAGAUAGGAGGUGCAGAGUCAAAGGCGUUCCAAUCGUUUUCUUCAAGCUUUUAUUAGGAAAAAAAUAAAAGUAUAUAGACCCCCCUCAAAUUUAGAUUUUUCGCAAAUUGAAGCUUGAUUUUUUUUUAAAAUUUUGACAAUUAAAUUUUCUAAAGUUUAUUAAAUAGUUCAAUAAACUCAUCUUCUUAAAUAAACUUACUAAUUACACAUUCGAUCAGUUGGAUAGUAAAGUAUGAUGAUCGGUAAAUAGAUUGAACUAGACUUCACUUUUAACGUCUUUUUAUAUGUUAGAAAGUAAAAAAUAGGGUAAACUUCAAAUUGCCCCUAUGUGGUUUCACACUUUCUUACUUUAGUAUCCUGUGUUUUAAAGUAUAUUAAAUUAGCCUCUGUGGUUUAAAGUAUAUUAAGUUAGCCCCCGUGGUUUCGCACUUUCUCACUUUAGUAUCCUGUGGUUUAAAGUGUAUCAAGUUAGUACCAUGUGGUUUUAUUUUUGUAUCAAGUUAGUACCUUACGGUUUCAUUUUUCUUUUUUUAUUAUCCAUUUCACUAAUUUUUUUUAUUAAAUUAAUGACAAAGUUAAAACUAAAGAGUACUAAGUGAAUAUUCGAUAAACCUAGAUAGAAUAUCUAAAGUUUUUUUUGUAGGUAAUUUAAUAAAAUAUUAACGUAGGAAAAAACAAUAGUGACAAAGUUAAAACUAAAGGGUACUAAAGUAAAUUUUCGAUAAACCUACAUAAGGUAUCUGAAGUUUUUUGUAUAUUAUUUAACGAAAAAUUAAUAGAAGAGCCGACGAAAAGAGAAAAAUAAAAUCACAGAGUACUAAAUUGAUACACCUUAAACCACAUGGUACUAAAGUAAGAAAGUGCAAAACUAUAGAGUAAUAAAUUGAUACACUUUAAAUUAUAUGGUACUAAAAUAAAAAAGUACGAAACUAUAGGGCUGGUAUUUGAAGUUUUUCGUAAAAAAAUAUAUUUUCUUGUGUCUUGAAGUUGAACACAAUUAUGUGCUAUAUUUGACCAAAAUAAUUGCAUAAUUAUUAAAAUUAAAUAAAGAGAGUGGCCUAUUGAAUUAUUUGAUCAAGUAUGUGGAGUCUAAUUGCGAAAAUGAAAGUUCAGGUUACCAGCACUUUUAAGGGCUUGUUUGGUUCAUUCAUUUUGGGUAUGGAAUGGGAAUCGAUUUGAUCAAAUCCGGUUAAUUUUGUUUGGUUCGCAUGAAUCGGUUUGGGAUUCUUAUUCCGGACUGGAAUGGGAAUGACCCAUUAGCCUUCAACUUGAUUCCGGUUUUCUAGCCCGGAUUGAGAUUUCAUUCCGGAAGCCCACUAAGGGGCUGUUUGGUUGGAUGUAGUUGCAGAAACAGUGUAGUUGGAAAUACAUGCAGUUGUAAAUGUUGCAGUUGUAAUUACACCUAGUCUGUUUGAUUUUACGCAGUUGCAACUGCUGCAGUUACAUUUCUUCUGUUUGGUAAUAUGAAGCUGAUAGUUGUAUUUGUGAAUUUUAUCACAUUUUCAGAUAGAGUGGUGAGAUUAUCUUCACUAAACAUAAAAUAAUUGUAUAAGUUUAUUAAUCAUUUAAAUUUAUUAUUUAUAAAUAAAUAAGUAGAUAUAUAUAAUAUUCUUCAACUUAUUAAUCGACACAUUUAAAAUUUUUAAUUUAUUUAAUUUUAAUAUGUAAAUCAAACUUUAAAAUUUAAACGAUUCUCUCAUUUUUUUUUAUCAAAUUUAAUAAUUAUAAUUAAUUAAAACUUAUUAAAUUAACAUACACGAUCACAUUCUAUAAAAAUUUNGUACUAAAGUAAAUAUUCAAUAAACCUACAUAAGGUAUCUGAAGUUUUUUGUAUAUAACUUAACGAAAUAUUAACAGAAGAGCCAACGAAAAGAGAAAAAUAAAAUCACAGAGUACUAAAUUGAUACACUUUAAACCACAUGGUACUAAAGUAAGAAAGUGCAAAACUAUAGAGUACUAAAUUGAUACACUUCAAACUAUAUGGUACUAAAAUAAAAAAGUGCGAAACUAUAGGGAUGGUAUUUGAAGUUUUUUGUAAAAAAAUAUAUUUUCUUGUGUCUUGAAGUUGAACACAAUUAUGUACUAUAUUUGACCAAAAUAAUUGCAUAAUUAUUAAAAUUAAAUAAAGAGAGUGGCCCUUUUGAAUUAUUUGAUCAAGUAUAUGGAGUCUAAUUGCGAAAAUGAAAGUUCAGGUUACCAGCACUUUUAUAGUUUCAUUUCAUUUUUAUUUUUUUUUUAGAGAUAGAUAGCUCGCUACCUGUUUCGUUUAUUUUAUUUAGAAAUAAACUUAGCUAGAAAUGUGAAUCAACAAGAAUUCGAACUUAGGUCGCGGGUACCAAUCAUCAAAUCCUUUACCACUUGCUCUAAGGAUGAUCGGUCACUUUUAGAGUUUCUUUUAUUUGCUAUAUUGUGCGUAAAGGCAAUAGUGAACUACUAGAUGAAAGGUUGCAAAUGGUAAGAAAAUAAUAGCUUAGUAGUGCCUUCGAAAAAAAAAAAAAAAAAAAUUAUGCAAGGUAUCAAAUAAAAAUAAGAAUAAAGUUUAGUGUAGAGACCUUAAUUUUAUCUAUUGGUGUCUUUGCAAAAAACAAAAUAUAGCACUGCAAAAAUUAAAUACAGUAUAGUGAGAUAUAAUUAAGCCAGCAAAUUAAUUGUUAUGGCAACUAAAGAACAAAAAGAAUUAAAUUUCCACACAAAUUUAGUGAUGUGCCUCCUCUCACAUCAAAGAGUUGGAAAAUAAAAAUAAAAAUAAAAAUUAAUAGAUCACUACAAGAUGAUGAUCCUGACACAUAUUAUAUAUAUAUAAAAGUGCACAGUAAAUUUUGUCCAGGCUCUUUUAGCAACUUUUAUUAGUGGUCCUUAAUUUUUGCUUGGAGAUGACCUUUUCAUUUGAGUGGUCUUAUUUGUACGUCACUUGUAGUGGCUUCUCUUUAUCUUCCUUUUGUACCAAGGCAUAGCAAAGAGACAGGAAAUAUAUAUACACACAAAAAGAAGAGUUUGUAUUGGGACAGGAACACAUUUCCCAUAUUUUAAUUCUUCUUCUUUGGCAUAGGAAUCUAGAUCACUAUGUUCACAGUAAAGAGCCUAUUUGGUGGUCCUGCUUCUAUAUAUUUUCACUUUUAGCUACAGCAAAGUGAAGGAGAAAAUAGAUUUGAGAUUCUAAAGCACAAGAUCACAAAAGCUUUAAUUCUGUCUUUUUAAUAUUGUUGUAGAGCAAAGCUGUUACGCAAAUUGAAUACAAUGUAUUUUCUUGUAGUAUUGUUCAAAUACUAUUUUAUCAUACAGUAGUAGGCUCUAUAGCACGGCCAAAGAGGCCGUCUUAAACCAUAGAUUGUAAUUUGGUAAAAAUUCAAUUUAAUUAAUAUAAGUCAAAACGUUAAAAAAAAAAAAAAGAAAAAAAAAAAACUUGACUAUAGGGACACACCAAAAAAAUAUCAUGUUAAGCACCAAAUAUAAACUUGCCUCAGAGUUCACAUCAGAGUAUUUUUCUAGAGUAUUUUUCUAAUAAGAAUAUAUAUUGAAUUUAUAGUUAUUUAUCAAAUGUUUUUAUUGUAAUUUAUAAAAUGACUCAAUGAUUAGUAUUCGAGAUUUCAAAUAAUUUGAUUAUUUUAUAUUUCUAGUUAAAUUUAUUUCUUUAAAAAAAAAAAAAAAGCGGGUAAGAAACAUACCGGGUUGUACCCGAUUAUACAACCUGGAUUGUAGAGGAUCCAAACAUGGCUUCAAUUAGUGCACGUUGCUCUCUGUGACCAACUUCCGAGCGCGUACGGCUAAAAGCAGCGAUCACAACAAUUAGUCAUCACCUGGGACGUAUCGUCAUUCGUCACCAAUAGCUGUACGCCACGUGGCAGGCUACUACACGGGUCGCACGUGUCCGUGUAUUCGUCCGACGACCGAGUCGUCGCAUGCACGACUUUGCUUUACAACUUAGCAGUAAUUAUUAAAUGGAUUGAUUAGUGUAAUUAAAACAUGUACAAUUAAUUACAGAGUUAAUGGAGCAUAUUAUUGAAAUACCGCACCCACAGUUUUUUUUUUUUUUUUUUAAAUAAAACGCAGAGAGAAUGUGAGUAUGUGAUAAGUCGUUUUAUUUUGUAUGCUUUAAGGCGUGCAAUUAGUUGACCACAAUCUAAAUCUAAAAUUCCAAAAAAAAAUAUUUAAAUUGCAAUUUACACACCUAUAGUUUUAUCCAUGUACGAUGAUUUAAUUAUUGAUUUGAGCUUAAUUUUCUCCAAAAUUAUUGACUAGAUUAAUUUAAAACAUUGUUUGGAUGCUGUAAUUUCAUAAAUGGUGAAAUUAUUAUAGAAACAAUUAUUAUUGUCGACAAACAGGAUGCAUUAAAUUAGUCGACUUGUGUUAAAUCAGCUGUCACAUUAUUAUUGUUUGGAUGCAUUAAAUCACCUGUCACAUUGUUUCUUUCUAUAUAUAAAAAAAUGAAGUAAAGUUGAUAAAGCAUGUCUCACUAAAAUAAAUAUUGAAGUUCAAUUUUAGGGUCGGUUUGUUUGCUCGUAGCUGAUUUUAAGGCUAAAAUUGACUUGCUUGAAAUUAACUUGCUUGAAUUUAAGGCUAAAAUUGAUUUUAAGGCUAAAAUUGACUUGCUUGAAAUUAACUUGCUUGAAUUUAAGGCUAAAAUUGAUUUUAAGGCUAAAAUUGACUUGCUUGAAAUUAACUUCAGGCAAAAACCAUAUAUUAUUUCACUUCGAUUUGUUUAAUGAAAAGUUAAUGACUUUCGAACUUAAAUUUUCUCACCUUUUAUAUAUGUUCUUUCAGUUUAAAAGUUGAAUUAUGUUGCUAUACUAUCGAUAGUACCAAACGCUUGGUACUAUCGAGUUUUCGGCUGUUGAAUGAAAAGAUGUUCGGUUAGAAUAAUAGUGGAUUUCAAUUAAGAUGGUAGUGGUCCCUUAAAAUUGAGUGGAUGGUUGGUUGAAUAGUAUAAUUUAAUGAAUGAAAAUGAUCAAAAAAUAGAUCUAAUAGUAAAAAACUGGAUAGUACGUCGAUAGUAUAUUAGCCGGACUCUUAAAAAGUUUUCACAUUAGAAUAAGGAAGGUGAAAAAAGUUGCAAUGGCUAAUUCUUCAUUAGUUUCUUCUAUCAUUUUUUUCUCACUAAAUUGACUUUGUCAUUAGGCAAAACGAAGUUAAUUUAGGUGCAAAAGUUGAGUUACGUUCAAACUUAGGGACGCCAACGCGCCGAAUUAGGGGCAGGUUUUUGAAAAUCUAAAAUCCGAACCCGAAUUCAAAUCCGACGUAUUUUAAAAAUUCAUAUCAAAGUCCGAAUCCAAUCCAAAAUCCAAACCCAAAUCCACUCUUUAUUAUAUUUUAAAACAUAUUAUACUAAUAAAGUUUUAAAUUUUUUUAAUACAAGUGCAAAUAUAAUUAAAAUCAAAUAUUCAUAUUGUAUUAUAUAAUAUAAAAUCAAUUCAGGUUAGGGUUCGGAUUGAGUAGGGACAAAAUCUAUAUCCGAAUUCAAAUCUGUCAUAUUAUCGUGUUAUACACUUAUAUCCAAAAUCAUAUAUUCAUGUGGUAUUGGGUAUUGGAUUUAAAUUCGAAUAAAAUUUUGAAUAUCUAUGUCUAUGGACAUUCCCAAGUCAAACUCAACUCCUGAUGAACUAGGCAAGGAAAAGUAAACAUUCAUUCAUAGCACAGCAGGAGAAAAAGUAUUUGACGCUUUUAGUUUAAAUUUCUAAUAAAAAGUUUAAAUUCAAAUUCAAAAAUCUGUGCCCUCGCGCGGUUGGUUGACGCGUGCAUGCAUGGAGUGUGCGCAGGUACAGGGCGGUGACGAGCGCCUACUACAGGGGUGCGCUGGGCGCCAUGCUGGUGUACGACAUAACGAAGCGGGCGACGUUCGAGCACGUGGCGCGGUGGGUGGACGAGCUGCGCGGGCACGCCGACAGCUCCAUCGUGGUGAUGCUGGUGGGCAACAAGGCCGACCUGGCGGCGGCGGGGCAGCGCGCGGUGCCGACGGAGGACGCGGUGGCCUUCGCCGAGGAGCAGGGGCUCUUCUUCUCGGAGGCCUCGGCGCUCAGCGGCGAGAACGUCGACCGCGCCUUCCUGCGCCUGCUCGAGGAGAUCUUCGCCGUCGUGUCGCGCAAGGCGCUGGAGCUGGACGUGGCCAGGAGGGUCAUGAGCGGGGGGAUCAACGGCGACGCCGCCGUGGUGCUCCGGGGGACCAAGGUCGCCGUGCUCUCCGAGGCCUCCGUCAUGGAGACCAGCGCCAUGAAGAGGGGCACGCAGUGUGCCUGCAGCUUGUGAUCCUUGUUCUUGUGCUAUUUGCGUCAUUCAUGCAUGUGCAACACCUUUUGUUGUUGUGUUGAUAUAUCUAUAUAUAUUUGUUUGUGUGUAGAGCUACUGUAUUAUUGAAAGUAUAGAAAAUUUAAUAUUUUCGACUUUUUGAUCCUUAAAUCAAAAAUUAUACGAUUGGGAUGAAUAUGGUCCCUCCUAAGAUUGAAUAGUAUUCCUAGAAUUGAACGGUCUUUACAGAAUAGUAGUAUUAAUUCAAAAAUUAAAAAUGAUCAAAGAAAUCAAUUUAGGCUUAGUUUGGUAUUGAAGUCUAUCGAACGCCACUAGAUAAAAUAGAGUUGAAGAAAAAAUAUAUAGGGAUAUGCUUCUGCGUUCUCCGAUGGGACUGCAGAAAAUAUAUCAUAACCGACUCAUCGCAAUAUGCAAAACGCAAUAUUACGUAGGAAAACAAACAGGGCAUUUUUCCAACGUACUUUCCCACCGCACGUAAAGCAAUUUUUUCGCAAUCCCAAACGAAAUCUUAAGAGUUAAAAAGUCGUAAACAACAGACCCUCUAUACUUCCGACAGUACAGUAGCUUUACUCUCUCUCUCUCUCUCUAUAUAUAUAUAUAUAUACAGCUUGGCCAAGGAAAGAAAUUAAUAUCUGGUUAUUGGGUUUGUGUUUAAUCAUUGAAUUUCUUAGCUUAGAUAGAUUUUGUGGAUGUUUUAUAGCUAUUUCUUUGAAGUAAAAAGAUUUUUUUUUUUUUUUUGGUGUGUGGAUUGCAAAUUUGCAAUAGAGUUACAAGUAAAAGUCACCACUGUUUCAUUUUAUUAUCCUGUAUCUUGAAGCGAUGAAGACAAUUUUGCACCAGUAAUUUAAUAAUAUAGUGUACUGUUCAGUUAUCUUUAUUUUCUGAAGUAUACUUUUUCUUCUUUCAUAACACAAUUUUUUAUUAGGGACAAUUGCUUAUAUAUUCCUGAAAAGUUUCUGACUUUUCGAUUUACCUAUUUUAAAAGACUGAUAUUGAAAAUAUCCUUUCUACGUUUCAACAUAUUUCUAAUAUACCCUAGAGUUAAAAUCUGUUAAUGAACUCUGUUAUCUCUGUAAAAUUAUUAUUUUGUCCUUUCAAAUAUAUCCUUCCACCAUCACUGUCAUUUUUAUUUGCCCUUAAAGUCAGGAGCACAAAAAGUAUUUUGACUUUUAAUUUUUUCCAGUAUACUCCUCUACCGUCAUCAACAUUUCUUAUUUGCCCUUAAGUUAAGGGCAAAAUUAUUAUUUUAAUUUUUUUUAACUGUGGUAGAUAUUUAACUAACGUUUAACUAAAGUUAACUUAACAGGAGAUAACUGCGAGGGUAUUUUGCAAUAACUGUGGAACAUAUAAGGGGUAUUUUAGAAAAAAAAAGAAGAAGAAUAAAUAGGAUAUUUUCAAACGCACGAGAGGUAUAUUGGGAAUUACCCCUUUUUAUAUUAUUUGAUCAAUCUCUAUGCUGCAUACAAUUAAUUGUAAUCGGUAGCUUCCUUAGAAAGCACUGAUUAGAAGAAUCAGAGCCCAAAAAAGAGUAUUUAAAAAUAGUUUAAAAUUACUUAAAAUAAUUUAAUAGAAUAUUUCUAUGAAUCCAUAUUGAAGACCCAUUUUGUUUUUCUUUUCAAACAUCUAAUCAAUAACUUUUAGUAGAGUUUGUUAGCAUCUAUAAUCUAUAUCUAUAAUCUAUAUUUAUAUCUAUAAUCUAUAAUCUAUAAUCUAUAACUAUAUAUUAUUCCUCAAUAACUGCACACGUGGCGCGAGGAGGCCGAGGCGCGGGGAGCGCGACGGCGCGGGCGCGAGCCGAGGCACGGGGGCGAGGGCAGAGGCGCGGGGGAUGGCACGAGCGGGGAGGCGGGCGCCGACUCAGGGGUGGGCUCCGGCGUUGGUGCCGCGGGGCGAGGGCGUGCGCUGGCGCGGGGGCGAGCUCCGGCCCUGGGGCCGCGGGGCGAGGGCGGGCGCCGGCGCAGGGGCGGGCGCGGGGGAGGAUCGUAAGCGGGAGCGCGCGCGGGGCGAGGCGCGGGGCGCGGGCGCCGGCGUUGGGGGCGCGAGGGCACGGCGUGGCGCCGCGCCGAAAAAUCGCGGCUCAUAGCCGUGAUGUUCAUGGGUCCACGAGGCCAAUUAGAAACAAUGUUAUUUCACUAAUUAAUUGAUGCAGCUUAAGUUAAUUUUAUAUUUGACGAAUAUUAAUUGCGAGAAUUACAAACAAUGUUUUCGCUUCUCAUUCACUAACUACUGGGGGAAUAAGAUACAUACUAAAAAUUAUUUCACUAAUUAAUGGGAAACUACUAUGCCUACUAAAAUUUUUUGAUAUACUUAUUGCACUAUUUAAAUUCUGAAAUUAAUUUUUAUAACUAAUUUUUAAAAUUAAAUUUUAAAAUAACUACCCGCAGCUCGCGCGGGUUGCUUAACUAGUAUGUUUAAAACAAUAGACAAGAUUGAUGAAAAACAAAGUUCCCUCAUAUUUUAAAGGGGAAUAAAAAAGAGAAAAAUUUUAAAUACUAGUUUUAUAAUUUACAAUUUUCUCAUUUUAGUAUUCCGUAGUUUAAAAUCUAUUAAUUUAGUGUCAUAUAAUUUUUUUUUUAUUAUCCCUCUGUUAUUUUUUUUUAUUAAAUCAGUGAUAAAGUUAAAAUUAUAGGUUUCGUUUGGUUCGGGUAUAAGCAAGAACUAAUUAUACCGGAGAUAAGUGCAAGUAUGAAUUUUCGGAGGAAUAAGGGUAUUUUUUUUGUUUGGAUGAAAAUGUGGGUAUAAGCUGGAACUAGAAAAAUUGUGUUUGGAUGAAAAUGUGAGUAUAAGGUGGAAUAGUUGGUAAUUAUAGAUAGAAAAUAAUAAUUUUACCUCUAUAAUUGAAUUUAAAAUUUUAAACUUAUAAUUUUAAAUUAAAAAUUUUAACUUUUAAAUUUUAAAUUUUGAAAUUAAAAUUAAAACUUUUAAUUUUCAAAAUUUAAAUUUUAAAUAUCAAAUUUUAAAUUUAAGAUCAAAUUUAAAUUUGAAAGAUAUAAAAUAUAAAAUUUUAAAUUUUAAAUCUAAAAAAUUAAAUUUAAAAUUUAAAAAUUACAAAUAUCAAAUUUAUAAUUUAAACAUUAAAAUUUAUAAUUUAAAAUUAUAAAUUUAAUUUUAAAAAAACUAAAUUAUAAAUUUUAAAAAUUUUAAAUUUAAAUUAAAUCUCUCUCUCUCUCCCCCCGGGAGGGGUGGAACAAGUUGUUCCACCCCACCCCUUAUUCCACCCCAGUUUGGGGUGGAACAAUGUUCCACCCCACCAAAUUUUCCUUUGGGUACAAGAGGGGAUACCCCAUAUCCCCCCUCUUGUACCCAAUCCAAACGGUACUAUAAAGUAUUAAAGUAAAAAUUUGAUAAAUCACAAGGUACUAAAGUGAUUAUUUAAUAAAUCAUAAAUAGGGUAUCUAAAGUUUUUUAUAUAGAUUUUAACGAAAGAAGAAAUAAAAUCACAAAGUACUAAAGUAAAAAAGUGCGAAACCACAUGUGUAGUAUUUGAAAUUUAUCCAUAAAAAUAGUAGAUGAUAAUAUAUGACAAUAAAUCUAAAGUAUAAAUGUAUAAUAUAGAGAUUGAAAAGUAAAUAAUAGUUAAAUAAUAUCAUUGAAAAAGAAAAAUAUAAUACAACAAAAGAAAGUAGGCCCAUUUGCAUAAAAAAUUCACAAGUUUUGAGCAUUUGCAACACUUGACCAUAUUUUUCAAUUUUGCAGAUUCAAGCCGAAUUUUUCACCAUCGAACGAAAAUACCGUUAUUCAUUUUCUUUCUCUCUCUUCUUUUUUUCUCUCUCUUUUUUUUUUCCUUCGCUAUUUUUUUUCUAACGCCACCCGCCGCUGCGCCCACUGCUGCACCCCCGCCGCCGCGCUUGCACUCGCCGCCGCCGCUGCCGCUGCGUUGGCGUUAGCCUACCUCUACUACCAGCCCCGCCUCCCCUCCUUCCUCCUCUCCGUCCGACCCCACCGCGCCCGAAUCUCCUCCCGAUCCCUCUACCUGCACCGCUGCUGCCACGUGCGCCGUUGCCGCUACCACAUCCCAACUUCUCCGCUCCACCGCGCCCCGCUACCGCCGCCGCCAAGGGCCCGCAUCCCACACGAUGCCGCGGCCGCCACCCGCGCCGCUGCUGCUGCCGCAUCCCACAUUCUCCGCUUCGCUACCGCUGCCACCAAGGGCCCGCAUCCUACCUUCUUCGUAAGACUUCAGAGAGAAGGAGGAGAAAGAAGGAGGAAGAAGAGGAAGCAAAAAAAAAUAGUGUAAAUUGAAGGAAGAAGAAGAAAAAAAAAAUAAUAUAAAUUUUACCUAAAUGGUAUAAAAUUGGGCAAAAUGGUGCAAAAUUGGAUGAAAAAUUGGGCCAAUUUUGAUGAAAAAUGCACAAUUUUGCACCAUUUUGUCCAAUUUUGCACCAUUUCGUCCAAAAUUGUUAUAAUUUUUUCGUCUCCUCCUCUUCCUCUUCCUUUUUUCUUUUUACACCAUUAUACCAUUUUUUACACCUUAAAAAAUUGCAUUUCUUGGACGCUCUCAUCUCUCUCGCCGGAGAGUAGGACUCGGACCGCGAUCUUGAGGUGGCCGAGGUCACGUCCCGCAUUGCCCAGCUCUACUACGGCCGGUACCGCCGCACUAGCGAUUCCUCCUACCUCGUCGAGACUUUCGUCUUCUACAAUGCUGUCCUCAACCGCGAGUUCCUCCGCGCCGCUGCCGCCGCCGCCGAGGUCGCGCUCGCGCACAAGCAGCUUCGCCUCCUCGUAAGGUUCCAGAACACGGGACGAUCCCCGGCGCGGCGCAGCGCCGCCACGGAGGCAAGACCCAGGGAGAGCUCUAGGCGUGCGGCGCGAAACUCGUUGGGAGUGAGAUCGGAAUAGGAGGGGGAAGAGGAUGAAAAAGAGAAGGAGAGAGGAGAGAGAGGAGUUUGGAGAAUGGCGUUUUGGGAAGGGCCAUGACUGGUGGGGGAAGGGGAGGGCGCUGCGGAGGAGGAGAAGGCGGGAAAAAAAAUGGCGAGAGAAAAAAAAGGAAUAAAAGUAUUUUUGUCCGAUAGCAAUAAAUUCGGUCCGAAUCUACAAAAUUGAAAAAUAUGACCAAAUUUUGUAAAAACUCAAAAUUUAUAGAUUUUUUAUACAAAUUGGCCAAGAAAGUAACACUAAAGAAUAAUGUAGUAGAAUGUAAUUAACCCUUCACUGUAAUGACAAAAUUAAAUUUCGGUACCCGUGAAGAGUUUUUGGUGAUACAUUGAGGGGAAAAAAGAAACUAGAAAAAGAAAAAAACAGUUCUAAACUGCCGAACUGCAUCUUUUCCGGAAUAGCUGUACCAACAGCAAUAUUACUAGUCAAUUUCAAGUUAUUUCAAAUAUAUUUCUUAAGUUAAAUUCUAUUAGUGAACGACUAGCAAUAAUCAUUAUUUCUAUAAAAUUACUAUUUUACUCUUUCUAAUAUAACUUUUCACUAUCAUCAACUUUUUUUUUUCUUUUUUUUAAAAAAAAAAAAAAACAUACUACUCAUAUCGUUUAUUUUUUUAAAAAAAUAAAUUUAACUGAAAAUGUGAAUCAACUAGAAUUCGAACUUAAGACCUCGAAUACCAACCACCAAAUCCUUUGCCACUUGCACUAGGAGCAAUCGGUCAUCAUCAACUUUUUUUAUUUGGCCUUAAAUUAGAGGCAAAAGAAGCAUUUUAAUUUUGUCUUUUCAAAUGUACUUUUCCACCAUCACUAAUUUUAUUUUUCUUAAUUGCCCUUAAGUUAAGGGCAAAAAAAAUAUUUUAAUUUUUUAUUUAACUCUGAUAGAUAUUUAACUCACAUAUAAUCUGAAAUAACUUAGCGGGCGGUAACUGCAGAAGUAUUUUUCAAUAACGUAAAAACAUACGAGGAGUAUAUUAAAAACAAAAAAACGGUAGAGAUAAAUUAAAUAUUUCUAAAGUUUUGAGGGAUAUAUAGGUAAUUAUUCCUUAUAAAAAAAUAUACUUAUAUACCACCACAUAAUAGUAUAAAAUAUUUCUUUUUUAGUACUAAUAUAUUCUAAUUUUUUAUUAUAUAUUUUUAUCAAACUUUUAAAAUUAGAUUGAAAUAACUAAUUACUCACUAAUUUUAAGGGCAAGAAUUUUAACUGUACCAUUAAUACAGGGAUUGUAUCGUGCAGAUACUUGUCGGCACAAUAUGGCACGUUGGGUACGGUCAGGUUUGCAUCUCAUCUCUUGGCUAAGGCCUAGGUGAUCUGCUGCCUCGAAUGCUCGAAUGCCAUCUUAUACCAAAGAUGAUAGAACAAUAUCACUUUGUACAUGUACUUGUCCUACAGAUUUUUAUAUGCACAUUUGUUGAUACACAUUGGAAACUCAGUAGCAACUACAAGCCCAACAACAAAUCUUGGGUACAAAUAAGUAGGUUUACAGUGGCUAUUAAGCUACCAAACAAAACCACUCUUCUUUAUCAACAAUUAAAGACUCAAAUUAUUGUUACAAAUUUCAACUUGAAGCAGGUACAAAUAGGGCAUCCGAUGAACUCAGAACUUUUUGGUUGCUUGCAUUUCAAGUCACAUUGCAAGUGUAAAGAAAGAUAAACCUAAGGGUGCGUUUGGUUCGCGCUAUUUUUUUAAGAUUCCUAGUAAUCCAAUAGAAAUAAAAAAAUAUGACGAUAUUUGGCUAAACGCAUUAAGUAAUCUAGUUGGUAAUAUUAGAUUUACUUGAUAAUGAGAUGCAUCCCAAAGUACUAAUCUCAUUCCUUUGAAAGAGGGUGAGUAUUUUUAUAUUAAUGGAUUGGAAUAAUUAUAUAUGUCUAAUCUCUUUCUUUCUUCCCACCCGCCGGCUAGUUAGUAUUAUUUUUCUUUACACUCUAACCUCAUAUCUCUCUCUACACUUAUCUUUUUUUCUCUAAACUUCAACUCUAAAUUAAGCUAUUUCUCCCCAUCUUUUUCUAAAAUCUCGACCCUCUCAUUCUCUCUAAUCUCGACUCUAUUUCUCUUCCUAUUUCUUUAAUUAUGCUCUUUCUUUCUAACCUACAUUCUCUCUCUUUUUUCUAAAAUGAUGUUGAAAUUUUUUAUAGUAUUAUUUAAAAUUAAUUUAAAAAAUAAAUUAACUAAUUGUAUAUUUUCAUAAUCUUAAAUAAUAUGACUAAAUAAUAUGACCGUACGAACCAAACACCGAAAUAUUACAUUCUUAGUAAUAGGAUGAAUAGGAAUAAGAUUUUCGGAUAUCUUUUUACUCCUAGUAAUCUUUCAUAGUGCGAAUCAAACACGCCCUAAUAGUUUUGUUA
rnacentral:lncRNA from 1 species